AUCUGAAGCACAUCGAAUCCUCUUACCAGAGCGAGAGCUUCAGCUUGAAUCGGCAGAGGGAGCAAGGGAUCUUCUUUCUCGCGAAUCCAUCGAGCAGUACGCCUGAGGCCGUCACGAAGAGCACCUGCAAUCGCUCCUUCCGAACCACCACCGGCUUCAAAGGACCCCAUCGAUAGUUUUCUUGAGGGACUGGGUAUUCGGCGGGCAGCGAUUAACAGGUAAAAUCAACUCGAAUCGUGUCGAGUUUCCAACUUUUUAGUGUUCCGCUCGCUAUAAUUUCUGAUCGCAGACUCCGCUGAGGCGAUUAGGGUUCCUGGGUUUGGUGGCGCGGUCUUCGCUGGGAACACGAGGGUCGUUUCUGGGAUCUCCAGAUAUACCAGAGAAAAGCUGCGAUUUAAUCGAGAGAUAGUAAGUUCCUUGCCUGUUGUUGGUGAUUUUGUAGCCACUGCUCGUCCUUUCUUGUGAUGUUCUGACCUGAGAUGAUCUGCAAAUUUACCUCGGCGUAUUUCCAAACCAAGCCGGUCCAGGUCAAGGCGUGAAGGUGAUCCUUGGGAUUGUGCUGCCUUACGGGACUCAGACACGACUCGAUCUGCUUCGAGGCGACUUCUUCUCAAACACUGAAACCCAUCACAGUGAGCUCCUCGAGGUAAGCACGACCUUUAUUCUCCAGUCUAUUACAAUUGAUCGGACAAAUAAUAAAAUACAUCUGAUUAUUACUCAUAAGGCAUACGAAAUAUUACAUGUGAAACUCCCUCAGACUUUUUCAAAAUCAUCAGCACAUAUUUAUUGCUAAUUUUUCUUACUACAAUCUUCUCAUUUAAACUAAUUGGUUAUGAAUGGUUAGACAGAUUGAAUUUGGUGGAAUCACAUGCUGCCCCUCAUCCCGAUAUUGUUUGCAAAACAUUAAUGGUUGACUGAACUCCCUUGGGACAAAAGGCCUGUCUUAAGAUUACGAAAAUACCCUUCUAGAUGCAAUAAAGCCUGAAACAUCCAAAAUACUCAGUUUUUGGAAAAGUAUUUUUUUUCCCUUGGAAGCAGUUAAAAACUAGAUUUUUUUUUUCAAAUAUCGAUUGUGCUGGUCUAUUCUCUUCAAUAAUCGCACAAAACCUUUCAAAGGAAUCAAAAUUAUCAACAACAAAAAAAUUAUCUGAACAAUCGGAUCAACUGCAGAAUUUUUGAAUGUCCAUAAAGCUAUUUUCCAUUAUAUUGGCAAUUUUCGUAAUUUCCGGAAAAUGACAGAAAAUUCAAAUAUUUUUCAGAAAUUAUACACUAUUGCAAUUUUUUUUAAAAUUUUUUUUAAAAUUUUUUUAAUUUUUAAUUUUUUUUUCGUGUUGGUUACCAUAGAGAACUUGAAAUUGAGCAAAGCUGCUGGUUUCGAUGCGCUUACACAUAUUUAAUAUGUGGACAAUUUUUAGGUGGACUGUGUCUUAGCGGAUUGAAUUAGAGAAACUCAUCACAAAGUGUGGUUUUCAUGUAAUUUAAAUGCUUACAGCAAAUACAUGACUUUUACGUAUAUAUAGCAUAGAAAGUUACUGACCUACCAUAGAUUUGACAAUAUGAUUAAUGCAUGUUCAGGGUGGGAGAGAAUGUAGCAUUUACAGGAGGAAGAACGUCUUUGAUAAUAUCAUAAUGAAAAAUUAGCAAGAGCCACAUUUAUCUGUUUAACAAAAUGGUUUAUACGUAGAUAUGAACAGAAUUGGUCAAUCUGUAUUCUGGUCCAAAUAAUUCUCUCUCUCUCUCUCUCUCUCUCAUGUUUGGCCUCUCUUUUGCAGAACAAUUCAAAACUAUCGUCCUCAUUCGCUUUCUUUGAUCUUUUCCCUCUUAAAAGUUCUCACCUAGGCUUGUUUAGGGUCUCCUCUGUCCGAUCUCGCACCUCUCUUUGCGUCUCAGCUCACGGGAGGUAAUUGACUUUUCAUAUCUAAUUAGCGUGUUGUUUCUAUUGAUCGGCUGCUUUGUUAUUGUAAUGAUGAUGGGCUGAACUAGUGUGUUUUGGGCCCUUUUUGUCUAUUGGCGAUGUGGGGUGGCUGCUGAAUAGCUGAGGAGGGUCUUUUAUUCUCUCUUUGGAGUCGCUGUGGCCUGUUAACGAGGUAUGUCCCCCAGCUCAGAUUUGACUUCGGUGAAAAAGGAAUCCUUUGUUUUCAACUUCAGAUGUGGCUAAUGCUCCGAUGGCCUUGUUGUCUGAUUGUUAGUUUCAUUGCGAUUCUAUUGUGCGCAAAAUAUCCAUAUUGUGCUUGAAUCCAAAGAUCAUUUUUUUGUGCGUUGUAAGGUUCCUCUGUGUUUGAAGGUCCUAGGUCAAUUUAUAGAAAAAUAAAUCAGAAAAAUAAAAGUAGGCUGGUUCAGGGUCAGCUAGUUUGGUUCUUACAUACAAAAAUGGAGAACUGAUUAUUAUUGAACAAAUUCCUAAUUCUUAGUUUAGAACCCACUCAUCCCGAAAUCGAUGAUCCUAAGAGUAAGUCUUAUCUUAAGGAGACUUCAUGGGACAAUUUUACCUCCCUAUAGAACAUUCCAAAUGAGUAAUAUUCUGUUUUCCUCGAAUUGUUGGACCAUUAAUCCUAGAAAGUAUAUUCCCUUUCACAUUUUCUCCCUUCUUUAUCAAGAAAAAGAAAAAGAAAGAAAAGCUCAUUUUCUCUUUCCAAAGCUUUAAAGCUUGACCGGGUCUUUAUUUGAAAAAAGAAAAAGAAAAUGAGGAAUAAAAAAGUACAGUGAAAGUUUGAGCAUUUUAACUAUAUUGCUACUUUUCACCUGCUCUCAACAUAAUUUCAAUCAUCACAGUGAAAAAGAUACCAAAAUCCAUAAUAUGAUAUUUCUUAAGAUCUUUUACAUGAUAUCCAAUAGUUAUUAAAAAAAAAAAAAAACAUAGUUCAAUCUGACACAUGAAAACAAUCAAAUGAGGCGAGCCAAUACACGUAUAUUAUUCGCCUAGCUUUAAAUCACUCGUUUCUUACACCUUUUGUGAUACAAACGACAAAUUCGUUCUUGAAAAUGUGAUUAAUCAAUUUAACCUGACUGAGCACAAUUCAGCCGAUAAUCCUAUUCUACUUCUAUUUAAUUGGAUUAAAAAAAAAAAUCUUUGCAGUGAUAUUCUCAAGGUCGGCCCUCCAACAAAAAUGGGGACAAGCACUAAACGCCAUUGUUUCAAACCUUGGUCGUCUCUGAAUUUUCCUCAGCAGCUUCCUUUUACUUCCUUUCUUAUCUUCUUCUCCUUCUUCCAUGGAAUCAGUACCUACUUUCUAAUCGUUCAGAUUAACAUGGAGAAAGAAAAGAGUGCAUAAAAAUAGAGCACUGAGGAAGCAUCCACUCUUCCGUUCGGUGCCAUCUAACAAUUUAUAGCUCUAUUUCAAAGACAAGAUAUCAGUCAAGUGGACCCGGCACAGAAUAGAUGAAAGAUAAAUAACCACGAGCAUUUGUUUAUCUCAACCCCACAUUUCCAAUUUUGUCUCAGCUCAAUUAUCAGCUUUUAAAUGAUUUAUCAAAUUCUUUGACAAAAAUUGAUUUAUCAAAAUCUUAUUUUCAAUGAUCAAGUAAAAACUGAACCACUACAUAUAAUUUUGAACGAAUGCAAUAUGCUUGUACAUAGAUUCCAUUAUUCUAUAGCCCAAUUAAGAAAUUAAUGUACGUGUUAUACGUUAGGGGACCAAAGCCGGCAAGAUUGACUUGACUAGAGGAUGAUAUCCAAAAGAAGAUAAAGCAAGGAUUGAAAGCAUCAGCGACUGCUCCUAGUCAAUCAAAUAAUAAUUAAUUAAUAAUUUUAUGUUUAUUUUUUCUUGCUUGGUAAAAGAUUUCAUGUUUAUACUUGUUCAUACUUCAUAGAGACUAAUUAUCAAUCCUUUUUAUGCAGCAGGAGAGCAUCUUUCUCUCCAACUUUCCCACUCAGAUUGCCAUCGACAAAGGGCGGAGUCACACUGAAACAAACGAAGGGAUGCACCCUUUAAUAAUGGGGCGUUCUCCCGCGGUGCUUGCCACGACGAUUCUUUUUAGUAUGCUUGCAUUCUAUCUUGUCAAGAAGAAGAGAGCAUCCACACCUUCGAAAAACUCUCCAACACUCGAAGGAAUACGUAACGAUAAUUAUGAUGUGUUCUUGAGCUUUAACGGGUCAGAUACCCGCAAGGGAUUCACCGAUCACCUCUAUCACAGUCUAAUCAGGGUAGGGAUUGCACCAGUUUCUGUGUUCAAGGAUGAUAAGAGCAUCCAAAUUGGUGAGGAAUUCGGUCCACAAAUUCUCGAUGCCAUCGCUCGGUCUAAGAUUUCGAUUCUCAUCAUCUCCGAAAAUUAUGCUUCAAGCAAAUGGUGCCUCCUCGAGCUUAUUCAUAUCAUGGAUCGUGUGAAGAGCCCAUCACACACAGUUUUGCCCAUCUUUUAUAAAGUGGACCCAUCGCAUGUGGGGAAUCUAAAGGGAAACUUUGGUAAGAAGGCCUCUCAUACAUGUAAGAAGUAUAAGAAGUGUUUUAAUGAGGAGAACAUCCAGAAAUUGCGGAAAGCACUCGAAGACGUGAGUCAUUUACAAGGAUGGGAGUCUCAAAAAGUUGCUGACGGGUACUUUGCUUCUACCUAAACUUCUCUUUUUUGAUAAGUAAGUUUUUGGAGAAAUUACCAAAAAAAAAAUAUUAAACCUAUUAUAACAGUGAUAAUUUAGUUCUAGAAUUUUUUAUUUAGUCAUUUUAAUCAUAAAGCUUUUGAAAAUCUACCAAUAUAGUCCUUCUGGCUGAUUUUAGCUAGAAAUCCCUUCUUUCUCUCCGGCUGCCGACCUCCUUGAUGGCCGGCAACAGGCCACAUACUAGGGUUAGUGAGGCUCGCCCUCCCUGUCAAGGGCCAACCUCGCCGGAAUCUGGUCCUUCUAAAGAGGUCAGGCCAACACAAACUAAUAACCCUAAAAAAAGGAAGGAAGAACAUCAGAAAUCGGGAAUCCAGAAACGCAAUCAUUCGAGAACACGAUUAUAUUUGCAGAAUUAAUGGGGAUGUCGCAAGCGAAGUGGUUGAGGGGGAGCCACUGUCCUUUUCUUCCGCAGAUUCACUUCCUUCUUCGCCUUCGACUCCACUCCACCUACCAAAAAUGGGGGACGAAAAUGGAAUCACCACUUCGUCGCUGCCGUCGUCAUCUCGCUCUUCUUUGUCUCUGUCUUCGUCGUCAAAGUAACAGUCCCUCUGCUCCGCUGCCUCCACCGGCCCCACCUGCGCCGUCCAGUCGAAGUUCGCCAGCACGUUCUGGCUGCUGACGAACCUCCUCAUCUGACCCAACGACGGCCCUCUCUUAUUGGAAAAACUCUCGGUCUCCCUCCUUGCGAUUCUCUAUAGGACCACUAGAAGGACCAGAUUCUGGCGAGGUCAGCCCUCAUAAUGAGGCAGCCCUCGUCUAUGGCCGGUGACCGUAGAGAAAAAAAAAAAAAAAAAAAAAACAAAACAAAAAAUAUAAAUAAAUUAAAUCAAGUUCAGAAAAAAUAAUAAAAAAUAAUAAAAAUUCGCCAUAUCAAUACUAGGGGUAUACAUAGAUUUCUAGUCAAAAUUGAUUGGAUAGAUUGUAUUUGCAUAUUUUCAAAAUGUUUAGGAUUAAAUUAACCAUAAAAAAAUUAAAACUGAACAGAUAUAAUUAUAAUAAAUUUAGGACUUUUUUAGUAAUUAUCCCGUAAAUUUUCUUGUUCAUGCGAAACAGAUGAAUUGCGGUUGUCUCCAACAGAGCAAAAAUCAAAGAAAUGACUACCCCUCCAGCCAAUAGUGUCAAUCACCAAACAAUAUGCUUAGAAAGGACUCGAAUGCUCAGUAUUUCAAAGCUUUAUCACCGCCAGAUAAAAUAUACCUCCUCAUGUGAAUGGAAGUUGGCUCUGGUGAAAAGGAUCAGACACUUCACAUUUACCAUGUCUAGGUUUGAUUUCCACUGUCAGUAGACCCCAUUGGUAGCGAUUUGUAAAUCAACUAUAAGUCCUCAAUUUUGGCAUGUGAGAUGCCCUGGCCUUAGAGCGGAGUAACCUACUUUUCUCCUAAACUUCUUUAAUUAAAACAAAAUUGGCCUCCUAUGAUUUAACUAGCAUCAAUCUUAAGCCUUGUAACAAACAUUACACUUCUAAAGACUCUUAACGAGCCACGCGCACCGUCUUAUUUUCUUUCAACAAGAUCCAUCUAGCAAAAGAGAGAAGACAAAAUGAAAUGACCGCUGGCCACCAUACCCCAUUGUUAUUUGUAAAACCAAAAUAUCUUGCAUGUUAAUUGGUCCCAUCCAUUCUUCACAUGCCUGUCGGUGCCUUUUGAUGAGUUUAAGUAUAAUCAUGAAAUUAUCAACGAGUUUUUUUGUUGGACAGGCAUGAAGGAGAAUUAGUGAAAAUAGUUAUCGAAAAUGUUCUGAGCAAGUUGCAACAAGAUUUUCAGCUUGAUGUUACUGAGCACUUAAUUGGAAUUGAUGAUCAUGUGAAUAGAAUCAUGAAAUGGGUAGACACUCCUACCACUAAUGCUCGAAUGAUUGGAAUCUAUGGCAUGGGUGGGAUUGGAAAAACGACUCUUGCCAAGGUACUCUAUAACCAGCUGUUGAAUGACUUUGUGCAUCGUAGCUUCCUUGCAGAUAUUCGAGAAACAGCUCGCCGCAAUAAAAUUGCUUAUGUACAAAAGCAACUAAUUAAGGAUAUUCUGCAAAUUGACCUUGAAUUUGGGAAUGUUGAUGAUGGAAUUAGUUUGAUCGAAUCUAGAUUCAGAGGAAAAAAGGUUCUCAUUCUUCUGGAUGAUAUAGAUCACGAGGAUCAAUUAAAUGCUUUGGCUAGAGAACAUAAUUGGUUUAUGGCGGGAAGUAUAAUUAUUGUUACAACCAGAUACAAAGCCAUUCUUGAUCGAUCUAAAUUCGCUGUACACGAGUAUGAUUUGAAUGAAUUGGAUCAGGAGCAUGCUUUGCUUUUGUUUAAUAGACAUGCUUUUGGUACGGACUAUUCUCUGAGGGACUUUGAGGGUAUAUCUGGUGAUAUCGUAUCCACCAUGGGUGGGCUUCCCUUGGCAGUUAAGGUUGUAGGUUCAUAUUUGAAUAAAGAAAUGAAUCGAGAAGUAUGGGAAGAGGUGCUGGAUAAGUUAAAAACCCAACCACAUGAAGACGUCCAAAAAACAUUGCGAAUAAGUUUUGAUGCAUUAGAAGACGGACCUAAGCAGAUUUUUCUCGAUAUUGUUUGUUUCUUUAUUGGCGAAAUGAGUAAAUACGCCAUGUACAUGUGGAAGGACUGUGGGUUUUAUCCAAUUCAAGGUAUUAAAGAGUUGAAGUUGAGGUGCUUAAUUAAAAUUGGAGAUGGUGGUACAUUUAAGGUGCAUGAUCAAUUGAGAGAUCUUGGAAGGAGCAUUUUUUGCGAAGGACAACCGCUUGACAAACGUAGCGGACCAUGGGACGACGACUACAAGGGAGUCCCAAAAGUACUAAGAAUCUUUGUACAGGUAAAAUAUGGCACUACCUUCUUUUUCUUUCCCUCUUAUUUUAAUAUAUUUAAUCUUAUCUAUUCUAAUAUUUCAUCUAGGAUGAACAUAUGCUCUUACUUUUUAGGAUAAAAAGAUCUAUGUAAACAUCCAUUUAUGUCCAUCUUAGAUUAUUUGUGACAACUAAAUGGAUUAUAAGUAUUUAAAGGAUGAAAAAGUUAUACCAUUUGAUUCGAUUUCAUUGAUAUAAAUUACAUCUGUAAAGAUUUGCUUGACAAUCAAUUUAAGAUCCUUUAGUUAUAAUUUUGCUCUAUAAAACUCAUUUACUAAAAGCAUGCCAUUGUCAUAUCUAGUUGAAAAUAUUGAUAAUCUGAAGGAAUACAAGAACAAAUGUAGAUGAAGUAUAAAUAUCAUAGAUCAAAUAAAUGAAGAUUUCUGGUUUAAAAAAAAAAGAAAAAAAAGAUAGUAUGUGCCGAUUACAAUAACUGAUAAUUAAUUCAAAACAAUAAGAUUCGAAAAAAUCUCACACUUUUGACAUGUGCUUACUUUCUAGUAUGGUGGAAUGUACUAGGGGGCUCUUGUGAUUCGGGAAUCCAAUGUUUGAUAUUAUUUUCUCCAUUUUGAUUUUGAAGAUAUCGGUCCCUCUAUUAGUUAUAUCUAUCUCUUUACAUCCUUAUUUCCUCUUAAUAGAUAAGAUAGCAAAAAUCCCCUUAAAAAUAUUUUUAGGAAGAUCUUACUGUUUUCAAAAGUUUUAUCUCGUUGACCUUGCUCAUUUUAUGGAUUAGGUUAGGUGUAUGAUAAAGAGUGGAUUUUCUUGUAACAAACAUUUCUAUCCGUUAUAAGUUGUUUUAUAUUAUUUAUAUUGUUGGGGACAAUGCCUCUUUCAUGCCAGAAACGUCUAGACUGACUUGACUAUUUAUAAAAUAAAUAAAUAAAAGAAAACUUGACCAAUUAAAGGAAAUGUCAUGCUUAUUAUUAUAUCCAUACCCUUGUCUUCUGAUAUGUGAUUUUCAGCAUGAAGCCAAUUUUUUCAACUAUGUUUUAUCUUUUACUUAAAUUAUCAAUGUUCGUGUCAUUUAUUAUUAUACAUUGUCCAUUUGGGAUGCCUCAUAAGCUCAUGGCUAAUCAAAGGCGAGGAAUUAGCCCUAGCAAUUAACCAAGAGAUGGGCAAACAAAACGGCUUUAUAUUCUUGAUAUAAUUUGAAAUAGUUCGUUCCUAUGAUUCCAUAUCACACUCGUUUGUUGAUCCAAUAACUUCUUAACAUUAGCAAAAGGAGCACACCAUACUGGUGUUUGAAAAAUGACCCAAAAAAAAAAAGUCAAAUCUGUUUUGAAUGGACAAAAGACAAUAAUUAGUGUGGUAAAAAAAUUAAAUGAUUGUACGAUUCGAGAGAUUUUGAUUUAACUUUGGAAAUUGAAAUACUUAUGGUAAUAAUUUUCAAUUGUCUUGACUAUUUCAAAUAUGAUUAUGUCUAUUUUGUUACAUUCUAUUUGUUCAGUUCAUUUUGGUGAAAUAUAUGUGUAUUGUUGUGGAAACUUUUCGCGAAAGCUUGAGUUUGAAACCCUCUUUCCAUAUAAUAGAUUUUUUUAAUGUAAUAUACAGUAUAGAUGAAUGUGCAAGCAAAAAUUAUGAAAGCUAGUAUGGGAUGGUGAUUGCAACAAUUUAGUGACUUUUAUGAUGAACGGACCUAAGAGAAAUUAUACCAUUGCAUUUCUAUGGUUAAUAUUUAAAACAGAGAUAACAACAAACGUGCCAAACCAUAAAAGUGAAUUUCUAACCAAUUAAACUUUUUGGGGGAAAAUAUAGGUAUUAUUAUAAAAGUCAAUCAAAGCCAUGGGGGAAUUUUUUUUCACCAUCUUCAACUCAUUAAAUGAUCUGUUUUAGCAGGAAAGUUAAAGAAUAUGUUUUUUGAUUUAUAAGAUGGAAAAAGAAACGAUGCCAUUCUUAUGGAAACGGACAUAUGAUGAUUAAACAAUGUCAUCGCGUCACUUUUUAGUUAAUCGGUUCAUGUUUUAGCUAUUCUGAAAGCGACUUAUUUUUUUCAAUCCCUAUUACAACUACUAACCAAUGUCAACACGUCACUUUUUAAACAUACUUUACCGCAUAAAAAAAAACAUUUCAAUUUUCAAAGAAAUGAGUAAACACUUAACACAAAUAGUUAAUGAUGUUAAAGAUAGUUAUAUAUCUUCUAGAGAUAUUUAGUAUAUUUAUUUUGAUUUUGCAUAUCAGAUUUGAUUUCUUUUUAUUUCCCUCCAUGUAAUCUUCUUUAUAUAUUGAAAUAUAUUAAAAAUUUCCUUUUUUUUCUACAUUUAACUAAUGAAAUGAAAACCGGGUGCUUCCUUAGCUACUUACAAGUGGCCCAUUGGCACUUUUUAACAUAUUCUUUAGAGAAAUUAUAGAGAAGUCAUAUGAAAAUUUACAAUUAAACAUUUGUACGUUGUAAAAUGGUUCCAUGUAUUUCAUCUUAAAUAAAAGUCAAAGUGCACGCGCUACAAAAUUUGAAAAAAGAAGAAGCAAGAGACAAAACAUUGAGGUGCAUUUUGCCUUAGUUUAAAGCAAUAACUUUUUUUUUUUCUUUAUCUUUGUGUCAUUAGCUUAAUUUUCGAAAGGUCGUCAUAAAAAGAAUUAUAUGUGAGUUUAUGUGUCCGUAUCUUUAUUGGGGAAGGAUAAAAAGGCAUCAACUCGUGCAAAUCCGAGAUUUUUAAAAAGCAAAAAACUAAAAAGUUAAAAAACUUGCAGAGACUCCCCUUGGUAGAAAACUUGCAGUUGCAGAGAUACUUUUCGUUCCACGACUUUUUUGGGGCAACUUCAACCAGACGCGUCGAGCAACUUUCCGAAGUGAGAUGGCUUCAGUGUAAUGAUCGUGGAAGGAAUGCAUCUCUUUCGACGAUCAAUUUGCAUCUGCCGAACUUAUCGGUGUUGUGGUUAUCUAACAUCAAGAUUACAGAGGAUUGGGAAGGAUGGAGUUCAUUUAGGGUAAGAUUGGGAAAAAUACAUCCUCUCUGCGAUUUUAGGGUUUUGUUUUUGUUUAGCCGAUUAACUCCUUCUCUGAUAGCUUAUUCUCCUUUUACAUCAGCUGUCAAAGCGGCUACAAGUUCUCGAUCUUUAUGGGCUUUCUAAUUUAAGAUGUACUCCAGAUUUCUCGGCUUUCACACAGUUGAAGAUUCUCAAAUUGUCCACUUGUGGCAGAUUGGAGCAUCUCCACCCGUCUAUUGGCAAACUCACGAGCCUCGUUACCCUGAAUUUGUCUUACUGUGAAAAUCUCAAGGACCUGCCAGAGGAAAUGGGCGAAUUAAAAGAUUUAGAAGAACUUAUAUUAACAAGGACUGAUAUUAUAGAGAUUCCUACAUCUAUUGGUAAGCUGAAGAAACUGGAUGCCUCCAAGUGUCAGUCCCUGAGAAAAAUCCCUAGCUCAAUUGGGGAUUUACAGAAUUUGCAACAUCUGGACUUGUUUUCUUCUGCGAUUGAAAAACUUCCCAGUGCUAUUGGAAGGUUGAAAAAUCUGCGGACUCUAUUUCUCUUAUGGUGCCCUAGUCUGAAAGGGGCAAUUCCAAGUGAAAUUGGUGACUUGUCUUCCCUCGAGUAUCUCAAUCUCGAAGGCUCACCGAUAUCUGACCUGCCAGAAAGUGUCCGGAAUCUUUCUUCUCUCCGACGCCUUGAACUAGUGGGCUGUAAGGAGCUCCAGUCGUUGCCAGAGCUUCACUCGGGCUUAACUACGCUGUCGAUCUCUUGUCAGAGUCCCAGAAGGUUGCCACAGCUUUCUAGCCUAAUCCACCUAGAAGAACUCCAUCUUAAGGCAUGUCCUCUACUUGAAUCCAUCCCCGAGCUUUCCUCGAGACUCUCGAAACUCUGUGUUGAGGAGUGUGAUAAGCUGAUAUUACUCAAUCUCGAUGGAUGCACGUAUUUGGAAGGGUUUACAAUAAGAGAGUGCGGUUCCAUUGAAAGAUUGGACCUUUCAGGAUUGGUUCGUCUGAAAGGAUUGCAUGCUAAGGGUUGCAAAAACCUAGUAGAAAUUCAGAGCUAUGAUAAUUUGGAGUCUUUACAGGUCAUAUUUAUAUAUGACUGUGUUUCCAUUAAAAGGCUUCUCUGUCCAGAAUCACAGCGUUUGAAGAAAUUAGUGGUUGUCUGCUGCGACAAUAUGGUCGAAAUUCAAGGUCUUGACGGUGCAAAGUUCUUAGAAGAGUUGAAUUUUACAAAAUGCAGUUCAAUGGAGGCUUUGCCAAAUUUGACGGGAUGUGAGAAGUUACAAUCUCUAAUAGUUCGAGACUGCAAGAAACUUACUCAACUUCGGGGACUUGAAAAGUUGGAUUUAAUUGAUUUGGAUAGUUCUGGUUGUGACUCAUUGGAAGCAUUACUGAAAUUAUCUGGAACGCGCAUCUUAAGAAAUUAUGAUGAAGACCUGGAUUUUGACUCAAUGAGUGAAGUUUUCCUAUAUAAUGUAAAUAAGCAGUGAACAAUCAUUUUUCUUAUCAGAUUCAUGACCUACUUUUCAUAUUUUCUUUUGACAAGAAGGUUUUCCAUGGCAGGGUUGGGGAACUUUCUAAAUUGCUAGUCUUACACAAUUGAAGGAUUGGGGGAGUCGGUCAAAAGAUGACAUGAUGCAUCAGCCAAGAUCAAAAUGUAGCCCCAAAUGUCAAUAGAAGGCAUAGUAAGAUUCUUCAUCCUUGAAUCGCCAGUGUGAGCAAAAAGAGAAAUUUUUAGAAUGAUUUGCUCUACACUGGGUAUCUAUUUGAUUGAUUUUGGAAACUCCAGAUUUGCCUCUGUAUAAUUGUUGUUGAUUAUGUUAUAGCAAUGUUUUUCGUUUAUUCUUCCAUUGCCAGCUUUUGUAGAUUGCAAACAUAUAGCGGCUUGCGAGGCAAGAAUGAAAAUAUCAAUAAAGGUAAACAGGAAUUACCUUGUAAUUAACAGUUCCCUUAUCGGUAAACUCAGGAUUUGAAAUUUUCAUCUAGAGGCUGAUGAACUUCUACUACUCGUUAUUGUAUACUACGCCUAGAGUUUCCCAACAUCCAAUGUUCAUAUUUUCUUUGAAAGUUCUUUUGUAUGUCAAAUUUGAUUAAUGGGAGAUAUCCUGUUCGCCUUUGGAUUUUCCGUAAUGAACGAAACCCCCGUCAAGUUUCUUAUUGUUCCAUUGAUGUCCCUCAAUAAUCUUCUAAGAAGAGCAUCGCUUCUCGGAAUAUGAUCAACUGAGCCAAAAUAAAAUUCAAGGUUCAAGUGUUUCUGUUUGGUGACAAAGAAAAUGUUAAAAGUUGUUUUGGCUAGUCUGUCAUAUAUGAAUGUAGAAAAUUUUUUCCCGUCUGUGAAACAAGCUGGGACGAGGGGCUCAAGAAUUGGCUAAUUGGUUUGCAUCACGUUUGAUCCUAUUGCUGCCAUGGAAUUGUUUUAUCACGACUGAUUUGGGUGUGGCUAACUUGGCUGAGGAACUUCAAAUUCCAUACUUGCGACCAAUCAAAAUGAAGAAAAGGGAUUUUGUGGAGGAAGCAUCAGCAACAGCUGAGGACCAUCUUGUGUGCCAACCUUGAAGACGUUCUAGGGCCAACUGGAGUGUCCGAAAGAAGUUUUGAUUUGUGUGAAUGUUCAAACAUGUGAUCUUGUCUCAACAACACAUGCCUGAACAAUUGUAAAUGUACCUUUUAAAAUUAAAUAGGCUUUCUAUAUGCUCAUUAGGUUCACCUCUCCGUUAAUCAAACAUAGCUUCUAACCUUUUAUAUGUUAACCUGAUGCAGAGUUGCUUGAUACAGUUGCAUUCUAAUGAUAUCACUCCUGAACUCGAUGAGGCUUUGAAAGGGGAGGUAUGCACUGCUAGUCGUACCGUGAAAGACCAAAUUGUGUGCUUAUUCUCUAUGAGCUGUGGAAUUUCACUUGAAAUUAGGACACAAGUAUGCAUGAUGACAAUCUCCUCACUUCUGUCAGUUUAUUAGUGUGAUAAUAUCCUCUAAAUGUUCUCAAAUAGGUUUCUGAUUUGAUAGGCUCAGCUCUCAUGUAUGUGGCAUUGGAUUUGUUCCUCGCAAAUUAUCCUGUAUUGCCGAUUUUGCUAAUUGGAUUCGGCAAAAUAACCAAGUAGCAAAUACAUCUUUCUAUUCUAUAGUUUAGGGAAUUCACCUUUUCAGCAUAAUUUUAUUAACUUCAAUUCCGUUCCUAAACACAAACAGGGAAAGUGUUGUUAAUUGCUUACUUCUUUUGAGCCUAUUGGUUUCUUUUUCAUCGGCCAGCUAAUGAAGUCUCUGUUCAUUGUCGUCUAACUGCAAUUUGGUGUCAAUGAUGUUUACACAAUUGUACUUUAUCUCUCAUGGGGUAAAUUGUGAUGCUAGGAUCUCAGAUAUCUUCAUUUAUUGAUAACUAGUCAGUGCUAUCUUCCUUGUGUAGAUUGAAGCUGCAUUUCAUGAAACUCGGAGAAAGUCCCAAAACACUGCAGGGAUGAGCUAUGUCAUUAUGGAAAGGCAUUCCGAAGUUCCUUGCUAAUGGCGUUUAUCAUGUGCUCUGUGUUGUUAAUACUCUCCAAAGGAUUCUUGAUACAAAGCAAACUCUUCUCAUGUGGUGUUUUAGUCCUUUGCAAGCUUUGGCAUCGUCCAGUUUUUUGGCAAAGAUUGAAUCACAAAUCACUUUCGGGAAGAUUGCAUGUGCAGGUGGUUCUAUAUGUGAAGUCAAGUAUAAAAUGAGAUUUGUUAACAUGAUUACUAGUUCUAACUUGGCUGAGGAACUUCAAAUUCCAUACCUGAGACCAAUCAAAAUGAAGAAAGGGGAUUUUGUGGGGGAAGCAUCAACAACAGCCGAGGACCAUCUUUUGUGCCAACCUUGAAGACACUCUAGGGCCAACUGGAGUGUCCUGAGGAAGUUUUGAUGCUUGUGAAUAUUCGAUCACUUGAUCAUGUCUCAACAGUACAUACCUGAACGAUUGUAAAUGUAUUUUUUAAAAUAAAAUAUGGUUUCUGUAUGCUCAUUAGGUUCUAUCUCUUUGUUAAUCAAACACGUAGCUGCUGACUUUUUGUAUGUUACUCUGAUGCAAAGUUGUUUGAUACAGUUGCAUUCUAAAUAUAUCACCCUUGAACCCGCUGAGGCUCUGAAGGGAGAGGUAUGUACUGCUAGUUGUACCAUGAAAGACUAACUUAUGUGCUUUGACUAUAUGAGCUGUGGAAUUUCACCUGAAAUUAGUACGCAAGUAUGCAUGAUGACAAUCUCCUCCAUUUCUAUCAGGUUAUUAGUGUGAUAAUAUCUUGUAAAUGUUCUCAUAUAGGUUUUUGAUUUGAUAGGCUCAGCUCUCAUGUAUGCGGCAUUGGAUUUGUAAAGUUGAAAUUGUAUUGCUGAUUUUGCUAAGAGGAUAUUACGAAAUACCCAAGUAACAAAUACAUCUUUCUGUCAUGUGGUUUAGUUACUCACACCUUUUCAGCAUCAUUCUGUUAGCAUCAAUUUUGUUCCUAAAUACAAACAAGGGAAGUAUUGCUAAUUGCUUACUUCUCCAAGUCUGUUGUUUUCUAUUUCAUCGGCCAGCUAAUGAAGCGUCUGUUUUUUGUGGUCCAAUCGGUGGAAAUGAUGUUUAUGCAUUUGUGCCUUAUCUUUGAUGGGGUAAAUUGUGAUGCUACGUAUCUUGGUUUUUUUCAUUACUGAUGAUUAUAGUUAGUGCUAUUCCUCUGGUGUAGAUUCAAGCUGUAAUUCAUGAAACUCGGAGAAAGUCCCCAAACACCAUGGGAUGGAGAUGUGAGCAAGAAUGAGCUUUGUCAUUAUGGAAAGUCAUCCCGAAGUUAUUUACUGUUGGCGUUUGUGUUGUUAGUACUCUUCAAAGGAUUCUAGAUGUGAAGCGACCUCUUCUCAUAUGGUUCAUUAGGCCUUGGCGAGCCUUGACAUCAUGCUAUUCUUUAGAAAAGGCCGAAUCACAAAUUGCUUGCUGGAAGAAAGCAUUUGCAGGUUAAGCAUAACAUGAGAUUUGCUAACAAGAUUACUGGUUAGAUGUCCACUUCAAGCUAUAAUUUUGUGGCGGAGAGAUUAAAAGCGAAUGCCAUGGAAUUAGCAAAUAAUUUGUCAAUUGCAGGCAAGAGUUUCAAUGAUAAUGUUUCCAAGAAGACAAUAGUUUUCUCAUUUGAAAGAAUUUUGAACACAAAAUAAAGCACUCGUCAGUGUAAAAUCAUCUUUCAAGUCUGGUUACAUUGAAAAAUCAUAUGUAGGUAUUUUGCAAUUAUUUUGAUCGUAUAAUCUGAAACUUGAUUUAUUUAAGCAUGAAUCUAAAAGCGGAAUUUUUUUUCUUACCAAAAAAAAAAAAAACUAAAAGCGGAAGAGCCACAUCCAUGCACAUUUUCAUAUCUGAAACCUAUUUUUCUCUGGCGUAGACUACGAUUGAAGACUAUUGAAAAAUGUGGGAAAUUUUUGGAAGGGUGAAAAGGGCCAUUUUCAAAAUUUACUCAUUUGGUUUGAACAAAAAAAAUUUAAAAGGGUCAUCUUAUUGGUUAAUAAUCAGACUCUCCUACACCAAAUUGUGUUAACCAGUCACGCAUUGAACCCCUAAUCGAAGCAAUUUCUUUGAGGUUACUCUUUGAUAUUCCUGUACCCUUGUACUAGAUGACAAUGGUGGAAUUUUAGUAGUUGAAAGGCUGAAAGCUCCUGGGAAGGUACUCUGUCUAUUUCGCUGCUUGUCUACUUGAACUUAUACUCAAUUUUUCCAGAGCUCAAUACAAGGCCAAGUAGCUUGUAAGGGCAAGUAGCUUUCUAAGCCAAGUUCGAAUCUAUAAUUACUAACACAAAUAUAGUGUGGGUCGUGUUGAAAUACUUGUUAAACAUACUUAAUGUGAAAUAAUUAAAUUUUCAGAAUAUUGAUUGAACAUUUCACAAGAAAAAUCACAAGUCGAUGUAUUGAGUCUACACUUUAUUUACUAAGUUGCUUAACCAGUGUCUAAGCCAUUAUUCCAAAGGGCAAUGGCUAUGUGUUUUGACUACUUUUAGAAUAUUAGUCACAACCUUAUCGGCUGAAUUGAUUUAAAAUUUGAAAACUGUGAAUCGACUAGAUAACUAGAUGAGGGUGUUAAACCCGGUGAACUGGUUCGGUUCUGCUCCUUCGAUUUCAUGCCAAAGAUUUGCUUUGACCUUGUUUUUGAAAGUUCCAUAACAUUUUACAUCAAGAUCCUAUAAAUUACGACCAUUUGAACAAUAACUACGCAAGUUUUGAUAGAAUUAAAGAGGGUUCCCUUUGGGCUUUUCAAUGUUCCACAUUUUUGUAACUCCAGUCUCAAUGGGACGGCAUUCGAAAUAUGAAAAAUUGUCCUCAAAUCAAAAUGGAACCAUCGAAAGCCUUUCGUUUUGUUUAGCGCAUGUCAUUUUAGAAUAUCUACUUUAGGAAUAUAUGUUGCCAUAUGAUGAAUCAUACAACAAAGAGGAAUUGAACCAGACAAAUUGAGGAAAUAAGGGGGUUAAAGAACCCCAGAAACAAGGCGUAGACAACAUUCGGCCAAAACAAAAUCGUACCCAACAAAAUCGACCACAAAAUAGAUGGUAAUGUCAAUCCUACAAAUACAAGUAUCCAUCUGGUUUUGCAAUCAGCAUCACAUUUCUUAGGAAAAGAUCUUACAGAAAAGAGGAGAAUUGAACAAAUCAGACAAUUCUACUUUGCAUGGGCAUGGAUGCAGAAUCCUGUUACAAAUGUAUUAGAAGGUAAGAAAAUUCAAAAAAGAAAAAGAAAAAUCGGUAAAUAUAAAUAUAUAUUACUAUCACGUACGAGUCAUCUCAUUUGCCUAUGUUUUGAAUGCUGGAGAUCGAUGAAUGAAACAACGAGUCAGAAGAACAUAAUAUCGGAGAGAUUGAACAUUUGCGGCACCCUUUCGAAUAUUUGAUUACCAUUAGAUACAUAUAAAGAUGAAGACCCACAGAGCACAGCAAAUCUCUCUGUUUCUCACCCUUUUUCUCUCUUCAUGACGAUGGACACCGUAUUCCUUAAUUUCUGCUAAUUAGAAUCGACGUGCGAAGGUCGAGCAUUUGCGCUUCAACCAUCGGAACCCUUGUUUGAAAGAAGCCUUGAACUUGCCUUCGACCGAAUAAAGCUUGUACCUGGCCACCCUCCUCUUCCUCUUCUUCUCUGGAUCAUUCCACCACGAUGCUUUUAUCGCCGACUCCUUGACGUUGUCUAGUCUGUGCGGGGGCGAAGCGUGUUCGAGCAUGCGAGGCCGGGAUUUGGCUACGUACAUCUGGUUUUGGUUAAGAGUUUGAAUCGUCAUGAUCUCUAGACUCCGGCCAACCCCAUGGGAUCUGUAGCUCGGCGACCACGGGUCCAUCUCUGUCCUCAAUAUCUCCCCUCUCUCUCUCUCCCGGCCUCGGCCUCUCCCCUUUCUCGGAUGGGAAGGAUUUUUUUUUUGGAGGAUUUUUUUUUCUCUCUUGAUGACCAUGAACACGUCUACUGGUUCUCUGAGGAAGUUGAAGAAAUCGAGUGCUUAUGGUUGUGAGUCUCUGAGAGAAAUCCCUAGCUUGAUUGUGGAUUUACCGAAUUUGCAACAUCUUCACUUGAGUCAUUCUGCGAUUGAAAAGCUUCCUAGUGCUAUUGGAAGGUUGAAAAAUCUGCAGACUCUACAUCUCUCAUCGUGCUGUAAAGUGAAAUCGGUGACUUGCCUUCCCUCGAGAUUUUCAAUAGAAAAGUGCAGUUCCUUUGAAAGAUUGGACCUUAGACAAUUGAUUCGUCUGGGCAGAAGAACAGCACAAGUGCCAUAACUUGGCACGCCGGGACACUUAAGUGCCAUAACUUCCAAACGGUACACUUAAGUGCCACUUUUUUUUUCGAGUGGGACACUUAAGUGCCACCUCCGGCGACCCUUGCCGGAAAUCCUACGUGGCAAUAUUUUAUUAUUAUUUUUUGCCUACGUGGCUCGCCGGAGCUCCAAAUCAGCAUAAAAAUUAACAAAAAAAUUUUUUAAAAAAGAAAAUUUUAAAAAUUUUAAUUUUAAAAAUUUUUAAAAUUUAAAAAAAAUAGAAAUUUAAAAAUUUAGAUUUAGAAUUAAAAAAAAAAANNNNNNNNNNNNNNNNNNNNNNNNNNNNNNNNNNNNNNNNNNNNNNNNNNNNNNNNNNNNNNNNNNNNNNNNNNNNNNNNNNNNNNNNNNNNNNNNNNNNNNNNNNNNNNNNNNNNNNNNNNNNNNNNNNNNNNNNNNNNNNNNNNNNNNNNNNNNNNNNNNNNNNNNNNNNNNNNNNNNNNNNNNNNNNNNNNNNNNNNNNNNNNNNNNNNNNNNNNNNNNNNNNNNNNNNNNNNNNNNNNNNNNNNNNNNNNNNNNNNNNNNNNNNNNNNNNNNNNNNNNNNNNNNNNNNNNNNNNNNNNNNNNNNNNNNNNNNNNNNNNNNNNNNNNNNNNNNNNNNNNNNNNNNNNNNNNNNNNNNNNNNNNNNNNNNNNNNNNNNNNNNNNNNNNNNNNNNNNNNNNNNNNNNNNNNNNNNNNNNNNNNNNNNNNNNNNNNNNNNNNNNNNNNNNNNNNNNNNNNNNNNNNNNNNNNNNNNNNNNNNNNNNNNNNNNNNNNNNNNNNNNNNNNNNNNNNNNNNNNNNNNNNNNNNNNNNNNNNNNNNNNNNNNNNNNNNNNNNNNNNNNNNNNNNNNNNNNNNNNUCCACUUGAUGCGUCGCCCCAGAUCUGGGCGAGGGCUCGCGGGCCCUCGCCGCCGGUCGGCCGGCCCCUGGCCAGGGCCCGGCGACCCCGGCCGACCCUCCCCCCUCCGUCGCCAGCCCUUCCCGGCGACGGCGGGGAGGCGGCGACGGCGGGGAGGCGGCGGCAGCGAGGGCUCAGCCCUCAGCCGCCCGUUCGACCUCCCCCACCCUUUUUUUUUUAAUUUUUCAUUUUCUUAAUUUUUUAAAAUUUUUAAAUUUUUCUUAAUUUUUUAAAUUUUUUGAAUACUUUAUAAUUUAAUUAAUUUUUAUAUUAUUAUUUACACGUAGGCACAAAACGGCGUCGUUUUUGCGUUUUCUCUGCCACGUCAGCGUGCAAAACGACGCCGUUUUGGACUAAACUCGCCGGAAAAUUGCCACGUCAGCCAUUUGGCCGGAUUUUCGCCGGAGUGGCACUUAAGUGUCCCAUUUUACUCCGAUGAUGGCACUUAAGUGUACCAUUUUAAAGUUAUGGCACUUAAGUGUCCCGGCGUGCCAAGUUAUGGCACUCCAGGUGUCCUCACCUCAUUCGUCUGAAAUGAUUACAUGCUGAGCUUCGUGAUAGCCUAGUUGAAAUUCAGGGCAUGAUAAUUUGGCAUUCUUGGAGGUCAUAUUUAUAUAUGACUGCAAUUCUAUUAAAAAAGGCUUCUCUGUCCAGAAUCAUGGUGUUUGAAGAAAUUAGUGGCUGUCGAGUGCGACAAUCUUACGUCUUCCUAAUGCCGCACAUCACUGCUGUCUGCUUCGAGCUUUAGCUUAUCUCUACUUAGGCUCUUCGUUCUUCGUCCCUUCCUCUGGAUGCUGGUCGAGGUUUGCUGGGCUGUUUUUGUAGUUGUGGCUUUUAUGGUGUGUCCUUUCGGCUGUUAGUUUGGUUGUCUUCUUCUUGUUGCCUUGUGGCUUUCUUCGGCUCCCUUUCACUCUUUAUGCUUGUAGCAUUUAGAGUGUAAGUUUUCGGCGCCGUUUUUGUAAAGUUGACCUCAGCUCUUUAUAUAUUCUUACCUUUACCAAAAAUAUAUAUAUAGUCGAAAUUCAAUGUCUUGACGGUGCGAAGUUCUUAGAAAAGUUGGAUUUUAUAGGAUGCAAAUCAAUGGAGACUUUGCCAAAUUUGAUGUAUGUGAGAAGUUACGAUCCCUAAGAGUUCGAGACUACAAGAAACUUACUCAGUUUCGGGGACUUGAAAAGUUGGAUUUAAUUGAUUUGGAUAUUUCUGGUUGUGACUCAUUGGAAGCAAUACCGAAAUUAUCUAGGAAUGCACAUCUUUAGAAAUUAUGAACAACAUCAGUUUGGAGUUCUCUAUGGAAAUAUUAUCUUGCAGUGAUAUUGAUGUGAGGAAUCUUAUACCCAUAUUACAACAGUGAGACUAGUCCUGUUUCUUCAAUAGAGGUAAACAAGCAUCAUUUUUUUUUUUUUUAUGAGAUUGAUGACCUAGUUUCCAUCACUAUCUCCUUUUGACAAGAAGGUUUUCCAUGACAGGUUUCUGUACUUUCCUAAAUUCCUUGUCUUAGAUAUUUGAAGGAGUGGGGGAGUUGGUCAUAGAAUCUGACAUGAUGCUUCAGCGGAGAUCAAAAUGCAGACCCGAAUGUCAAUAGAAGGUAUAGUAAGAUUCUUCAUCCUUGAAUGGUCAGCAUGAGCAAAUAGAGUAAUACUUUUCUCGAAGCUCUACUUUUUUUUUUUUUAAAAGAAUGAUUUGCUCCACAUUGGGUAUCUAUCUGAUUGAUUUUGGAAACUCCAGAUUUGCCUACAUAUAUUGCCGUUGGUUUCGACAUAGCAAUAUUUUUCAUUUAUUCUUCCAUUGGUAGCUUCUGCAGACUGCAAACAUAUUAGCAGCUUGCGAGGCAAAGAUGAAAAUAUCAAGCAAAGAUGAACAAUUCCCUAGUGAUUUAAUAGUUCCUCUAUCAGUAAACCUGGAUUCGAAAUUUUCGAAUUGAGGCCGAUGAACUUUUGCUACUCAAUAUAGUAAACUAUGCCUAGAAUUUCCCUGUCCAGAAUCAAUAUUUUCUUUGAAAAAAAUCCUUGGCCAUUUUGAGUUACUUUCGUGAGUUCUUUUGUAUCAAAUUUGACUAAUGGCAGAUGUCUUGUUUGGGAUAAACAUAUCAGUUUUCUGUGAUGAAACCCUGUCAAGUUUCUUAUUGUUCUCUUGAUGUCCCUCUUGAAACUUCUAAGAAGAGCAUCAAUUCCUAUUAAGUAUGAUGAACUGAGCUAAAAUAAAACAUAUCAAGUGUUUCUAGUUAGUGAUAAAAAAAAAUGUUGAAGUAGUUUUGGUUAGUCUGUCAUAUAUGAAUGUACACCACCUUAACAUUACUAGUAGUCAAACUAUUGUUUUGAAAGUUUAUCAAGCAAGGUAAAUUGGUGUUGCUUCUAUGACAAGUUUGGUUGGUUUAUGUAACGACCAAGGCUUACUUUGGGACUUCAAUUCAAUCUACUGUGAAACAAGCUGGGAUGAGGAGCUCAAGAAUUUGCUGAUUAGUUUGCAUCCCAUUUGAUCCUAUUAUUGUCAUGGAAUUGCUUUAUCACAUGACUGAUUUGGGCGUGGUUCACUUGGCCAAGGAACUUCAAAUUCCAUACUUGAGACCGAUCAAAAUAAAGAAAAGGGAUUUUGCAGAGGAAGCAUCAGCAACAGCUAAGGACCAUCUUGCGUGGCAAACUUGAAGAGGCUUUGGGGCCAACUAGAGUGUCCUGAGGAAGUUUUGAUGCUUGUGAAGAUCCAAAACACUCAAUCUGAUCUCAACGUCACAUCCCUAAGUGAUUGUAAAUGUAUUUUUUUUCAAUUAAAUAUGCUUUUUGUAUGCUCAUUAGAUUCUAGCUCUCCUUUAAUCAAAUACUAAACUGCUGAUUUUUUGUAUGUUACCGUGAUCCCUGAUGCAGAGUUGUUCAAUGCGGUUGCAGUCUAAUGAUAUCACACUGGAGUUGAUGAGGCUAUGAAGAGGGAGGUAUGCACUGCUAGGCUCCUCCAUUUCUAUCAGUUUAUUUGUGUGAUGAUAUCCUUCGAAUGUUAUCAUAUAGAUUUGACAAGCUCAAUUCUCAUGUAUGUGGCAUUGGAUUUGUAAAGUUGAAAUUGACCUCCUCGCAAACUAUCCCGUAUUGCUAUUGGAUCUUGCAAAAUUACCAAGUAGGAAAUACAUCUUUCUGUUCUGUAGUUUAGGCACUUCACCUUUUCAGCAUAAUUUUAUUAAUUUCAGUUCUGUUCCUAAACACAAAUAGGGAGCUAAUUGCUUACCUCUUUUAGCCUGUUGGUUACUUUUUCAUUGGCCAGCUAAUGAAGUCUCUGUCCAUUGUGGUCCAACUCUAAUUGAUGCCGAUGUUUAUGCAUUUGUACCUUAUCUCUCAUGGGGUAAGUUCUGAUGCUAUGAUCUUGGACAUCUUCAUUUAUUGAUAAUUACUCAGUGCUAUCUUCCUUGUGUAGAUUAAAUCUACAUUUGAUGAAACUUGGAGAAAGUCCCCAAACACCACAGGGUUUAGAUACGGGCAAGAAUAAGCUACGUCAGUAUAGAAAGGCAUUUCGAAGUUCUUUGCUACGUCAGUAUGCUGUUAAUAUUCUUCAAAGGGUUCUUGAUAUAGGGCGACCCCUUCUCAUGUGGUGUAUUAGUUUGCAAGGUUGAAAUCAUGCUAUUCUUUAGCAAAGACUGCAUCACAGAUCACUUGGAGGAAGACUGCAUGUGUAGGUGGCUUUAUAUGUGAAGUCAAGCAUAAAAUGAGAUUUGUUAACAAGAUUACCAUUUAGAUGCCCACUUCAAGCUACAGUUUUAUGAUUGGGAGAGACAUUUUUGGUGGAAAAAGCAAAUGUCGUGGAAUCAGCAAAAAAUCUGUCAAAUGCAGCCAAGAGUUUCAAUGAAAAGGUUUCCAAGAAGAUGGUAGUUUCUUAUUUGGAAGAAUUUUGAACCCAAAAUAAUGGCAUUCUAAAAUCAUCUGUUUGCCCUGGUUACAUCAAAAUUCAUAUGUAGGCAUUUCCAAUCACUUUGGUUGGAUAACCUCAAACUUGAUUUAUUUAAGCAUGAAUAUAAAAGUAGGAGAGACACAGCCAUGCACAUUUUCAUACCUAAAACCAAGUAGAGAGACCAGUUCGUUCUUGAAGAGCAGCAUUACUUCUCCCCUUCGAGAUUCUCUCAUGCGGACGCAUGGAGCUCACGCCACUUGGAGUCGCUCCUCCAUGGUUGUUUGUGGUGAUUCCACUACCAAAACCAAGUCUUGGUGAAUUUGUUCUAGUACAUUUACCUCAGUCUGAUAGGGCACCGGGGUCUGUAGUGAAGUAUUGAGUUGUUUUAUGCAAUGUGUUUUAUCAAAGGUUUGUCUGUGUUGCUAGUGUGGAUGGAGUUUAUGUGGGGUCUAUUUCUUGAAUGAGAAUUGGUGCGAAAUAAAAGAGUUAUUUUGUUCUUCUUUUGAGUUUUUCUUGCAAUAAAAGCUAGCGGCACUGAUUCUCUGACACUAUCUGUAUUUGAGGUUUCUCUUUGAAUGUGGUGUUAAAUGACAAAGAAUGAAUUGGUGGUUCAAGUGAAAAUUGCUAUUUAAGUUGUUUAGACAAGGAAGGAGGUUAUUGGUAGAAGCUAUAAUUUAGUGUGUUUGUUGCAGAGAAGAGAGAAGAGAGCGAAGAAGAACAUAUCAAAGUCGGGAUGGGAGAAGGUGCAUCUCAACGUUCGGUUGGAUCACCAAGUUCAAAUUGGGGAGAUUGUGGCAAUCUUAGGAUCCACAGGAGAUUUGGGAUCGUCGAAGAAGAAUGUGGCAAUGGACUGGACCAAGAGCGGAUGGUACGUGAGUUAGAACUGAAAGGAGGCAAAUCUGUCAAAUUAGAAGAACUUAUAUCAGAUUUUGCUGAUAUUACUGAGAUUCCUAAGUCUAUCGGUUCUUUGAGGAAUCUGGAGAAACUGAGCGCCAGCUGUUGUGUGUCACUCGGAGACAUCCCUAGCUUAAUUUGGGAUUUAUAGAAUUUGCAACAUCUAGACAUUAGUGUUCUUACCCAAAAAAAAAACAUCUAGACAUUAGUGGUGUUGGGAUUGAAAAGCUUCCUAGUGCUACAGUAUCGUUGAAAAAUCUGCGCACUAUAAGUCUCUUAUCAUGCUGUAAUUUGAAAGAGCAAUUCCAAGUGAAAUUGGUGACUUGUCUUUGCCUGAGAUUCUCUAUGUCACUUGAGGAAGUUUUGAUGCUUGUGAGGAUCUAGUACACUUUUUCUAGGCUCAACAGGACAUACUUGAAUGAUUUUGAUGUUGUAUUUUGAGUUGAGUCUGCUUUUUUGUAUGCUCAUGAGGUUCAACCUCUCUGUUAAUCAAAUACGUAGCUACUGAUUUUUUUGGAUGUCACUCUGAUGCAGAGGUGUUUGAUGCCGUUGCAUUCAAAUGUUACUGCUCCUAAACUCGAUAAGGCUCUAAAAAGGGAGGUAUGCACUACUAGUUGUACCAUAACAAUGAAAAAAUAACCUGUGUGCUUAUGCUAUGCGAGCUGUGGAAUUUUACUUGAAAAAUCAGUAUGUAAGUAUGUAUGAGGACAAUCUCCUUCAUCUCUAUCAGUUUUUCGAUGUGAUACUAUCCUCUAUUGCUGAUUUUGCUAACAGGAUAUUGCAAAAUAACCAAGUAAUAAAUUCAUCUUUCUGCUUUGUAGUUUAAGCACUUCACCUUUCAGCAUAUUUUUAUUGACAUCAAUUAUGUUCCUAAACACAAAAAAGGAAAGUGUUGCUCAUUGCUACUUCUCCCAGGCCUGUUGUUUUCGUUUUCAUCAGGCAGCUCAUGAAGUCUCUGCUCAUUGCGGUCCAACUGCAAUUGGUGCAAAUGAUGUUUGUGCAUUUGUACCGUAUCUUUCAUGAUGUAAAUCGUGAUGCUUCGAUCUUAGUUAUCUCUAUUUAUUGAUAAUUAGUAAAUCCUAUCCUUCUUGUGUAGAUUCAAGCUGCAUUUCAUAAAAUUCAGAGAGAAUUCCCAAACAUCACAAGAUGGUGAUGUGGACCGGAAUGAGAUUUGUCAUGAGACGUUAUGGAAAGGCGUUCCAAAGUGCUUCGCUAAAGGUGCUUAUAAUGUGCUUGAUGCUGAUAAUCUUGAUAGGAUUCUUGAUAUAAAGGGACCUCUUCUAAUGUGGUGCAGUAGUCGACUCUUUGCAAGCUUUGACAUCAUGUUAUUAUUUAGCAAAGGUCGAAUUUCAAGAUGCUCGCAGGAAGACUGCAUGUGCAGGUGGUUCUGGAUGUGAAGUUAAGCAUAAAGUCAUGUUUGUCAACAAGAUUACCAUUUAGAUGACCACUUCAAGCUACAAUUCUGGGAAUGUGAGAGACUUCUUUCAUGAAAAAAGCGAAUGUCAUGGGAUCAGCAAAUAAUCUAUCGAUUGCAGGCAAGAUUUUCAGUAACAAGGUUCCUGAAAGACAGUUGUUUCUCAUUCGUAAGAAUUUUGAGCACAAAAUAACAGUGUUUGUUAGUGUACAAUCUGUCACGCCCCGAUCCUCGGACGCGCGCACAUCCUUCUACUUGGUCGAUUUUAUAAUGCGAUAUCCCAGGACUAUGUAUCGCCGACCCUUUAUUUUUAUUAAGCACAUGCGGAAGCAGUUAUAAAUCCCCAGACAAUAAAACAAUGGGAUAGGAAAGUAGGCCAUAUUUUUCAUAUUGAAAUUUACAACCACACUUUCUUUAACAUCACCACUCAUGGUAUAUUUACAAUACUAUUUACAGCAUAAAAGUCUCACACCUAUCUAUACCAAGACAGGGUUCACAAAAAGGGACGGGAUCUCAAUCCACAUCCGGGUUAUACUUAAGAUCCCUCUCUGGAUCAUCUUCUUCCUCAAAAGUCUUUCUCCAUCUUCAGGUUCCUCCUCCUUAGAUUCUCCUCAGGGUCCUGAAAUGGUUAUUCAAUAACCAAUGAGACCACGUCUCAGCGAGUCCUACCCACUAAGACUCGAUUAAUAAACUAAUACACCAUACGGUUGCCUAAGCACAACACGAGUCAGAGGACUUACCUUGGCCUCAGUUUCAGCCUGCAAUUCAAGGUUAAACACAAGCAUUCAAACAAUUCACGACAUCCGAUCAAGCAUUGAUCAAUCGACUAAGUCGAUUACAUGUCAGCCAGACCCUCUCUAGGUCAUUCCCACUCAUACCACGCUUUCCCAGUGGUGUACUCAUUCACCAAAUCACAUGUGUUUCUCGGGCGUCGUUUUCGCCAAUGACAUACCGAUCACCGACACCGUGCGUUCUUUAAGGCGCCGUUUUCACCAGUGAUAACCUUGAUCACCGAACCACGUGUCCUUUCAAGGGCGCCGUUUUCGCCAAGGUGACAUCGGCUAUAGACAACAUCGUGUGUUCUUUAAGGCGCCGUUUUCACCAGUAAUAUUCCCAUAAUCACCGAACCACAUGUGUCUAUAAGUCAUUUACGUGCGUUCUUUAAGGCGCCGUUUUCGCCAGUGAUACUUCCAAUCACCGAACCACGUAUGUCCAAUAAUAUCGUACCUGAUUGGUCUCACCAUUCUUCCUACUAUAUAGCCCAUCAACGUACUGGCGCUAUAUAUCCAUGCUUAGCCAUUACCAAUCAAAUACUCAAUAACAAACAAUUUAGGACAAUUCCUAAAAUUCCACAAUAAAUUCAAUUCCACACAACGUAGAGCUCAAAUAAAUAAACGGUCUGCACCACGACAAUCGGCACGAAAUUCCGGUCACCGGCCAUCCCGGUUGAAUUUCCGGAAAAUAAUUAAUUAAAUAAAUAAAUUUCGAAAAUAAAUAAAUAAACAUUAAAAAUCCAAUUUAGGCCUAUAUUGCCUUAUUGGAGCCCGAAACGGGUCGGGAAAAAUCCCGAGAUACAUUCAAUAAAUAACCAAACAUUUCUACUUGCUAAUAGCUAGGUCUAACCACCUAACAUGCAUUAUUAAGUCACUAAUUUAAUUGUUCUAACCUAAUCUAACCACCUAAGUGCAUGUAAUUAAAUCUAACCAACCCUAAGGCAUAAUUAGCAAAUUAAUAAAGCUUUAGUGAGUAAAACUCACUUGAUAAAAGCGGAGACCGAAUCACCGCAACGGCAACGCUACGGCGGCCGAAAUCGGACUUUCGACAACACCGGCGGGCUUGGGACCGGGCCUUAAGCUUGGCCCAACAAAUCUCAGUCCAAAUGAGAUUUGUUCUUGCACUGGAAUGGGCUGGACCUGCUGAAUUGGGCUUGCGAAAUUCACUUGGGCUUCAAGCUAUGGGCUGGGCUGCAAUUGAUUUGCUGAAAAUUGGGCUUGGCCAAUUAACUCACAUGGACUGGACUGGGCUUGAACUUGGGCCAAACUGAUGCUGAUCACUUGGGCUGGAAUAAAACUAAACUGGGCUGUCUUUGCUGGGCCCAAAAGAAAUUCACUGAGCUUGGAGACUGCUGGACUUGCGGUUGAACUCACGAAGGAGUUGGGCUUCGCUAGCUUCGUUGGACGCUGCUCCGUUAGCAAAUCAAAGGGGCGGGUUGUUGGAGUUGACCGGUGAAUUCCACACGGUUAGAUGAAGAUGAUGAUGCUGUGCGACUUCGGUGAGUGGGGGGGGGGGCAGCGAAAAUGGAGUGGCAGGUUCGGUCUUCAUGGAUGUGUGGAGACGCAAGCUGUUUCGUUUGAGCAGAACACGAACAUGGACGGGUGGCAACGAGCGGCUGGCUUCGGUCAAUCACGGGGGAGCUCGCUGGUUUGGUUGACUGAAGAACCGUGGACCGUUGCGGAGGAGGAGCAGCUUCGCUUGGUGGAGUCUUCGCUGGCUCAACGUGGCAGCAGCUUGGUCAACAGAUUGAAGAGGAGAAGCUUGGAGUUGACUGGCGUGCGCUGGCCGCGUGGGUGCUUGGAGUAGCUUCGUGGACGAUCAAUCUUCAACGAAGCAGAAUAAAAAAAGUUUCGGUGGAGCUGCUGUAGGGGUCUUCGCUGGCGUGAGUGGCCGACCAGCUCGGUGGGAUCGUGGCUUCACUCGGUGGAGUUUCUGUCUUCAAAGCUUCGUGCGGUGAGGAUCUUCAGUCAACGACGGGGCUUCUUCUGGCUUCGCUAUUGACCGAGCGUGAGCUGGCUGAAGACACGAAGCGGUGGAGAAUUCGGCGGAUGCUGAGCUCCUCGGGCAGCUUGGUGGACGCUCGGAAAAAUUUCAAAGGAAGCAGCCGGGUCUUCUUCAAUUGCUGCUGGAAGUGUCGCACGCCAGAGAAAAAUGGAAAGAGGAGAGAAGCAAUUCACGGCAGCAAGAUGGAGAGGAUGAGGAAGAGGUGGGCCUUAGCUUGAUAUUUUGCAAGAAUAUCUCCAUGGAUCACUCUUAGCCAAGUAAAAACACUUGGCCCUCAUUAGACCAUCCAAAUGACUUCCAUAACCUCUCAACUAGUCCAAAAAUGCUAGAGUGAGGGGAUGAUACGAAUUUCACCAUUUGAACUUCAAUGUCUCCAAUAAAUUCCCAAAUUGAGGUCCAAUUUCGACGUAGGAAAAUCCCAAAUGAUUUUCUAUAAAUCCCCGACACACAACGGCUCAACCCGAAAGUCAAAUUUCCCAUUAAUUUAGCCAAUCUGAACUUCGGCCAAACUUCCGCGACGUCCGAAUCCAAUUUCCGUAAAAAUCUCGGGACCUCCGAAAAAUCUUCUGAGACUGAGUCGAUGCUCCUAAAAUUUAUUGUGACAUGGCCAAAACUUCAAUUUCUGAAAUCUGACUCAAAUCGACGGUUAAUUUCACUCCGACGUGCUUUUAGUGUGACCUAGACUACCGGGUAGUUUUCAGAACUUUUUAGGGCAAUUGACUCGUGGUCGAUUUUCUUCGAGCCACAAUGAACCCACUCGACACAUUGGCGACUCUCAAUUGUCGUGAAAAUCUCGAGGGCUCGACUACCAACACAGGGUACCAAAACGACAGAAAAUCAAAUUAGUGUCGGUCGACGAGAAUUUUCCAAUUUAGUGGAGUCACCCACGAUCGGCCACACAUCUCAGUCGAACCGACCUAUCUCUGAUCUCAAUUCGAUCUUUAACUGUGCAGUAGUGACCUCUAAAGAUGAACACGGUCGAGAAGCCGCUUCCUGGUCGAAUUCUCAAGUCUAUUGCCUUAAUAUUCUUUAAUGGCUUACCCAGCUAGUCUAGUUAUCUCGAGAGUGAUCAGCUCUGAGAACAACCCUAUAGACACGUCAAUGAAAUGCCCGAUUAAUUUAAUAGAAAACAAUACUGAAAAUUCUGGAUGUCACACAAUCAGCUCUCGGAUCCAGGGAGUUCAUGUAUUGGCAUUUUGCAAUCACUUUAAUCGUAUAAGCUCAAACUUGAUUCUUUUAAGCAUGAGUCUCAAGACCAAACAAAAAGAAAAAAAGAAAACAUGAGUCUAUAAAGUAGAGUAGACACAGCCAUACAUUUUCAUACCUGAAACAAAAUUUUCUUUGGCGUUGGCUACAGUUGAAGACUGAGAAAAAUGUGAAGAACCUUUGGAAGGGUGAAAGUACCCCCUCAAGAUUUAUACUCAUUUGGUUGGUACUUGGACUCUACUAUGCCAAAUUGUAGUCAUUGGUCGUGCAUUCAAGUUUCAAUCGAAGCAAUUUCUUUGGGGCCACCACUCUCAGAUGUUACUCUUCAUACAAUGGUGGAACUUUGUAGUUAAAAGCUACUCACAAGAUAAUCAUAUAGUCUGAUUCGCUUGCUCUCUACCUACUCACAAGAUAAUCAUAUAGUCUGAUUCGCUCGUUCUCUACCAAAACUUUAACUCAAUCAUGCAUAAUGUGGGCCGCACUAACAAGUUAAAACAUUAGUGAAGUAUACCAAACACAAAAUAAUCUAAUUUUGAGCUUAUUGAUUAUAUAUAACAUGAGAAAAGUUGCAAGUAAAGUCAAUGUAUUGAAUGUAUAAUUUAUAACUUAGCUGCUCAACAAGUGACUAGAUAUUUUAUCCAAAGGGCAGUGGCAUUAUGUUUGACUGCUUAUACGACAUGAGUCAUGACCUUAUUGACCGAAUUAUUUGAAGUUGGAACGUGAAUCGACCAGAUGAUUGGAUGAACAUGUUGAACUGAUUGAACCAUUUGGUUCUAUUCAUGAGUUUCCCCCCUUUUUCUCUUCUACUUUGGUUUCAUGCAGAGGAUUUGCUUUGAGCUUGUUUAUAAUAGUUCCAUCACAUAUUACAUAAAGAUCCUAUUAAUAACAGCCAUUCGAACAAUAACAACGUAGGUUUCGAAAGGACAGGAAAAGUUCUUUGGUUCUCCUCAUUUUUUUUUGGCCCAAGCUUGACGGGAGGGUACUAAAUUAAUGAAAGCCGUCACAAAAAAUCAGAAUGAAACUGUUGAAGGCCUUUCGAUUUAUUUUACAACUGCAAACUGCAUGUCGGACUUUAUAGCUUCUUUAGUUUGCCAUAUGAUGAAUCAUAUAACGCAGAGGAAUCGAAAUAGACAAAUUGAGGAAAUUACAGGGUUAAAAGAACCCCAAAACGGAGACUUAAAAAACAUUUGGCCAAAAGAGAGUUCUAAACAAUGAAACCGACCACGAAGUAGAUCUAAACGUUAAAUCCAACAAACGAAAGUAGUCUUCUUAUUUUGCAUUCAGCAUCAUGUUGUCAAGAAGAGGAGAAAUUAGCAGGACAGAUGAUUUUACUUUGCAUGCGAAUGCAUGCAUGCUUGUAAAAUCAUGUUGCAGAUAAAUCAAAAGGUAAGGAAAUUCGGGGAAAAAAACAAUCCUUUUGGCAAAUACAAAGACAAGACAUAUGGACUAUCACAUAAAAGUUGUCUCAUUUUCCUAUGUCUUGAAUGCUGGAGAUCGAUGAAUGAAACAACAAUUUGAACGGACAUCAUACCAGAAAGAUUGAACAUUGUGACACUCUUUUGGAUACUUAUUUAACAUUAGAUACAUAUUAAAGUGAUAACCCAAUAAACAAAACAAACCCCUCUGUUUCCUCCUGACUGAUUUCAUCCUUUUCUCCCUUAAUGACGAUAAGCAUGAUAUUCAGUAAUUUCUACAUAUUAAAUCGACACACAAAGCUCGAGCAUUUGCGCUUCAACCUUCGAAACCCUUGUUUGAAAGAAGCCUUGAACUUGACUCGACCAAAUAAAGCUUGUAUCUGGCCACCUUCCUCUUCCUCCGCUUCUCCAGGCAUUAUACCACGAUGAUUUUAUCGACUUCUAAAAGAUAAGAAAUAGGCAAAGGCCAGAGUCCAUUUCUACAUACAACAUUAGGUUUGUCUAUUCCCAUUCCAAAGGCAAAUGGUAGCACAUACAGUCUGGGCCUCUCCAGUAUGCCAUUUCUUUUGAACAGCUACUCUUCGAUGGGCUAGUAAUCAAGCAUGAUAGUACACUAUCUUUAUACAGCACUUCUUAUUCAAGUAUCUUGUGAUAUCAACACAUUCACUCUUUGAAAGGCAAUAUGCUAUGCCACAACAAUUUGCAAAACGAUUCUUUAGCAACUCUCCCAGUUGCCUCAUAAUUUAGAUUUAGUUUGUCAAAGCUUGUCUCGAGAACAAGAGCAUGGGGAAGCCCAAGAGUUUGUAGGAUAUCCUCCAAUGGAUGAAUAAUUCAAUCAGAACGAACAUAUUAUUUCAACAUAAUGAGGAGGUUAAUAUAUAAGUUUAGUACCUCACGAACUCACUGAGUGGCAGUUGCGGCUAAGGCCAUCACUAAGUCAUAAGCAAAGUUAGUCUUGAGACAUACCAGUACAUAAUCUGGACAAAAAUCUUGUCCCCACAGACUACAAUAAUGACAACCACGAAAGUGACAAUCAAUAAGCUUUCAAUUAUAAUCAGUCUAAUGUAGAAGAAAAGCUCAAACCAGCAGUACGUUCCUUUCAUGAGAUCAAAUUGGCAGAGCAAAUCCAGUUAAGACCUUGUAAGAAACACAAUCAAUGAUCACAUGGUCAAACCUUUGCCUUUCUCAAGUUGUUAACAUAAAGUAUAAGCAUUAAUAUAAUAAAUAGGGAUACAAGAGCCAGCUUAAGAGACUGAGUAUCCUGCCAAACAUAGAGAGGAGUUUGGAUCCUUAUCCAAGCUUAUGUUGGAUUCAAUUUCUCUAGAAAGUAAUUUCCGUUGGAGCUUAUUUAAGUUGUGUGCUCUUUACUCAAUAUAAUGAACGAUGUGCCACUAUGUAUUCCCAAAUGACAGAACCUAAAUCUUUUCAUCAAACAAGGAACACUACAUUCUGUUAUAUUAGAACUUCACAGGAUUCUGGGCUUCGAAGACAAUUUAAUUAGGCUAGAAAUGCAGAAAAUGUAGAAAAGUUUGGAAAAAGAGUUUACGUUAGCAUAUAUAAAAGUUAACUUGCUUAUAUUUAUCAAGAACAAGGACAACAGUUUUACAGUGAUAACAAUAAAACCAGCUAGUCGUGUUCGUAAUGCACGAUGGUCAAAUAUAAAUUUUUUUAUAAAGAACCAUUUAGAAAAAGUUAUGGUGCAUCAGAAACAAUACCUUUCUAUGCAAGCAUUUCAAUAUCUUGAGAAAAGGUGGGUUUCCCACAAUCCUUUCAGGAGUUACAUACAAUAGCUAGCAUGAUGGUUUAUCUUUUCUGAAAAAGCAGGCAAAGCAGAAGUGGAGAUUAAUAAUUUGACAGUCACAACACUUAGAAUAUAAGUUUUAGAAGUCCAAUAUAGCUAACUCUUGCAUUAGUUAUUGGAGGACAACUGCUGCUUGGGCAGCACUUUUUCGAGAGUUCAAGAAAAUAGAUGGUAUGCCGUACUUGAGGUAUAGAGUAAUUAUUUGAUCUUAAAUGAGAGAUAGCAGGGGAGAUAUAACAACUGUUACACCUGGUUUAAGAGUUGCUGGCAGCUGAAACGAAGGGUAAAAACAUCAGAAGAGCACAUGAAGAAAGGAAGGGACAAGGGAAUUAUUACUUCUUUCACCAUCAGCUGAUCAGGAAGGACCAGUAGUCACUACUUGUCUUCUAAUUACUUUGAGCUAGAAACACAUAUCAACUACUUCAAGACUGAACAUAAAACACUUCUAAAAUUUUUGACUUAAUAAAUCCAGAUUAUGAUCUUACUCCUUAAUUCAGUAAAUCAAAUAUUUUGCAUGCUAUGAAGAUCCAUUGUAUAUUAAAGGACAUUAAUUUCGAACCAAUUAUGGGAAAAAUAAGUGAUAGAUUAUCAACCCUUGUGAGAUAAUGGCAUAGCCAAUAACUGCGAGGAAAUAUAGAAAUCUAGAACCUGUAUUUGGCGGAAGUACUUUAAAAACUUAUUCCUCUUUGACUUAGCAUAACCCAUUUGAAUUGGACCUAAAUUAUGACUGACAAUAACACUUACAUGCAUAAACAAGAUGAAUUUUCCGGUAAGUGAUUAGAAGGUCCUAGAUGCUGCAUUGGUUGAAAUGAAGCAAUCUUGCUUGGCUACAGAAGAUUUACAAGCUUGAUGCUGCAUUGGUUGAAAUGCUUUGUUUCUGAAUAUUACAACAUUUGCCAAUUCUAUGUCAUCCAAGGGUUGCAAUUCCUCAUAACUCAGAGUUCCCUAUUUGCAUGUCGAAAUCUGAGAGUAAUGUCUUUUAUUUGAAACUGACGAUAUCAAACCUUGGGUGACAAUGUUCUUACAGUCCUUCAACACAAAUAAGCCUGUUCAGCACCAUAGAUAGUUUCCAACAUGGAAGUGAUGGAAAAUGAAAAUUGUGCACAAAAAAAUCCCAAGCCUUCAUUUCGCAAAACACUCCUAUUAAAGCCAUCGGAUGCUAAGUCCAACACUUGGAUGAUGUACUAUACUUUCAAAACAAAAAUCAACUGUUUUUAUUGGCCAAACGGUUCUAAUAUAAGUCAUUUUAGAUCUUAAAAGACUGAAGUAACUAGCAAAAGUUAGGAGUGUCUUAUACAUUUGAUCGAAUGAGAGCCCUCAUAAGCAAUUUACUAAAUGCUCUUGUACAGAGAACCCUGUGUAAGGUCCUUUGCUGUAAGCAGAAUUACAAGCAAACUGGAAACGAUCAAGGAAAGACAUUAAUUUUAAGAGCAAAGAACAGUAACACGCUAAUUUAAGGGGUUGGUCAGUUUCAUCCAUGUCAAUGGGAGGACUUGUUUCACAAUGACCAAGAAGGAAUUACAAUAAGAAAUAAAUCAAUUUCUCACUAACCAAAACCCCAAUUGCAAGAGUCAAUCAAAAGCAAGCUAGAUGAGUGGAAAGCGUUUUAAGAGUUUUCUGAAAGGAAACUCUAAACUCUCUUGAUCAAAAACCAAGACAAUCUGUUCUCAAUUCUUCUUAUUAUCCUUCUUGGCCCAAAUAUACCUCAGCAACAAAAAUAUAUAAAAAUAUGAGUUGCAGAAUCAUUGUUAAAAGAAUAAAAACUCAUGAGCCGAGAUCUGCCAACUUUUUGUUAACCUCCUAGACAAUUGGACCAUUGUGGCCAGACUCUUGGGAUUUGCCCAGUAACUAUCGUGGCUUCUUCAGGUGUCCACAGUUGCUUCACUAAACGGCCAACCCUAUACAAUACUCAGACAUUCUUCAAGCUGCGUAUUUGGUCCAUGCAAUUAAACGAGCCAAUCCCAAGCCAAAUCUAGGUCCAUGAAUAAAAAACUCGAGCCAUAAAUUUAACAACUAUCACCCAAUUACGUUUGGGCAUGGGAAAAAACAUGCCAAGCCACCUUGCUUUUCUUUCUUUUUCUUAAUCCUUUCAAACUGGUGGGGGCAGAAGGGAGUGAGACAACUUCAUAGUUUUUAGAAGCAUGCCAUGGAUUCUAAAGAUUGUCUGGCCAGAAGUUGAGUGGAUAAAAGGCUCGGAGUAUUGCUUUGAUCAGGAAUAUAGCAUGUGGGAUUCCUGCUCAUUUUACUGCAAAUAUAUCGUCGUCGUCUGCACUAUCAGUAGAGGAAUCUACCUCAAGGAAAGUUCAAUUUUUCUCAGGUCAUGGAGAAUCUUCUAUAAAAUUGACAUCGUACACAGCAUUGCAUUCACCAUCAUUAUUGAUAUCUUGGCCAAACAUAUCAGUCAAAACUGCAGAAGCCUCUGAUUCCACAGCUUGCAAAUCAUCCCAAUCCUCAAAAUUUUUGCAUGGUUUCAGGAAGUUCUGCUAGGAAGUCAUUGCCCCAGUGCUCAACAGUGAUAAACUCUUGACCUUCCUUGCCUUAAGAAAACCAAAAGAAGAAAGAAAUGAUUUUGCAAGUUCCACAGCAAACAAGAGAUUAAAUAAACAAAAUCCACAAUAUGUAAUUUGCACUUAGUUCAGUGAGACACCAUAUUUAUAUGCAGGCAAGACACCAUAUGUAAAUUUCGCUAGUCAAUAAGACUGCUCCGCAAAACCCACAGAGAAAUGGGGACGAGAUCAAUGAACUAGAUUUAACCAGCUCUCUGGUCCAUUCACAUCCAAAAGGCAGACCAUUCCACAGCCAUCGUCAGAAUGACGACUAACCCCAAUAAAUCUCCGUAUUCACGACUGCACAAUCAAUCGAUUCAUGAAUCAUCCACGCAACACAAUCAAUCGCCAGAAUACCUACACAACCUCCGCAACGCUAAUCAGCAUAAAAAAAAUGGGCGACGAAAUAACGAUUCCAGUUACCGUAGAGGGAAACGAGACUGUCCCAAGCACUUGCUGGCGGACUGCUUGUCGAAGCCGAACUCAAGGGCCAAGCUCAGCAACCCCGAGCUUUCUCUACCUCUUCCAAGCCCCGAUCCUCCAUGGAGUCUCGACCUGUUCGAACGAUUCAAUCAAUCGAUCGAUCGAUGAUGCACGAGCUGCAGUCGAAUCGAGACGAUCGCUAAUCUCUCCAGAGACCGCGGGCUUCGAAGUGCUCUUUUCAAAAGACGUUUCCAGCGAUGGCGGGAUUGGUGAUGUUUUCCGCUGCCUAUUUUUAUAUAUACGCUGGAGAAUGGGAGAGAUUGGAACCUUAUUUUUUCGAUUUUCUUUUUUGAAAUUUCCUCUUUCGCCCCUGAAGUUUGUCUAAGCUCUAUUUUGCACCCCGGGCUUCAUUUGACACGCUUGGGCUUGAAAAAUCGUUAACCUCGGCAGAUAGGAUUAUGUGUGAAGGUUACUUCGGAAACGGAAGACUUGCAUAUCAUAUGAAAUUUAUAGACGUAUCUGUUGCUGUGCGUCAGUGAAAGACAACUUUGGCAAAGUAAUAUUGUUUCUUAAUUUACAUUUUUUUCCUUUCUAUAUAUUAAAUAUAUAUUACAAUGGAAUGAUUUUCAAAACUUCAGGAAAAAUAGCAUUUCCAAACACUACUUUACUGUUUGGCAAAAAUAAUAAUAAAAAGCUACUUUAUUAUAGGCAAAACCUCUUGAUGGGGACGGAAAUUUCGCAAAUCAAAACUCUCUUUUAUGGGAUUAGUCCUACAUUCAACGUGGACCGUUGGAUGGAAAGGGCAAAAACAUGAUCCGUCGAGUCUAUUUUGCAAAAUCGAUUUUCUGUCAUCACUUCAAUACAUGAAAGAAAGUCAUGGAUGUGAUCAAAUUAUCAUUUGAUAAAGAAAAGUUACGAUGAGUAAGGAAAUUUACCAAGACAAAGAUCUCAAGACUUUACGAAGUGCAAAAUUGAAAGAUUUGUCAUCUUUAACGGUUUCUUUCGUGACGUGACUGACUUGUUAAUGGCUUUUUUAUCAGAUUUAUUAAUGUUUGAUGCCAAGGGGUUCAGAAGAAUUUGUAUUUUGUUGGUUCCUUAAUUGUGGUUUAUGUUGUUGCAUUGCUUACCAAAGUUAGCAUUCCCCGCCAGAUAUUCAGGCUCUACAUCAUCAAUCUGGAGCAUCGAAUGAUUUUCAGGAAUUGGAAGGAAAAAGAAAUUCCUAAAAGACAAUAUGACAUGGAUCCUGCAAUGGAGGACAAGAUUUGUGAUCUCUAUGACCUUUUUGUUGAUGUACAUAUUUCCUUUGCAUUUUUUUAUACUGCCUUUUUCUACUUGAAACAUGCUUUAGAAAGCUACUUUUAAACAUGAGUGUCUAUUUGAUUUCAUGCUUUGAGGGUCUUGAUGAGGACACCGGUCCACAAGUCAGAAAAUUAUAUGCUGAGGUACCACUAGCCCCAAAAACUAAAAAUUACUAUCUGUAUGGCUGUUUAGCUGUUAUAGACAUGUUGCAAUCUUGUUUUGACAAUUCAUCUUUGUGAAGCGUUCGCAAAACCAUCAUGAUGGUGUAUAUUGCCAUAGUUUGCAGGAUAUAAUAGUUGGAUGUGAGAUCAAUUGCAUUUACAGUGCUGAUAUAUAAUAUAUUUUAUGUUCACAGUUGCAAGUAUGUUCAUAUAGUGGUCAAACAUGGUGAUGGUUUUCAAUGUGGGUUUCACAUGCAGUGUUAGUUUAUGAUUUAUUUAUGCAAUUAUAUGAAACUAUGCAAGCACUAAACCCGCAUUUCCCCUUGUUCUGAAUUAAUAACUGAUGCAAAGAGUGGAGAGUGCAACCUACUUUUUGAAAUGGCUGCAGUUGUCAACUUUGGGCUGCUACGAAGUCGUUUCGAGUAAACGUUUUGAUGAUAAUCAUGAUGGCAUGCAUAUGAAAUGUGGAGAACCCACUGAAUUGGUUGGCUUGACUUGUUAUUUUAUAUGAUCUCUGUUUAUUUAUCACACUUUGAUCUCCGUCCUUGUCUGAACCCUGGGAUUACUGGGAUUUAAAACAACUAGAGGGUAUUCUCGAGAAGGAAAAGAUACAGGAGGAAUUGAGGUUGCGAGGCAUGUGGGCACCGGCAUCUUAAAAUAAGAAAUAUUUUCAUGGAGUUUGUCAUCUCUGCAUCGCAAACGGUUUUAUAUGAUCUCUAUUUGUUUAUCACCUCGGUUGGUUUUUACCUGCAUCCACUGGUUCUAAGACUUUUGUCAGUGUAAAGUCUUCACUUUUUGGAGGGUAGGUACAGCUUGCAGAGCUGUGGCCAAAUGGUUUUAUGGACAACCAUGGUAUUAAGCCGGCAAUUUGUAGGGCCGAAGAGAGGCGAAGGACACUUUACAACAGACACGAGGUAUGGUUAAUUUCUACAUUCUUCCACCAACUUUCUUUUCCAUGAACUGAAAGAGAAUAUGUAGUGCUUGGUGAAAGGGGAGAACGCCAAUAUUUUUUGUGUUCUACCUGGCCGCUGCAUGACUUAACAUAGUUUUCCUUCAAAGUGAUUAUAAUAUCGUCUUUACUUAUCCACAUAUUGCUUUGACUUUUUUUAUGGGUAAUUGCUAUGUAAUAUGGCUCUUAUGUUUCUUCAUGUGGACGGAGGAAAUGGUGAUUCCCGAUUCGCAAAGAAAUAAAAGUGGUUGUCGGCUUUACAAAAUAGAUUAGACAUUGGUAGUAUAAUUAAUGUAUUUGCCUUGAGCGGUGUAAUUUAUGAAUUUUGAGACCUCAUAGUGGUAGAAAUAUAUGCAGUUUCGCUUUUCACGAGAAUGUAGAGUAGCAUCUUUCUUCUUUACUUGUGUAUGUGAAUUUUCUUCCAAGUGCGAUGCAUAAGCAGAUAUAUGCCACUGGAUGGUAGCUUAUGUCAUCCUUAUAAUCCGUUUAUAGGAGGAUCAAAGAAAAUGAGGCGGGAAAAGAUGUUGGUGCCUAAAACAGAGGAGUCAGUUCCAGUUGAGGGUCUUUCAGUUGCUCAGCCACAAACCCCGCCAGAGAGAUUGUCUAUUGAUUUAGGCUUCAUGGUACAACUACUACUAGCAGACCUAUUCACAGCCCAACAACGGCAACUGCUAGGGUUUCUAAAUUUGUUUAUGCAAAAAAGCUUUCAAUCCUUGCCAUAUUGACAUGAUACUGGGACCAGAAUCCUAGCUGUUUCAUCUCUCCAAUAUGAACAUAUUUGAGGUUGUAUGCCAUAAUUACAUGAACGGCAGACAAAGUAAAGGAUGAAACAGAAAAGCUCACUUGUGUUGCAUAAAAGUAACCGUAAUCAAUCAUCAUCAUCAUCCGGUACUAAAAGAAUCCUAAUAAACUACUAGGGUGUGGGAGAUUAGGGUUUUGCCUCUUCUGUUCCCCAUGGCGGUCGACGCUCGCUCAAUGCUUGACGGAGACGAUGAACUGCUAUGUCUGUUCUGCAUUUUCAGAGUGAAGGGUGGUGAAAGUGUUUUUCAAAGAGCGACGGAGAGAGAGAGAGAGAGAGAGAGAGAGGAUUUGAGGAGGAAGACCAAAGGUGCGAGUCUUAUGAAUUUUCGGUAGGAUGGGAAUUGAGGCAAGGGGAUGGCGAGUUUUGACCUCACAAGUUCGGCCAGGCGCAUUUUCCGCACGCUCCUCCGCCACGGGGGCAGCUGCAAUUUAUUGAUCUUUUUGGUAGUCAAACUCUCUGCAUAAAUUUUUUGACCAAAAAAAAAAAAUCAAAAGAAGACUUUGCAUCAAUUCUAUUGAUCCGGUCUUAUAAAUUAUAAUUUACUCGUACUUCUUUUUCGACGGUAAUCCAAUUUCAGAAAAAUCUCCAAAAAUAACCCUCUAUGUCAUAAACCGAAUAAAACAUAAGUCAAAAUCCUAAUAAGUGGCCAAAGCAUUUGUAGUACUUCUUUUUAUACAACGCAUCUAAUCCAUCUCGAGAGAUUCGUUCUCGUUUUUUUGCAAAAAUUGAGGUUUCUCCACUAUUCAGAAAUAAUUUUAUUGCCAAUAAGUGAAAAUGGAAAAAAGAGAAGGGUACCCAGAUAUACAUGGCUUCAAUUUGACGGACUUUCCCUUUUCAAGAUCUCUUUCAUUUAAUUAGCAAAAAAAAGAAAAGAAAAGAAAAUUUCGUCCUGCACAAAUCGGGAUUUGCCUUGUUAGAAAUAUUCGAUUUGGCCUUUAACCAUAUUCAAGAAGAAGAAAAAAAGAAAAGGAAAAAAAGAAAAGAUGAAAAGUUCAAAAAUGGAGGAUGGAAGAGCGAAACGACGUUCUCCUCUGCCAAGAACUGCCGAGGUCGAGCAGUUCGUGCUGCGUCGUCGUUUUUUCCUUUAAACUCCAAGCGUUGAAGCUGGCGGAUCUAGGCGUUGGAGGGGGGCUCACAUGGAAACCGGAAGCCUUCAAAUCUCCCUCUGUCUCUGCACCUGCGAGUCAUGUGCCAUAGACGAGAAAUGUGGGGGAUGGAUCGUGGGUCGGGCGAGGAAAGAGGCCAUUUGCCCGUGGCAAUCGGUGCUGCGAAAACGGUGCUGAGUCCGGAUCCGAUCCGGGUGUGUUUUUGUCUUCUUAUCCUUCUUGAAUAUCUAAACCUGUCAAAAGUAGAUCGUUUAAUGAAUGACAAGAUAUUAAAUGGAUUUAUGACCCGACCCAUCUCGUUUUUGGGUGUAAAUUUUUCUAGAUUUGGGUUAAAUAAAAAAAUGUUUUAGCAUCACGGGACAAUGUUAGAUAUGAGUCACUUAUAUACAUAUUGUAUAUAAAUUGAUUAAAACGGAUUAAAAUGAGUUUAUUUAGGUUGAACUAUUUUCGAUACAUACCAAAACCAGGCUCAAACACCCUUUUGAUGGGUAUAUGAAGAUCUAUCUCCAAAUGGCAAAAUAAGUUCACUACCAUUCAAUCUUUAUCACUCGUGGUCCCAGGUUUGAAUCUCCCAACAUUUGCACCUCUUUGUUUUCACCAAGACAUCAUUUUGUUGCUCUCUUUUUACCAAAAAAAAAAAAAUCUAUAAAAAGAUUUAUCGCCAAGAAGCCCCAAUCUUUGGUUGCUCUUGAAACAUGAUAAAAAGUGUUAUCCAUGAUCCGAUGUAAUUUUUAAGCACUUAUGGGUCCACAAUAAAAACUUCAUGUGGAGUUUUGAUUUAGACAUGAAGUUUUUAUUUAGACAUGUGACUAACCUCUUAGAGAAAAUUAACAAAAUAAUCCUUAACGGAUGUCGAUUUGAUCAUAAACUUUAUAAUUUAGUCGAUUUAGUUCUAAAAUUAUUGACAAUUCGUUAAUGUAAUUUUUCUGAUUAAUUUUAAUUAAAAAUUACUGACGUAAAUAUUGAUCAUUUGUUGUGACGUAACUAAUAUUGGCAUGGACAACUUUUUACAAUUUUUAGAAGAAUCUUUUUGAAUUCUUUGCUUUUAUUCUUUUCUUUUACUUUCUUUUCAUGGCUCGUGUCGCCUGGCGCGGGCAUAGUGUGUAACUUUUUCAAAGUUGGAGAGCAGUCGUGCAACGGUGUGGAAGUUGCGGGGGUUUUUGAGAAAUUAUCCACAAAAUUAAUGGCACAAAGAAGGGGAAUUAAAAAGGAAAAUCCGAAAAGAGCGCAAGAAAAACCCCAUUCCCGCGCUUUCUCAUACCCUAAUCCAUCCCAAUUUGGGGGAAGAAUGCACGUGGUCCCAAUGAGUACAUUUGGCAUCUAAAAGGACACGUGGGCUCGGUAAUUUGAUGCAUUACCUCGGAGAAUGCACGUGGUCCCAAUGAGUACAUUUGGCAUCCUGAAGAGACACGUGGGCUCGGUGACUUGAUGCAUCGCCUCGGAGAAUGCACGUGGGCUCGCUGAUUCAAAAUGGCAUUUUAAAGGGCACGUGGGCUCGGUAAAUUAAUGCAUUACCUCGGAGAAUGCACGUGGCUUGGUAAUUGGUUUUGUCAAUUGAGACUGUAUAGCAAUAGCCUGAAUGACCGGGAAAGGGUCAGUCUGAUACGUAAUCGACUAGGUCGAUUGAUCAUUGAUUUGAUUUGAUGUUGUGGAUUGAUUGAUUGAUUAGAAAUGACCAUGAGUGGUCUUGUUGACAUGUAAUCGACUAGGUCGAUUUGAUCGAUGCUUCGAUCAGCGAUAUGAUUGCUUGGGUGCCUAUUAUGAAUUGUACUGACUUGCAGGUGGGAUCUGAUGCUAAGGUACGUCUUCUGACCCAUGCGUGUAUAGGCAGCCUUUAGUAUAAUGGUUUACUAAUCGGGCUUAGUGGGGUAGAACUCGCUGAGACGUAGUCUCAUCCCAGUUUGGGGAAAAACAUUUCAGGACCCCGUUGAGGAGCUGAGGAGGAAUCUGAGAAGGAGAACUUGGAGGUGAAACCUGAGUAGAAGGAUUUUUGGAAGAAGAAGAUAAUACCGAGAGAGAUUUUGAGUAUGACCUGAAGGGAUUGAGAUUCCAUCUUCUUUUGUGAACUCCAAUUGAUGUGAAUAGUUAUGAAGUUCUCUAAUUGAUGUCAUGUACAAAAGUUUGGUUAUAAAUUUCAAUAUGAAAAAUAUGACCCUGCUUUUCUAUUCCAUUGUUUUAUUGUCUGGGGAUUUUAACUGCUUUCGCAUGUGCUUAAUAACUGAAAGGGUCGGCGAUACAUUGUCCUAGGAUAUCGCAUUUAAAAAUCGACCAAGAAGAAGGAUGUGUGCGUGCCCGAGGAUCGGGGCGUGACAAUAAGACUACUUCACCAAACCCGCUCGAUCUAUUCAAACCUAGAGCAGACUAUUCCCUAGUCAUCAUCACCAUCGUCAUGGUGGAUGAUGAAAUACCUACACAACCUAACCUCUGCAAACGCUAAUUAGCAUAAAAAAAAAUGGGCGACAAAGUAGCGAUUGAAGUUACCGUAGAGCGAAAUGAGACGGUCCCAAGCACUUGCUGGAGGACUGCUCGUCGAAGCCGAACUCGAUAGCUAAGCUCAGCAACCAGAGAUUCCUCUACCUCCUCCAACCCCCGAUGCUCCAUGGAAUCGCAACCUGUUCGACGCAAUUCGAAUCGAUCGAUCAACUAUGCAAGGGUAGGAAUCAAAUCGAUCCGUAGUCUCUCUCUCUCUCGAGAGCGCGCACGCUCGAAGCGAUCUCUUCCAAGAAAAACCAUGCCAGCGAUGGCGAGACUGAUGUUUUUUGCUUUGCUUUUUUACUUGUUGGUUGCUGGAGAGUGGGAGAGAUUGGAGCCAUGUUUUUUUUUUUUUUUCAAUUAUUCCGUUUUUGCACCUGAAUUUUGCUGGAAGCUCUAUUUUUUGCCCCCCUAAUAAGUUUUCCUGGUUUCAUUUGACACUCUUCGGUUUGGUCUGCGUAAGUAUCAGAAGAAGAGCAAGCAUUAUCUAACAAAAGUGGCUGCGGGUUACAACUAGUAGGGAGAUUGUCCCAUUAGUCUUAAAAUUAUAUAUACGGAUGUCGCUUCAAUUAUAAAAUUAUCAAUUAUAUCAAUUAAUAUGAAAUCUUUGCUCAAAAAUCUAAUAUAGUCCUUCUAGAUAAUUUUCGUUGAAAGUCGCUGACAUUAUAGUGUGCCACGUAAGAUGGUCAACAGUAACUGGACCGUCAUGUCAACAAUUGCUUAUGGAAAUUGAUCAGAAUGACUACAUUGAAAUUUCUCAUAAAGAUUUAAAACUAAAUCAAUGGAAUUGAAAAAUUUUAAAAUUAAAUUGAUAUAUAUAUAUAUAUAUAUAUAAUAAAUUUAUUAUUGAUUGGAUAAUUUUCCUUAUAAACGGCAAAGUAGCUUUACUUUUUCUUUUUUUUGUAAUUUCAAGUUCUAUAAACUCCAAUGUGUGACAUUUAUAACAUGGAAUCCAAGAAGAUCUUCUCUCCUUUCUUCGUCGCGUAUUUUUUCCUGUUCUUUUAGGGUUGUCCUUUAUUUUUCUUUUUCUUAUUUUUUGUGCCAAUGACUUAUUUAUUUCCUUCAUAUGUUGAAUUUCUAAGUCCAUCAACCCAGCGCCUUAUUUCAAAUUAUAUAAACACCACCCUCACAUAGACAGUAUACUUAACUCUCGCAUAAAAUACUUACUCACAUCUUUUUUUCUUUUUUUCCUUUGCAAAGAGAAGACUUUACGUGUCAAACUUAUAAACUUUGGAUUGUCAUGCUCUUGACGGGUCUACGCUGCACGUUCCAAUUUUGCUUUUUUCGGAAAUGUGGGUUUGUUUUAAACUCAGAUAAUUCGAAUUAAAAAAUAAGUUGAAUAAAAAAAGAAAAGAAGAAGAAGAAAGGGGAGGAGGAAGUGAUGAUUUAUAGAGAUGUGAGAUAAGAAAGAUCGAGAGAGGAAAAUAUUUUCCAUUUUUCCUUUCAUGAAAAAUAUUUUUCUCAAUAAAUUCAUUUUCUGUGAAAUAAACGCCGAAAAUUCCAAAAAAUGUUUUUUUAGAAAUUAUUUUCCACGAAACGAACGGAGCCCAAGUGUUUCUACAAAAUUUUUGUAAAUUCUUCUACAUUUCGGAGAUAGUGGAGUAAUAUAUAUAUAUUGGUUGAAGUAAACAUAUUUCAUUAUUUCAAGUAGCUCCAUGAUUACAAACUAAGUAGACCUCUAACUAAAUUAGGUCUCACAAUAUUUUUGGCGGAUAAGAAACCCAGUUGGUGGGAAGGGAUUUUCGCCGAUGGGCCUUAGAGAUCCAAUCAGCUACCUAGCUCGCUCCUCUCCUAUAGUAGGCUAAUCACUUGCUCUUGUAUUGGGCUAGCAGGUUGUUGCCUUUAGAGAUAAGAGACUGGAUGCUCCGCGCUGGUUGUUCUUGAUUUGAACGUGCGCUUAUCGUUGACCAACUAUCUAACUCUAGAGAGUACUUGAGUUCAGAAGUAGAACAAAAGAAGCGUAGGGCUUCCAUGCAUGCCAGGGCUUCCACUUGCUCCGCCGAGUUCGCCCGUACUUUCUUCACAAAUGCAUCCACGAUGUUCCCAGACUCGUCUCUACAAACGCCGGCGAUGCUUCCUGUUCUCUCUCCCUUCGUAUACGAGCUAUCCACAUUGAUUUUCAGAGUGCAUUUCUUGGGCGGAAUCCAUUUUGUUGAGGAGAUGAUGUUAAGCCAAAGGCUGAAGUAGGCGCAUCCUUAUGAUACAAUUGAUUACACAUAAUAGGAAAAAAAAUGUAGCAAUUUCGGAAUUUGAUGGCUAUCUAUAUAAAGGAAUUGGUAGACGCGGAACACAAAUACAACAAAGACCACUUAACCAAAAAAAAAAAUACAACAAAGACCAAGUAAAACACUCUACCCAAUGGUAUAUAAGAAUCAUCAAGUCCCUAGUUUUGAGGGACGUAUACGGCGUACGGACAAUUGACGAUGAUUGACCUCUGAGGAAAUGGUGCCUAAUGACACGAUUGCUCGAGUGAAAUCAUUAGUAGAGCACCACCAAGCGUAAUUUUUUUUUUUAAAUAUUUGAAUAAGUACUUGGGUUUCAAUUUGGUUUAAAGAACGAGUGUUUUUUUCUUAUUAAUUUUCCUCAAAUAAUUUCUCAUUAUUUUCAUUAUUUGAAAAAAAUAUUAUAGUUGUUUUGAAUUUAAUUUUGCUUAAUGAUUUUUUUUUAAAUAUCUAGGUCCAUGCCAACCAUGCCCAGGUCGUGUCCGCUCAAACAUGCCCCAGUGCUCAGUGUUGACAUUUAAAUUUUGGCGACCCAGUUAUUUAUUUAUUGCAUAAAAAAUUAGGGAUUAAUUUUAAUCCCUAAAAAAAAAAAGAAUUGCAUAGUAUAUAAUUUUAGUUGCACUUGUUUAUUUGUUUAUCACUUUUGCAUUUGAUUAGUGGGGGAUAAGCUAUUAAUUUUACAAGUUGACAAUUCGGUAUUUUCAAAAAGAAUUCAUAUUAUUCUUUCAAUAUUCGGUAAAUAUUUCAUAUAUUUACAUGAUUUAUACAUUAAGUGAUAAAUUUUACAGAGGAUUGAAAGUUUAAGGAUGAAAUAGAAUAUUGCACGGGACAUGUAUUGAAUAAUAUAUUUUUCGACUCAAAAUAAGAAAGAUCACAUGAUCAAAGGGGAUUUCAUGCGUGAACCAAAAAUGAAAAAAAAUGUUCUGCAAAAACUCAAAUCCCUCGCCUGUAAGAAGGCUGUUCGCGUAAGGAGAAAAGGGGGGGGGGGGGGGGGGGAAGGACUUUUUUUUUUUUUUUCGGAAAAAAGGGGGUCAAGGUCAACAAAAAGGGUUUCCUUUGCUGUUUGGCUUGUCCUUGGCCUAGAUCAAUGUAAAAUGAAAGUAUGAAAAAAUUUCAUCAUGCUUAGUCAACAAAAAAAGUAAACUCUAUUGAUGGUCCUUUCGAUUCCGUCAAUAACUCUUCCCGUGAUUAUUGUUGAAAAGUUAAUGGUUGUCAACCAAUAAAACAUUUCUAAUAUGCAAAUCUUUUAAUAAUAGAUAGUAAAUCGCAUUGUGUUCAUUGACAAAAUCAUUGCUUUAUUUUCCAUUUGCCUAUGCAACAUAAGCCAUGUCUCAAGGAAUUAUAACAUCUAGGCGACUUCUCAAGCUAGUCAUUAUGUUAAAGAACUUCAAUAACUCUGUCACUAGUCUUUUUAAUUUACAAAGGCAUUUAUUAGAAUGUUGAGACAAAAAACAUUGGGAGUCAUUUCCUUCGAAUUCAUGCGACUAGUCGUGUCAAUGGCAGGGGCGCAAUAUUUCUUCAUCUUCUCCAUGGCUGUAACAUCCUCGAUUCCAACCCCGUAAGGAUUGGCUAUAAGGUCCUACAUGGAUUGACCAUGGGCCAUGGAUCGACCAAUUCGAUUGGCAAUGAAUCACGGAUCGGUCCAACCGACCAACCAAUUGAUUGAUCGAUUACGAAUUGGUCGAGGUAUCGGCCGUGAAUUUUCUACCGACCAUACCGAUGGGAUAGGAUCACCAGCUCAUAAGAUGACAUUUUUUAUCACGAAGAUUGGUCAUGGGAUCAUUUUGGAUCAGCGGAUGAUCAUGGGUCGAUCCGACCAGUCAUAGUUUCUAGUCGCGGGUGAAUUCGUCCAGUUAUGCACCGAUACACGGACGAUCUGACUUGACCAAAUGUGAUCAUCUUAUGAUCGAAAAUGCAUCAUUUCCUAUUUAAUUCUUAGUAAUCAGAAAGGAAUCUUGAAUUGGUGAUGUCCAAUUGUGGAUCGGUAAUGCGCCGACCAUGAGCCAUACAGAUGGAUUGGGUGCUAACCAGAAUGAGCUUAGGGAUAGACUCAGCUAUUCUGCCACUAAUUCUAAGAUCCAUGAGUGUCUUGAUUUAGUGCUAGGCCAUAGGUAGCCUUAGGAUUGGCCUUGAAUCGGCCGAAGGACAACUAACUCUUUAGGCCGAUCGACCGUCCAAAGCGGUUCGGGCAAGCAUAGGGAGUGAUGGCCGAAUCUUGGGUGUACAUGAUUCGAUUUUUCAAGGUGUAUCGAAUGAUCCCUUGUCCAGUCUCGAAACCAACUUAGACGAUAUAAUUCUCUACAUCGUCUUCUUGAGGAAGAAAAGUUUAAAAAGAAAUCCUCUAGAAUACCCUAGCUUCUUCAUAAAGGGGUUGACUUAUCAUUCCACCUAGAAUUUUCUAGAUAUGGUCAUGAUUAUCAAGGAUUUACCUUGGGAAUUAAGCAAAGUAUCCAAGUGAAUUGUCCCAAUAAAAAUAUGAAAUAUUGGAGCUACUUAUGGCUAUCUUAUAGCCUUGAUGCUACCUUAAAUUUCAUAGGUUUUGACUUUCCAGUUUUUUUUUUUUUAACUACUAGGUUUUUCUUACUUUUCAAUUUUAUAGAGCUCUUUGUACUUCGAAUUUGGAGAAACUUCCUUCAUGAAAGUUGUUCAAAAUAUCUUAAUCUAUAACAUACUUAAAUUUCAUAGUUUUCUGAGGUGAAAUAGUUGAGACGAAGGCCCAAUCAAUUACCAUAUGGAACUUGCCCAAAAUAGUGAAAACGGUAACCAAGUCGCUUUCUCGAAUUUUUAUAAAAUCUUUCCUUUAGAAUUUGGACAUUCUUUCUUUAGAAAAGUUUUGAAUGACAUCUAUAUAUACAACAUAUUAAAAUUUCAAAGAGUUUUGUGAAUAUUUGGAUUUCGAAAUGAGUCUCUCUCUCUUUCUCUGACCAUGCAGUUUGCUCAAUGGAUGAAUUUUUGGGUUGUGUUCAAUGAUUUUAUGCUCUUUCCAUAGAACGAAUUUGGCUUGGAUUCUUUCAUAAAAAAUAUUUGCUAAGGUCUUCUCUAGAACACAUUAAGAUUUUAUAAUUCUUCGGGUCUAUUUGUUAAGGUAAUGGUAAUGAUUUCGAAAGUUGCUCAAAAUUGUUUUCGUCUUAGAAUGAGAAAACCACAUGCUCAACUUGGAGGGGAAGGGGGCUGCACGCCCACCUUGAGGAGCAAGCUAAUUUAGAGACUUAUUGGUUUGAAGAUAAGAAUACAUUAAAUGCUUUUGGACCUUAGUUUGUUAAAGAGAAGAAACUUGGAGAAAGUUGGCUAAUGCAAACAUAUCUAAGCCUAAUGAUUGCAUGAAAUCUUGGCAAUUAAUGAGAGAGGUGAGUCACCUACUUAGGUGUCCCCUAGAAUCUUAGGUGAACCUUAGGUUAUGAUGGCCUUAGAUUGUAGCCUUAGGUUAUGGUGUCUCCUACGCUUAUCGAUUUUAGGAUUAUGUCAUCAUUUGCUUCUGUUGGCUUUGUAUUGUUAUGCUUGUUGUUUUUCUAUUGCUUGUUGUUGUAUCAAGUAAGUUCAUGAUCAUGUGUGGGUGUCGAGCACACCCGGAUGUUGAGCACACCUGGAUGUCGAGGAAUGGUCUUGGCGACUUUGGAUGUGUGCCGAGGUGUGUGCACGACUCACACUUGAACCCGAGACAAUAUUGAGGCGUGUUGUUACUCGGGACAAGUCAUGGGUCGAUGUUGAAACCAGAGCGAAUGGUUCCAAGUCAAGACCACAAGGCCGAAUCGCAUCUAGCAUGAGUCUAACAAGGUAUAAGAGUUGUUGAUUGAUUCACUUUACAUGGCACGCCUUCGGGCCUUUCAUCUGGCUAAAAGUUCAAAGAUAAAAUAAAUCGAUUGAUGCUUGAAACACAUGAAUACACAAUGGACUUAUAUGCCGACGUUGGGGAUGCCGGGUUGUUGCCUGGGGUAAAGCCCCAGAUGCCUUCCCGAUAUUGAGAUCGUGGACGAUGCUGGCCUAGGUGAGGCUAAUGCUUGGGGGUUGCCAUGGAUGCCAUCCUGAUAAUGAGAUCAGGACAAUGCUGGUUGCCAAAGGGGGGGACCAAUGCUUGGUUGUUAACAGAAGAGUCGAUUAAUUUCGACGAAUAUAAUACUAAAAAAGAUAAAUGAAACUCCACAUGUGGUCCAUGACUGAGACUUGUGUGAUGCUUGCAAAAGUUGAGUUUGUCUGAUAUGUAUUGUUAAGUCCUUGCAGCAAUUCGAGCAUAUAAUUGAAUUGGGUCACUUAGUGCUUGAAUGAGUUUCAUGAGAUGUGAGCAUCCGUUUUUAUGACCGAAAUUAUCAUAAGCCACAGAUCCUUGGAAAGAUUGUUUAUAUAAACUAACUCAUUGUCUUUAAUUCUUGAAAGCACAUAGAAGGUUGAGAGCCUUUCAUAUGCAUAAGCAAGGCAAGGCAUGAACCUUGCUAUUGAUUUGCCAUCAACAAGUGGUGGUGAUCUUGUAUCCAACGAUCGACGGCGAGAUGUCCUCCUAUAGGAGAAUGAGAGAUUUCUGCUUACUAAGUCAUCGACUCACUCUUGUUGUUCUCACCAUUUCAGGUAUGUGUUGGGUGAACAAGGGUCCAAGAAGGGAAUGAAUCUAGCAUGGGGGCUGCUUUUAGGAGCAGCUUGGUAGAGGAGCUAGGCUACCCCAGCCCUUUUGAUUGACUAUAUAUGAAAAUAAAAAUAAGUAACCCAGGACCAGGAUGGGCAUGUAAUCAAAACAGCUUUUGUUGUGUAAUAUGUAUAUGUAUAUGUUACUUUUAUUUACUUGGCCUGCAUAUAUCUUGUCCGGCUUCCAUGCUUGUUUGUAUGGGGAUUAUUUAUGAUAUAACUAAAGACAAAAGACUUUCGGGACAUUUGACGUUGCCUAGGGCAUUGAUGCUAACCCGCCGGGUCAUGCUCUCGUGCCAAAGAUAGGCGGGGGUGUGACAACGCCCCCCCAAGGAGUUGGGUGAAAUAGGGAGGUGAACGCCAAGGGUUCAUCCUAAUCAUCCUCUUCCAGUAGAAUAAAGCAUCGUUGUUCUUCUAGCAAUCUGCCAAUUUUGCAUUUGUUUAUCACAAAAGGCCAAAGACUCCGAUAGAUUCACGGAGAUAGUAACUCACAUUAGUGGAUGGGCAAGUGUGAGAGUGACGCGAAAAAACUAUUUGAUGCAAAGACAGGAAGAUAAAUGAAAGGUUAAGCGAGAUAACCAGAUUCUCAAACAAGAUCAUCAAAUCAAACAGCAGAACCACAAAUCGACCCAUUUAUUCUCUUCAUUUAGGCUAAUUUUGUCUUAUUGUGAGUCCACACAUUCAUAAAAUAGUUUUUGGAGAGGGUGAAGUUAAACAGUUCAAUGAGUUCCUUCAAGGUAUGCAGGUUCAAGCUCUACUUAGCUCAUCUAAAGUUAUUAAAAUUUCAGGAAGAGCCCCAAUCACCGAAAACUUCUGUAAUUAAGUGUUUCUACAAAAAUUUUGUAAAUCCUUCUACAUUUCAGAGAUAAUGGAGGAAUCUAUAUAUAUAUAUAUAUAUAUAUGGUUGAAGUAAACAUCUUUCGUUAUUUCAAGUAGCUCCAUGAUUACAAACUAAGCAGACCUCUAAACAGAUUAGGUCUCACAAUAUUUUUGGCGGAUAAAACCCAGUUGGUGGGAAGGGAUAUUUGCCAAUGGUCCUUAGAGAUCCAAUCAGCUACCUAGCUCGCUCCUCUCCUAUAGUAGGCUAAUCACAUGCUCUUGUAUUGGGCUAGCAGGUUGUUGCCUUUAGAGAUAAGAGACUGGAUGCUCCGCGUUGGUUGUUCUUGAUUUGAAAGUGCCCUUAUCGUUGACCAACUAUCUAACUCUAGAGAGUACUUGAGUUCAGAAGUAGAACAAAAGAAGAGUAGGGCUUCCAUGCAUGCCAGGGCUUCCACUUUCUCCGCCGAGUUCGCCCGUACUUCCUUCACAAAUGCAGCCACAAUGUUCCCAAACUCGUCUCAUCUCUACAAACGCCGGCGAUGCUUCCUGUUCCCUCUCCCUUCGUAUACGAGCUAUCCACAUUGAUUUUUAGAGUGCAUUUCUUGGGUGGAAUCCAUUUUGUUGAGGAGAUGAUGUUAAGCCAAAGGCUGAAGUAGGCGCAGAACACAAAUACAACAAUAAGGGCACUUGCGGAAUUUGAUGGCUAUCUAUAUAAAGGAAUUGGUAGACGCAGAACACAAAUACAACAAAGAUCAAGUAAAACACUCUACCCAAUGGUAUGUAAGAAUCAUCAAGUCCCUAGUUUUGAGGGACGUAUAAGGCGUACGGACAAUUGACAAUGAUUGACCUCUGAGGAAUGGUGCCUAAUGACAUGAUUGCUCGAGUGAAAUCAUUAGUAGAGCACCACCAAGCGUUUUUUUUUUUUUUUGAAAAUAUUUGAAUAAGUACUUGGGUUUCAAUUUGGUUUAAAGAACGAGUGUUUUUUUCUUAUUAAUUUUCCUCAAAUAAUUUCUCAUUAUUUUCAUUAUUUGAGAAAAUUAUUACAGUUGUUUGAAUUUAAUUUUUCUUAAAUGAUUUUUUUUUUAAAUAUCUAGGUCCAUGCCAUCCAUGCCCAGGUCGUCCUGGCUCAAACAUACAUGCCCCAAUGCUUAGUGUUGGCUUUUUACUGGGGAAAAGGACUUCUUUUUAUUUUUUCGGAAAAAAGGGGGUCAAGGUCAACAAAAAGGGUUUCCUUUGCUGUUUGUCUGAAUGUGUGCAGAGAGAGGGGACGUGUGAGAGAGAAAAAAGGAAAGCAAAAAGACAAAAAAGCAAAGGUCUCCUUCUUCGUGCAGCCGAGCUCCUCGCCGACCCCUGCACUCGCCGCCGCUGCUGCCGACGCCAGCAGCCGCACCUCUGCCCGUCGACUCCCUCCUUCCGGUGAGCACCGCUCGCCCGUCCCCGUCUCCACUGCCGCCCGUCCCUCGCUGGUCGCCGUCCGCGACGCCCGCAGCACCUCCGCCCGCCGCCUUCCUCCUUCCGGCGAGCAUCGCUCGCCCGUCCGCGACGCUUGCAGCGCCAUCCGCCGCAAAUCCUCCGGCGACCGGCCGGAUCCCACCAAACGAGGCGAUCUCAUCAGCGCGUUGCCAGACGAGGCGAUCCGCCGCAUCUUCUCGUUUCUGCCCCUCGAAGACGUCGUGAGGACCAGCGUCCUCUCCAAGCGGUGGCGGUACAGAUGGAGGCCACACAUUGAACAUACGGCCAAGAGAAUACACGUGAAUAGAGAGGAAGAAGGAGAGGGACGCUACGGCCAGUACUCUAAGUCAUACAUCCUCACGGCCACGCUUUCACCCAUCCUCAUCGCUGCCGUCGGCGUCCUUGCUGCCAUCUGUUGCUGCCCAAACGAAGCUGAGAAGCUGCUGCCGUGCUGAACAUCGGUAUGAUUCGCAAGUGACACGUGAAAGAACAGGGAGAGUACACGGAGGAGGGAUAAAUUGUGAAAGGUGGUCCACAAUUUGAGAGGGAAUUGGUGCAUGAGUUUUGUGGGUAAAAGUGAGUGGGAGAGCUGCACCACGCCCACUGAGACGAAUUCCACAUGCAGAAAAUGUCAAAAAGAGAAGGCGUUUACGAAGUCUCUUUCGCCCGACGCCGGUAACAGACUUCAAGGACCCGAGCGGCUUCCCUGUUGCCGUCAUAGCAGCGAUCUUGCAGCCUUGCCGCCGUUUCCUUGGCGAGGUUACCUACCGUGACGGCUAGUCGUAGCGCCCCACAUCAAGCCUAUAGUCAUAUAAGUUGCCGCGCCCCUCCAAGUUUCAAAGCCGGCCCCUCGACUAUCGCUGAACCACCAGCCAUCCUUGCUUAACCGAGCACCACCACACACCGCCGGUCACUCGUUGAACGGAUCGGUUCAAAUUUGGUAAUAUUAUUUGCGGAAUUAGGUAAUUAUCUUAUCAAAAUUUGAUUUGGAUAUUUUAUUGUCUAAUAUAUAUGCAAUAUCUUACAUGCAUAUAUGAAUGGAAGACGUAUUUCCAAUUAGGAUUUAUUGCCUAAGAUGCAACUGCACGUCGAUUUUUUAUUCCAUUUAUAAGGCUUUAAAUGGAAUAAUUAACCAUGCGGGAAUAAAAUUGAUAUUAUGAUCUUUAAGGCUUAACAUCAAUUUAUCGAUUUUAUUAGCGAAAUAAUCAAAUUGAUUAUAUAUUGUUUCCUAAUUUGAACAAUGGAUAAUGUCUUUGAUGACCGUGAAUGAUUUGGUACUUAUCUUUUAAUUGCUUUAUUUAUCCCAAAAAAAAAAAAAAUUGCAUUUGCAUAUCAUGUAGAUUAGAAUUGAUUUCUUAGAUAGAAUUGCAUGAUAGAAUAAUUAGAUUCUUUUUUAAUUAUAUUAGAAUGCAUGUUUAGAUGGUAUCCAAGUUAGACAAUAUCUUUGAAUUAAAUUGCAUGACAUAUAGCUUAGGUUUCAUUAAACAAGAGAAAAUCCUAAAAAAAUUGGGUGACUGCGUGUUAAUUAGGAAUCAUAUCUAGGGCUUUUGAUGUGAAUUUCGAGCUAACAUUUUAGAUACUUUCAUUAUUACGAGGUAAGUCCCGUAAUUUAUUCAUUGCUUACUUGGGUGUUAAAUUGGUGGUUUGCGCACUCGCAUGAUCACCUCACAUGUUAGGGAAGUAAAUUAAAAUUAAUUUAAAAUGCCUGCAAAAUAUUUUUUUUAAAAUAAAAGAGAAAGGUACCGAAAGGGCGUUAGAAUCUAGCGUAAUCAAGUCCUUGAGCUCACAAUCUCUGAUUUGCAAGAGUAACACCAAAAAUAGAUUAGUGGCGACUUCUAAUUGAAAAAUCACAGACAUGUUAAAAAGUUGAAUCUAAGUUGUGAAUUGAUAUGAGUUUGGGAGAGCCCGAACUAAGUUUAAGUUUAGUAAUCCAUUAGCCAAACCUUAGGUGAUUCACCCGGGGUUAGGUUGUGACACUCAGUCCCAUUCAUGCUUCACCAGGCAAUAAGGCCCGAAAACUAUGUCAACUGUCAUAUUGCUUGUGAUUAAACCUAGAACAAAACUAGCUUAUGAACAUAUAUCAUAUCCCAAGACACAGUUCGACCAUGAGCACUGACCCAAUUUCCAUAUAUCAUAAUCUAACAUGCUGAUAUGAGAUAUACGAAAAAUAAUUCACCCAUCUAAACAUUUUCGAUGUAUGUCCAAAAUAAUAAUCUAACUUGAAAUCCAUUCAAUGCUCAAUCCAAUCUUAUUAAAUUAGAUGCGAUGAAUAGUUUAAUUUUCUCUUAAUUCUUAAAGUGCGUGGGUUAAGGAAAUAUGUGGUUGGGCUAUGUGGUUUAUUUAGUGCAUUGCAUGGUUUAUUGAAAAUAAUAAAAACCAAAGACCAUGAUUCAAACAAUUAUAAAAGACCAAGAUAAAUAAUCAAUGACUAGUGAGGCACAAUUCUUAAUUUUUCUAUUUUUGUCCAAAACAUACAUAUUAGUUAUCCUUUGCCUAGAUUGAUAUAAAAUGAAAGUGUGACAAAUUUUGAUUAUGACUCGCCCUCAGAAAAAUAAUCCCUAUUUAUGGUCAUUUGACAAUAUAAACUAGUUGGCUUCAAUAACUCAUCCCCCGACUAUUUUUGAUAAGUCGAUGGUUGUGGACCAAUAAAACAUUAUUCAAAAUGCAAGAAUCUUUUAAUAUUGGACAGUGAAUGGUGUUCCAUUUUUCUGGCAUAUAUUCUGAUUAUAGACCAUACUUUCCCAAACAAUUUCUUGAACUGCAUGCCUUGUAUUCAAAAUACUCUUCUUUUUUAUGGUUCUUUUGCGACCAACUUUUAAAAGGCAAUAAUGUCACAAUCUAAGAUCCCAUCCAUGUUAGCCAGCUGGAAGAUGCAACAAAGACCAAGACUCUUUCUAGUGAAAAAAGAAAAUAAAAAACAAAGACCAAGACUCAAACCCUUAUAAAAGGCAAAUAAUCAGUGACUAAUGAGGUAGAUUUAUUAAUUUUUAUUUUUCCCGGAAAAUUAGAGUUAUUACUUCUCCUUGGACUAGAUCAAUAUAAAAUGAAAGUGUGAUAAAAUUUCAUUAUGAUCAGCCAUAAACAAAAAAAUCCCAUAUUUAUGGUUCUUAGACGGAAUAUAACUUUAAUAACUCAUCCCGCAACUUUUUUUGAAAAUUCAUUGGUUAUGGACAAAAAAAUAUUAUCCAAGGUGAAUAUCUUUUAAUAAUGGACAGUAAAUAGUGUUCAAUUUUUUAGCAUAUCUUCUAAUACUAGCCCAUAAUUUCUUGAACAAUUUCUUAUAUCGCGUGCCUUGUAUUCAAAAUCUUCUUCUUCUUUUUUUAACUGUGUGUGUGUUUUUUUUUUUUUUUUUUUUUUUGUGACUGAAGAUGAAUAUUAUUUCUUUGUUUCCACAUUCAACAACCAAAUCCAGUUAUCAAGCAAUACCGCAGAAGAUAAAUGCCAUGUUUUCUCAUUUUCAUGCUUUCAAAAACCCAUAAAUAUUUAACCAAAAUUUUUCUUACUAUGAACCAAAUUAAAACGUCAGCUUUGAAAAUCUGUCUGAGUUUCAAAAAAUUGAGAUGUUAACAUUAAAUCAAAACCUGAUUUCAAACUCUAAAAAGUUCUAUAUAUAUAUAAGGAGAACCUAACUUUAAGAGUAAAAAUCGUACCGUGCUCCUAUUUAUCUAAAAAAAUUAUGAGUCGAAAGCACCCAAAAUCUAUUUAAUUGUAACAUCAAAUAAAAAUCAUUAAUUUAUAAAAUGAUGUACAAAACAACUUAUCAUAUAUGAUUGUGGUGAAUGUCACGUGAAAUUACUGAAUCUCUUACAUAUUCAGAAUAGCAUGUGCAUCUCGUAGAUGGUCAUAUUAUGUCUAUAUUCAUGAUAUUGCGUAUCUCUAUAUUACUUCGGGGUCUACAUAAUUUAUUGCCAGUACUUGUAUUAGACAUUCCGGUUAUGAACAAAAGGCCUUCAGUUCAUUCGUCUCAGCGCUUCGAAGCUCGCCAUAGACGUUGAGACAGCCUCUGCAGAAAUAUACUAAAAAAGACUUUGAAUCCAAGAAUCAAGUUGCUGAAGUGAGGCCCACUGCGACCCAACUCCACCAUGGAUGAAAGCCUCACGAACCGGGACGACACAAACUCCUCCAAUCUGUGCCAUCAUACCCCGCCAAACUUCGACACUCAUUUGUCAACGAACCACUCAUCAGACAAGCUAGCGCCACUCACCGCCAAGUUAGUGCCACAGCCCGUCCUUGCAUCAUCCUCAGGAAGAUAAUGUCAGCAUCAAGUAACCACCACAUCUCCGACAAGUUAGUGCCGCUGAACCCUCCAUGUUAUCACAACAAUUUCGCUGUGAGAGCUGGCAAUUUUUGUUCACAUGUAAUAAUCGGGUCUUGCAAUCGUGUCAAGCAGCGCUUCCAAACCCGGACCGUCAAAGAACCGGUUUGUGUUCUAGUCUAAAGGUCAACUGGUCGAAUCGUCCUAUUGAACCAUUGGAACUGAAAACUUCUGUGUCCCUGGUUAAGGACCUCUGCCCCUCCAUUACCAUGUAGUCUUCCAAUAAUUGCGGAUGAUGGAACUAGAAGAACUGUGCGGGUCAAGAUCAUGCGUAAGGCAAAACCUUUUGCCCUCAAGAGAGUUGACACCUGAAAGGUUUACCUUCAUGAAGAGGCUUUGAGACAAUUGUCGUAAGGAUUAGAACUGUAUUUACAGUCUUUCCGAUUCAAAGACUCGCCAAAGUGUGCAAGGAAGGUUUGUCGCUGACACUCAUCCUGAAAAUUUCACAAAUUAGAGAUGAAACACACGUUUAUCAAUAGACUUUUCUCUAUUUAGAUGUGCGGAAUUUGAGUUUAUCCCAAAGGUUCCAUUAUUAUUUGAAUAUGUUGCCAACCCGACCCAUCUAAUGAUCCAGCACCCGGACAAGUUAAUGCCAGACCAACCCUAACAACAAUCAAUAGAACAAAGUGAAAAGCGUAAAAACAAAAUAAAAGCAUCACUUAGUUGAGAUCAUCAUAAAUUGAGAAAUUGGAUUACCUUGAGUUCACAAUAUUGCUGCAUUUUCCUAGCUUGAGCCAUUGCACUUUUAAAGAUUUCGGUUUUACAUCCUUGACCACUCGUUGUUAACAUGCACAAAACCCGGCCGAAAUCCUUUUGCCAUAUAGAGCACUGCACAGUACUGGUAGAUUAUCUCUUCCUGCCCUCCCUGAUUCUUGGUAAUAGCUUUCGAUUGACUUGAACAUUGUGUUGUGGACAACAAAACGCUGACCACAUGCCAUAAUUAAAAAUAAAAAAUAAAAAUACUGAACCGACAAAAAUAAGUUGAAAUAUGACAAAAACAUUAUAACAGAAAGUCAAGUUAGAUCAGAUUCAUUUGCCACUCUUGCAGUAAAGAAAAGAAUUUUAUCCUAGUUUAACAUAAUUUCAGCAUACCAAAGUUCCAUGCAUGGAAGAAAGAAUUUGACUUGAAAAAGACAUAAUUUGCUAGUUCCCGCAAUCAAUAGCCAAGAGCAACAAUUUAGCAGGCCACUGGACCAUGGAACUAGCAAAGUUUACUUCCAAGCACACUAACAAACCGAUGAGUGAAACUAAAACAUUAGAAAAAAAGUGAAUUAGUUGAGUAAUUGCUAGCAUGUCACCUUGAUUCUAAAACUGAAAAUAGGCAAAGGCUUAGAGUCCAUUUCAACUUACAACAUCAGGUUUUGUCUAUUCCCAUCCCAAAAGCAAUGGUUACUCAUGCAACCUGGACCUCUCCAGUAUGCCAUUUCUUUUGAACAGCUACUCUUUGAUGGGCUACUAAUCCAGCAUGAUAGUACAGUCUUUAUACCACACUUAACAUUCAAGUAUUUUGCAACAUCAACACAUUCGCUCUUCAAGAGACAAUACACUGCCACACAAAUUAGCAAAACGAUUCUUUAGCAGCUCUCCAAGCUGCUUCAACGGUUCCUUGGGUCUCAGCUAUGAUCUCAUAUUUUAGGUUUGGUCUGUCAAAGCUUGUCUCCAGAACAAGAGCAUGGCGGAUCUCGAGAGCUUUUAGGAUAUCCUGCAAUAGAUGGACAUUUCGAUCAGACCCAAGUGAUUUUUUAACAUAAUCUGGAGGAUAAUGUGCAAGUUUCGUACCUCAUGAACUAGCUGAGUGGCAGUUGCAGAUAAGGCCAUCACUGGGACGUAUGGAAAUGUAGGUAUUGUUACAUCAUCCAAAACGAAAGUCAACUGUUUUUAUUGACUAGACAGUUCUAAUAAAGUCAUUUUGGAUCUUAAAGACUGGAAGUAACUGGCAAGUUAGGAGUGUCUACUAUAAGUUUGAUCGGAUGAGAGCCCUCAAAAGCAAUUUAUUAAAUGCUUUUGUACAGAUACCUUGCAUAAGGUUCUUUGCUGGGAGCAGAAUUACAAGCAAAGUGGAAAUGAUCCAAGAAAGACAUAUUUUUAAGAGCAAAGAACAGUGACAAGCUAAUUUAAGGGGAUGAGCAGUUUCAUCUAAGUCAACGGGAGGAGUUGUUUCACAAUGACCAAGAGGGAAUUACAAUAAGUAAUGAAUCAAUUUCUCACCAACCAAAACCCUAGUUGCAAUAGUCAAUCAAAAAUGAAUGAGACGAGUGGAAAGCGUUUCCCAAGAGUUUUAUGAGAAGGACACUCUAAUCUCUCACAAUCAAAAACCAAGACAAUCUGUUCUCAAUUCUUCUCAUUGUCCUUGUUGACCCUAAUAUACCUCAGCAACAAAAAAAAGGGAUAUAUGGGUUGCAGAAUCAUUGUUAAAAGAACAAAAAGUCGUGCCCAGAUCUCCCAACUUUUUGUCAACCUCCUGAACAACUGGACCAUUAUGGCCAGACUCCUGGGAUUUGCCUAGUAACUAUUGUGGCCUCCAGGUGUCCACAAUUGCUUCACCGAAAGGCCAACCCUGUACAAUACCGAGACAUUCUUCAAGCCGCGUAUUUGGUCCAUGCAAUUACACGGGCCAAUCCCAAGCCAAAUGAAUCAAAAACUCGAGCCACAAACUUAACAACUAUUGACCAAAUUAGUUUUAGGCAUGGGGGUGGACACAGAAAAGAGUGAGACAAAUUCACAGUUUUCAGAAGCAUACCAUGUAUUCUGAAGAUUCUCUGGCCAGAAGUUGAGUGGAUGAAUUGCUAGGAGUACUGCUUUGAUCAGGAAUAUAGCAUGUGGGUUUCCUGCCCAUUUUAUUGCCAAAUAUAUCAUCUUCGUCUUCAUUGUCAGUAGAGGAAUCCACCUAAAAAGAAGUCCGAUUUUUCUCAGGUUGUGGAGAAUCUUCUAUAAUAUCAAUAUCGUGCACAACAUUGCAUUCACUGUCAUUAGGGGUAUCUUGGCCAAACAUAUCAGUAAAAAAUCCACAAGCUUUUGAUUCCAUAGCUUGCAAAUCAUCCCAAUCCUCAGUGUCUUGCAUAGUUUCGGCAAGUUCUGCUAGAAAAUCAUCACCACAGUGCUCCACAGUGAUAAACUCUCAACCUUUGUCACCUUAAGACAACCAAAAGAAGAGUGCGAUGAUUUUGCAAGUUCCAUGACAAAAAAGAGAUCAAAUAAAUACAAUCUACAAUAUGUAAUCUGCAAAAAGAUGCCAUACUUAAUUGUAGGCAAGACAAAGAUAAUUCAGACAUUUCACUAGUCAAUAAGACUACUCUGCAAAACCCACCGAGAAAUGGGGAUGGGAUUAACGCUCAAUGAACUAGAUUUAACUAGCUCCGCUCCAUUCAAAUCUAAAAGGGAGAGUAUUCCAUAGCCAUCAUCAGAGUGACGACUGACAGUAAUAAAUCUCCUCCUCUACGAUUGCACAAUCGAUCAAUGACAAAUUAUCUUCGCAACACAAGCAAUUACAGCAACUACAUCAUUCCUUAAUCACCAGAUACCAUGCUAAUCGGCUAAUAACCCAGAAAAGCCACCAUCCAAAGCAACCUAAACACAUCAAACUGGAACAGCACCAGACUAUUUGUUCGUCAAGAAGACUACUUCGCUAAACCAGCUCCGAUCUAUUCAAACCUAAAGCAGACUUCCAGAAGGACCUACACAACCUCUACAACGCUGACUAGCACAAAAAGUGCUCUAUUCAAACCUAGAGCAAACUAUUCCACAGCCAUCAUCAUCGCGGGACAAGAAAUACCUACAUAACCUCUGCCAACAGUAGUCAGCAGUGCAUUGUAGAGCUUUCCAACGUCACCUAAUUUACCCGAAUCGGAUGACCAGAUUGCUAGAUAUAUUGCUGCAGGGUAAUGCUUGAUUAUUCGGAUGUUCACUUUGUUAGAUUUCCCCAAUAGUGUUCCUAAAAGAAGUGAUCUGCAACUAAACAUUCAAAGUUAGCUUGAAGAUACAAAACUUGGUGAUCUGGUAUUGAAGGCAACGGAGUGUUAAAUGGUUCUGCUUGACACGUAUGAUGACCGAUUGAAGAGUAUAUCGUUGGACACUGCUUUCUCUCAUUUCAUUAUGAUUCUCCGUGCUCUUCAUCUAAAUAAUGAGAAGGCUGAAAUGUUAGUACAACAUAAUAGGACAGUUGUCGCUGAUUCACAUGACAUUUGGUUUUCUUUCACACAUGAUUAGUGGCUGAAGGUAAUGUGAUCCCUUAAAUGUCCUCGUCAGCUUUCAACUCUCCAAUUUGAGGAACUUAUGAUCUUUUCUCCCUUAUGUUUACCUUUUAACAAUUUACCAAUUCAGCUUUAAGUCAUUCAAUUUGCCAAUUGAGUCCUGAACCUUUUGACAAUUUAUCAAUGGAGUCCAUCUUGCCAAAAUUGCUAAUUUCAUGUUGGGAUCAAGUCAAUUUUUCGGUUUUGCAUCACAAAGUAACACUUAGCACCUUGCCAUGUGCAUGAAAGAUACAUUUGGGAGUGAUGUGCUUUUUGUUAGACGCAUAUUGCGCAAACCCCAAGAUCUCCAUAACUAGAACAAGCACACGCGCGAUUGAGUAGAAAGAAUUGACGCACCUGUUUUAGGAUCGAUUGUUCUUGAAGUGGAAGCGGAAACACAAUGUUCCAUGCGCAAGUCCUUCUCCUCUAUUGCCCUCCGUAUCACUGGCUCAAUGAGGCGGCCCCCUCACAUGUAGCGUUAGGUAAACGCCCCUUAGGUGAGGAUAUAUGUGAGAAUUAGGGUUAGAGGAGAGACUUGAGCACUAUUUAUAGAGUUUCCAACCAGUCCCCCUCAUUACGGGCCAGGCUCAACUCGGCCCACACUAGCCAGCCCAUAUUAGACUAAUUAAGAAACCUACUAUCUCACCUUAGACCAAACCCCGUAAAACGAUAAACGUUAAACGGUAAAUUACAAUAUCAAUUAAUGUAGUCCACAAUUAGAAAAACUCUUACAUUUUCCCACUUGGACUAUAUUAAUUGAAAUCGUACUGUAUGUGCGCACAUUGGUCCAGAGAUAAUUCUUAAUAGUCAAUCCUAUCCCAUAAAGUCUUAAACACCGAAUCAUGGCGGUAACUGCAUGUAUACACACAGAGCCUUCCAUGGUCACAAGUGCUCUCAACUUUAUUGAUAUGGAUUCAAUAUGGUAGUGUGGCAAAUGGAUAACAUCUCUCAUAGAGAGACCCCAUUUGUCAGUCACCAUUCUCUUAACUUUAGGUGUCAUAAAAACUUGUGCCACUAGAGAAUGCUUUAUGGUUCCAAUGAACCCACAUAUGUCUUGUCCUUACGGUUAACAUUUCUUUAUGUAUCACAAGACAUAUGCACAAGGCUAAUAACCGGAUGCCCGGAUGCCCCUAGCCUUCACUCAAGGUUUAAGUAAUACCUUGAGACUUUUAACAAUAUAUAUAUUCAACAUAAUAACAAUCCAUUCAAAAUAUUUUAUUGAAUGCAAAAGUUGACAUAUAUAUAUCAAAGUGUUACUAAAUUGUAACAAAACAGAUGUAGACUUUAUUCAAAGAAAAAUAAAAACACAGCUCCCACUAAAUAACAGCAUCCCAAGAUGCUCCUAGGCCCAUACUAAUGACAUGUCGAUCAAAAACACACGGGCGUAGGCCUUUAGUUAAUGGGUCUGCAACCAUAUCAUCUGUAUGAAUAUAAUUUACCGCAACGUCACCAUUCUGUACUAAUUCUUUUAUAGUCAAAAACUUGACCUCCAUGUGUUUAGACCCCUUUAAACUUCUGUUGUUAUUAAUAAACAACACUGCAGAGUUAUUAUCACAAUAUAACUGUAUGGGUCUAUCCACAAAACCAUAAACUGAUAACUCUCUAAUGAGGUUCCGGAGCCAAAUAGCUUGAGUAGCAGCUGAAAAGCAUGCUACAAACUCCACUUGCAUGGUUGAAGAAGAUAUGGAUUUCUGUUUCUCGCUCUUCCAUGAUACUGCACCUCCUGCCAACAUAAAUAUAUAUCCAGUCGUUGAUUUCUUAUCAUCUUGAUAACCAGCAAAAUCUGCAUCUGAAUACCCUACUAGUUGCAGGUCUGGAACAUAUUUAUAAAUCAGCAUAUAAUCUUUUGUUCUUUUUAAGUACCUUAAAACCUUCUUGGCAGCAACCCAGUGAUCGCGUCUUGGAUUAGACUGAUAUCUGCCUAGAAGCCCUGUUGCAAAAGCAAUAUCUGGCCUAUUGCAAACUUGAGCAUAUAUGAUGCUUCCAAGCACACUAGCAUAAGGCAAAUCCUUCAUUUGAGCUUUCUCAAAAUCUGAAUUAGGGCAUUGUGAAAGACUCAAUUUAUCACCCUUAACAACAGGAGCAAUUCCUGGUUUGCAAUCCUGCAUAUUGAAUCUUUCUAAAAUGCAAUCAAUAUAUGCCCUCUGAGAUAAACCCAAUGAACGGCUUGAGCGAUCCCUAUGGAUCUCAAUGCCAAGAACAAAAGACGCCUUACCAAGGUCUUUCAUGUCAAAAUUUUUCGAUAACAUCCGCUUUGUCUCAUGCAGUAAACCAAUGUCACUACUAGCAAGCAAGAUAUCAUCUACAUAAAGUAUGAGAAAAAUAUAUUUCCUCCCACUGACCUUGGUGUAUAUGCACUGAUCUACUUUGUUCUCAAUAAAUCCAAAUGAAGUCACAACACUAUGAAACUUGAAAUACCACUGUCUAGAAGCUUGCUUAAGGCCAUAAAUAGACUUUUUCAAUCUACAAACAAGCUGACCUGAGUCAUCUGCUACAAAACCUUCAGGCUGCACCAUAUAAACCUCCUCAUCAAGGUCUCCAUUUAGAAAAGCAGUCUUAACAUCCAUAUGGGGUAACUCCAUAUUGUAAUAAGCUACCAAUGCUAAGAUCACUCUAAAGGAAUCUUUAGAAGAAACUGGAGAAAAUGUUGCUUCAUAAUCUAUUCAUUCUCUUUGAGUGAAACCCUUAGCUACCAGUCUGGCUUUAAACUUUUCAAUCUUUCCUUUGGAAUCCCUUUUAGUCUUGAAUACCCAUUUGCAGCCAAUAGGUUUACAACCUUCAGGCAAUUCAACAAACUCCCAAACACGAUUGUGUUUCAUAGAUUGCAUCUCAUCUUUCAUCGCAUCUAACCACAAAUCUGAUUGAGGACAUGAGAUGGCUUCAGUAUAAGUCACGGGAUCAACAACACAGCCUAUGUCAUAAUCAUGCUCUCCCAGGUAGACUAGAUAGUCUGGUGGUAUAGCUGAACGUCUUUCUCUAGUUGAUCUUCUGAGUGGAGCUACUUCAACCUCAUUCUGAAUUUGAGGAGCUUGAGGAAUUUCAUCAGGAACUGUCUCAACAAUAGGAUCAUGAGCCACAUGAGGCUCCAUAAUUGUUUGCACAGGAUGAGACAUAGAUCCAGUAAUCCCCAUCGAUACAAGUCCUUUCCANNNNNNNNNNNNNNNNNNNNNNNNNNNNNNNNNNNNNNNNNNNNNNNNNNNNNNNNNNNNNNNNNNNNNNNNNNNNNNNNNNNNNNNNNNNNNNNNNNNNAUUCUUGUACCUCCAUUAGGGUUAUAAAAGCGAUACCCCUUUGAAUGGUCUGGGUAAGACACGAAGUAACAUCGAGUAGUUUUGGAAUCCAGUUUACUCAAUGUUGGAUUAUAUAACUUCACUUCUGUUGGACAUCCCCAAACUCUAAGAUGAUUCAAGCCUGGUUUACGCCCAGUCCACAACUCAAGAAGGGUCAAUGGAAUUGCUUUAGUAGGAACACGAUUUAGAAUAUAAAGAGCUGUUUUCAAAGCUUCUCCCCACAGAAAAUUAGGUAAAUUUGUCAUACUAAUCAUACUUCUCAUCAUGUCCAUAAGAGUACGAUUCCGCCUUUCAGCUACUCCAUUUUGUUCAGGACUUCCAGGCAUAGUAAAUUGACCUAUUAUCCCAGAAUCCUCUAAGUAUUUAGCAAAUGGCCCUUUAAGCUGUCCAGCAUCACCGUGCCUACCAAAAUACUCACCACCACGAUCAGAUCUGACAAUCUUAAUAACUUUUCCCAACUGUUUCUCCACUUCAGUCCGAAAAAUCUUGAAUUUAUCAAGAGACUCGGACUUUUCUUUAAUCAAGUAUAAGUAUCCAUAUCGGGAAUAGUCGUCAAUAAAUGUGAUGAAAUAAAAAUUUCUGCACAAAGUAGCCGUGUAUGGUCCACUAAUGUUAGUGUGAAUAACCUCCAACAAAUCUGAACUUCGUACAGUAGAUUUCUUCUUUAUCUUAGUCAUCUUACCUCUGCAACAGUCUACGCAAGUCUCUUGAUCAUCUUUAAGAGUAGGCAAGAUAUCAGCCUUUAUAAGCCUUUUUACUUUGUCUUUAGAGAUGUGACCAAGACGUUUAUGCCACAAUGCAUAAGACUGUUCCUUAGGUAGAGGUCUUUUGGAAACAACCUUUUCAGCGGAAUAAGCAACGUAUAUGUCGUUGGGAGAUAAUCUCAAUCGAUAUAAUCCAUCAGAUAAAUUGCAACACCCAAUCUUAUUUGAAUAAAAAAACAUGGAAUUAGUAUUACUCUUUAUUUCAAAAGAGUAUCCACACAUGUCCAAACAAGACACAGAAACUAAAUUCCGCCUAAAAGAAGGUAUGUAAAAAGUGUUUCUUAACACCAUCCGAAAACCAGAAUCUAAAAUCAAAAUAACAUCUCCCACGAACUCAACGUUAACUCCAACGUUGUUUCCAACAGUGAGCUUUGAUUCAUCCUGAGUUGGCGUCAUUCGGUUUAUGAACCCCUGUAUAGUAAAUGCAACAUGAUUAGUUGCACCACUAUCUAGCCACCAAGAAUUGGUCGGAACUUUAGAUAGAUUGGAUUCAUAAACUAAUGCCAAAGAAUCAUUACCUUUAGGCUCUCUCUUAUUUCUCUUAGACAACCAAGCCUUAAACUUGCUACAACGUUUCUUCACGUGUCCUCUCUCCCUACAAAAGUAGCAAAGAACACCAUCCUUCUUGGUGAUUGCCUUCUUAGGACCCAGAGUGUUAGAAGGACCUGCUCCUUCAGAAUUUCCUUUGUUGUUGGAGGGACCAGCAACUUCUGAAUUGCUUUUAUGGGUAUAAGUUUUCACUUCUUACCCUUGUCACUAGCAGAACUAGAAGCAUAAAGAGCAUAUGUCCUUAUCUUUCUUUAAUUNNNNNNNNNNNNNNNNNNNNNNNNNNNNNNNNNNNNNNNNNNNNNNNNNNNNNNNNNNNNNNNNNNNNNNNNNNNNNNNNNNNNNNNNNNNNNNNNNNNNAUCAGGUCAUUAACAGACCAGGUUUCAUCUUGGGAAUUAUAAUUGGUCUUAAUAAUCCCAAAAUCAGGAGGAAGAGUAUUUAGAGCUUGAUGGACAAUGCAAGCAGUAGGAAUUUCCACAUUGAGAAUCUGAAGCUUUGUUUGCAAAUCAACCAUCCUCAGAACAUAAUCUCUAACUCCACCAGAACCAUCAUACUUCAUAGUAAAAAGUGUUUGCAUAUGUGUCCCUAUCUCAGCAUUAGGCGACACACGAUUUCUAGCCAUCAAAGCUUCCAUCAUCUGUCUAGCAUUGCAGUUUGCAGGCAAACCACUUUUUAAGUGUUCCUGAAUGAAAUGCUUCAUGGACAGCAAGCAAAUUCUAUUGCUCUUUUCCCAUGCAGCAAAAUUUGCUUUUUGAGCCUCUGUACUCUCGGCAGUCAAAUCUGCCAGCCGAUCAGCAGUAAGAGCCAUAUGAACGUCGGCCAUCUCCAUAGCAAACAGAAAAUCCUCUCUCCAUCUCUUAAAAUUCGAACCAGCAAGAACCUCAAUGGUGACAGAGUUACCAUUUACAGAAAAGGUGACUGAAAGACAAGUAAUAUAUACAAUUAGCAUCAUGUGAGCAUUGUGUAACUUGACGCACAAGUACACAUCCAGAGAGUUACAUGCAAAAUCACAUAAUCACCUUUGGGCAGAAUACAUGACAAGCAAUAUAUACACUCCCCACAUGAUAAGGGUUAUGAGAAUAUAUUCCAAUCUUCGUGAAUUCAUCACCUUUGGGUAUAUGAACCAUUAGGAUCGGUCACUCCUCCACCACACUAUCAUGUAUCCCUCCAUAAACUAAUACAUAAUCACCUCAUUUGGGAGUAUAACUAUGCAUUAGACCAGGAGACAUCCCAAUCAAUAUAUGAGAUCGAAAUUUCUCAAACUCAACCAAGUGUGCCACUUUGGCGGUCACAACUCAAUUGAAUCCUUGAAACUCUCUCAUCCCAGGGAUAUAAUCUUUACAUCUCACAUACAUCAUAUACAUGUGAUUUAACUUUAGUGAUAGGGGCAUCAUAUCACUCAAAUCACAUGCCAUGCUAAUUAUAUUGCCUUAUUCAUUAAUAAAAUACAAUCAAGUUUAAUUUUUAUUAAUGAAUCACACUUUUAUAAUGUUUAUGUGAUAACAUAGCUGUAUCCCGGCACCUGUAUUUUCUAAAUCACAGAAAAAUACAAGAAAAAUACGCAAAAAAUACACUAAAAAGCACGUAUUUUGGGCUUUGCAUGUAUUUUCACAUCCAUAAAAUCAUUAAAAAUAUAAAAUAAAUACACCAUGACGUAGGAAAUAAGCAUACGAGUCCGUCGCCGCCGACCACGCGCGAAUUGGAGUCUCCACGCGCCCGCACGCGCCGCUUGAGUGAGCGGAGCGUAGAGCACACGCUCGGCGCGUGUUCGACGCGCAGGAGGUGCGUGGCCGUGCGUAGGGGUGCGUGCGGCCUCCUCCGGCGACGCGCCGCCCACGGUUUUCUUCGUCUCGUCGAUCCCAAUCCGAAUAUAUAAUUUAAUUUAAUUUUUAUUGAACGAAAAGUCUCGAAAAUCGCAAAUUAGGGCAAGAUCCGCACUAAUUAGGGUUAAUCCGUACAAAUUAGGGCAAAAUCAAUUGCGUUCGUGUUCUAGGGUUAUGGAGGCUCUGAUACCACAUGUUAGACGCAUAUUGCGCAAACCCCAAGAUCUCCAUAACUAGAACAAGCACACUCGCGAUUGAGUAGAAAGAAUUGACGCACCUGUUUUAGGAUCCAUUGUUCUUGAAGCGGAAGCGGAAACACAAUGUUCCACGCGCAAGUCCUUCUCCUCUAUUGCCCUCCGUAUCACUGGCUCAAUGAGGCGGCCCCCUCACGUGUAGCGUUAGGUAAACGCUCCUUAGGUGAUGAUAUAUGUGAGAAUUAGGGUUAGAGGAGAGAUUUGAGCACUAUUUAUAGAGUUUCCAACCAGUCCCCCUCAUUACGGGCCAGGCUCAACUCGGCCCACACUAGCCAGCCCAUAUUAGACUAAUUAAGAAACCUACUAUCUCACCUUAGACCAAACCCCGUAAAACGAUAAACGUUAAACGGUAAAUUACAAUAUCAAUUAAUGCAGUCCACAAUUAGAAAAACUCUUACACUUUUCGGAUAUCGCGUUCUUCAUGACAGGGGUUAGCAAAUUUUGCCAAAUGAAAUCUUUGCUUUUACAUGUUAAAAGAUGACGUACAACUACAGUUAUUUUGUAUUGAAGACAAACUUUCAGGUCUUCCCAUCAAUGACAGGUAUAUUGUUACCAGGAUAGUAUAUGCUUGUAAAACAGUUUCGUAUGGUUUUCUUAUGAAUCUCUUUCCUGCAUUUGAUGUUGACCUUGCAAUCUUUUGGCUGGUGAAUGUAAACAAUCUUCUUUGUUCUCGUCCUGUGUGGAUCCUUUGCUUUUGUUUCCCGCGCAGCAGAACCCUAGAUUUUUAACCUCUUUUCGAAGUCUUAAAUUUGGUGGUACUGAGAUGAUGGGUGUGAAUGAAUUUAUUCCUUUUUGUUCUUUUCCAUUUUGGGCGACUUAUGUCUCAUCUCAAUCAAUGGAUGAAAGAGGGAAGAGUCAAAGAUCCAAUGUUAUUCCCUUUGUCUUACUAUUGCUCUGGAAUACACUUAGAGAGCACCAAUAUACCUUUGAUUCAUGUGGUUUAUGACUAUUGAUAGCUGACAAAAUCAGAUUUUUGGGAUCAUUUUAACGAUCCAUUAUCUGUUGAGCCAGAAAACGACAAGUAUGUUCUGUGACAUCCAGAAUUUUCAGUAUUGUUUUCUAUUAAAUUAAUCGGGCAUUUCAUUGACGUGUCUAUAGGGUUGUUCUCAGAGCUGAUCACUCUCGAGAUAACUAGACUAGCUGGGUAUGCCAUUAAAGAAUAUUAAGGCAAUAGACUUGAGAAUUCGACCAGGAAGCGGCUUCUCGACCGUGUUCAUCUUUAGAGGUCAUUACUGCACAGUAAAGAUCGAAUUGAGAUCAGAGAUAGGUCGGUUCGACUGAGAUGUGUGGCCGAUCGUGGGUGACUCCACUAAAUUGGAAAAAUUCUCGUCAACCGGCACUAAUUUGAUUUUCUGUCGUUUUGGUACCCUGUGUUGGUAGUCGAGCCAUCGAGAUUUUUACGACAAUUGAGAGUCGCCAAUGUGUCGAGUGGGUUCAUUGUGGCUCGAAGAAAAUCGACCACGAGUCAAUUGCCCUAAAAAGUUCUGAAAACUACCCGGUAGUCUAGGUCACACUAAAAGCACGCCGGAGUGAAAUUAACCGUCGAUUUGAGCCAGAUUUCAGAAAUCGAAAGUUCAGUGAUGUCACAAGCUAUUUUAGGAACGUCAACUCAGUCUCAGAAGAUUUUUCGGACGUUCCGAGAUUUUUACGGAAAUUGGGUUCGGACGUCAUGGAAGUUUGGCCGAAGUUCAGAUUGGCUAAAUUAAUGGGAAAUUUGACUUCUGGGUUGAGCCUGUGUGUGUCGGAGAUUUAUAGAAAAUUUCUUGGGAUUUUUCUACGUCGAAAUUGGACCUCAAUUUGGGAAUUUAUUGGAGAAAUUGAAGUUCAAAUGGUGAAAUUCGUAUCAUCCCCUCACCCUAGCAAUAUUGGACUACUUGAGAGGUUAUGGAAGUCAUUUGGAUGGUCUAAUGAGGGCCAAGUGUUUUUACUUGGCUAAGAGUGAUUCAUGGAGAUAUUCUUGCAAAAUAUCAAGCUAAGGCCCACCUCUUCCUCAUCCUCUCCAUCUUGCUGCCAUGAAUUGCUUCUCUCCCCUUUCCAUUUUUCUCUGGCGUGCGACCCUUCCAACAGCAAUUGAAGAAGACCCGGCUGCUUCCUUCGAAAUUUUCCGAGCGUCCACCAAGCUGCCCGAGAAGCUCAGCAUCCGUCGAAUUCUCCACCGCUUCGUGUCUUCAGCCAGCUCACGCUUGGUCAAUAGCGAAGCCAGAAGAAGCCUCGUCGUUGACUGAAGAUCCUCACCGCACGAAGCCUUGAAGACCGAAACUCCACCGAGUGAAGCCUCGAUCCCACCGAGCUGGUCGGCCACUCACGCUAGCGAAGACCCUUGCAGCAGCUCCACCGAAACUCUUUUUCUUCCGCUUCGUUGAAGAUUGAUCAUCCACGAAGCUGCUCCAAGCAUCCACGCGGCUAGAAGUUCAAGCAGACAUCUCCACUACAAAUUGUCCCUUUGGUCAACAACAAGCCAUAGAAGCUCCUUGAUUGACCGAAUCAGCGACCUCACGUCCCAGCUGCAGCUGCUUCGUGCGUCCAGUGAAGUCUCCACGCGUCCAGGUCAACUGAAGCCGCUCCUUGCCGUUUGUUGACCCUGUCGGCCACUCACUCAUCUCCGGCACCGAACGAAGACUCCACCGGUUCUGCCGCUCCAGCUCGUCGAAGCUCCACCAACCGCAGCUCACGUGUCCGUUUAGCCGCAGUGGAUUCCAGCGCCCCUCGCCACUUCUUUCGUUUAGUUAGCGUGAAGACCGAAACCACGGAUCCAGCGGCCUCGAUUUUCUUUUGCUUGUGGACAGACCUCAGCGAGCCCAUUCCGCUUCUCUUGCCGGCCCAGCUCGCUCAAACUCAAUUGAAGCCCAUCGAAUUGGACUUAUUUCAGCCCAAAGAGAGCAGACCAUUUUCAGUUUAAUUUCAAGUCUAGCAAGUUGCAAGCCCAAUUUCCAGCAAAGAAAUUUGAAGCCCAAGUGAAGUCAGUCCAGAAAUUUCAGCUGGCCCAAUUCAACUUGAGUCCGGCCCAAAAGCAAGUACAAAUCUCAGUUGGGCUGAGAUUUGUUGGGCCAAGUCCAAGGCCCGGUCCAAGCCCGCCGGUGUUGUCGGAAGUCCGAUUUCGGCCGCCGUUGCGUCGUCGUUGCGGUGAUUCGAUCUCCGCUUUUGUCAAGUGAGUUUUACUCACUAAUGCUUUAAUUAAGUGCACUUAGGUGGUUAGAACAAUUAAUUUAGUGACUUAAUGAUGCAUGUUAGGUGGUUAGACCUAGCUAUUAGCAAGUAGAAAUGUUUGGUUAUUUAUUGAAUGCAUCUCGGGAUUUUUCCUGACCCGUUUCGGGCUCCAAUAAGGCAAUAUAGGCCUAAAUUGGAUUUUUUUAUGUUUAUUUAUUUAUUUUUCGAAAUUAAUUAUUUAAUUAAUUAUUUUUCUGGAAUUCAACCGGGAUGGCCGGUGACCGGAAUUUCGUGCCGAUUGUCGUGGUGCAGACCGUUUAUUUAUUUGAGCUCUACGUUGUGUGGAAUUGAAUUUAUUGUGGAAUUUUAGGAAUUGUCCUAAAUUGUUUGUUAUUGAGUAUUUGAUUGGUAAUGGCUAAGCAUAGAUAUAUAGCGCCAGUACGUUGAUGGGCUAUAUAGUAGAGAGAAUGGUGAGACCAAUCAGGUACGAUAUUAUUGGACAUACGUGGUUCGGUGAUUGGAAGUAUCACUGGCGAAAACGGCGCCUUAAAGAACGCACGUAAAUGACUUAUAGACAAACGUGGUUCGGUGGUUAUGGGAAUAUCACUGGUGAAAACGGCGCCUUAAAGAACGCACGAUGUUGUCUAUAGCCGAUGUCACCUUGGCGAAAACGGCGCCCUUGAAAGGACACGUGGUUCGGUGAUCAAGGUUAUCACUGGUGAAAACGGCGCCUUAAAGAACGCACGGUGUCGGUGAUCGGUAUGUCAUUGGCGAAAACGACGCCCGAGAAACACAUGUGAUUUGGUGAAUGAGUACACCACUGGGAAUUCGUGGUAUGAGUGGGAAUGACCUAGAAAGGGUCUGGCUGACAUGUAAUCGACUUAGUCGAUUGAUCAAUGCUUGAUCGGAUGUCGUGAAUUGUUUGAAUGCUUGUGUUUAACCUUGAAUUGCAGGUUGGAACUGAGGCCAAGGUAAGUCCUCUGACUCGUGUUGUGCUUAGGCAACCGUAUGGCGUAUUAGUUUAUUAAUCGAGUCUUAGUGGGUAGGACUCGCUGAGAUGUGGUCUCAUUGGUUAUUGAAUAACCAUUUCAGGACCCUGUGGAGAAUCUAAUGAAGAGGAACCUGAAGAGGAGAAAGAUGUUUGAGGAAGAAGAUGAUCCAGAGAGGGAUCUUAAAUAUAACCCAGAUGUGGAUUGAGAUCCCAUCCCUUUUGUGAACCCUGUCUUGGUAUAGAUAGGUGUGAGACUUUUAUGCUAUAAAUAGUAUUGUAAAUAUACUGUGAGUUGUGCUGUUAACGAAAGUGUGGUUGUGAAUUUCAAUAUGAAAAAUAUGGCCUACUUUCCUAUCCCAUUGUUUUAUUGUCUGGGGAUUUAUAACUGCAUCCGCAUGUGCUGAAUAAAUUGAAAGGGUCGGCGAUACAUAGUCCUAGGAUAUCGCAUUCUAAAAUCGACCAAGUAGAAGGAUGUGCGCGCGUCUGAGGAUCGGGGCGUGACAUGUUCCUCAGCAAAAGGCAAAAAUCUUACUAGUUUUACGUGUGACUCCUUUUAAUGGCAUUCUUAUAACACGGAGCCUUUAUUCUAUAAAUCUAAUAGAUGUGUUGAAUUGUAUCUGGACCAAAAAAGAAUGUGGGAUCGAAUGGAAAUCUCAAAAGAAAAAAAAAAUUCACAAUCAGCAUAAGCAAAGGAAGCAGGGGAGAAGAAAAUGGAUUUCAUAAAUUUAAAUAAAGAUGGAAAUUUGACAAACUUUAUAAGGUAUCUACUCUUGACUAGGUUGAUGUAUAUUUCAAGUAACAUAUAACUUUCACAUGUCAAUUUCAACUCUCCUCAAACACUUGGUAAUAGACUAGCGUCAAGAUUAUAGGUAUUGCAUUUUCAUGAGUUCACAUUCGUGGACAAUGAUUUGUGUUGGCUCACUCUAGUCAAUUUAAGGGAAAAAGAGUAUAAUUAUAGAAAAAUAACAUUACCACGUAUGCUAUCACAUCAAUAUUAGUUAUUUAGAGUUAACAAGCAAAUUGAAGAGUUUGAUUUAUAAUGUAUUUACAUAGCAUUACUGGACAUCUAGAUUUUAUUAAAAUACUUGAGAGAAACUGUGCAAACCCCAUAAAAAGCCCCAUCAUAAAAUGAAAAUUUCAAUAUAAUUAUUAUAUUGCAAUUGGGUUUUUCCAUUGCAUCAUUUAUAAAAUAAAUUUGUACAAUAUUUUCAUGAUAAAUAAUGGUCUCUUGUCUCCUAAUGCAACUAAGCAAGCAAGAUGAUGGAAGACUUUGACUUGCAUUCAAUCACUAGAAUCUUUUUUUCCCCUUUUUCGUUUGAGUAGGCCACAUUGGCUUUUACCUUAUCCCUUUCUUGGCAACUAAGCAAGCAAGAUGGUGGAAGACUUUGACUUACUUUUUCUCCCUCAUCCUUUUCCCCCCUUUCUUUUGAGUAGGUCUUGUCGGCUUUUCCCUAAUCACUUUCUUUGCAACUAAGCAAGCAAGAUGGUGGAAGAUUUGACUUGCUUUUUCUCGCUCGUCCUAUUUCCCCCCUUUCUUUUGAGUAGGUCUUGUUGGCUUUUGCCUCAUCACUUUCUUUGCAACUAAGCAACUAAGAUGGUGGAAGAAUUUGACUUGCUUUCCCUUACCGCAAAAUUUUCUAAAAGGUAAUUAACUCGAUUUCAUAGAAAAUUUGAUAUAGAAUCUUCCAAAAAAUUAUUUUUUUUCAUGAUAAAGAUUUCUUUUGCAGAAUGCAAAUACUGGCAUGAGCAUGCCAUGUAAGAAGAAAUAUCCCAUUGACCCAAUUUGACGUUGCCCUUAACUGCGAUAACAACAUAUUUGUUCUUGAGUUAAUCCAUAUAUGAUAUAGGUCACCAAAUAUGAGUGACAACGGGAAGGGAAAGCAAAAUGUUGUCAAUCUUCACUUUGAUUUGUGUGGUCAUGUGAUCCCAUCACAGAGGGAACUAACAAAAGGUGAGAGUUAGUUAGUUAAAGAAAUAAAUGUCCUCAUCGAAGAUGCACAAAUCCACGGUAGGAUUGUGUGUAUCCCAAGCACAUUUGGCUCAUCUAUUGAGGCAAGAGAAAAAGUAAUUUCCAAUAUCAACACCUUGUAAAAGUAGCCAAUUAAAGGAGAUGAUUGCAAGGCUCUUUUGACAUAGUAUCAUGUGAAACUAAUUUCCAUUGUGAACACCUUGACUUCAGCAUAAACGUAUCUAUUUAUUGGUUGAUGGGGUAGGUAAAGCAAAGGGCGAGGACAAAGCAAAAAGUAUCACCCAUCUUCAAUUUGAUUUGAGUGACCACACCAUCCAAUUACAAUCUAAUUGUUGCGUCGAUUAGCAAUACAGUUGCCAGUCAAUCAAUAAUUUGAGAGGCCACGUGGAGCCAUUGUGAAAAGUUGAGGAUAAAGCAAAAAAGUAUUGCCAAUCUUCCAAAAGUUAAUUUCCUCUGUGAUUUGCUUGGCCACGAGCUCUAAUAACAAAAGGAACUAACAAGUCAAGUCUACAGGGGGUCGUCUUUCCAAUUUCAAGGAGAAGAUUGUUUUGGCGGUCGUGGUCAAAAAGGUUAGAAUCAAAAGAAGUACAAUUGCCUCGUCUAAGAAACACCAUUUGCCACAAGAUUGCACGUCUCCUUUGGGGCAAGAGAAGAAGUAAAGCUUUGUAUAAAGUCCCAAGUGCUUGUGCUUGAAGAGGAGAAAUGCCAAUCACCAGAAAUCACUGAGAGGCUCGUUUUUGUUAUGAGAUAUCUAGGUUGAAGCAUGAAGGUGAACCUUGAAUUGCAUUGACUUUCAAGAUUCUGACACAACUUGAUUUGCUUCAAGGCAACUUCUUCUCAAAUACUGAAACCCAUCACAGUAAUUUCAUCUAUAAAUCGCUCCUCGAGGUAAGCCUAACCUUCAUUCUCUAGUCUAUUACAAUUGAUAGGACAAAAACACAUUUGAUUAUUACUCAUGGCAUAACACCUAACAUCCUUUAAGGCAUACAAAAUGUUACUUGUGAAAUUCCCUUGACUUUUUAAAAAUCAUCAUCACAUAUAUUGCUAAUUUUUCUUACUUCAAUCUUCUCAUUUGAACUAAUCAAUUAUUUUGACCAUAAAAAAAUUGGUUAUGUAUGGCUAGACCAGUUGAAUCCGGUGGAAUUGCAUGCCGGCCCUUAUGCUGAUGUUGUUUUCAAAACAUUGUUGAUUGACCGAACUCCCUUGGGACAAAAAGUCUGCUUGACGAAAAUUGCAAAAAUACCCUUCUAGACCCGAUUUUGGGUUCAUCGGCCCUAUACAUACCCCAAUUGUCCCAAAUUACUUAAACCCUGAAACAUCCAAAAUAAUCAGUUUUAGUAGAAAUAAUUCUUUUUUUUUCUUGAAAACAAUUAAAAAACUAGAUUUUUCCAAAUAUCAAUCGUGCAAGUCUAUUCCCUUCAAUAAUCGCACAAAACCUUUCAUAGGCUACGAAUUAGAAUUGUCAAGAACAAAAAUUUAUCUGAAUGGAUCAAACUAGCUAGAAAAUUGCUGGAUGUCCAUAAAACCGAUUUCCAUUAUAUUGGCAAUUUUCGUAAUUUCUGGAAAAAUGACAGAAAAUUCAAAUGCUUUCCAGAAAUUAUGAAAAAUUCACGAUUGUACUUUCUUUUCUUUUCUUUGUUUUGUGCUGGUUACAAUGGAAAACUUGAAAGUCAGCGAAGCUGCUGGUUUCAAUGCACUUGCAUGUAUUUAUUAUGUGGACAAUUUUUAGGUGGACUUUGUCUUUGCGGAUUAAAUUAGAGAAACUCAUCAUAAAGUAUGGUUUUUGUGUGAUUUUACUGCUUAUAGCAAUGACAUGACUUUUACGUAUAUAUAGCGUAGACAAUUAUUGACCCAUGAUGGAUUUGACAAUAUGAUUUAUGCAUAUUUGGGGUGGCAGGAGAAUGCAGCAUUUACAGGACUAAAAACGUCUUUGAUAAUAAUAUAAUGGAAGAUUAACAAGCCGGUUAGAGCCACAUUUAUCUGUAUAACAAAAUAGUUUUAAGUGGAUAUGAACAGAAGUGGCCAUUCCGUACUCUAUUCCAAAUUGUGUGGCUUGACUAGGCUUGCCAUCUGAAAACAAUUUAAUAGCUACGGUCAAUCAGCAUAUCAUCUACCAAUCGAUCAAUAAUAAUUUGAGACUAUCGUCUACUACUGAUUGGUCCUCUCUCUCUCUCUCUCUCUCUCUCUCUCUCUCUCUCAUCUCUCACUUUAGCUUUUGCAUUCGGCCUCUCUCUUGCAGAACAAUUCGAGAUUAUCAUCUACUGUUUAGUCCUCACUCGCUUUCUCUAUUCUUUUCCCUCUUGAAAGUUCUCACCCAGGCUUUUUUACAAUCUCCUCUCUCUCCGUUCUCAGCCUGUCUUCGCAUCUCAGCUCGCGGGAGGUAAUUGCUUUUUCAUCUCUUAUUAGCUUGUCGUUUAUAUUGAUUUGUCGCCUUGUUAUUAGAAUAAUUGACUGAACUAAAAGUGUUCCGGGCCCUUUUUGUCUAUUGGGGAUGUGGGGUGGCUGCUGAGUAGAGAGGAGGGUCUUUUAUUCUCUCUUUUGGAAUCGCUGUUGCCUAUUAAACUUCGAUGAAAAAGGAAAGCCUUUAUUUUCGACUUUAGAUGUGGCUAAUCCUAUGAUGCCCUUGCUGUCUAAUUGUUAGUUGCAUCGUAACUUAGCAUUGAUCUUUUGUUGAGUAGUUCUGCAAGCGCACUAGACUCUAUUGCAUGCAAAAUUGCCACAUUUCGCUUGAAUCCAGAGGCCAUGUUUUUUUAUCCGCUAUGAGGUUUCUCUGUGUUUGAAGGUCCUAGAUCAAUUUAAGGAAAAAUAAAUCAGAAAAAUAAAAGUAAGCUGGUUCAAGGUCAACUAAUUUGGUUCUCGGUUACAAAAACAGAGAAUUGAUAUUACAAAAUAACCUAAUUUUGAGUUUAGAAUCUACUCAUCUCAAAACUGAUCAUCCUAAGAGUAACUCUUCUCUUAAGAUAUUUCAUCUGACAAUUUUACCUUCCUAUAUAACACUCUAGAUGAGUAAUAUUAUGUUUUCCUCGAAUUGUUGGACCAUUAAUCCUAUAACAUAUGUUCCCUUUCACCUCUAACUCAUUUUUUCCCCUCUUUAGCAAGAAAAGAAAGAAAGAAAGAAAAACUCAUUUUCUCCCUUCAAAGCUUUAAAAAUUGAUCGAUUCUUUACUUGGAAAAAAGAAAAGUAAAUGAGUAAUAAAAAAGUAUGGGGAAAGUUUGUGCAUUUUAACCAUAUCGCUACUUUUCACCUGCUCUCAAGUAAUGAUAGUUUCAAUCAUCACAACAUAAAACAUACCAAAAUCCAUAGCAUGAUACUUCUUAAUUUUUUUACAUGAUAUCUAAUAGUGAGAAAAAAAAAUAGUUCGAUCUUAUGACACACGCAAGAAAACAAUUAAAUAAGUCGAGCCAUAUGCACAUGCUAGGAGAUUCACCCUGCUUUAUAUCACUCAUUUCUUACGCCUCUUUUGUUGCAAAGAAUAAAUUCGUUCUUGAGAUAUGUGAUUAAUCAAUUUAACCUGACGUAUCUCAAAUUUAGCCGAUAAUCUUAUUCUACUUCCAUUUUAUUGGAUAAAAAAUCUUUUUGGUGAUAUUCUCAAGGUGGGCCCUCCAACGAAAAUGGGGACAAGCACUCAACGCUAUUGUUUCAAAUCUUGGUUGUCUCUGAAUUUUCCUCAGCAACUUCCUUUUACUUUCUUUCUUCUCUUUUUCUCUUUCUUCCAUUGAAUCAGUACCUAAUUUCUAAUCGUUCAGACUAACAAGGAGAAAGAAAAGAGUGCAUAAAAAGAGAGUACUGAGGGAGCAUCCGCUCCACCUUUUGGUGUCACCUAACAAAUUAUAUCUCUAUUUUACAAUCAAGAUAUCAAUCAACUUUUAGAUUUGAAAAUUUGAAAUAAAAGGCUCAGCGAUAACACACUAGUUCAAAAUAAAUUCAUUUUAAAUGGAAUUGUAGCAUGUGGUGCUAGCAGGGAAUAGAUGAAAGAUAAAUAACCACGAGCACUUGUUUAUCUCUGUCUCACAUUUCCAACUUCAUUAAGAAUAUUGCAAUUUUAAACAAAAUUAAAAUAUAAAAUCCCAUUGACAAUUAGUAGCUCGGUCCUUUCUUGAUGUCUUUCACAAAUCUCUAAUUCCGUUCCAACUCAAUCACUAACUUUUAAAUGGUUUAUCAAAUAUCUGUUAAAAAAAAUUGGUUUAUCAAAUUAUGGUUUUCAAUAACCAAAUAAAAAACUGGACGGAUGAUUAUAUUUUUAAGCGAAUGCAAUAUGCUUGUGCACAUAUUAUAGUUCUUUAUGGCCCAAUUGAAAAAUUAACGUACAUAUUACUUAUGAGUGGAUCAAGCCAACAAGUUUUGACUUGAAUAGAAUGAGGUCCAAAAGAAGAUAAGGUGAGGACUAAAAGCAUCUACAACUGCUCCUAGUCAAUCAAUUACCAAUUAUUUAAAGUUUUCAUGUUCGUUUUUUCUUGCAUGGUAACAUAUUCAUGCUCAUAAUUGUUCAUCGAUCCUUUUAUCCAGCAGAAAAGCAUCUUUCAUUCCAACUUUCGCCCUCAAAUUGCCAUGCAUCUUUCAUUCCACUUUUUGCUUUUAAUUCGUGUUCAUGAAGUUUUCCAUGUGUCAUGAAUUCAUAAUUCAAAAGCCUUUUGGAUGUUACCUCUAAAUAUCGCUACUUCCUUCUAAAAGUAGGCCCAAAGACACCAUUCCCUUCUUUUCUAUGCUUUUUCCUAAAUUAUCUUCUUCUUCUUUUAAUAUUUCACAAACUUCUUUUUUCAGUGGAUUAUUGACUUUUCAAGAGCUGAAUGAUAUGCCAACAAAAUAGUAAUAAAAAAAUGACCCGGAAAAGAACUCAAGGACAAUGUACAAGUAUUUCAUUUGUCAUUAGUAACUUAAUACUAACGCAUUAUGCUUAUUUGGUGUCAUUUAACAAAUUAUAGCGCAGACAAUAUAUCAAUCUAUAAUUUAAAUUUAAGAGUUAAAAGCGAAUAGCUUGGCCCUUAUAUAGAAAUAUUGGCAUGUGGGGCUAGCAUGAAAUAAAUAAGAGAGAAAUGACAACAACCAUUUGUUCAUCUCUACCUCGCAUUUCCAACUUCAAUAAGAACAUGGCAAUUUUAAAUAAAAUUAAAAAUAUGAAAUCAUCGAAUUUGAACCAAAACAUUAAGGAAGUGAAGCAAGCGACCCGAAACGAAUAGGGAAACAACAUUCACACAAAAAGAGAAAAGAUCAUAGGAGGGGGAGGGAGGGAGGGAGGGAGGGAGAGAAAGAGAGAGGACCAAGCCAACAAUCAUUUGCAAAUGUAUCUUUCGUCUUUCAUCAAUCCUUUUAAGCAAAAGAUAAGCAUAUUUCUUUUCAACUUCCCCUCUUAGAUCACCAUGGAAGAGCAGAGUCAAAGAAAGAGAGCAGAGGAAGAGAGCACUCAGGGAGCAUCCUCUUCUUCAUCCAUCUCUUCAGAAGCCACAGAUUUAUGUAGUGGUCAAUAUAACGUGUUCUUGAGCUUUAAAGGCUCAUAUACUCGCAAGACAUUCACCGAUCACCUCUACCACAGUCUAAUCAAGGUAGGAACUGUACUGUUUUGCGUGUUUAGGGAUGAGAACAACAUCCCAAUUGGAGAGGAAUUUGGUUCAAAGAUUCUUGAUGCCAUCGUACGGUCUAAGAUUUCGAUCCCUGUCAUCUCCGAAAAUUAUGCUUCAAGCAAAUGGUGCCUCCGCGAGCUCAUUCAUAUCAUGGACUAUAAGAAGAGCGCGUCACACAUAAUGUUGCCUAUAUUUUACAAAGUUGCUCCAUCGGAUGUGCGGCAUCUAAAAGGAAAUUUCGGAAAUGCCUUCCAAUCGAGUCGGGAACGUUUUGAUGAGAAGGAUAUCCAGGAAGGGCAACGAGCACUUAAUGAAGUCAGUUACUUAAAUGGAUGAGAAUCUCAAAAAAUUGAGGAUGGGUACUUUACUAAACUUUUCAUAAGUUUUCUUCUUCUCGCAAAACCAAGGACAUGAAGAUGAAUUACUUUCAUUGCAAGCUCAAAAAAGAUCCCCAAAAUAAACAACCAAAAUGACUUGAAGACAACAAACACCAGUACGCCCCAAUAGUCCCUAAAAACCAAACCAACGACACCUAAAACCAAAGCAUCCCAUAGUGCCCAAGAAUUUACAUUUUCCUCCAGUAUAGAGCCAAAAAAAGAAAGAAAUGACAAUACAUCCAGCCAAUAGUAUCAAUCACUAAACAAUAGGCCUCCAAAUGACUCCAAUGCUCGGUCUUCAAAGCUUGAUCACCACCAGAUAAAAUCAACCUCCUAUAGCCAACAAGUGUUGGCUCAGUUGAUAAGGAUAGAAUACUUUGCAUAGACUAUGUCUAGGUUCAUAACUUCUCAUUGUUUUUGUUGUUUGACAGGCAUGAGGGAAAAUUAAUAGAACAUGUGGUUGAAACAGUUAUAAGCAAGUUACGGAAAGAUUUUCAGCUGGAUAUGCCUGAGCAACUAGUUGGACUUGAUGAUCGUAUGAAGGAAAUUAUGAAUUGGAUCGACAAUCCUUCCAUGAAUGCUCGAAUGAUUGGAAUUUAUGGCAUGGGCGGGAUAGGCAAGACAACUCUUGCCAAGUGCAUCUACAAUCAACUCUCAAAUAAAUUUGUGCAUGUUAGCUUCCUUCCAGAUGUUCGAGAAACUACCAGGCGCCACGGUAUUACAUAUCUACAGAGUCAACUAAUAUCAGAUAUACUACAAAGCAAAAGUGAAGUGUCUAGAAUUGAUGAUGGAAUUAGUAUAAUCAAAUCUAGAUUCAAAUGGAAAAAGGUUCUCAUUCUUCUAGAUGAUAUAGAUUACAAGAGUCAACUAGAUGCGUUGGCUAGGGAGCGUCAUUGGUUUAUGGUAGGAAGUGUGAUCAUUGUUACAACUAGAAACAAAGCCAUUCUUGAUCAAUCUAAAUUUGAGGUAGACUACAAGUAUGAAUUGAAUGAAUUGGAUAAGGUGCAAAGUUUGCUUUUGUUCAAUAGACAUGCAUUUCGUAUGGACCAUUCUUUGAGGGAGUUUGAGGGUAUAUCUCGUGAUAUCAUAUCCAACAUGGGUGGGCUUCCCUUGGCAAUUCAAGUUGUAGGUUCAUACUUGUAUAAAAAAAUGAAUAGACAGGUAUGGGAAGACGUGCAGGAGCAAUUAAAAAAUGAACCACAUAGAGAUGUCCAAACGAUAUUGCAAAUCAGUUAUGAUGCAUUAGGAGAUGGAGAAGAGCAGAUUUUUCUCGAUAUUGUUUGUUUCUUUAUUGGCAAAGAGAGAAGAUUCGCCCAUGUACAUGUGGGAGGACUGUGGGCUUUAUCCAAGUCAAGGUAUUGAAGAGUUAGAGUUGAGGUGCUUAAUUAAAAUUAGAGAUGAUGGUUGGUUUGAGAUGCAUGACCAAUUGAGAGAUCUUGGAAGGAGCAUUUUUUGCCAAGGACAACCGCUUGAGAAACGUAGCGGACCAUGGGACUACAACUACAAGAGACUCUCAAAAGUACUACGUUUUGGAUUGGUAAAAUAUGGCACUGCUUUCUUUAUUACUCCCUCUUAUUUUAAUAUAUUUAAUCUAAUCUAUUCUACAAUUUCAUCUAGGAUUGACAUGUGCUCUUACUUUCUUGGAGUAAACAUCCACUUAUGUCCAUCUUAGAUUUAUUAUGACAGCUAAAUGAUUAUAAGUGUCUAAAGGAUGAAAAAGUUAUACCAUUUCAUUCAAUUUCAUUGAUAUAAAUUACAUUUGUAAAAAUUUGAUUGACAUUCAAUUUAAGAUCCUUUAACUACAAUUUACACUAUAAAUCUAGUUCACUAAAAGCAUGUAAUUGUCAUAUCUAGUUGAAAAUAUUGAUAAUCUAAAGGACUACAAUAAUGAAUGAAGAUGAAAUAUAAACAUCAUAGAUAAGAUAAAUGAAGAUAUCUUGAAAAAAAAAAAAAAGAUAGCAUGUGCCAAAAAUAAUAACUGAUAAGUAAUUCAAAAUGAUAAGAUUGGAAAAAAUUUCACACUUAUCACAUGUUCUUGCUUACUAGUGUGGCCAAAUCUAUUGGUGGUACUCUUGUGAUUUAGGAAUCCAAUGUUUGAUAUUUUUUUCUCCAUUUUGAUUUUGAAGAUACCCGUCCCUCUACUCUGCUAGUUAUAUCUAUCUCUUAUUUCCUUUUAAUAGAUAAGAUAGCGAAAAUUCCCUUAAAAGUUUUUUUUAGGAAAAUCUUACUUUUUUUAAGGUUUUGUCACAUUGACCUUGCUCAUUUCAUGGAUUAGGUUAGGUGUACGAUAAAUAGUGGAUUUUCUUAUAACAAACAUUUGUAUCCGCUCUAAGUUACUUAUAGCACAUACAACUAUUUGUAACAAAAAAAUCCAUGAAAACUGGCUAAUUGGAGGAAAUGCCAUACUUAUUAUUAUAUCCAUACCUUUGAGUAUAAUGAUGCUCAGCAUGAAGCCAAUAUUUUAGUUAAAUUAACAAUGUUCGUGUCAUUUUAUUAUUAUAUAUUAUCCAUUUAGGUUGCCUCAUGAUAUGAUUUAUACACUAUUGUCCAAUAUCACCAUGUCACUUGUUAAACAGACUUAACAAAAAAAAAGUUUCAGUUUUCAAAAAAAAAUGAUUAAACACUUCACAACAAUAGAUAAUGAUGUUAAAGAUAUGUAAAUAUCUUCUAGAGAUAUUUAGGAUAUUUUCUCUGAGUUUCUAUAUGUAUUUUGAUCAUAUCUGAUUUGACUUUCUUUGAUUUCCUUAGAUAGUCCUGUAAUAGAGUUUAUAAAUAGGCUCUCAAUGUAAUCUCUUCUAUAUAUAGAAAUAUAUUGAAAAUUCCCCAUUUUUUCUCUUCGACAUUAUUAUAUUUAACUAAUGAAAUGAAAAGCAGGUGUUUCCAUAGCUACUUACAGGUGGCCCACUGACAGUCCUUAACAAAUUCUUUCCAAAAUUAUACGAAAGUCAUUAAACUUUACAAAUAAACAUUUGUAUGUGGUAAAAUGGUUUCAUGUAUUUCGUAUUAAAAAAAGUCAAAGUGCACAUGUUACAAAAUUUGAAAAAAAGAAGAAGAAAAAAAUAAAACAUUGAGUUGCAUUUGCUUUAGUUGUUUUAGAGCAAUAACCAUUUUUUCUUUAUUUUCACGUCAUUUGUUUAAUUUUCGAAAGGAAAUUAAAUGUAACUUCACGUGUCCGUAUUUGUACACUGGGAAGGAUAGGGAGGUUACAAAUCGUGCAAAAUCUGAGAUUUAAGAAAAGAAAAAUCUAAAAAGUUAAAAGAAAAAAAAAACUUGCAGAGAUGCAAGAAAAAUCUAAAAAGUUAAAAGAAAAAAAAAAAAAACUUGCAGAGAUGCCCCUUAUGGUUCCGCAAAAUUUUGCGGAGACGCCUCUCCUGGUUCUGCGACAUUUUACGGGCAGAUUCAAGCAGGAACGCCAAUGACGAUCUCCUUUAUGAGGUGAGAUGGCUUCAGUGGAUGGUCGAGCAAAGUGAUUUGUCUCUUUGGAUGAUUAAUUUGCAUCUACCGAAAUUAUCGAUACUGGAUUUAUCAUAUAGUAACAUCACAGAGAAUUGGCGAGGAUGGAGUUCAUUCACUGUAAGAUUGAAAAAAGAAGAUAUCCUUUUUGCGAUUUUAGGGUUUUGUACUUGUUUAGCCGAUCAACUCAUUCUUUGACAGCUUAUUCUUCUUCUGUAUUAGGCAUCAAAGCGACUGAAAGUUCUCAACCUUGAAUGUUGUCCUAAUUUAAGAUGUACUCCUUAUCUCUCGGCAUUCACCCAGUUGAAGAUUCUCAUCUUGAGCCAUUGUGGCGGACUGGAGCAUCUCCACCCUUCUAUCGGCAAACUCAUGAGCCUUGUUUCCUUGGAUUUGAGUUUCUGUGGAUGUCUCAAGGAGCUACCAGAGGAGGUGGGUGAAUUAAAAGAUUUAGAAGAACUUAAAUUAGAUUCUUCUGGUAUUACAAAGAUUCCUAUGUCUAUCGGUUUUUUGAGAAAGCUGGAGAAAUUGAGUGCCUUCUAUUGUGGGUCACUGAGAGAAAUCCCUAGCUCAAUUGGGUAUUUACAGAAUUUGCAACAGCUUCACUUGAGUCAUUCUGCGAUCGAAAAGCUUCCCAAUGCUAUUGGAAAGUUGAAAAAUCUGCGAACUCUAAAUCUCUCACGGUGUGAUAAUCUGAAAGGGGCAAUUCCAAGUGAAAUCAGUAACUUGCCUUUCCUCAAGUGUCACGUCCCGAUCCUCGGGCACGCACACAUCCUUCUUACUUGGUCGAUUUUAUAAUGCGAUAUCCCAGGACUAUAUAUCGCCGACCCUUUCAUUUAUUAAGCACAUGUGGAAGCAGUUAAAAUCCUCAGACAAUAAAAUAAUGGGAUAGAAAAACAGGGCAAUAUUUUUCAUAUUGAAACUUAUAACCAAACUUUUAUACAAACCACAAACUAGAGCACUUCACAACUUUUUACUUUAAACUCUAUUCACAUCAAAAUGAAAAUCUCAAAAGAAGAUAAACUCUCAGCCAUCCAGGCCGUACUCAAGGCCCUUCUCGGGAUUAUCAUCUUCUCCCAAAAAUCUUUCUCCUUAAGAUUCGCCUCCGAGUCCUCCUUCUCGAAUUCCUCCUUCUCAGCUCUUCAGCGGGGUCCUGAAAUGGUUUUCCCCAAACUGGGAUGAGACUACGUCUCAGCGAGUUCUACCCCACUAAGCCCGAUUAGGUAAACCAUUAUACUAAAGGCUGCCUAAACACGCACAGGGCAGAGGACUUACCUUGGCCUCUGAUCCCAGCUGCAAGUCAGUACAAUUCACAAUAAACAGCCAUUUNNNNNNNNNNNNNNNNNNNNNNNNNNNNNNNNNNNNNNNNNNNNNNNNNNNNNNNNNNNNNNNNNNNNNNNNNNNNNNNNNNNNNNNNNNNNNNNNNNNNNNNNNNNNNNNNNNNNNNNNNNNNNNNNNNNGGACCCACGUGCAUUCUCUAAGGCGACCUCUCGCCAAGGUGGUACAUCAAGCCACCGAGCCACGUGUCCUUUUUACGAUGCCCGGGCCCACGUGCAUUCUCUAAGGUACUCGCUUACCAAAGUGACGCAUCAGAUCACCGAGCCACGUGCCCUUUUAGAUGCCAUUCCAAAUACUAGACCCACGUGCAUUCUCUAAGGUACUCGCUUACCAAAGUGACGCAUCAGAUCACCGAGCCACGUGUCAUUUUAGAUGCCUGGGCCCAUGUGCAUUCUCUAAGGUACUCGCUUACCAAAGUGACGCAUCAGAUCACCGAGCCACGUGCCCUUUUAGAUGCCAAACUCUGUCACCGAGCCACGUGCAUUCUCCAGGACGACAUACCGAGUCUCCGAGCCACGUGCAUUCUCUCAGGCGACCUCUUCGCCAAGGUGACAUAUUCAACCACUGAACUCACGUGCAUUUUCCAGGUGACAUUCCAAUUCACCGAGCCCACGUGUCCUCUUUCAAGUGGUUACCAAUCUUCUUUCAAUACCGACAACCAAUGCCCAACGAUUUCUCAAUCAAAUAAUUAAAUCAACUCAACAAAGAAUUAUAAAUGCUGAAUAACAUACUUGGCCAAUCACCAAUCAAUAAUUCAAUCUCAAUCGAUUCCAAUCAAUUUAGGAUAAAUCCCUAAAAUAUCACAAUUUAUUCAAUUCCAUACAACGUAGAGCUCAAAUAAAUAAACGGACUACGCCACGACAAUCAGCACGAGAUUUUGGUCGUCGGCCAUCAAAAUCUUAAUUUCCGAAAAAUAAUUAAUUAAAUAAUUAAUUUCGAAAAUUAAAUAAUUAAUAUUAAAAAUUCAAUUUAGCUCAAAAUAAAGCCUGAUUAAAUAAACGGACUUCACCACGGUCAUCAGCAUAAUAUUCCGGUCCCGGGCUAUCUCAGUUGAAUUUUCGGAAAAUAAAUAAUUAUUUAAUUUAAUUCCGAAAAUUAAUAUUUAAAUACUAAAAAAAUCCACUUAGGCCCGAAAAGCCUAAUUGGAGCCCUCUAAGGGUCAGGAAAAAUCCCGAGGCACUUCCAAUAAUUAGUAGACCACGUCUACUUGCUAAUUGCACAAUCAAUUUAUCUAAAUCGCAUCACAAUUGACUAAUAAUUGCUAAUUUAUUCUAAUCUAACAACCUAAACAUAAUUAAUUAAAUCUAAACCAACCUUAAGCAUAAUUAGCUAACUAAUCAAGGAUUAGUGAGAUUACUCACCAAAUCGCGCGCAAAUCGGAUCAAUCCGACGGCGGCGACGCGAGGAACGAAACUUCCCAAAGCGAUUCACGGAUCCGGGGCCUGGAAACGGCCCAAAACGAGCCUUGAACAGUGCUGGAAACCCAUUUUUCCAGCAACUGUUCUUGGCUGGACGAAGCUCGUUCGGUGGCUAGGGCGGCGAGGGGAGGCCGGCGGAGGACGAGGGGGACGCGGGGGAGGUCCGGCGGGGCUGGGCGGUGGCCGGAGGUGGCCGGACGGGGGUUGGUCAGGGCGAAACCGAGUUGAACAGAGGCUGGUUCGCUCGGGGAGGUCGCCUGGUGCGAGGGAACGGAGCUGGCGGUGCACGGCGGCGAGCGGCAGGCGCGCGGGCGGUUCGGCUCCAGUGCGGCGGCGAUGGGCGACGGGCUGCUGUCUCGGCUUCUUCCACCUCUAGUUCUGCUUGCCCGAAGAAGAAAGAUGAAAAAGGGGGUUCGGUCACGAAGGGGAGAAGAGAGAAGAGAGAGGAGAGAGAGAGAAGGGAUAAGGGGGUUUGACUGGUCAAAAAGAAAAAAAGGAGAGAGUAGGCGUGGGGAAGGGGUGUCCGCACGAAGGGGAGGGGAGAGGAGAGAGAAGAGAGAGAGAGGAAAGAGAGAAGAGGGAGAGAGAGAGAAAAAGAAUUAAAAUAAUAACAUUAUUCUUAUUUUUCUUUUUCUCUUUCCGAUUUUCUUUUCUAUUUUCUUUUGGUCUUCUAUUUUUCCUCCGAUAAUUUCUUUCUUGAAAUUUCGGACUUGGCAAUAAAUUGAUGGACGAUGAGACGGUCCUAAAAAUGAAUUGUGACACGCCCAAAUAUUCGAUUCCCAAAACCGAAUUAAAUUUCAUGAUUAAAAUCGACCAGACGCGAUUCUAGUCCAAUCCAACAAAUUAGGUAGCUUUUAGGGAUUUUACCACGGUUAUAUCCCUUAACGGCUUCACCCAAUUGGUUAGCUAACUCGUGAGUGAUCAGCUCAGAGAAAAAGGACCAUAGGCACGUCGACGAAAUGCACAUUUCAUUUUAUCGAAAUAUGGUCGAAUUUCAGGAAGUCACAUCAAGAUUCUCAUUAUUGAUUUCACACCGAUAUCUGACUUGCCGGAAAGCAUCCAGAAUCUUUCUUCUCUCCAACACCUUGACCUAUCGGGCUGUGAUGAGCUCCGGUCGCUGCCAGAGCUUCCUUCGGGCUUAACAUAUCUGUCAAAGCCCCCAAUUGUAAGAACUCCAUCUUCAGGUAUGCCAUCUACUUGAACACAUCCCAAGCUUUCCUCAAGACCCUUGAAACUCUGUGUUGAGGAGUGUGAUGAGCUGAUAUUGCUUAGGCUCAACAGAUUCAUGUACUUGGAAGAGCUUUCAAUAGAAAGGUGUAGUUCCAUCGAAAGAUUGGACAUUUGUCGAUUGAUUCGUCUGAGCAUUGCGAUAGCCUAGUUGAAAUUCAAGGCCAUGAUAAUUUGGCGUUCUGGGAGGUCAUGUUCAUAUAUGAUUUGAUAAGCUCAAUUUUCAUGUAUGCGGCACUGGAUUUGUGAAGUUGAAAUUGACCUCCUUGCAAAUUAUCCUAUAUUACUGAUUUUGCUAAUUGGAUCUUGCAAAUUAACCGGUGGCAAAUACAUCUUAUUGUCCUAUAGUUUAGGCACUUCACCUUUUCAGCAUAAUUUUUUAACUUCAAUUAUGUUCCUAGACACACACAGGGAAAGUGUUGCUAAAUUGCUUACUUCUUUUAGACCUGUUGGUUUCUUUUUCAUCGGCCAACUAAUGAAGUAUUUGUUCAUUGUGGUCCAACUCCAAUUGGUGUCAAUGUUUAUGCAAUUUUACCUUAUCUAUCAUGGGGUAAAUUCUGAUGCUACGAUCUUGGAUAUCUUCAUUUAUUGAUAAUUAGUCAGUGCUAUCUUCCUUGUGCAGAUUCAGAUUAAAGUUGCAUUUGAUGAAACUUGAUGAAACUUGAAGAAACUCCCAAAACACCACGGGUUGGAGAUAUAGGUAAGAAUGAGCUAUGUCGGUAUGGAAAGGCAUUCCGAAGUCAUUUGCGAUUGGCGUUUAUCAUUUGCUCCAUGUUGUUAAGAAGGAUUCUUGAUAAAGGCGAUCUCUACUCAUGUGGUGUAGUAGUCCGUUGCAAGCUUUGAAAUUGUGCUAUUCUUUAGCAAAGGCUGCAUCACAAAUCUCUUGGAGGAAGACCGCAUGUGCAGGUGGUUUUAUAUGUGAAGUCAAGCAUAAAAUAAGAUUUGUUAACAGGAUUACCAUUUAGAUUUCCACCUCAAGCUACAGUUUUGUGACCGGGAAAGACCUUUUUGUGGAAAAAGCAAAUAAUCUGUCAAUUGCACCCAGUUUCAAUGAAAAGGUUUCCAAGAAGACUGUAGUUUCUCAUUUGGAAAAAUUUUGAACACAAAAUAAAGGCCAUCAUUAGUGUAAAAUCAUCUCUUGUAUGGUUACGUUUGAAAAUUCAUAUGCAGGCUUUUUGCAAUCACUUUGGUUUUAUAACCUAAAACUUGAUUUAUUUAAGCAUGAAUUAAAAAGCAGAAGAGACACAGCCAUGUGCAUUUUCAUACCUAAAACCAAGUAGAGUGCUCUCUCUCUCUCUCUCUCUCUCUCUCUCUCUCUCUCUCAGAUCAAGCAAGCACUGGGGUCUAGAGUGAAGUAUUUGGUUGUUUUAUGCAAUUCUCGAUCAAAUAAGCAUGAAUUAAAAAGCAGAAGAGACACAGCCAUGUACAUUUUCAUACCUAAAACCAAGUAGAGUGCUCUCUCUCUCUCUCUCUCUCUCUCUCUCUCUCUCUCUCUCUCUCUCUCUCUCUCACAGAUCAAGCAAGCGCUGGGGUCUAGAGUGAAGUAUUUGAUUGUUUUAUGCAAUUCUCGAUCAAAGGUUUGUCUGAGUCUCUAGUGUGUAUGGAGUUUAUGUGGGGUCUAUUUCUUGAAGGAGAAUCUGUGCAGAAAAAAUAGUUAUUCUAUUCUUCUUCCGAGUUCUUCUCGCAAUAAACGCUAGUAGCAUUGAUUAUUUGACGUCGUCUUGAUUUUGAGGUUCUUCUUUGAAUGUGGUGUUAAAUGACAAAGAAUGAAUCGGUAGUUCAAGUGAAAAUUGUUGUUUAAGUUGUUUGGACAAGGACGAAGGCAAUUGGUAGAAGCUAUAAGAUUUAUUGAAUGAAUGUGUUUAUUGCAGAAAAGAGGAGAAGAAAGCAAAGAAGAUCAUAUCAAAGCCAAGAUGGGAGAAGGUGCAUCUCAGCGUUCGGCUGGAUCACCAAGUUGAAAUUGGAGAGAGUGGCAAUCUUAGGAUCCACAAGAAAUUUGAUCGUGGAAGAAGAAUGUGGCAAUGGACUAGGACAAGAGCAGAUGGAUAUGUGAGUUAGAACUGAAAGGAGGUGAAUCUAUCGAAUUAGAAGUACUAAUAUAAGAUUUUGCUGAUAUUACUGAUAUUCCCACACCUGUCGGUUCUUUGAGGAAACUCGAGAAACCGAGUGCCAGCUAUUGUGAGUCACUUAGAGACAUCGCUAGCUCAACUUGGGACUUACGAAAUUUGCAACAUAUGGACAUUAGUGGUUCUGGCAUUGAAAAGCAUCCUAGUGCUAUAGGAAGGUUUAAAAAUCUGUGCACUAUAAGUCUCCUAUCAUGCUGUAAUCUGAAAGAGCAAUUCCAAGUGAAAUUGGUGACUUGUCUUCGCUUGAGAUUCUCUAUGUUACUUGAGGAAGUUUUGAUGCUUGUGAGGAUCCAAAAAACUUUAUCUGGUCUUGACAGCACAUACUUGAAUGAUUUUGAUGUUGUAUUUUGAGUUGAGUCUGCUUUUUGUAUGCUCACGAGGUUCAACCUCUCUGUUAAUCAAAUACAUAGAUACUGAUAUUUUUUUUUAUGUCACUCUGAUGCAUAUGUCUUUGAUGUUGUUGCAUUCUAAUGUUAUCACUUCUGAACUCAAAAAGGCUUUGCAGAGGGAGGUAUGCACUACUAGUCAUGCCAUAAAAUUAAAAAAAUAACCUGUGUGCUUAUACUAUAUGAGCUGUGGGAUUGCACCUGAAAAUCAAUAUGCACGUAUUCAUGAGGACGAUCUCCUUCAUUUCUAUCAGUUUAUCAAUGUGAUACUAUCCUUUGAAUGUUGUCAUAUAGGUUUCUGAUUUUAGUAAUUUGCUAAGCUCAAUUCUCAUGCAACGUCAACUUUGUAAAGUAGAAAUUCACCUUCUAGCCAAAUAUCUUGUAUUGCUGAUUUUGCUAACGGGGCUAACGGGAUAUUGCAAAAUAACCAAGACAUAAAUUCAUCUUUCUGUUCUGUAGUUUAAGCACUUUGCCUUCCAGCAUAUUUUUGUUGACAUCAAUUGUGUUCUUAAACACAAACAAGAGUAGUGUUGCUAGUUGCUACUUCUCCCAAACCUGUUGUUUUCUUUUUCAUGGGCCAGCUCAUGAAGUCUCUGUUCAUUGCGGUCCAAUUGCAAUUGGUGCAAUGAUGCUUGUGCAUUUGUACCUUAUCUCUCAUAAUGUAAAUUGUGAUGCUCCGAUCUCAAUUAUCUCCAUUUAUUGAUAAUUAGUAAAUCAUAUCCUUCUUGUGUCGAUUCAAGCUGCAUUUCAUAAAAUUCAGAGAACAUUCCCAAACAUCACUGGACGAAGAUGUGGACCGGAAUGAGAUAGGUCAUGAGACGUUAAGGAAAGGCAUUCCAAAGUUCUUUGCAAAAGGUGCUUAUAACGUGCUCCAUGCUGAUCAUCUUGAUAGGGUUUUUGAUAUAAAGGGACCUCUUCUAAUGUGGUGCAGUAGUCCUUUGCAAGCUUUGAUAUCAUGCUAUUAUUUAGCAAAGGUUGAAUUUCAAAAUGCUUGCAGGAAUGCUGCAUGUGCAGGUGGUUCUAGAUAUGAAGUUAAGCAUAAAAUCAUGUUUGUCAACAAGAUUACUGUUUAGAUGUCCACUUCAAGCUACAAUUUUGUGAAUGCGAGAGACUUCUUUCAUGGAAAAAGCGAAUGUCAUGGAAUCAGUAAAUAAUCUGUCAACUGCAAGCUAGAUUUUCAGUAAAAAGCUUCCCGAAAGAUAGUAGUUUUUCAUUCAGAAGAAUUUUGAGCACAAAAAAAAAGUGUUCGUUAGUGUACAAUCAGCUCUAGUUUUUCAUUUAGAAGAAUUUUGAGCACAAAAUAAAAGUGUCCGUUAGUGUACAAUCAGCUCUUGGAUCUCAAACUUGAUUCCUUUUGAGCAUGAGUCUAUAAAGCAGAGUGGACACAGCCAUUCAUUUUCAUACUUGAAACCAAAUUUUCUUUGGCGUUGGCUACAGUUUAAGACUGAUUAAAAAAAAUGUUAAGAAAAAUCUUUGGAAGGGUGAAAGAAGCCCCUCCCAAAAUUUAUACUUAUUUGGUUUGGACCAAACCAUUGAAUGGUCGUCUACUUGGUUAGUACUUGGACUCUACUUCCAAAUUGUAGUAGUUGGUCAUGCAUUCAAGUUUCAAUCGAACCAAUUUUUUUGGGGCUAGUACUCUCAGAUGUUCCUCUUCAUCGUACUACAUUACAUUGGUGGAACUUUAGUAGUUAAAAGAUACUCACAAGAUAAUCAUAUAUUCCGAUUCAGUCAUUGUCUACUAGAACUUUAACUCAAUACUUUCCGGAGCUUGAGACAAGGCCAAGUAACUUGUUAAGCCAAGUUUGAAUCUUUAAGCACUAAAUCAUACAUAAUGCGGGCCGCACGAACGAGUCAAAACAUUAGUUAAAUAUAUUAAACACAAAAUAAUCUAAUUUUGAGCAUAUUAAUUAUAUAUAACACGAGAAAAGUCGCAAGUAAAGUCAAUCUAUUGAUUAUAUAAUUUAUAACAUAGCUACUCAAUAACACAAGAAUGAUAGUAUGCCAUUUCUUUUUAUAGCAUACAAUCUAGACCUCUACAGUAUGCCAUUUCUUGACGGGCUACUAAUCCAGCAUGAUAGUACAAUGUCUUUAUACAUCACUUCUUAUUCAAGUAUUUUGCGACAUCAACGCAUUCACUCUUUGCAAGGCAAUAUACUAUGCCACAAAAAUUAGCAAAAUAAUUCUUUAGCAGCUCUCCAAGCUGCUUCAGUGGUUCCUCGGUCUUAGCUAUGACCUCAUAUUUUAGACUUAGUGUGACAUCCAGAAUUUUCAGUAUUGUUUUCUAUUAAAUUAAUUGGGCAUUUCAUUGACGGGUCUAUAGGGUUGUUCUCAGAGCUGAUCACUCUCGAGAUAACUAGACUAGCUGGGUAAGCCAUUAAAGAAUAUUAAGGCAAUAGACUUGAGAAUUCGACCAGGAAGCGGCUUCUCGACCGUGUUCAUUUUUAGAGGUCAUUACUGCACAGUAAAGAUCGAAUUGAGAUCAGAGAUAGGUCGGUUCGACUGAGAUGUGUGGCCGAUCGUGGGUGACUCCACUAAAUUGGAAAAUUCUCGUCGACCGGCACUAAUUUGAUUUUCUGUCGUUUUGGUACCCUGUGUUGGUAGUCGAGCCCUCGAGAUUUUCACGACAAUUGAGAGUCGCCAAUGUGUCGAGUGGGUUCAUUGUGGCUCGAAGAAAAUCGACCACGAGUCAAUUGCCCUAAAAAGUUCUGAAAACUACCCGGUAGUCUAGGUCACACUAAAAGCACGCCGGAGUGAAAUUAACCGUCGAUUUGAGUCAGAUUUCAGAAAUCGAAAGUUCAGUGAUGUCACAAGCUAUUUUUGGAGCAUCGACUCAGUCUUAGAAGAUUUUCGGAGAUUCAGGAAUUUUUACAGAAAACCGUUUCGGACGUCGCGGAAGUUUGGCCGAAGUUCAGAUUGGCUAAAAUAAUGGGAAAUUUGACUUUCGGGUUGAGCUUGUGUGUGUCGGAGAUUUAUAGAAGCCAAAUGAAGAUGGAUUGAAAUUAUUCAAGUAUCCAAUUGAGAGGAGAUGAUCCCAAAUUCGUAACCCCCCAUAAGCCUAGCUAAUUUGAACCAAUUGGAAGGUCAUGGAGACUGUCUUGGUGGCUCAUUGGAGGCCAUGAGUUAUACUUGGCCUAGGAUAAAUCUUAGAGAGCAAGAUUGGAAAAUAUCAAGCCUUGGUGGAGCCCUCCACUCUCUCUUAUCCUCAAGACCAUGCGUGACCAGCAAAAAGGGAGGUAGAACCAGCAAAGCUUCCUCCGCGUGUCUUCCUCAACUCCACUUCUCUGCCCCGUAAACGACUGCAACCCAGCGUCCACCGAAGCCAUCUACCGAGCUUUCUUCAUGUCAGCUGCGAGAUCUUCAAUUUAAAUUGCUCCUCGCCACUUGUCCAUGUCCAGUGGAUCUUCAGUCAAUAGCAGCCGAGUUUCUCCCAUUCGGUUGACCCUACAACGCCAGCGAAGAUCCCUGCAGCAGCUUCACCGAGUCCAACAUCUUCAGUCUUCCCCUGUGGCGUGCCCUCAGCUCGACGCCAGCCCGCCAGUCAACUCCAACGCCCUCAGAAGACCACCGAUUCAACCAAGUCCUCGCCCACGCAGAUCCAGCAACCGAAGCUGCUCCCCAUCUCUGCCAUGUUUCGGUCGAUUUCACUGGUCAAAGUCCAGCUGAAAACCAUUGAAGAUUGAUCGAGGAAAUCCCCCACCGAGCGAAGCCCUGCCACGAAGCAAAUCCAAUUUCCUCUCCAUCUUCAGCGCCCGAAGUUCCUCACGUGGCCAGCUCCACCUUCGUUUAUUCACAAAUCAAUUCACCGAAGGCAGCAUCGAUCGGUCAAUUGACCGCAUACUCCCACGACCAGCUGCACGCGUGCCCUCAGCCCAAACCGAAGCUUCAGCCCAGCAAGUUGAUUGUUUUCACAAGUCAGCCCAGUCUUUGAAGUCCUGCGGCCCAAGAAGCCCAGCAAGUGCUAUUUCAGUCAAGCUUGGCCCAUUUCAGUAACAAAUCUCAGUUGGGCUGAGAUUUGUUGGGCCAAGGUCAAGGCCCGGGCCCAAGCCCGCCGGUGUUGUCGAAAGUCCGAUUUCGGCCGCCGUCGCGUCGCCGUUGCGGUGAUUCGGUCUCCGCUUUUGUCAAGUGAGUUUUACUCACUAAAGCUUUCUUAGUUUGCUAAAUAUGCUUAGGGGUUGGUUAGAUUUAAUUAAAUGCAAUUAGGUGGUUAGAUUAGUUUAGAUCAAUUAAAUUAGAGACUUAAUGAUGCAUGUUAGGUGGUUAGAAAUAGACAUUAGCAAGUAGACAUGCCCUGUUAUUUAUGGAGCGAAUCUCGGUAAUUUUCCGGGCUUGUCUCGGAAUCCAAUUCGGCAUUAUAAGCCUAAAUUGGAUUUUUAUAAUUAUUUAUUUAAUUUUCGAAAUUAAUUAUUUAAUUAUUUAUUUUUCCGGAAAUUCAACCGGGAUGGCCGGUGACCGGAAUUUCGUGCUGAUUGUCGUGGUGCAGUCCGUUUAUUUAUUUGAGCUUUAUUUGGUGCUAAAGUAAUUUAUGAGUGAAUUUAAGAUUUAUUCCUAAAUUGAAUCUGGAGAGGGUGGGGUGGGACCGUAAAGCCACUAGUUCUUGAGAGGGUCGGGUGGGACCGUAAAGCCACUAGUUCUUGAGAGGUUCCGAUUGAUACGAAAUCGACUAGGUCGAUUCGAUCGAUGCUUCGAUCGGUGAUGUGAUUGUUUGAAUGCCUAUUGAACUGUACUAAUAUGCAGAUGGAAUCUGAGGCCAAGGUAAGUCCUCCAACUCGUGCCGUGUUUAGGCAGCCUAUAGUGUAUUGGCUUUCUAAUCGAGUCUUAGGGGGUAGGACUCGCUGAGACGUGGUCUCAUUGGUUAUUGAAUAACCAUUUCAGGACCCUGAGGAGAAGCUAAGGAAGGGGAACCUGAAGGGGAGAAAGUAUUUUGAAGUAGAAGAUGAUCCAGAGAGGGAUCUUGAAUAUAACCCGGAUGUGGAUUGAGAUCCCAUCCCUUUUGUGAACCCUGUCUUGGUAUAGAUAGGUGUGAGACUUUUAUGCUGUAAAUAGUAUUGUAAAUAUACUAUGAGUUGUGCUGUUAAUGAAAGUGUGGUUGUGAAUUUCAAUAUGAAAAAUAUGGCCUGCUUUCCUAUCCCAUUGUUUUAUUGUCUGGGGAUUUAUAACUGCUUCCGCAUGUGCUUAAUAAAAAAAAAGGGUCGGCGAUACAUAGUUCUGGGAUAUCGCAUUAUAAAAUCGACCAAGUAGAAGGAUGUGCGUGCGUCCGAGGAUCGGGGCGUGACACUUAGUCUGUCAAAGCUUGUCUCAAGAACAAGAGCAUGGGGAAUCCCAAAAGAUUUUAGGAUAUCUUACAAUGGAUGGAUAAUUCAAUCAGAAUGAACAGAUUAUUUCAACAUAAUAAGGAGAUUAAUAUAUAAGUUUAGUACCUUGCGAAUUGAGUGAGUGGCAGUUUCAGCUAAGGCCAUCACUAGGUCAUAUGCAAAGUUAGGCUUGAGACAUACCGGUCCAUAAUCUGGAUGAGAAUCGUGUCCCCAUAGACUACAUUAAUGACAACCACAAAGUGACAAUCAAUGAGCUUUCAACGUUAAUCAGUCACAAGUACAAGAAAAGCUCAAAUCAGCAGUCUGUUCCUUUCAAGAGAUCAAACUGACAAAGCAAAUCUAGUUAAGACCUUGUAAGAAACACAAUCAAUGAUCACAUGGUUGAACCUUUGCUUUCGCAAAUUGUUAACAUAAAGUAUAAGCGUUAAUGAAAUAAAUAGGGAUACGAGAACCAGCUUAAGAGACUGAGUAUCCUCCCGAAUAUAGAGAGGUGAUUGGAUCCUUAUCCAAGCUUAUGCCGGAUCCAAUUACUCUAGGAAGUAAUUUCCAUUGGAGCUUAUUUAAGUUGUGUCCUCUUUACUCAAUAUAAUGAAUGAUGUGCCACUGAGUGUUCCAAAAUGACAAAACCUAAAUCUUUUCAUCAAACAAGGAACACUGCAUUCUGUUAUAUUAGAACUUCACAUGGUUCUAGGCUUCGGAAGGUCUAGUGUAACACUAACAAUUUUAUUUAGGCUAGAAACCCAGAAAAUGCAGAAAAGUUUGGAAAAAUAGUUCAAGUCAGCAUAUAUAAAAGUCAACUUGCUUAUAUUUAUCAGGAACAAGAACAACAGUUUUGCAGUGGCAACAUCACAAAUAAUUAUUCCUUUUGAAGUAGCUCUAGCAUGACCUUUCUUCAUGUACAAGGCAUGCUAAAUAUUACGCAUACCUCACGCAAUGUGCCUCAUCAAUAACAAAACCAGCUAGUUGUGCCUGCAAUGCAUGAUGGUCGAAUAUAAUACAUUUACAAAGGAACCUUUUAGAAAAAAAGUAAUGAUGCAUCAGAAACAAUCCCUUUCUAUGCAAGCAUUUCAAUAUCUCAAGAAAUGAUGGGUUUCCCACAAUCCUUUCAAUAGUUACAUACAAUAGCUUGCAUGAUGGUUUAACUUUUCUGAAAAGGCAGGCAAAGCAGAAGUGGAGAUAUAUAAUUUAACAAUCACAAUACUCAGCAUAAAUCACAAGCCUUCGUUUAUGCAAAACAUUCCUAUCAAAGACGCCUGAUUGCUAAUCCACACUUUGACAAUCUGCUGUACUCAAAGUAUUUGAGAAAUAUAGGUAUUUGUACAUCAUCCAAAACUUAUGUCAACUUCUCUAUUGACCAAAGAGUUCUAAUAUGUCAUUUUGGAUCUUGAAGAGUGUGGAAGAAAUUGGCAAAAGUUAAGAUUGUCUAUUGGACAUUUGAUUAGAUGAGAAGCUGCAUAAGCAAUUUAUUAAAUGCUUUUGGACAUGUACAUUGUGUACAUCCUUUGUUGUGUGCAGAAUCACAAGCAAAUUGAAACCGACCAAGCAGAGAAUAAAUUAUAUGAGAACACAACUGUGACACAGUGAUUUAAGUGGUUUGGCAAGUAUUGGCUAUGUCCAUGGUUGAACCAUACCAUGGACUCUAAAGAUUGUCUGGCCAGAAGUUGAGUGGAAAAAUAGUUGGUACCUUAUCUCUUCUUGCCCUCCCUGAUUCUUGGUAAUAACUUUCGAUUGACUUGGACAUUGUGUUGCGGUUGACAAAAUGCUGACCGCAUGCCAUAAAAUAUAAUUACUAAACCAAUAAAAAAAGUAGAAAUAUGACAAAAACAUUAUAACUAAAGGUCAAGUUAGAUUAGAGUCAUUUGCCACUUUUACUGUAAAGAAAAGAACUUUAUCCUAGUUGAACUUAAUUUCAGCACACCAAAGUUCCAUGCUUGGAAGAAAGAAUUCGGCUAGAAAAAUAGCCAAGAAUGACAAUUUAGCAGGCCACUGGACCAUGGAACUAGCAAAGUUUACUUUAAAGCACACUAAGAAACCAAUUAGUGAUACUUAAACAUUUGAAGAAAAGUGGAUUAAUCGAGUAUUUGCCAGCAUGUCAGUUCGGUUCUAAAACUAAAAAUAGACAAAGGUGCAAAGUCUAUUUCAGCUUACAACAUUCGGUUUGUCUAUUCCCAUGCCAAAAACAAUGGUAGCACAUACAACCUGGAUCUCUCAAGUGUGCCAUUUCUUUUGAACAGCUACUCUUUGACGGGCUGCUAAUCCAGCAUGAUAGUACACCAUCCUUAUACCGCACUUAUCAUUCAAGUAUUUUGCAACAUCACAUUUACUAUUUGAGAGGCAAUAUACCAUGCCAAAAAAAUUAGCAAAAUGAUUCUUUAACAACUCUCCAAGCUGCUUAGGUAUGACCUCAUACAUUAGAUUUGGUCUGUCAAAUCUGUCUCAAGAACAAGAGCAAGGGGGAUCCAGAGAGCUUUCAGGAUUUCAAUCGGUCCCAAAUGAUUAUUUCAAUAAAAUCUGGAGUUUAAUGUGCAAGUUUCGUUCCUCACAAACUUGCUGAGUGGCAGUUAAGGCCAUCAUUGGGACGUAUGGAAAUUUUUGCUUGAGACAUCCCAGUCCUCUAUAAUUUGGACAAAAAUCAUGUCCCUGUGGACUGCAAUAAUGACAACAAAGAAAGUAAUGAUCAAUAAGCCUUACCCGUUUACAAUCAUUCAAAUAUACAAGAAAAGCUUAAACCAGCAGUAUGUUCCUUUCAUGAGAUUGCGCUGGCGGCACAAAUCCAGUAAGGACCUCAUAAGAAACACAACCAACGAUCCAAUGGGCAAAGUUUUGCCUUAUAUCUCAAGUUGUUAAUAUCAAGCCAAACAUGGACACUUCCAAUCACUUCCGAAAGUAAUUUCCAUUGGAGCUCAUUUUAGUUGUGUGCAUUUUGCUUUGUUUGAUUAACGAUGUGCUGCUGACUUUUUCCCAAAAGAAGGAACUAGGUCAUUUCCAUAAUUAGUUAUUUCAAUAUUGCAUUAUGUUAUACUAGAUCGUCACAGAAGGUCGGGGUUUCAAAAGGUUCAGUGUAACACCAACAAUGUACUUAGGCUAGAAACAUAUAAAAUGCAAAAACGUUCAAAAAAGAGAGUUUGAGUGAGCAUAUAUAAAAGUUAACUUGCUUUUCUUUAUCUAGGACAAGGAGAGUUGUUUUGUAGUGGCAACAUCAUAAACACAUAUUCCUUUUGAAGUAACUCUAGCAUGAACUUUGCUUCAUGCCAAAGAGCAUACCUCAUACAAUGUGCCUCAUCAACAACAAAACCAGCUAGUUGUGCCUGCAAUGCACAACAAUCGAGUAUCAAAAAGUUAAAAAGAAACUUUCAAAAAAGUUAUAGUUUAUCAAAAAUAGUACCUUUCUACGCAAGCAUUUCAAUAUCUCGAGAAAUGAUGGGUUUCCCACAAUCCUUUCAGGAGUUACAUACAAUAGCUUGCAAGAUGGAUUUUCCUGAAAAGGCAAGCGAAAAAGUGGAGAUUAAUGACUUGAUAAUCACAACACUCAGCAAAAUAAAUAAAUAAAUAAAUAAAUAAUUAGAAGUCCGAUAGAAACCCUAUAGCAACAAUUAUAGCCCAACAUUUUAUGGAAAAAUGAUGAUUGUAUGGUAUGAUGUACUUCUCUAGGAACACUAAGAUCCUAAAAUUUAUUUUUAAGGCAAACAUCUUAGGCAUGAAUCUUCUCAUUAACUACAUGAAAAAUGUGCAUUCAUUGCAACAUAUGGAGCAUAGCAUUUAUGGCAGGAUAAAGAUCGUAUGGUAAGAUAUACUUCUCUAGGAACACAGAGAGAGAGAGAGAGAGAGAGAGAGAGAGAGAGAGAGAGAGAUCGUAUGGCAAAAUAAUGAUUGUAUGGUAUGAUAUACUUCUCUAGGAACACUAAGAUCCUAAUAUUUAUUUUUAAGGCAAACAUCUUGGGCAUUAAUCUUUUCAUUAACUACAUAAAAGAUGUGCAUUCAUUGCAACAUAUGGAGCAUAGCCAUUUUAUGGCGGGAUAAAGAUCGUAUGGUAAGAUAUACUUCUCAUAAGGAACACAUAGAGAGAGAGAGAGAGAGAGAGAGAGAGAGAGAGAGAGAGAGAUGGAGCAUAGCCAUUUUAUGGCGGGAUAAAGAUCGUAUGGUAAGAUAUACUUCUCAUAAGGAACACAUAGAGAGAGAGAGAGAGAGAGAGAGAGAGAGAGAGAGAGAGAGAGAGAGAGAGAGAGAGAGAGAGAGAGAGAGAGAGAGAGAGAGAGAGAGAGAGGGGAGGGAGAGACAGAGAGAGAGAGAGAGAGAGAGAGAGGGGAGGGAGAGAGAGCUAAACCUUACCUAAGAUCUUGGAGGACAGCCGAUGCUUGGGCAGCAGUUUGCUGAGACUUCAAGAAAGUAGAUAGUAUUCCACACUUGAGGGCUAGAGUAAUUAUUUGAUCCUGGAUGAUUGAUAGAAGGGGACAUAUAAUGACUGACACUUGGUUUAAGAGUUGCUGGCAGCUGAAACGAAGGGUAAAAACAUCAGAAGAACACUUGAAGAAAAGGUGGGAUGAGGGAAUUAUCCUUUCAUUCACCUUCAGCUGAUCAGAAAGCACUGGUUGUUACUAUUUGUAUUAUAUUUACUUCAACUAGAAACAUAUAUCAACUAUUUCAAGACUGAAUAGAAAACACUUUAGGAUAACUCAACUUAAUAAAUUCAGAAUAAUAACUUCCUUUGAGAUUCAGUAGACCAAAUAUUCGCAUGCUACCAAGAUCCAUUAUAUGAUCACCCUAGUAGAGAUGAUGACAUAGCACAUACCUGCAGGAGAUAUAGACAUCUACAAUCUGUAUUUGGUGCAAGUAAUUUGAAAACUUACUCCUCUUUGACUUAAUAACCCUUUUGAAUUGGACCUAAACUAUGACUGACAACAACACUUACAUGCAAAAACAAGAUAAAUUUUCCAAUAAGUAAUUAGAAGGUCCUAGAAGCAUAGCACAAACCUCGAAUUCUAGAAAUCACAGAAUAGAUAGAACUGUGCGAAGGCAGAACAAGAAUGUCCUGCAUAAUAUUCUUUUCCUACUUAGUCAGAUCCUGUACAUUGGAACCCAUGGUUCUGUAGUUGAAUCACUUCUUAUAGCUUAAUUUGCAUUUGGAAAACAUUUGUAUCCUUAAGUUUGAGCACAAACUUUGUAACAGUGCCAACAAAGCAAAUUCUAAGAUCAUUUUAAAGCUUAAAUUUCAAUAUACAAGUCUGUCCAUCUAGUAUUUAAACAAUGGAACCAUUAAGCAAAGUGCACAGGGCUUGUGCUCUAAACAUUGUCUCCACUUUCUUCUACUUACAAUCAUCACGUUGUGACAAUUUUAACAUUCACUAAACUGGCAACAUAAACUUUUACCACCUCCAAUGGGCAUGAGAAUGAAGCAAUCUUGCUUGGCUAUAGAAGCUUUACAUGCCUGAUGCCGCAUUGGUCAAAAUGCCUUGUUUCUGAGACAAUGUUUGCCGAUUUUAUUUGAAACUAACGAUAUUGAACAUUGAGUGACAGUGCUCUUACAGUCCUUCAACAGAAUUAAGCUUCUUUAGCACCGUAAUAGUUUCUGACAUGGAUUGUCAUGGAAAAUGAAAAAUGUGCACAAAGAUCACGAGCCUUCAUUUAUGCAACACAUUCCUAUCAAAGACGAUGGAUCGCUAAGUUCCACACUUUGAUGAUCUGCUAUAUUCUCAAAGUAUUUUGAGAAAAUUGUUACUCAUACAUCAUCCAAAACUAAAGUCAACUUCUAUAUCGACCGAAGAGGUCCAAUAUGUCAUUUUGGAUCUUGAAGAUUGUGGAAGUAAGUGGCAAAAGUUAUAACUGUCUAUUGGACAUUUCAUUGGAUGAGAGGCCCCAUAAGCAAUUUACUAAAUGCUUUUGUACAUGUACAUCAUGUAGGUCCUUUGCUGUGUGCAAAAUCACAAGCAAAAUGCAAAUGAUCAAGCAAAGAAUAAAUUAUACGAGAACAUAAUAGUGACACAGUGAUUUAAGUGGUUUGGCAUGUCAUGGCUAUGUCCAUGGUUGAAGCAUACUAUGGAUUCUAAAGAUCGUCUGGCCAGAAGUCGAGUGGAAGAAUCGCUCAAAGUACUGCUUUAGUCAAGAACAUAGCAUGUAGAUUUCCUGCCCAUUUUACUGCCAAAUAUCUUGCCUUCGUCAUCACUAUCAGUAGAGGAAUCCUCACCUCAAGAAAAGUUUGGUUUUUCUUAGGUUGUGGAGAAUCUUCUAUAACAUGGACAUCGUGUAUAACUUUGCAUUCAUCGUCAUAACGGAUAUCUUGGCCAAACAUAUUGGUCAAAAUUCCACAAGCUUCUGAUUCUGCAGCUUGCAAAUCAUCCCAAUCCUAAGAAUCUUGCAUGGUUUCGGCAAGUUCUGCUAGGAAGUUAUCGUCACAGUGCUCCACAGUGAUAAACUCUCGACCUUAGUCCAUCUUAAGAAAACCAAAAGAAGAAAGAGAUGGCUUUGCAAGUUCCAUGUCAAGCGAGAGAUCAAAUAAAUACAAUCUUCAGUACGUAAUUUGCACUUAGUUCAGUGAGACGAUAUUAGUAAUAUUGCAAGACACCAUAAGCAAUUCGCAGUGAGUUUAGAAAUAAGCCAUAUAGUUCACUAGUCAACAGGACUACUCCACCAAACCCACAAAGAAACAAGGAUGGGAUUAACACUCAAUGAACUAAAUUUAACCAGCUCCGGUCCAUUCCAAUCCAAAGUAGACUAUUCCAUAGCCAUCAUCAAAAUCAUGACUAGCUGCGAUAAAUGUCCUUAUUAGCAAUGCACAAUCAACCAAUUCACAAAUUAUCCACUCAACACAAGCAAUCAUGUCAUUCUCUAAUGACUAGAUAUUGUGCAAUUUGGUCAAUAAACAAGGAAAAACCAUCACCUAAAGUAACCUAAAACAUCAAACUAGAACGGUGCCAGACUUUUUGCCCAUCAGUAAAACUACUUCACGGAACCCGCUCCAGUCCAUUCAAACCUAGAGGAGACUAUUCCACAGCCAUCAUCGUCGUGGUGGACGAGAAAUACCUACACAACCUCUGCAAACACUAAUCAGCAAAAAAAAAAAAAAGGCGGGUGAUAAAGUAACGAUUCGAGUUACCGUAGAGGGAAACAAGACAGUUCAAGCACUUGCUGGCAGACUCCUCAUUGAAGCCGAACUUGAGAGCCAAUCUCAGCAACCCCGAGCUUUCCAUUGAGUCUCAACCUGUUCGACGCGAUUUGAUCGAUCGAUGAUGCAACAGUAGGAAUGGAAAAUCGAUCCGUAGUCUCUCUCUCUCUCUCUCUCUCUCUCUCUCACUCUGCCUUUUUUACCUGCUGGAGUGAAGAGGCUGGAGCCAUUUUUUCUUUUUCAUUCUUUCAAAAAUUCCGUUUUUGCACCUGAAUUUUGUUGGAAGCUCUAUUUUUGCCCCCUCAUAAGUUUUCUUGGUUUCAUUUGACACCCUUGGGUUGGGUCUGAGUAAAUAUUAGAAGAAGAGCAAGUAUUUCACGUGAGAGUUACAAGUAUACCGUCACGUGAUACAUCAAGCCAAGCGUUAUUUAACAAAGUGGCUAUAGGUUACAAUUAGCAGUGAGAUUGUCCAAUUAGUCCUGAAACUAUAUAUACGUAUAUCAAUUUGGUUAUAAACUUAUCAAUUCUACCAAAUAAAUCCAAAAUAUUUGCUAAAAAAAAUAUAAUAUAAUCAUUAUGGCAAAUUUUUGCUAAACAUUGCUGACAUUGUAGUGUGCCGCAUAAGACGACAAACAAUAAUUGGACUCCUGCGUCAACAAUUUCUAGCGAAAAUUGACCAGAAUGACUACAUUGAAAUUUCGCGCCAAAGUUUAGGAUUAAAUCGACAAAAUUAAAAAAAUUUAGAAUCGAAUUUGUAUAUGUACAAUAAAUUUACAACCGAUUAGGUAAUUUCCUUUAAAACUGGCAAAGCAGCUUUACUUUUUUGUGUUUUUUUUUUUUAAUUUCAAGUUAUAUAAAGUCCGAUUUGUGACAUUUAUAACAUGAAACCCAAGAAGAUCUUCUCUCCUUUCUUUGUCACGUUUUUUUUUCUAUUCUUUUAGGGCUUUUUCAUUUAUUUUUCUUUUUUGCCAAUGACGUUCUUUAUUUUCUUUAUAUGUUGAAUUUCUAAAUCCAUGGACCUUACCCCUAAUCUCAAAUUACAUAAACACCCCCCUCACGUUGAUGUUAUACUUAACUAUUGCGUAAAAAACUGACGUCUUUCUCUUUUCUAUUUUUUUUUCCUCUGCAAAGAGAAGAUUUUGCGUGUCAAACUUAAGAAGUUUUUUUAUUUUUUUCUAUUCAACUUAAUUAUAAAGUUUGGAUGGUUAUGUUAUUGACGGUCUAUGUUGAACGUUCUUAUUUUGCUUUUUUGGGGAAUGCGGGUUUUCUUAAGACUCAGCAUCAUGAGCCGGAUCAUCAUAGCAAUUGAAACUCAUUUUUACGAAGACAAGCAUGGACCUAGAAAGCCUAAUUAUCCAAUGGGGUCGGCCCAGUUGAUAUUGGCGAAAACACGUGUUGAGUUAUAAUACUAGGGGCGGUUGGGGGAUCGCUCACUUAAUCGCAGCUCCAGUGGAGGCAAAUUUGUUGUUUGUGAUGGGCGGGGGUGGUGUGGUGACAGGGAUCUAACCUCUCCUUUCAAAAAUUGAUCUUUGGAUAAGGGCGGGCGGCAGCAACCGCGCCCGCUAAUGGAGCGACCGUGAUUGAAUUGAAUGGGAUGGGAUGGGGAGGGGCUUGGCAGUGGGCACAAACCUCCAGCGAGUCUACUGCUUUUUGAGGGUUGAGGUUGGGCGAUGAUGAUGAUUUACGCGACAGAUUUGGAAGAGCGACCCGUUUCUUUCUUCUCCUGUUGCUGCUGAGUUCCUUCGUCUUGCACGUGACCCAUAUGGUAAAAACACAAAGAUAAGAAAAGCAGCCCAACAAGCGCGAUGGCGACAGAUGAUACAAGCAUCCCCAUUGACUUCACCAUCAGAAUGACAUCGAGAAUCAGAACAUACCAAAGAAUGCUGGGAGAGACAGAGAGACAGAAGAGCUUUAAAAAUGGUCGCGAUUCGAGGAUGAACAACGUGAAGGUUCAGACCUUAGAGCAUGAAAAAGAGCAAGUUAAGAGGGACGUAUUUUCCAAACGUGGGAAUUCCUAUGAGGGGCUUGCCCACAUAUGCGAAAAGAGACAACACUAAACUUGGUCACAAAGAAAGAGUAUUUUGACAAAUUGGAGAAUCGUGCCCGCUUGAAUUAAAGCGGUUUCCACAAAAUGUUUCAAUUAAAGUUGUUUACGUCCCAACCAUGCAACAUCGAAUGGUCGACACUAACUAAAUCACCACAUGAGCAAUUUUGAGCGAAAAUGGAGUAAUGAAUUGAUAAUUUUCCCUCAGAAUUAAGCUAAAAAAAUUAUCAAGUUGCCAUAAUUUUCUAACGUGUAUUUAGAUAGCCUCUCUAUGAAAAUCAUACGAUCAAGAGGGUGGAGCGGACACCUAACCCACUACUAUUAUAUAGAAAAAAGGAUGGACGCCAGUUUCCUUAUUUGCCCUUACAUUCAAUCACAAGAAUAUAAGUCAAAUGUUACUAGGUUUCUCUUUAGGGCGCGUUUGGUAAUGAAUUUGUUCCCGGGAGCCGAUUCUGACUAGGGAUGAUUAUUUUUUAUUCUGUUCCCGGGAACUGAUUUUGAGUAAAAAAACGUGUUUGGUAACUGUCCAAAUUUUUUAAUUCUGGCAUAGAAUUGCGUUUGAUACCGUGCUAAUUGAUUAUGUUCCAAAUUAAUUUCUUUUGAUUUUUAAAUAAUUUUUUACUUUUUUUCUUUUCUUUUUUCCUUUUUUUUUCUUUUAUUUUUUUCCCUUUUUUCCUAUUCUUCUUCUUCUUCAUGUGGCCGGUCACCGGACUGGCCCUCGUCGGCCGAGCCUCGCUGGCAGCUAGGCAAGGCUCACCUAGCCUUGCCAGUGGCCAAGCCGGCCUCGCCCAACCUGGCCACCGGCGGGGUUGGGCGAGGCUCGCCCAGCUGCCGGCGAGGCUGGGCUUGCCUCUAGCGAGCUCGUUGGACCUCGCCUUGUCCUGGUGAGCCUCCAGCAAGCUUGCCGGACUGGCGAUUGGCGGCGGAGGGCAGCGGCGGGCGACGAAAACAGUGGCGGGCGGUGGCGAACGGCAAUCGCGAGAUGACGGAAGGGAAGAAUGAGAGUUUUAUUGUUUUGAUUCUUUUUUUGAUUCUCGGACGAAGAAUCAUAUUUUUUUUUUCUCAAUUCUCUUCCCAAUCUGUUUUCGGGAACAAAUUUGUUCCCGAGAAUUAAAAUUUUACCAAACAUGAUUCUCGUCCCAAACUGAUUCUGGGAACAAAAAAUCAGAAUCAGGCACUGUUUGGCACGUUGCCAAACAGGCCCUUAGUAACCAACGGUGGGGUUAUGCUUUUCCCCUUAAAAAAGUUUAGUGUGAAUUAUUUUAUUAUUCUAAAAAUGCAAUGUGUUUCGUAUUAAUAAAAAAAUUUAUAUUGUAUAUAUCGAAGCUCAUAUAUCUUCGGAUUAUAAUAUAUAUGUAUAUCGAGAGGCGUAAACUAAAAGCUUAUGCUAAGGCUUCAUCAGUUCCAUGGCAAGUAAUUCCUCGAAUGGAUGCUCAUAUUAAGGAAUCUCGUCCUCCUUUUCAAUUGCCUAAAUUGUAAGAGAUUUAAAUCUUUUGAAAAGGAAUACUUCUCAUUGGCAGCGGCAACUACGAUAAACGACUGGCGACUAGGGACCAAUGGGGGCAGCAACUUGCGGCCAAUGAUAGUGGCGGCAAAGUAUAGUGGUUACUGGUUUUAGGAUCUGGAAUUGGAAUGUCCAUAUAAGCUAUUGCCGAAUCAUUCCCCGCAUGCUUUUCAAGGAAAAUCUUAUUCCUUGUGGAACCCAAUUUCACAUUUCGAUUUCACUCCAAACAUGAAAAUUACGGGACCCGAAAAUCUUGUUUAGAAGCUUUUCUGGGUAGCUGGCUCUCCAGCCUUUUCCAAUGGAAAGAACGCACUUCUGGUUCGCGACCGACCCAACGAACGGUAGGACGACAGAGCUAAUUAAGUCACGACAAAGUCCAAAGACCCCCUGAUUGCGGGGGAAGGUGAGGAAGGUCCCACGUUUGAACAUUCAAAUAUCAUUUAUCUGUUGCUGUGCAUCAGCAAAAGAAGAUAUUGGCAAAGUAAUACGGUUGGUUAGUUACAUUUUUACCUUUAAUAUAUUUCAAUGGAACGAUUUACAAAAUUUUGGAAAAAUAACAUUUCCAACACUACUUUACCGUUGGCAAAAACUAAAGAACUACUCUUUUUUUUUUUUUUUCAAACAGAACCUAUUAUAUUUAUGGACCAAACUGAUUACAAGCAGCAGCUAUCGCAUCAGCGUAAAUAAGAUCUAAAAGAGGGGGAGGGGGAAAACCAGCCCAGUUACUUCGCUUGGAAUUGACCCUAUGGGCCUUCGCAGCCCAAUUAGCAGCAACAUUUGCCUCACGACUACAGAAUGCUAGGGAAAUAUUGGGAAAAAACAAAAGCAGGAAGGCAGCUUUGAAGAAGAGGCUUCGUUCUUGCCAUGGCGGCGAGCGUUGACCCUUCAGUGUCUCAAUGAGGGUUUGGCAAUCAGAUUCAAGAGUCAGCGCAGCAUGAGAGAGGUCUUGAUCAAUCAAAUGAUGGAGAGCAAGCAAGCAAGCGUGGAUCUCCGCCUGCAGAGCCGAGAAGGCAGCAAAGCUAUCUGAGAAGCCACCAGUAAGUUGUCCUUGCGAAUCACGACACACACAAGCCAUAGUCCCUUCCCUGCUCCCCAGUUGAUAAGAUCCAUCGAUAUUGACCUUUAAAACCCCCGGAUCUGGGGGUCUCCAUAUAGUUUCGUGAUGUUGAAAAAAAGCAGCUUUGCAGGUGGAAGAACGAGCAACAGUAGAAUCCACACGAGAUUGAAGCACUGCUUCUUCAGCUACACGAUGCGGAUCAGGAUGUUUUCGUCCAAAAAUAAAUGCAUUUCGAGCCUUCCAUAUGUGCCAAGGGACUGUGGCGAUCACUGGAAGACUAGGUAAGGGUUUCUGAUCACCGGCAUGCUCUAUGAUCCAGGCUGUGAUAUUCCUUAUAUGCUGAGUUUGAAUGGGGAGGUUGAUCUGAAGAUUACUCCAAACACGCCAAACCCAGGGACAGAAUAAGAACAAGUGUUCCAAGGUUUCCGGGGUGUCUUGAUCACAAAUAAGGCAUUUUGGAUUGUCAAUGAUAUGCCUAUGAUGCAGAUUAACUCUUGGUGCUAAACUAUUUUGACAUAAUAACCACCAGAAGUGGCCUACCUUAAGAACGGUGUGCAUUUUCCACAAUUUGUGCCAUAAUAAAGAUGGAUGUUGAUGUGAAGAUGAAGGCGCGCUAUUGAGUUUAAGCUCUGCUGAAUGGUUGAUAUUGUGAUAUGUUGAUUUAACUGGGUAAUCCCCAUUAAAAAUAACAGUCCAAAUAAGUUUAUUCAUGGAAAAUCUGGGUCGUAUCGGAAUAGNNNNNNNNNNNNNNNNNNNNNNNNNNNNNNNNNNNNNNNNNNNNNNNNNNNNNNNNNNNNNNNNNNNNNNNNNNNNNNNNNNNNNNNNNNNNNNNNNNNNNNNNNNNNNNNNNNNNNNNNNNNNNNNNNNNNNNNNNNNNNNNNNNNNNNNNNNNNNNNNNNNNNNNNNNNNNNNNNNNNNNNNNNNNNNGCAAACAUAGGGAAGAAUGGCAUCACGUCACUCAAAAGGCUCUGCAGCCCCAUGACGGGCGAGAGCCUUUUUCUGCCUCAUCAAACCGUGAGGUUGGAAAAUAUAAUCCUUUAAAAACUUUACCCCACAAGGAGGAUGGCUAAAGAAGUAGUCGCCACGCUUGCUUACCCAGCAUGGCUAAAUUAAAAUUGAGGAGAUCCCGAAACUCUAAACCACCAGCUACCUUUCUCUGUUUUAGUACCUCCCAAUUUCGCCAAUGUAUGCAUGUUCGUUGUCUAUCAUUCUGCCACCAAAAUUUCGCAAUUCUUUGUUCAAUAGAGGUACAUAGAGAAAUGGGUAAUCGAAAUAUGGACAUGGCAUACUGUGGUAUGGAUUGUACUACAGCCUUCAACAUAAUCUCUUUCCCCGCCUUUGAGAAAAGGUUUUCCUUCCAACCUUCCAAUCUGGUAUUCACUCGAGCUAGUAUCCAAGAGAACAUAUCCCUUUUCGACCUACCCCAAUCAGAUGGUAUACCAAGAUAUUUCCCACAACUUUGCAAUAUAGGAACUCUAAUAGCAUUAGCCAUAUUUUCCUGUAGAGAAGUAGGGCAAGAUUUACUAAAAAAUAUACCAGAUUUGUUGCGGUUCACCUCUUGGCCCGUGGCAAAGCAAUACUAAUUCAGCACAUUUGAUAAAUUUUGACAUUCCCGAACUGAUCCUUCUACAAAGAAAAUUGCAUCGUCUGCGAAAAGAAGGUGUGAAAGAGUUGGGCACCAUCUGUUGAGUUUAAUACCUUUGAGUGUCUCCAUAUCGAGUGCAUUAUGAAUAAGAGAUGAUAAUAGAUUGGAUAAAAGGAUAAAAAGGUAUGGGGAGAGAGGAUCUCCUUGGCGAAGGCCCCUGGUAGGAUGAAAGGGCCUAAGCUGAUCGCCAUUCAUGUUGAUACAUAAAGAUGUAGUGGUGAUACAUUGCAUGACCAGAGUACUCCAUAAUGGAUGAAAGCCUAACUUAAGUAGAUAAGCAUGUAAAAAGUCCCAUUCCACUCUAUCGUAGGCCUUCCGCAUAUCCAACUUGACAACAGCAUGAAAUUUGCGCAUCCUCCUUUUAGAUCUAAGUUGAUGUAAAACCUCCUGUACUAGCAAGAUAUUAUCUUGUAUCUGGCGCCCACCCACAAAAGCAGAUUGUUCCUCAGAAAUUAGAGAUGGUAGCAGAGGUUUCAGUCUAUUUGCAAGCACUUUAGAGAUAACCUUAUAGGCAUAAUUGCAUAAACUAAUAGGGCGAAAUUGAUCAAGACUCUCAGGUUGAGGGAGUUUUGGGAUCAGAGUAAUAACUGUUUUAUUUAAGGCUAAAGGGAAACAGCCUGAGAGAAAGAAAUGCUGAACCUCUUUGAAGAAAUCAUCCUUUAUAAUAUCCCAAUGAGUCCUAUAAAAAAGACCAGUCAGCCCAUCAGGACCAGGAGCUUUGGUUGAAACGUAGCUAGUCUCAAUUCUUCCAAGGUCAACAAUGACAUUAGAGCAUUAUUCAUGGCUGGCGUCACCACUGUAGGACACUGAUCUAAAAUAGGUUCAAAGUUGCGAGCUCCGACUGUGGUAUAUAAUGAUGAGAAGAAAGAAGUUGUCAUCUCCUAAAGCCGACUAGGAUCCCUGACCCAAUCCCCCGUUUCAUCCCUGAGCAUCGUAAUCUUAUUCCUUUGUCGCCUCUGGACUACUUUAUUAAGGCCAAAAUGUCUUGAUUGUGAUGGACAUUUCAUAAGCAAAAGUUCUCUUUUAUGAGAUCGGCCCUACAUUCAACAUGGACUGUUGGAUAAAAAGGGAAAAAACACGAUCCAUCAAUCUAUUUGGCAAAAUCGAUUUUCUGUCAUCACUUCCGAAUAUUAAAGGAAAGUUGCAGGCGCAAACUUGAUCAAAUUAUAAUUUGAUUGAAAAUAGUGACGAUGAGUAAGGAAAAUUACUAAAGCAUAGGUCUCAAAACUUUGCCAAGUGCAAAGUAGAGGAGAGUUACGAUCAAUCUACAUAUUUUAGUAAAAAUACACAAAAAGAAAUUUACUUUUAACCGAAUAAAUAUUAUCUUUGUGGAAUUUCACCAAACAUAGGUUUCAAAGAAUUUAUGACCUCCAAAGAAAAAGUACACCCUCCAAACUCAAAAGAAAACAUAUGAAAGGAUUUUUUACAGGAAAAAUUACUAUUAGUGAGGACAAUUACGUCAUCAAAGGAAAGUUGUGAUUUAUCCAGUAAUUUACUAACCAUAGAAAAAACAAUUUACCCAAAACUUGGCAGAUUAUUAUAUUUUGAGGAAUAUUACAAAUCAUUUGACCUCCAUAACUUAUGAUGGCAACCUCAAAAGUAACAGAUUUCUCAAGAAACGAUGCCCUAAAACACAAGACGCUUCCAAUUACUCUAGGAAGUAAUUUCCAUUGGAGCUUAUUUAAGUGUUUGCUCGUUACUCAAUACAAUGAACAAUGUGCGACUAAGUGUUCCCAAACGACGGAACCUAAAUCUUUUCAUCAUACAAGGAGCAAUGCAUUAUGUUCUAUUAGAACUUCGCAAGGUUCUGAGCUUCAGAAGGUCUAGUGUAAUAUUGACAAUUUAAUUAGGCUAGAAACACAGAAAAUGCAGAAUAGUUUGGAAAGUUAACUUGCUUAUAUUUAUCAGGAAAAAGGACAACAGUUUUGCAAUGUCAACAUCACAAAUAAUUAUUCCUUUGAGGUAACUCUAGCAUGAUCUUUCUUCAUACAAAAGGCAUGUCAAAGAUUACGCACACCUCACACAAUGUGCCCCAUCAACAACAAAACCAGUUAGUUGUGCCGGCAAUGCAUGAUAGUCGAAUAUAAGAAAUAUACGCCGAACCGUCUAGAAAAAGUUAUGGUGCAUCAGACACAAUACCUUUCUAUGUAAGCAUUUCAAUAUCUCUAGAAAUGAUGGGUUUCCCACAUUCCUUUUGGGAGUUACAUACAAUAGCUUGCACGAUGGUUUAUCUUUUCUGAAAAGGUAAGCAAAGAAAAAGUGGAGAUUAAUAAUUUGACAAUCACAACACUAAGCAUAAAAAAUCUAGAAGUCCAAUAGAGCUAAACCUUGCCUUAGUUCUUGGAGAAUAGCUGCCGCUUGGGCAGUAGUUUGCUGAGAGUUCAAGAAAGUAGAUGGUAUUCCAUACUUGAGGAUUAGAGUAAUUAUUGGAUCUAGAAUGAGAGAUAGCAAGGGAGAUAUAAUGAUUGUGACACCUAUUUAAAGAGUUGCUGGUAGAUGAAACCAAGGAUAAAAACAUCAAAAGAGCGCAUGAAGAAAGGAAGGGACAAGGGAACUAUUAUUUCUUUCACCUUCAGCUGAUUAGGAAUGACCAGUUGUCACUACUUGUCUUACAAUUAAUUACUUUCAGCUAGAAACAUGUCACGCCCCGAUCCUCGAGACGCGCCCAUCCUUCUAAUGGUCGAUUUUAAAGUGCGAUAUCCCAGGACUAAGUAUCACCAACCCUUUCGUUUAUUAAGCACAUGCGGAAGCAGUUAUAAAUCCCCAGACAAUAAAAUAAUGGGAUAGAAAAGCAAGCCAUAUUUUUAAUAUUGAAAUUCACAACCACACUUUUAUUAACAACACAACUCAUAGCAUAUUUACAAUACUAUUCCCAACAUACUUGUCUCACACCGAUCUACACUAAGACAGGGUUUACAAAAGGGAUGGGAUAUCAAUCCACAUCCGGGUUAUACUCAAGAUCCCUCUCUAGAUCAUCUUCUUCUUCAAAAGUCUUUCUCCCCUUUAGGUUCCUCCUCCUCAGCUUCUCCUCAGGGUCCUGAAAUGGUUAUUCAAUAACCACUGAAACCACGUCUUAGCGAGUUCUACCCCCUAAGACUCGAUUAGUAAACCAAUACACUACUCGGUUGCCUAAGCACAACACGAGUCAGAUGACUUACCUUGGCCUCAGAUUCCAUCUGCACAUUAGUACAGUUCAAUAGGUACUCAAACAAUCACAUCACCAAUCGAAGUAUCGAUCAAAUCAACUUAGUCGAUUUCAUGCCAGUCGGACCAUUUCUAGGUCAUUCAUCCCACACCAAGCAAUUCCUUAGAUUUAGUGGCUUUACGGUCCCAUCCGACCCUUUCCAAAUCUAGUGGCUUUAUGGUCCCACCCGACCCUUUCAAGAUCUAGUGGCUUUACGGUCCCAUCCGACCCUUUCCAAAUCUAGUGGCUUUAUGGUCCCACCCGACCCUUUCAAGAUCUAGUGGCUUUACGGUCCCACCCGACCCUUUCAAGAUCUAAUCUAGGAAUGAAUCUUAAAAUCACUCAUAAAUUACUUUAGCACUGAAUAAAGCUCAAAUAAAUAAAUGGACUACACCACGACGAUCAGCACAAAAUUCCAGUCAUCGGCCAUCCCGGUUGAAUUUUCGGAAAAAUAAAUAAUUAAAUAAUUUAUUUCGAAAAUUAAAUAAAUAAUUAUUUAAAAAAAUCCAAUUUAGGCCCAUAAUGUCUGAUUGGAAGCCGAGACGAGCCUGGAAAAUUACCGAGACUUGUUCAAUAAUUAACAUUGCAUGCCUACUUGCUAAUGUCUAUUUCUAACCACCUAACAUGUAUCAUUAAGUCUCUAAUUUAAUUUAUCUAAAUUAAUAUAACCACCUAAUUGCAUUUAAUUAAAUCUAACCAACCUUAAGUAUAAUUAGGAAACUAAGAAAGCAUUAGUGAGUAAAAAUUACUUGGUAAAAGCAGAGAUCGGGACACCGCGAUGAUGACGCUACGACGGCCGAAAUCGAGCUUUCGACAACACCGGCGGGCUUGGCCCAACAAAUCUCACCCAACUGAGAUUUGUUCUUGCUUUUGGGCCAGACCCAAGUUGGAUUGGGCUUGCUACGAAGAUGGGCUUCAAGCUAUGGGUUGGGCUUGAAGACUACGGGAGAUGGGCCUCAAUAAAAUUCUGCUGAUGGGCUGCUGCUGGUGAAAUUCGACUGGGCUGGCUUGCGACCCAAAUGGGCUGAACAAACUGCAACUGGAAGCUGGCUGAUCUGUGGGCUGCUUGAUCGAGCGUGGACUGACGCUAGCAGGAGGAAGGAGCAAUGUCGGCGGUUGCUUCGGCUUCGCUGGGAUCUUCAAAUUGCUGAAGUCCACGGACGUGAGGCUUCUCGGUUGGGAUUGGGAUUUGGUGGAGUGGGUUGUUGACCGAAGGGGACGUGUGGAUGAGCAAAGAUGGAGCAGGGAAGCAGCUGGCGUGGAUGCAUGGGACAGAGAGAGAUGAGGCAGCGUUCAUGGCCACCAAACUCGGUGGAGUCGUGGGCUUCAAGCGGUCAACCAAGAGCUUCAAUUGAAGCUGUUGUUGACCGAACCAGGCGUACACACGGCCAAGUGGUAGCAAGCUCGGCAGAAUCAGUUUCGGUGAAAACAGAGACAAACGAAAGUGGGCUUUGCUGGCAGGGAGAAUUCGGUGGAUUGUGGCUUCGCAUGGAGUAGCUUCGGUAAGUCUUCAACGCUUCUGGAGAAGACACGAAGCAGUGGAGCUGCAUGCGGUCAACAAUCUUUGCUGAGAUUGACCAAAACCUCAGUGGAUUGGUCUUCGGUGCAGCUGGCGGACGAAGGAAAAUUUUUGAAGGAAGCAGCUUGGUCUUCUGCAGUUGCUGUUGGCGAUGUCGCACGAAGUGGGGAGGGAGAGAGAUAGCUGUCCGGUUGAGGGUGAGAGGAAAAGGAAUGGAUAUAGAUGAGUGAUGGGGCCCUUUAGACUUGAUCUUUCCACACAAAUAUCAUUUGUUUUUAUCCCUCCAUAUGGCUGGCACCCACCAACAAAUUUUCAGCCCAAUUUACCCCUUCUAGAGAGUUGAGUUGGUCCAAAAGUCACCACUUGUGGGGCAUGCAAAUUUCUUAGCGCAAGGCUCCAAUUGCUUAUCAAAUCUCCCUCAAUCGGCUUUCAUAAAAUCAAUCAACGCUUCAAUGCCUCAAUUGCUAUUUUUCCUCAUCCAAUAACCCAUCUUGCAUCUCGAUUUUGCGAUCGAAACCAUCUUCAGCAUUGUCGGCACAAAAAUGACCCAACGACAACUUUUUCCCAGAAAGUGUCGGGUGUCAGAAAAAUCUUCUGAGACUGAGUCGAUACUCCUAGAAUUUAUUAUGACAUGGCCAAAACUUCAAUUUCUGAAAUCGGACUCGAAUUGGCAGUUAAUUUUCAUUCGACGCGUUUUUAGCGUGACCUAGACUGUCGGGUAGUUUUUCAUAACUUUUUAAGGCAAAUAACACAUGGUUGAUUUUCUUCGAACCACUAUGAACCCAUUCGACUUAAUGGCGACUCUCGAUUGUCGUGAAAAUCUCGAGGUUUCAAAUACGGACAUAGGGUACCAAAAUGACAGUUAAAUCAGAUUUGUGUCGAUCGACGAGAAUUUUCCAAUUUAGUGGAGUCACCCACGAUCGGCCACAUAUCUCAGUCGACCAAACCUAUCUAUGGUCUUAAAUCGAUUUUUAACUGUGCUGCAAUGGCCUCUAAAGAUGAGCACGGUCGAGAAGCUGAUUCCUGAUCGAAUUCUCAAGUUUAUUACCCUAAAAUUUCUUAAUUACUUACCUAGACAAUCUAGUUAUCUCAAGAGUGAUCGGCUCUGAAAAUAGCCCAAUAAACACGUCAACGAAAUGCCCGAUUAUUUUAGUAGAAAACAGGUUGAGAAAUUCAAGAUGUCACGAAACAUAUAUCAACUACUUUAAGACUGAACAUAAAACACUUCUAAAAAAUCCAGUAUAAUAUCUUCCUCCUUCAUUCAUUACAUCAAAUAUUUUUCUUGCUACCAUUAUAUAUUGUAUAUUGAAGGAAAUUAAUUCCAAACCAAUUAUGGGAAAAAAAGAAGUCAUAGAUCAUUACCCUAUGUGAGAUAAUGGCAUAGCCAACAACUACAAGGAAAUAUAGAAGUCUAGAACCCAUAUUUGGUGGAAGUACUUUGAAAAAUUAUUCCUCUUCGACUCAGUAACCCAUUUGAAUUGGACCUGAAUUAUGACUAACAAUAGCACUUACAUGCAUAAACAAUUUUCCGGUAAGUGAUUAGAAGGUCCUAGAAGCAUAGUACAAACUUUAAAUUCUAGAAAUUAUAACAGAUAGAGAUGUGCGAAGGCGGAAUGAGAAUGUACCGUAUUUCCUUCUUGUCUAAUUUUGUCCAAUGCCAUAAAUUGGAAUCCAUGGUUAUGUACUAGAAUCACUUCCUAUUGCUUAAUUUUCAUUUGAAAAACAUUUACUACCUUUUAUGUUCACAACCUUCUCAACGGUGCUUAAAAAAACAUAUUAGAAGAUCGUCAAAGCUUAAAUUUUGACAUACAGGUCAACCCUUUUACAUUUAGUUGGUGGAACCAUUGAGCAAAGUGCACAGGGCUUGUGAUCUUAACAUUGUCUCCACUCUCUCCUACAUACAAUCAUUACAUAGUUGAGACAACGUUAACAUCCACUAACCUGGUAACAUAAGCUUUUACCACCUCCAGUGGGCAUGAGAACAAAGCAAUCUUGCUUAGCUACAGAAUCUUUACAAGCCCGAUGCUGCAUUGGUCGAAAUGCCUCGUUUCCGAAUAUGACAACAUUUGCCAAUUCUACGUCAUCAAAGGCUCGCAAUUCCUCAUAACUCAAAGUCCCUUGUUGGAUGUUGAAAUCUGAAAGCAAUGUGUUUUAUUUGAAAUUGACUAUUGAACCAUGAGUGACAGUGAUUUUAUAGUCCUUCAACAAAGAUAAGCCUCUUCAGCACCGUAAUAGUUUUUGACAUGGAUUGUCAUAGAAAAUGAAAAAUGUGCACAAAGAAAUCACAAGCCUUUAUUUAUGCAAAACAUUCCAAUCAAUGACGCUGGAUUGUUAAGUUCCACACUUUGAUGAUCUACUAUACUCUCAAGGUAUUUGAGAAGUAUAGGUAUUUUGUAAAUCAUCCAAAACUAAAAUUAACUUCUUUAUUGACCAAAUAGUUCUCAUAUGUCAUUUUGGAUCUUGAAGAUUGUGCAAUAAUUGGCAAAAUUUAGGAGUGUAUUGGAUAUUUAAUUGGACGAGAGGCCUCAUUCAUAAGAAUUUUUUUUUUGGUCGAAUCCUCAUAAGAAAUUUACUGAAUGCUUUUGUACAUGUACAUUGUGUAGGUCCUUUGCUGUGUGCAGAAUCAAAGCAAAUUGGAAACAAUCAAGCAGGGAACAAGUUAUAAGAGAAAAGGACAGUGACACAAUGAUUUAAGUGGUUUAGCAGUAUUGUCUAUGUGCAUGGGAGAAGCAUACCAUGGAUUCUAAAGCCCCUCUGGCCAAAAUUUGAGUGGAUGAAUUGGUUAGAUUACUACUUUAGUCAGGACUAUAGCAUGUGGAUUUCCUACCCGUUUUACUACCCAACACAUCUUCUUCGCUUUACUGUCAGUAGAGGAAUCCACCCCAUGGAAAUUUGAUUUUUCACAGUUUGUGGAGAAUCUUCUAUAAUAUUGACAUUGUGCAUAACAUUGCAUUCACCAUCGGAUAUCUUGGCCAAACGUAUCAGUCAAAACGCCACAAGCUUCUGAUUCUGCAGCUUGCACAUCAUCCCAAUCCUCAAUGUCUAGCAUAGUUUGGGCAAGUUUUGCUAGAAAAUGAUCACCACAGUGCUUCAUAGUGAUAAACUCUCGACCUCCGUCAACUUAAGGAAACCAGAAGAAGAAAGAGGUGAUUUUGCAAGUUCCAUGGCAAACAAGAGAUCAAAUAAACAAAAUCUACAAUACGUAAUUUGCAAUUAGUUCAGUGAGAUGCCAUAUUCGUAGUGAGUUCAGAAAUAAGUUAGAGAUUUCGCUAGUCAAUAAGACUACUCUGCAAAACCCACAGAUAAAUGAGGAUGGGAUUAACGCUCAAUGAACUAGAUUUAACCAUCUCCUCCAGUCCAUUCAAAUCUAAAGGGUAGACCAUUCCAUAGCCAUCGUCGAAAUGACGACUAACCGCAAUAAAUCUCCUUAUCCAGGAAUGCACAAUCAAUCGAUUCACGAAUUAUCCACACAACACAAGCAAUUACAUCAUUCCCUAAUCACCAUAUACCAACGAUUUAGCUAAUAACCAAGAAAAACCACCAUUCGGAGCAACCUCAACACAUCAAACUGGAACCACGCCACACAUUUCACUCAUCAACAAGAUUACUUCACCAAACCUGCUUCGAUCUAUUCAAACCUAGAGCAGACUAUUCCACGACAAUCCUCAUCAUAUUGGACAAUGAAAUACCUAUAUGGGUGACAAAGUAACGAUUGGAGUUACCAUAGAGUAGAUGUGUCAAAAUGGGUCAUUGACCCAUUUAUGGACCCAUUUAUGGUUAAAUGGGUCGUUAAUGGGUCAAGCUUUAGUUCCUAAAGCACCCAUAAUGGGUUUUAAUGGGUCAAGACUGAGAUAUAUUGAUCUUAAAUGGGUCAAAGAGCUACCCAUUUAAGACCCAUUAAAAAUAAACUCAUUUAUUUUCACUCAAAACCUCACCAUCUCUCUCUUCUCUCUUUAACUUUACAACUUUUUUUAUAUAAAAACCGAAAUUAUAAUUAUUUUUUCUUUUAAUUUUCUUUCCUUUUUUUUCUUUUUUCUUUGUUUUUUCUUUCUUCUUCCUCCGAUCGUCAACACGGCGAUGGCCGGUGAUCGGCCAAGCGAGCCUCGAGCUCGCCGACGUCGGGCGAGCUCUAGCUCGCCGGAUCUAGCAAGGCGGAGGCCUCACCGAUGCCUAGUGAGGCUCGAGCCUCGCCGAUUUGGCGAGACUUGAACUCGUUGGUGUCGGGCAAGGCUCGAGCCUCGUCGGCAUCAGGCGAGGCUCAAGCCUCGAGCUCGCCUAACGCCAGCGAGGCGGAGGCCUCGCCAAUGUUCGACGAGGCUUGAGCCUCGCUAGAUUCGGCUAGGGGCGAGCCUUGAGCUCGCUCGGUGCUGGCGAGGCUCGAGCCCCCGCCAGAUCUGGUGAGGGGCGAGCUCGAGCUCGCCCGACACUGGCGAGCCUCGAGCUCGCCGGAUCUAGCGAGGCUCAAGCCUCCCCGAUCUGGUGAGCCGCGAGCUUGAGGCUCGCCUAUGGCCAGUCGUCGGCCGUCGUCGUGGCCAACGGCCGGCCAAAGAAGAAGAACAACAAAAAAGAAAAAAGAAAAUUAAAUUUAAAUUUAAAAAUUUAAAAAUUUAAAAAUUAAUGUUUUAAAAUAAAAAUAAUUAAAAUUUGAUGUUUUAAAAUAAUUAUUUUAAAAAUUAUAAAAAUUGUCCAUUAAAUUUGUGCUGUAUAAAACUAUUUUAGCGAUACCAUUUUAUAUAUACAUAUAUAUAAGAAAUAAUUUUUUUUGAAAAAUUAUAAAAAAUUGAAAAAUUAUUGAUUGGAUUUGUAUUACUUGGAAGUUUUUUAGUAAUAUAAUCUUAAAAAAAAACAUAAGAAUAAGUUUUCCUAAAUUUUGUUAAAUAUGAAGAUAUUUUAUUAAUAUGGGUCGAGUCGGGUAUAGGUCGAAAAAUUUAUAUUAGACAUAAAUGGGUCAUAAAUGAGUUAAUGGGUCAAUUUAAGUCAACCCAUUAAUGACCUGAUCCAAACCCGACCCGACCUACCCGUUUGACACCUCUACCGUAGAGAGCGAAAUGAGACGGUCCAAGCACUUGCUGGUGGACUGCUCGUCGAAGCAGAACUCGAGAGCCAAGCUCAGCAACCAAGCUUUCUCCACCUCCUCCAAGCCUCGAUCCUCCAUCGAGUCUCAACCAGUUCGACGCCAUUCGAUUAAUCGAUCGAUCGAUGAUGCACCAGCCGAAAUCAAAUCGAAUUGAUUGCUAGUCUGUCUGGAGAGCGCACGCUCGAAGUACUCUUUCGAAAAGCAUUGCCAACGAUGGUGAGGAUUGAUGUUGUUUUCCGCUUUCUAUUUUUAUGCGCUGGAGAAGGGGAGAGAUUGGAACCAUAUUUUUUCAAUUUUUUUUUUAAAUUCUGUUUCGCACCUGAAAUUUGUUUAAACUCUAUUUUUGCCCCCACCAUAAGUUUUCCUGGUUUCAUUUGACACCCUUGGGUCUAUAAAUUUUUUUUUUUUUUUCUGGAUAAAAGAAGUCGUGCACUUUUCUCUAAGCGUGUAGUGUCGAUCUUUCCGAGUCAAUGCAUAAGUCCAAUUCAUUUUGGGGCGUCCUUCCAAUAGCGCUUGUCGCACCAAUUCUUCUAAGGAUGUGCGCUUAUAAUCUUCUCAAGACGAGGAAAAAGAGCGGAAGCAAUACCACAUGCAAAAAAAUAAGCGUCAACGGGUCAUCGACAUCUAUGUUUGUCUCUCCAACACUAACAAAAGGGGGGAAGUGAUCCCUUUAACGUAUUCUUGAGCUUUCGAGACGACAAAAAUAUCAUAGAUGAAGGAACUGUGCCAAUAUUUGCACUUACGGAUGAUGAUAGCCUCCCUACUAGUGAAGGGUUGGGUUUAUGGCAUCUCGAUGCAAUCACAUGGACUAAUGUUUUCCACGAAAUAAACGGAACCUAAAGUUCCAUCCAUGUUACCUAGCCAAAAGAUGUUUCGGCCAAAUAAGAUAUAUUAGUCGUCCUUGGCCUAGAUCGAUAUAAAAUGAAAAUGCAACAAAACUUCAACAUGGUCGGCCAACAAAAAAAAGUAAAUUCUAUUGAUGAUCCUUUUGAUUCCAUCAUAACUCUUUCCGUAAUUAUCAUUGAAAGGUUAAUGGUUGUCGAUCAAUAAAACAUUUCCAACAUCAUAACUCUUCCUGUAAUUAUCGUUGAAAGGUUAAUGGUUGUCGAUUAAUAAAACAUUUCCAACAUGCAAAUCUUUUAAUAAUGUAUGGUAAAUCGCAUUGUAAUGAAUUUUAACUGUUUCUACAAAAAUUUUGUAAAUUCUUCUACGUUUCGGAGAUAAUGGAGGAAUCUAGAUAUUUUUGUUUUGGUCGAAGUAAACAUCUUUCAUUAUUUCAAGUAGCUCCAUGAUUACAAACUAAGUGGGCCUCUAAACAAAUCAGGCCUGACAAUAUUUUUGGGGAUAAGAAACCUAGUUGGUGGGAAGGGAUUUUCGCCAAUGGGCUUAGAGAUCCAAUCAGCUACCUGGCUCGCUUCUCUCCUACAGUAGGCUAAUCACAUGCUCUUGUAUUGGGCCAGCAGGUUUUUGCCUUUAGAGAUAAGAGACUGGAUGCUCCACGUUGGUUGUUCUUGAUCUGAAAGUGCAAUUAUCGUUGACCAACUCUUCAACUCUAGAGAGUACUUGAGUUCAAACGUAAGACAAAAGAAGCGUAGGGCUUCCAUGCACGCUAGGGCUUCCACUUGCUCCGCCGAGUUCGCCCAUACUUCCUUCGUAAAUCCAGCCACGAUGUCCCUAGACUCAUCUCUAUAAACGACGCCGAUGAUUCCUAUUCUCUCUUCCUUCGCACACGAGCCAUCCACAUUGCUCUUUAGAGUGCCUUUCUCGGGUGGAAUCCAUUUUGCAGCCAAAGGCUAAAGUACGCGCAUCCUUAUGAUACAAUUAAUUGCAAAUAAUAGGAAAAAAAGCUAGGACUUUCAUAAAUGGCUAUCUAUAUAAAGCAAUUGGUAGAUGCAGAACACAAAUACAAAAAAGAUCAAUUAAAACACUCAAUUCCAGUGGAAUACAUGAAUCAUUAAGUGCCUAGUUUUGAGGCACCUACAAGGCAUCUGGACAAAACAGUGAUUGACUUCCGAGGAACAAUGCCUAACAUGGACCUGAGAGCACCCACAGCAUUGGAUUGUAUGAAUCAUGGUGAAUGACAUGAUUGUUCGAGUGCAAUCAUUAUUAGAGCACCACUAAGUGUAGUUUUUUUUCAAAUUUAUUUGAAGAUAUACUUGUGUUCGGUUUGGUUUAACUGAAUGAAUGUUUUUCCUUAUUAAUUUCCCUCAAAUAAUUUCUCAUUAUUUUCAUUAUUUGAGAAAAAAAUUACAAUUAUUUUGAAUUUAAUUCUGCUUAAUUAAUUUUUAAAAAUGUCUAGGCCCAUGCCCACCAUGCUUAGGUUGUGUCAGCCCAAGCUUGUCGUGGUGCUCCGUCCUAGUCACACUUCGCCAAGUGAGAAGCCUCGAAAACUACAUUGGUUGUAGUUAAGCUUGGAAAUCACAUCGGUUGUGAUUAAGCCCAAAAUAAAACCAGCCUACGAUCAUCGUACACAUCUCAAGACGCAUAUCAACCGUAAGCACUAAUCCAAUUUCCAUAGUUCAUAGUCCAACAUGCCGAGAUAUGCUAGAAAUAUUUCACCCAUGUAUAUAUUUUCUAUGCAUGUCCAAAAUAACAAUCUUAAUUGAGUCCAUUCAAUGCUUGAUCCAAUUUUAUUAAAUAAGAUGCCAUGAAAUGGUUUAAUUUUUCCCUUGAUUCUCAAAGUGCAUGGGUUGAGGAAAUAUGUGGUUGACUAUGAAAAAUGCUAUGUUAUGCACUUCAUAACUAGUUUGAAAUGUACUCACACGUUCAAUGAAAUUUAUAACAUACAAGAAGUUGGACAAGAAUCAUUUAACAAAUUUAGGGAAACAUUGAAUUGGCUCAUCGAAUAUCCAAACAUUUAAUUAUUGUCUCGUUUGCCCUUUUGUCAUAAGUGCGAGAAGUUUCCAUGAUCUUUCUGAGUGUUGGCUGCAUUCAUAAAGAUACACAUGAAACGCCAGGAAACAUUGAAUUGGCUUAGCGAGAUUACAACUAAUAACAAUAAUAAUGUAAUGAUUGUAUUGCGUGAGUGCAUCCGUAAACAAAAGUAGUCUUCCUACCUAAUUCUCUUUUUUAAAUUGAAAUAAUAUUAUAGUUGUUGUGCUUUUACCAUGCAUUAAUUAGUUUAAUAAUAGUCUAUUUCGCUAUCAUUACCCACAGCAAAUUUUUAAGGGCAAUUAUUGAUUUUUAAUCUUAGGAAGAAUGCCACUAUCUAAGAUUCCAUCCAUGUUACCUAAUUGGAAGAUGUAACAAAGACCAAGACUUGUUCUGGCCAAAAAUAAAAAAUAAAAAACAAAGACCAAGAGUCACCCAUAAUGAAAGACCAAGACAAAUAAUUAGUCACUAGUGGGGCAAACUCUAAUUAAUUGUAAUAAUAGUAUAUUUCUCUAUCAUUACCGACAACCAAUUUUUAAAGGCAAUCAUUGAUUCUUGAUCUUAGGAAGAACGUCACCAUGUAAGAUUCCAUCCAUGUUACCUAGCUGGAAGAUGUAACAAAGACCAAGACUCAUUCAAACCUAAAAUAAAAAUAAAAAACAAAGACCAUGACUCGCCCAUAAUAAAAGACCAAGACAAAUAAUUAGUCACUAGUGGGGCAGAUCAAAUUAAUUCACUAUUAGUAUAUUUCUCUAUCAUUACCGACAACCAAUUUUUAGAGGCAAUUAUUGAUUCUUAAUCUUAGGAAGAAUGUCACUAUCUAAUAUUCCAUCCAUCUUACACGGCUGGAAGAUGUAACAAAGACCAAGACUCUUUCUAGCCAAAAAUAAAAAUAAAAACAAGGACCAAGACUCACACAUAAUAAAAGACCAUGACAAAUAAUUAGUCAAAAGGGGGUAGACUCAUUAAUUUAUCUUUUUUGGCCGAGACAGACUUAUUAAUUAUCCUCGACCUAGAUUGAUAUAAGAUAAAAGGGCGACAAAAUUUAAUUAUGAUCGGCAAGCGAAAAACAUAAGUCCCAUUUAUGGUCCUUUAGAAUUCAUUAAAAGAAUAGUCUAUCUAACUUAAAUAACUCUUCCCUCGAUUAUCUUCAAAUCUUGUUCUAUUUUUUGACGUAUCUUCUAAUAAUGGACCAAAACUUCUUGAACAAAUUUUUUAAACCACGUGCCUUCUAUUCAAAUCUCCUUAUUUAUUUAUUUAUUUAUUUAUUUAUUGUUUUUUAGUGAUUGAGGAUGAAGAUUAUUUCUUUGUUUCCACAUUCACCAACCAAAUCCAAUUAACAAGCAAUAUUGCAAAAGACAAACACCAUGUUUUCUUAUUUCAAUGGAAAAAUUAUCAAAAAAUUCUUAAACCUAUUGUACAUGUGCUAAUUCAAUCUUAAACCUUUUAAUUUUGACAAUUGAUUCAUAAACCUUUUAACGAUUUGCCAAUGUAGUCAUUCCUGUCAAUUUUGUCCGAUAACUAAUGACAUACACCAACUAUCCUAUGUGGCACAGUGGGCAUUGAUGUGGACAAUUUUCGCUUUUUUUUUUUCUAUAUUUCAAUCAUAUGUAAAAAGAAUGACUAUGAUUCAAUGUGAAGACUAUGAGUAAAUUGGAUAAAUUUCAAGUGUAGAGAUUGCAAUGGGAAUUUAGUCAGGUAGAUCUACAAGAUGAAUCUCAAGUUUCUUGGUAGAAGUGUUAGAAAAGUCAUAGACCUAUUAUGUUGAUGUCAAUUUAAUCAUAAAUCUUUUAAUUGUGCUAAUUUAAUUUAGUAUUAAACAUUUGGACCUAGUGCUAAUUUAGUCAUUCUAACUAUUUUUUGGAUGGAUAUCCUACACGAUACGGCCGGUGCUGACGUGGAUAAUUUUGAAUGAUAUUUUAAUAAUUUUCGAAUUCCUUCUUUCUUUACUUUCUUUACUUUCUCUCUUAUAUUUUCCUCCUCUUUUUGGUGGUUGGCAAGCAUCAAUGAGGCUGCCCUCACCCAGGCAACACUUGGCCUCACUAGAUCUUGCAAGGGCAGCCUCACCAGCACUUGCCCUCACCCUAGCAAGGCUGACAAGGUUCACCCUCGCUCAUGUGAGACCCAGCCAUUGGAAAGAGGAGGAGAAAAAGAGAUAAAAAAAGAAGGAAAAAAAUUCAAAAUUAUCAAAAAUAAUCCACGUCGCCUAUAAUGCAAUGUAGGCUUGCUGACGUUUAGCAAUAUUCGGCUAAAAGUAGCUUGAAUGACUAAACUAACACUAGGCCAUAAGGUUUAGAAUUAAAUUGGCACCAUUAAAAAGUUUUGGAGUAAAUUGUACCAAUACAAUAGAUUGGCUUUUCUAAUACUUUUCCCUGAGUUUCUUCUAUAUGUUGCUUUGCAUUAGCAAAAGAAAAUAUUGGCAAAGUAACACUAUUUCUUAAUUUACAUUUUUACAUGUAUAUAUUAAUUUAAAUAUUGCAAUGAAAUUAUUUUAAAAAUUUAGAAAAAAUAUUGUUUCCAACAUUACUUUACUGUCUAUCAGUUUUUCAAAUAUUUGAAAGUAAUGGCUUUGAUAGGAGUUAUGGAAAGCAAUUCUUUUUGUAACGGUUUUUUACCGUCACCAAUUUGUAAUGGUUUUUGUGUAACAUUAAUCUAUAAUGUUCUUGUAACGGCUUUAUAAUGGUCAUCAUUUUAUUAAUUCUCAAUUAAUUUAUAAUGAUUUCUUAAUGGCCCUCUCUUUUGUUUGAAUAUAAGAUUAAAUUCCAAAUCACAAUCCUUUUUUUUUUUUUUUGGGUCAGUAAAUCACAAUCCUUUAAGAUACGCCGAAUUAACAGAAUUCACAUAUCUUUCCUUUUUUGUCAGGUUAUACACAUAACCUUGUUCAUGUUCCUGCUAUUAUUCAGUGCGGAAUAAAAAAAACUGUUUAUUAUAUCUUGAGAAGAUAGCUAUUAUGCCCUAUUGCAUCGAAUUUUUUACUCCAAAAGACAGAAUUAUCCUUAAGUAUAGUGUUUGCAAGUCUCAAACAUUUGGACAAAGGGCAAAGCCGGAGAAAGGGAAACAACGGGAUGCCCUAUUUCAUUUAACAUUAUUUCCUUGCGGGUGCUUGUUGCCGAUUGUUCUCUCUAUGCUUGUAUUCAAUCAAAAAGAAGAACAAAAGCGCCGCAUAAGAGAGCAUCGAGGGAGCAUCUGUCUCUUCUUCGGUGUCAUCUUGUUGGAGAAAUCUUUCCAGAAUAUUUUGAAGCUGACAAAACAUUUCUAUCAGUCUAAGUCUGGAUAUCGAUAGUUAAAGUCUCAAGACUUUAUAGUCUCAAGACUUUGUUAUCUCAAGACUCAAGACUCAAGACUCAAGACUCAAAAUUAUUCUCACUGACAGUCUUUCUAAUCCAGUGUUGAAGGAAAUUCAAAGCCAAGGUUUAUGGUUGAGGAUUUGAUCCUAUCCUCUGGAAUAGAUUCUUUGGUUGGAUAAUCAUUUCGGAUUCUUUAAUUCUUAUCUAAGAUCGAUUGAAGAUCCGAUGGUCGACGAAAUAAUCUUGGAUUAUUCUAUUCUUGGAAACCGAGAUCCUGAUUGUAUGGGCGAACAGGAUUGAUGGGCUAUCAUCAGAUUCCUUAAAUAGCUCGGAUGAUCUUCUUGAUUGAUUCCGUCCAAUGGGUAGAUUGGAGGAAUUCCUUUGGUAAGUACCAACGGCUAUGAUGGCAUGAAAGAGUAUAAAAGGAAGACGUUCUAGUUGUUUCAAGUGUGUGAUCGAUAGAAAAAUUCCAGAGUCUGAAGAUCCUUGAUUGUUAGUUGAGACUGAGCGAAAUUGUAUACAGAGAGUGUUUAUACUUGGUGACGCCUUGAGUGAGUGUGGUAGAUCAUCUACACCUAGAAAUCAAGGAAGAUCAACACUGUAACAACUCUUUGAUCAUAGUGGAAUCCAGCCAAUCGGCUGUCAGUGCAGAAGAGUGGACGUAGGCUUGAAUCAAGCCGAACCACUAUAAACCGAGUGUUCAAUUCUCUCUUUCCCUUACUCAGUCUUGCGAUUGAAUUUUUAACUGUUGCAAAUUCUCUAAUUGUUUAAAUAUCGUGCAAGCUUCGAGAAAUUUUUUGUAUACCUAUUCACCCCCCCUCUAGGUACUCGUACUAGCUACUUCAAUUGGUAUCAGAGCUCGUGUUCUUACUUUGUUUGAAGUGUUUUACUUCAAAGUAAAAGAUCCAUGGCUAGUAUGCUAGCACCGGGGCUGAUGGAGGGGCAAAGCAAUACCAGACCUCCCUACUUCGAUGGAAAGGAUUACAACAUCUGGAAGAACAAGAUGAAAGCUUUCCUACGAUCAAAGGAUCCUCUGGAAUGGGACGUAGUGGAAAAAGGAAUCACUCCUGCUGCUGCAUCAAUCACUGAAAGAGGGAAAGAAACUGUUGAAACCAGCGGAAUGUCUCAAGAAGAAAUAAACAAGAGACAAGCACUCGAUGCUAAAGCAAUUUAUUCGUUAUAUUGUGCUUUGUCACCAACUGAAUAUAACUGAAUAUCUUCUUGUGUUACAGCAAAAGAAGUCUGGGACAGGUUACAUAUCACUUAUGAAGGGACAGAUCGAGUGAAGGAGACCAGAAUUAACAUUCUUCUUGGUCAAUAUGAAUCCUUCAAAAUGAAACCAGGAGAAUCUAUAACUGACAUGUUUAGUCGUUUUACAGUUAUUGUCAAUGGUCUUGAGAACCAAGGACAAAAAAUUUCUGAUCCCAUGAAGGUGAACAAGCUUCUACGUGGACUCUCCAAGGAUUGGAAUCAUAUAAAGACUUCAAUAAGAGAGACGCAAAGAAUCAUGCCAUUAUCUGUAGACGAACUGAUUGGAACUCUUCAGUCUUACGAAGUGGAACGAAUUAAUGAAGACGAAUAUCCAAGAGGUAAGAAAUCUAUUGCACUAAAAUCAAAUGAUGAUUCUGAUGGUGCAGAUUCUGAAGAUGAUAUGGAUGAUAAGGAGCUCGCCCUCAUGAUAAGAAGAUUCAGAAAACUGAAUAGAAAAGGCAGAAGGUUCAUCCCAAAGAAACAAAGUUUUCAGAGACAGCAGACCAAGUCUGUUGAUGAUGAGGAACCAAACAAAGAUGUAGUUUGCUUCGAAUGUAAAAAGAAGGGACACAUCAGACCCAACUGUCCUCUUCUGAAAAAGAAAAGAGGAAAAGCUGAGAAAUCUCGAAAAGCUCUUAAAGCCGAAACCUGGAGCGAUACAGAGUGUGAAGAGAGUGAUGAGGAAUAUGCCAACCUGUGUCUAAUGGCGCAAUCAGACUCAGACUCUGGAUCAGACUCAGACAGUGAAUUUGAGGUAAGUGAUUAUAAAAUCCCUGUCAAAGUCUCUAAAUAUAUUGAUGAGUUAUGUUUUAGUCUUAAGACUUCUCUUAAAAAGAUUUCCGAACUUAAAAAGGAAAACUCAGUUUUAAAACAAAAGGAAAACAUUUUAGAAGAAAAGGUAAAAAAUUUAGACUUGAAUGUUUCUACUCUUAAAGAGAGUGAAGACAAUCUUUCAAAAGAAAAUGCUUUCUUAAAAACUGAUUUAUCAAAUAUUUCAAAGAAAUUUUCAAUAGGGUCCGAAAAACUUGAAAAAGUCCUUUCAAUCCAAAGACCUUACUUCAAUAAGUCAGGUCUAGGUAUGACAGCUGAAACAAUCCCUUUGAUUGAUUUUCCGAAAGUAAAAGAAAGAAUUAAGAAAAGACCAUCGAGAGAGGCUUAUAAAAAUCAUUUCAAAAGAGUUUUUGUAAAGCCUAUAGGUCGAAAUGCUUUAAGGUGUUCUAAGUGUAACAGUCAGGAUCAUUUUGAAAAAGAGUGUCCUAUGGUUUGGAAGCCUGUUAAGAGAGUAUGGCCUAAUAAUGCUCAUCCUACUAACACCAAAGGACCCAAGAAAAUUUGGGUACCAAAGAAAGCUUGAGACUCUUUUUUGAAUGCAGGUCUCUGUCAAAAAGAAGGUAAAGUGGUAUCUUGACAGCGGAUGCUCAAGACACAUGACAGGAGACUCAAAAUGUUUCAUAAAGCUUAUUAAAGUAAAUGGUGGAAAAGUUUCAUUCGGAGGAAAUAGCAAAGGAAGUAUUGUGGGAUUCGGAACUGCGAAAAUUGGAAAUCUCACAAUAAGCAAUGUCUCUCUAGUGGAAGGACUCAACUACAAUCUACUCAGCAUUAGCCAAUUGUGUGAUACUGGUUACAAGAUCUUCUUUCAAGAAGGCAUAUGUUCUGGAAUUAGCAAAGAUUCGACUCAGUCUUUCAUGGGUCGAAGGCAUGGAAACAUCUACCUCCUUGAUGUAAAGCCAAAUGAAGAACAAUGCUUAAUCUCAAUUCAAGAUGAAGCAAUUCUAUGGCACAGAAAACUUGGCCAUAUCAACAAGAAGCAAUUAGCCAAAAUCUCUUCAAAGCAGCUUGUUCGAGGUCUACCUAAACUGCCAUAUCAAAAGUCUGACUUAUGCACUCCAUGCAUUCUGGGAAAACAGGUAAGAAAUUCAUUUAAGCAAAUAAAUCAUGUAUCUACUAAUCAUGUACUACAGUUGCUUCACAUGGAUCUCUUCGGACCAACAAGAACCCAGAGCAUUAGAGGUUAUUCCAAAUGGACGUCAAAAGUGCUUUCCUAAAUGGAUUUAUCCAUGAGGAAGUUUAUGUGGAACAACCGCCUGGAUUUGAAGACCCAAAGAAGCCAGACUCAGUCUUCAGACUGAAAAAGGCUCUGUAUGGUCUAAAGCAAGCACCUCGAGCUUGGUACGACAGACUAAGUAAGUUUUUAUUACAAAAUGGUUUUGUCAAAGGUAAAGUAGAUACUACUUUGUCUAUCAAAAAGGAAAACAAAAACUUUUUACUUGUUCAAAUAUAUGUUGAUGACAUUAUAUUUGGAUCCUCUAAUGAAAGUCUUUGCAAGAAAUUUUCUAAGUCUAUGCAGGAUGAAUUUGAAAUGAGUAUGAUGGGAGAGUUAACAUUCUUUCUUGGACUCCAAGUGAAACAAAUGAAGGAAGGAACUUUCAUCCAUCAAGAAAAAUAUGCGAAUGAUCUUGUCAAAAGGUUUGGAUUGGAAAAGUGCAAAAAGAUCGAUAUACCAAUGUCAUGUUCUCAGAAGAUAGACAAGGAUGAAGAAGGGAAGAAAGUAGAUCAAAAGCUGUACAGGAGCAUGAUCGGUUCACUUCUUUAUCUUACUGCUUCUAGACCUGAUAUUUUGUUUAGUGUUUGUAUCUGUGCUAGGUUUCAAUCAGAUCCUAGAGAAUCACAUCUCAUUGCCGUGAAACGAAUUAUCAAAUACGUUGCUUCAUCUUCAAGCAUCGGUCUUUGGUAUCCAAAGAGGGGAGACUUUAAUCUUCUAGGAUACUCAGAUGCAGAUCUGGCCGGUUGCAGAGUCGAUAGAAAGAGCACUUCUGGAACUUGUCAACUACUUGGAAACAGAACGGUGUCUUGGUUUUCGAGGAAGCAAAACACUGUAGCUUUUUCAACGACAGAAGCAGAGUAUGUAGCUCUUGGAAGCUGCUGUUCGCAAAUUCUAUGGAUAAAACAACAGCUACAAGACUUUGGCAUUGAAGACUCAUGCACAGAAAUUAGAUGUGACAACACCAGCGCUAUCAAUCUCACCAAAAAUCCAAUCCUUCAUUCAAGAGCAAAGCAUAUUGAGAUUCGACAUCACUUUAUUAGAGAUCAUAUUCAAAAUGGAGAAAUCUCGAUUCAAUUUGUUGAUUCAAAAAGUCAACUAGCGGACAUAUUCACAAAGCCUUUGGAGAAGAAUCAGUUCGACUUUAUCCGCUCGAGACUCAACAUUUUGAAGCUUGAAGAAGUUAAAGUCUAAAGACUCACCAACUCUAAGACUCUGAUCUCUUAGACUCUAAAUCCUGAGACUCAAUCAUCCAUGGCUAUAGACUGUAAGUUGUAAAAGGUACUAAUUGUCAUUUAGUUAUAUUAACUCGAAAAGGUACGAUCUUUUGUUUAAUAAUUUUGGCAGUUAUUGAUUUUGAAAAGUAGUGAUCGUUCACUUUCCUUGCACCGAUUGAACUUUCUUUUUCAAAACUGAGUUAUAUAUAUACAGUUUUUUUUUCCUUUCCCCAAUCUUCAAAACCCUAAAAGGCACUCUCCUCUCGAUACUGUUUCUACUCUUUGUUCAUCGUCGAGAAAGUGGUCAUUUUCCUUGGGAAAGCAAGUGAAGGAAUCCUCCAAUAGACAAAGAAGGAUGUCGACUUCGAGGAAAUCAUCAAGAAUCGCAAACAGGGGACCACAAAGAAUGAAGAAGGGACCGACUCAUUUCGAUCUCACUGAGGAAGAAGACUUACCAAGUCAGCGACAGAGUCCGAUUCGCUCUCCUCCACGUCAUUCAGCAUCUCCUGCCCCACAAAGUGCAAGUCACAAUCUGGAAGAAGAGAUAAUCGAGGAUGCCGACCCAGUAAGAGUUCAAAAGCCCUCCUUUUUGUAUACUCUUUAUCGUGCAUUGAAAAGCACAGGUACUCCAUUGAACUAUAUAGAUGACUUCCUUAAGGACAAAAAUUAUGGGAAUGAGUAUCUUUUUCUGAAGAAAAUGGAGGAAUGGGGAAUUGCCCCGAAAGGAAAAGCAGAGGAAGCACUUGCGAACAUUCCAAGAGAUCCUCGUAUGCCAGGACAAAAUCUGAUUGACGGGAACGAUGAUGACAAAAUGUUCCUUGAAUUUAAACCUAAAAUGGGUGUGGCAGUAAAGGUGAAAGGAAAUCGGAUGGAUUUGUUUAAAUCCAAGGAUCAGGAAAAAGUGUAUUUCAGUCUGUUGAAAAGAGGGGUAAUCAACCCUAGAAGUGUCGAUUUUGACUUCCUGGAUUCCAUCAACUUGAACCUAAGAGAGAAGUUGAAUUUGCUUCAACUUGAGACUUUCUGCUCUGACUCUACAGACGGGUAUGAUCAUCUGACCGCUUAUUUCUAUUCAAAUCUUAGCUUUUUGGAUGCGAAUAGAAUUUCAUUCAGUGUUCGAGACAGUCUAUGUGGUAGAUGUGAAUAUGUUGACGGACAUAGUUGGAGUUGAACGGGGACGCUAUCUCCCAAUCAAAGUCUCACAUGCUCGAACUACUCUGGAUCUUGUCAAAGAUAGGGAUGUAGAUAAGAAAAUUAUCUAUUCCAGGAUGAAUGCCAUCAACAUUGUGCUUCACAAGAUUGUGAUCAAUUGUCUCAGACCUAAGUCUACUUCAAAGACUUCUGUGUCUCUUUCUGAAGCAAAAUUGAUGUAUGCGAUCAACUCAGGACGGAAGUUCUCUCUCCCGCACACUAUUCUCUUCCAUAUGUACAGAGCAGUGUCAAAAGACAAAGGACAAUUGCCUUAUCCUGGUCUGGUGACCAAGAUCUUCAGACAUCUGAAUAUUGAACUGCCACAUUCUUUUUGUGUUCGAACGUGUGAUAAGAUGGUGGUAGGGUUGAAAAUGUUAAUGAAGAUGCGUCUGCAAGAACUCUCUAAGGCAAUGGAGAAAUUCAAAGUGAAAUCUCCAGUCCAGUCUGCUUCAAAAAGGAAAGGAAAGAAGGCCAUUGGUACUUCAUCGAAAAAGAGGAAAAGAACUCUUAUCCUGGAGGAUGAGGAUGAGGAUGAAGAUGAUGAAGAUCCCACUAUUCCAGCACUGACAAGAACAAGACGUUCUGUGUCUUAUCCGACAGAACUUCAGCAGAGCAGAGAAGAAGAAGAACAGAGAGAGAAGGAGAAAGAAGUUGAGGAAGAAAGAGAAGAAGAAAAAGAACAGUCUGCUGAUAAAUCUGGAGAGAAGGGAAAUCAAGAGCAUGAUCAUCACUCUUCCCCUUUCGAUGUCCUAGAGACAGGGGGAGUUAGUGAGCAAGAGAGGUCUCCACCUCAUGCUGAAGAUCCAAGACAAUCUCCAGAAGACCCAGAAGAAGUUCAGGUCUCUCAAUUGCCUGAAGAAGGUGAUACGUCGAUUCCAAAUUUGCCAGACCGAACAGAAGCGCCAUCGUCUGCAUACACACCUUCUGAGAAAGUCAAUGCCAGUACACAGACGGAUGAUUCUGCAGAUCUUCGUAGUAUCAUGAAUAUUCUUCUGGAAAUGCGUAACCAGAUAUAUAUUCUGGACUGUGAAAUCCAAGCUUUGAAGCAUGCUGGACAAGCAUCUUCAGUCUCUCUGGAAGAUAAAUUCAAAGACCUCGCUCUGCAACUUCAAGCCAAUGCCAAGAGAGAAGAGGUAGCUCAUCUGCGAGAAGAUCUGAAGAAGCUCGAAGGAGUAGUCCAGUCCAUUGGGGAUUUCCAGAUCGUGCGCAUUCCCAAGCAGACAUGACUCCUUUCUCACCCUCUUUUUAAUGAUGACAAAAAGGGGGAGAACCAAUUUGAACAAACAUUAUUUUAAAACUUUAUUUGACUUUUGUGUUUAUGUUUAUUUUUGAGUAUGACUUGAGAACUUGAACUUGAGUGUUAGACUGAAUUGGCUGUGGAUUUUGAUGCUUGACUGGUUGCAUUUAUAUCAAGUAUUGUUACAUGGUAUUACUCAUGAAAGACUAACCAAUUUGCUGUGGAUGCAGAGUCUGGUUGUUUAUUAAUCUUUAUGAGUUAGCCAUAUUGCUUGAGAAAUGUUUUUGCAGGUCAAAGUUGUUCAAAUCUUCAAGAAAGUUUUGUCACCAUCAAAAAUGGGGAGAUUGUUGGAGAAAUCUUUCCAGGAUAUUUUGAAGCUGACAAAACAUUUCUAUCAGUCUAAGUCUGGAUAUCGAUAGUUAAAGUCUCAAGACUUUAUAGUCUCAAGACUUUGUUAUCUCAAGACUCAAGACUCAAGACUCAAGACUCAAAAUUAUUCUCACUGACAGUCUUUCUAAUCCAGUGUUGAAGGAAAUUCAAAGCCGAGGUUUAUGGUUGAGGAUUUGAUCCUAUCCUCUGGAAUAGAUUCUUUGGUUGGAUAAUCAUUUCGGAUUCUUUAAUUCUUAUCUAAGAUCGAUUGAAGAUCCGAUGGUCGACGAAAUAAUCUUGGAUUAUUCUAUUCUUGGAAACCGAGAUCCUGAUUGUAUGGGCGAACAGGAUUGAUGGGCUAUCAUCAGAUUCCUUAAAUAGCUCGGAUGAUCUUCUUGAUUGAUUCCGUCCAACGGGUAGAUUGGAGGAAUUCCUUUGGUAAGUACCAACGGCUAUGAUGGCAUGAAGGAGUAUAAAAGGAAGACGUUCUAGUUGUUUCAAGUGUGUGAUCGAUAGAAAAAUUCCAGAGUCUGAAGAUCCUUGAUUGUUAGUUGAGACUGAGCGAAAUUGUAUACAAAGAGUGUUUAUACUUGGUGACGCCUUGAGUGAGUGUGGUAGAUCAUCUACACCUAGAAAUCAAGGAAGAUCAACACUGUAACAACUCUUUGAUCAUAGUGGAAUCCAGCCAAUCGGCUGUCAGUGCAGAAGAGUGGACGUAGGCUUGAAUCAAGCCGAACCACUAUAAACCGAGUGUUCAAUUCUCUCUUUCCCUUACUCAGUCUUGCGAUUGAAUUUUUAACUGUUGCAAAUUCUCUAAUUGUUUAAAUAUCGUGCAAGCUUCGAGAAAUUUUUUGUAUACCUAUUCACCCCCCCUCUAGGUACUCGUACUAGCUACUUCACAUCUAACAACUUACAGCUCCAUAUAUCGAUCAAUUAUUUAAAAUUUCUAAGGUUUAAAAGAAUAAUUCAGUGAUAUCGUAUCAUUUUAAGAGGUAUUGGAUUCAGAUGAAAUUGUUAGUACAUGGAGUUAACAUGGAAUGAAUACAACAAAAGUCAACGUCCAUUUGCAGAUUCCAUAUGGGUAGUUUUGGGAUUUUAUCUUCCAUUUCGCUGCUUUCGUUCUUGUGCUAAUUUACAAGUAUAAUGCUUACUCCGCCCAGAAGCUUUCUUAUUCUGCCUAGAUUUAGUAUUUUUUUUUUUUAAGUGGGGUUCCUUGCCUUAAAGAAAUUUUGACUAAUUUAUUUUGCAUCAAAUUUGACUAAUAGCAGAAACAUGCUUGAAACAAUCACAUUCCGCUUUUCUGAUAUGAUAAUUCAAGCUCUUGUUUUACACCAUGGUGGAUUUGUUCCAUUGAUACAUGUCUUGUACCUUGGAAUGAGAGAAUGAACUUGCAAAUCACAUGAAAAACGAAGAAUUUAUUGAGAUUGAGACUCGAAGAUUUAGAAUAAUGGUCAAGCAAUUGAGUCAUUCUAACACCUAAUGUCAAUUGAAUUCGUGAACAAGAAGGGUGAUACCUUUUUCAAUGAAAUAGCAAUGGCCAUAAAGGCAAAAUUCCUCAAACAUUACAAGAAUGUCUCGCUCUUUUUUUUUUUUUUUUUUUGGUAGCCACUGCCUUGGCUUCAAGGUUCAAGUUGGAGGGGCUCACAAUGCUUCCUAUUCCAUAUUACAAAUCUUUGGGACUGAGUCAGGAGCUCCAACUGGAGCACAUAUUGGCGAUAACGACGAGUAGACUCUCAAAUAUGCAUGUGGCAUAUGUUGGUCGAUAUAAUACAAUCCAUCUACAAAGAAAGAAUGCAGCCUCAUUAAGUAGUGCCCACAAACCUCUAUGGUCUUUGCUUCGAAGAACACCCCACGGUCUGCUAGGUAUUCAUCUUCAUUGUCUACUGGUGAAUUGGAGAUGUAAUUGGGAAUAGACUACACCAAGCACAUUAAUAGAGUUGGUGAAAAUAACCUCGAGAACGUGAAAUGGUGGAACUUGUGACUUACUCAUUCCACUGACAUAUACGGCACCUUCGAAGUCUAUGUUCAUUACUAGCCAACUUUUGGAAGUCAAAUAGAUCCAACUUGUUUGCGUAAAAUUUAGAAAUAAUUAGCGUAGGGUGAAAUUAGUUUUUACAAGAAUCAACUCCAUAGGAAUGUACCCAACAUGGACACAAGAACAACAAUGACACUGUAUAGUCCAAAUCAUGGUGAGGAUAUGAAUUAGUAUCGGAUGAAAGAGGGAAGAGUCAAAGAUCCAAUGGUGUUCCAUUUAUCCUACUAUUGCUCUGGAAGACAUUUGGGUUUCAUUUGUUUCGCGGAAAACAAUUUCCAAGAAAAGUUUUUUGGAUAUUUCAAGGUUCGUUUAAUAGAAAAUGAACUAGUUGAGAAAAAUAUUUUGCAUUAAUAGCAAAAAGUUUUCUAAAAUAGGAGAAAACAUUUUCCUCACUUACUCUAUGUUAUCUCACACCCUUGCUAGCCUCUUCAUCUUUCUUUUUUUCUUUUUAAAAAAAUUUGAAAAUUUUAAAUCAUUUUUCAUUUUUUUCCUUUCUUUUAUUUUCCUUCUUUUCGGGCCCAUCCUAUGGUUGGUGAUUGACCAAAGAAGGAGGAAAAGAAAAAAAAAAAAAGAGGUAAAAAUAGAAAAGAAAAAGUAAAAGAAAAAAAAAGCCGAAAGAAAAUUUAAAAAUAAAAUAAUCAAAAUUUCGAUUUUUUAAAAAAUAAAAACAUAAAAAAAUUAUUAAAUUGAGUGCACAAAAAGAAAUUGAAUCGAAUUUUCUACAUUGAAUGGCGAAAAAUAUUUUCUAGUUCAUUCUCGUGUUUCAAGCAAACACCGGAUAAUAUUGUUAUUUUCUUAAAAAAUGACUUUCUAGAAAAUAUUUUCCAGAAUCACAACAUUUUAUGCGAAACGAAUGAAGCCAUGGAGAGUGCCUAGAUACCUUUGAUUCCUGGGGUUUAUGACUAAUAACUAAUAAGAGCCAGCAAAAAUCGUAUUUUUCAUAUCAUCAUAACUGUCCAUUAUCUAUUAAGCCAAAAAACGACAAGUAUGUUCCUAGCAAAAGGCAUAACUCUCACUAGUUUUACAUGUUACUCCUUUUAAUAGCAUUCUCAUGAUAUGGAGCAAUUACUCUGUAAAUCUGAUAACCAAAAAAAUGUUGGAUGUAAUGUAAAUCUCAUAAAAAAAGAAAAGAAAAGAAAUUCACGAUCAACAUAAGCAAAGCAAGCAGGAGAGAAGAAAAUUAAUUUUAUGAAUCUAAAUAAAGAUGAUAAUUUCACCAACUUAAUGAAGUAACUACUUUUGGCUGUGCUGAUUUAUAUUUUCAAGUAACAUAUAGCUUUCAGAUAUAAAUUUCAGCUGUCCUCAGACACUUGAUGAUAAACUAACAUUAGGAUCACACCUAUCGCAUAUUCAUUCAUUCACAUCUAUGGACUGUGACUUAUAUUGCCUCACUCUUGUCAAUUUAAAGGAAAAAGAGUAUAAUUAUAGAAGAAUAACAUUACCAUGUAUGCCAUUAGAACAAUAUGAGUUACUUAGAGUCAAUAGGCAAAUUGAAGAGUUUGAUGUAUAACAUAUUUACGAAGCAUUGUUGAACAUCUAGAUUUUAUUAAAAUACUUAAGAGAAACCGUGCAGACCCCAUAAGAAACCCAAUCGUAAAAUGCAAAAUUUUGGUACAGUUAUUAUCUUAUAAUUUUCCACCACAUCAUUUAUUUAUUAAGUUUAUAUAAUAUUUUCAAGAUAAAUAAUGGCCUCUCGUCUCCUUAUGCAACCAAGCAAGUGAGAUGGUAGAAGACUUUGACUUGCUUGUAAUUACUAGAAUCUUCCCCCUAGGUUUUGCCGGCUUUUUAUCUUAUCCCUUUCUUUGCAGCUAAGCAAGCAAGAUAGUGGAAGACUUUAACUUGCUUUUUCUUCCCCUUCCUUCCCCCCCCCCCUUUCUUUUGAGUAGGUCUUGUUGACUUUUGCCUUAUCACUUUCUUUGCGAUUAAGCAAGCAAGAUGGCGGAAGACUUAGACUUGUUUUCCCUCACUAGAGAAUUUUUUAAAAGGUAAUUAACUCGGUUCAUAGAAAAAUUGAUAUAGAAUCUCCGAAAAAGUCUUUUUCUUGAUAAAGAUUUCUUUUGCAAAAUGCAAAUACUAACAUGAGCAUGCUAUGUAUGGAGAAAUAUCCUAUUGACCCAAUUUGGCAUCGUGCUUGAUUACUGCAACAACAUAUUUGUUCUUGAGAUAUCAAUCCUCGAUGAUGGUCAGAAUGACUCACGUAUAGCUCGAUGCAUGCCAGAAUGACUCAAAUGUGACGCUAGAUCUAGUCAAGUGUCGUUACAACAAGAUGCCUCUAUUUUUUAGUAGAGCCAUGACAAAGGGUUGGGGGGGGGGGGGGGGAGAGAGAGAGAGAGAGAGAGAGAUUGCGGGGGAGGGGAUAGAGAUAGGGGAUAAGUUGUGGAAGGCAUCAUUGGUGUUGGUUAGGGGAGUGAUUAUGGGAUGGUGACAUUAAUUGGUAGUGGUAGUGAAGGGGGGGUUGGUGGAGAGAAAGAGAGAGAAACGAUGCGGUAGAAUAAAUGGUAUUUCAUGUGACAAUUGUACGGAGGAGGUUUGGCUGAAUUGCCCCAAAUUGAUGUUGUCAUCUGGACGUGAAGCGCAUUGAUAUCAAGAGAAAGAUCAUGUUUAGAAAACUAAAAAAGAUAGGAUCCAUAUAAGUUCCUCUUGAGUUCCACUAGAUCUAGAAGUUUGUAACGAGUAUGGAACGAACGACGUACCACUCAAUUGUUGGUCAAAGCAAUAGGCAAGUGAAGAAAAAGCUCAUGUAGUUGUCACACCACAUACAAUGGGCUCCAUAUGCCGGGGGUUCCACACUCGAGCAUGAGGCCAACUAAGGAGUCCCGUGAAAGCAAAUGGAAAAAUCAAUUUUAUUUUUUCUCCGUUGAUUAACAUGAAUUGCAUAUAGACAUGAUUCAGACUCAUUAAAAUAUAUAUUAAAUUAAAUACUUUGAAUUCAUAAAAGCAUAUUUUUUAAAUUUUAGCUAAUUCGUAUAUGAUCCAAGUCACUGAAUAUGGUUAAGAUGUAAAUUUUUUACCAUUUCAAUGCCUCUAGCAGUGAGAGGCUUUCAUUUCAAUGGGAAGGGAAAGCAAAGUGUUGUCCAUCUGCACUUUGAUUUAUGCGGUCAUGCGAUCCCAUUACAUAGAGAACUAACAAAAGCUGAGAGUUAAUCGGUUAAAGUAGUAAAUUUUUUCAACAAGGAUGCGUAAAUCCAUGGUGGGAUUGUGUGUAUCCCAAGCACAUCUGGCUCAUCUUUUAAGGUAAGAGGGGAAGUAAUUUCCAAUGUGAACACUUUGCAGAAGUUGCCAAUUAAAGUAGAUGAUUGUGGGGCUCUUUCGAAAUAGUAUCGUAUGAAAACUAAUUUCCAUUGUGAACACCUUGACUUCAACAUAAAAGUAUGUACUCUUUCAAUUAAUGGGGCUAGAAAAGCAAAAGCCGAGGAUAAAGCAAAAUCUUCAAUUUGAUUUAAGUGGCCAUGAGGUCCAAUUACAAUCUAAUGGCUACGUCAAUCAGCAAUAGGGGUGCCAAUCAAUCAAUAAUUUGAGUGGCAAAGUGGAGCCAUUGUCAAAAGGUGAGGAUAAAGCAAAAAGUAUUGCCCAUCUUCAAAAAGUUAAUUUUCACUAUGAUUUGCUUGGCCAACGGAUCCAAUAACAAAAAGAACUAACAAGGAAAGUCUACAAAGGGGUCGUCUUGGCAAUUUCGAGGGAGGAAUUGUUUUGGGCUCUUGGUCAAAAAGGUUAGAAUCAAAAGAAGUCUCGGCAAUUUCAAGGAAGGAAUUGUUUUGGGGUCUUGGCCAAAAAGGUUAAAAUCAAAAGAAGACAUGGGAUGGUCCUCGGUAAGACCUUAAACUGCAGCAGUCCGGGGGGGACAACCUCGAUAACAAGGCCCCGCGCGGGCAUGUAAUCCCGUGCCUCCCCUCCUUGGGGUCCCCGAAGGCCAUACGAGGGGUAUUCCCUUUCCUGGGGAAGAAAAUUAUCCGGUUGGGGGCAAAAGCCUGGCCCCUGGAAAAUACNNNNNNNNNNNNNNNNNNNNNNNNNNNNNNNNNNNNNNNNNNNNNNNNNNNNNNNNNNNNNNNNNNNNNNNNNNNNNNNNNNNNNNNNNNNNNNNNNNNNNNNNNNNNNNNNNNNNNNNNNNNNNNNNNNNNNNNNNNNNNNNNNNNNNNNNNNNNNNNNNNNNNNNNNNNNNNNNNNNNNNNNNNNNNNNNNNNNNNNNNNNNNNNNNNNNNNNNNNNNNNNNNNNNNNNNNNNNNNNNNNNNNNNNNNNNNNNNNNNNNNNNNNNNNNNNNNNNNNNNNNNNNNNNNNNNNNNNNNNNNNNNNNNNNNNNNNNNNNNNNNNNNNNNNNNNNNNNNNNNNNNNNNNNNNNNNNNNNNNNNNNNNNNNNNNNNNNNNNNNNNNNNNNNNNNNNNNNNNNNNNNNNNNNNNNNNNNNNNNNNNNNNNNNNNNNNNNNNNNNNNNNNNNNNNNNNNNNNNNNNNNNNNNNNNNNNNNNNNNNNNNNNNNNNNNNNNNNNNNNNNNNNNNNNNNNNNNNNNNNNNNNNNNNNNNNNNNNNNNNNNNNNNNNNNNNNNNNNNNNNNNNNNNNNNNNNNNNNNNNNNNNNNNNNNNNNNNNNNNNNNNNNNNNNNNNNNNNNNNNNNNNNNNNNNNNNNNNNNNNNNNNNNNNNNNNNNNNNNNNNNNNNNNNNNNNNNNNNNNNNNNNNNNNNNNNNNNNNNNNNNNNNNNNNNNNNNNNNNNNNNNNNNNNNNNNNNNNNNNNNNNNNNNNNNNNNNNNNNNNNNNNNNNNNNNNNNNNNNNNNNNNNNNNNNNNNNNNNNNNNNAUAGAUUGAAUUAGAGAAACUUCAAUUUAGUGUGGUUUCCAUAUGAUUUUUUUUUGGUGACCCGAGAACCACUGUACAGCCGGCAAUCGGCGAUGUAAACCUGGGGCGACUAAGCCACCACCACAGACCCAAUCACAGUUGAGUUGCGUGAUUUGCGGUACACGGGAUUUGAACCCCUCCAUCCUGCACAUAUGUCAUAGGGGCGCUUAUCCAGUGUAGCCACCACGGGCAGUGGUUGGUUUCCAUAUGAUUUAAUGAGGGAAAAUUAUCAAAAAAGUUCUAAAUUUAUUGCACUUUUACCAAUUCAAUUAUAAAUUUUUUAAUUCAAUUUGUUUAAUCUUUAACUUAUUAAUAAUUUCCCAAUAUAAUCUAUUUGUAUAAUUUUGAUAUAAAAUUGUUGAUUUGAACUAUGAGCGUCUUUACUUGACAUGGCUGGUGAGGACUGGCAGCCUGACCAUAGCGGGCUCUCGGCUCCUGCUUGCCGUGUAUGAGGGCAGCGUGCCUCGGCCUUCACCUGCCAAUCAGCUUUUUGAUUCGCCGUUCUUCCACAGUGGGCCACCCAUAUUCUUUUGAAAUUUCGCCAACUUUGGGUUGGGCGUCCAAGACACGUGCCUCCACCUAAACAUGGCACGUGAUCAUGUUCCCGCCGCAGAAAGUGAACACAGAACCGCGUCGUCGGACUCCCCAGGUACAAGUUCUAUCUACUUCCAUAUCUGAAGCAUAUCGAAGCCUCUACGACCAGAGCGAGAGCUUCGGCUUAUAUCGGCGGAGGAAGCAGCGAUCUUCUUUCUCGUGAAUCCACCGAGCAGUACACCCGAGGCCAUCGCGAAGAGCAUCUGCAGUCACUCCUUCCGAACCACCGGCCUCAAAGGACUGGUUUUUCAGCAGGCACCAAUCAGCAGGUAAAAUCAACUCGAAUCGUCUCGAGUUUCGAACUUUUCAGUGUUCCGCUUGCUAUAAUUUCUGAUAAUGGACUCCGCUGAGGUGAGUAGGGUUCUUGGAUUUGGGGGGUCUUUGGUGGAACACGAGGGUCGUUUCUGGAUUUUAUCGAAAUACGGUAAGUUCCCCCUAUGUAGUUGGUGAUUUCGUAGCCACUACUCGUCCUUUCUCGCGACGUUCUGACCUGAGAUGAUCUGCAAAUUUACCUUCGUCUCUUUCCAAACCAAGCCGGUCUAGGUCGAGGCGUGAAGGUGAUCCUCGGAAUUGCGCAGCCUUUCGGGACUCGGACCCAACUCGAUCUGCUUCAAGGCGACUUCUUCUCAAACACUGAAACCCGUCACAACUAUUUCAUCUCUGAAUCGCUGCUAGAGGUAAGCACAACCUUCAUUCUCUGGUCCAUACCAAUUGAUAGCACAAAGAAUAAAAUACAUGUGAUUAUUACUCAUCCCAUGACGCCUAACAUCCUUUUAAGGCAUACAGAAUAAUACAUGUGAAAUUCCUUCGACUUUUGUAAAAUCAUUAUCAAAUACAUAUUACUAAUUUUUGUUACUACAAUCUUGUCAUUUAAACUAAUCGGUUGAAUUUGGUGGAAUCACACGUUGGCCCUUAUCCCGGUAUUGUUUUCAAAACAUCAACGGUUCACUGAACUCCAUUGGGAUGAAGGCCCCAUUCCAUGAAAAUUAUGAAAAUACCCUUCUAGACCUGAUUUUGGGUCCAUUGGCCCUAUAGGUACCCCACUUGUCAAAAAUUACUUAAAGCUUGAAACAUCCAAAAUACUUAGUUUUUGUAGAAAUAAUUGUCUUUUUUCUCUUGAAAACAGUUUAAAACUAACUAUAUAUAUAUAUAUAUAUAUAUUUCCAAAUAUAGAUCGUGCUGGUCUAUUCUCUUCAAUAAUUGCAGAAAACCUUUCAAAGCCUACGGAUCAAAAUUGUCAACGACAAAAAUUUAUUUGAACAGAUCAGAUCAACUAGAGAAUUUUUGAAUGUCCAUAAAACUAUUAUCCAUUAUAUUGGUAAUGAUCAUAAUUUUUGGAAAAUGACAGAAUAUUCAAAUAUUUUUUGGAAGUUAUGAAAAAUACACAAUUGUACUUAUUAUUAUUAUUAUUAUUUUUGGUGGUGCUGGUCACAAUGGAAAACUUGAAAGUGAGCAAUGCUGCUGUUUUCAAUGCACUCACACAUAUUUAAUAUGUGGAUUAUGUGGGUUAAAAUAGAGAAACUUGUCAUAAAGUGUGGUUUUCAUGAGAUUUAACUGCUUACAGCAAAGCAGUGAUAUAGCAUAUAAAGUUACCAACCUACGAUAGAUUUGACAAUAUGAUUUAUGCAUGUGUAGGGUGGGAGAGAAUGUAGCGUUUACAGGAGGAAGAACGUCUAUGAUAAUAUCAUACUGAUAUAUUAGCAGGAGCCACAUUUAUUUGUUUAACAAUAUGGUUUAUAAGUAGAUAUGAACAGAAUUGGUCAUUCUGUACUCUCGUCCAAAUUGUGCUCUCUCACAUUCAGCCUCUCUCUUGCAGAACAAUUCGGAACUAUUGUCCUCUCUUGCUUGCUUUGAUCUUUUCCCUCUUGAAAGUUUUCACCCGGGCUUGUUUAAGGUCUCCUCUCUCCAAUCUCGCACCUCUCUUUGCAUCUCAGCUCACGGAAGGUAAUUGCUUUUUCAUGUCUUAUUAGCGUGUCGAUUCUAUUGAUCCGUUGCUUUGUUAUUGGAAUAAUCGGCUGAACUAAGUGCAUUUUGGGCCCCUUUUUGUCAAUUGGGGAUGUGGGGUGGCCACUAAAUAGCAAAGGAGGGUCUUUUAUUCUCUCUCUAGAGUCGUCGUUACCUGUUAACGAGGAAUGUACCCAGCUCAGACUUGACUUUGGUGAAAAAAGAAAACCUUUGUUUUCGACUAUAGACGUAGCUAAUCCUAAGAAUGUCUGAUUGUUAGUUGCAUCGUAAUUCAGUAUUGAUCUUUUGUUGAACUAGAACGAGUAGGUCUGCAAGCGCGCUAGACUCUAUUGCGUGCAAAAUUGCCACAUUUCGCUUGAACCCAUAGGCCAUUUCUUUUUUUAUGAAUUGUGAGGUUUUUCUGUGUUUGAAGGUCCUAGAUCAAUUUAUAGAAAAAAAAAAUCAGAAAAAUAGAAGUAGGCUAGUUCUUGGGUCAACUAGUUUUGUUCUCGGUUACAAAAAUGGAGAACUAAUUAUUACAGAAUCAGUUCCCGAUUCUUAGUUUAGAACUUACUCAUCCUGAAACCAAUCAUCCUAAGAGUUAGUGUUCUCUUAAGGAGAUAAUGUUCGACAAUUUUACCUCCCUAUAGAACAUUCCAAAGGAGUGAUUCUGUUUUCCUCAAAUUGUUGGACCAUUAAUCGUAGAAAGCACUUGCAAUAGUAGGAAAAAAAAAAUCUAGUUGAUCUUCUGACACACAUGAAAACGAUCAAAUAAAUCGAGCCAUACAUGCAAAUUAGGAGAUUCACCUAGCUUUAUAUCACUUAUUUCUUACACCUCUUUGUGGUGAUAUUCUCAUUAUGGGCCCUCCGACAAAAAUGGGGACAAGCACUCAACGCCAUUCUCAAGGUGGUCGUCUCUGAAUUUUCCUCAGCAACUUCUUUUUACUUCCCUCCUCUUCUUCUCCUUCUUCCAUUGAAUCAAUACCUAAUUUCUAAUCGUUCAGACUGUGAGAAAGAAAAGAGUGCAUGAAAAGAGAGCACCGAGGGAGCAUCUACUCCUCCGUUUUUUUCCAUCUAACAAAUUAUAGCUCUAUUUUACAGACAAAAUAUCAAUCGACCUAGUAGAUUUGAAAAUUUGAAAUGAAAGGCUUAGUGAUAACAUACCACUUAAAAAUAAUUUCAUUUUGCAUGGAAUUGGAGCAUGUGGUGCCGGCUUGGAAUGGAUAAAAGAUAAAUAACCACAAGCACUUUUUUUUUUAAUCUCUACCUCACGUUUCCAACUUCAUUAAGAAUGACAACUUUAAACAAAAUUAAAAUGUAAAAUCUCAUCCACAGCUCGGUCCUUUCUUGAUGCCUUCCACACAUUUCUAAUUCCGUUUCAACUCAAUUAUUAUCUUUUUAAAUGAUUUAUCAAAUUCUGAUUUUCAAUAACCAAAUUAAAACCGGACUUAUGCUUAUAUUUAUAAUUGAAUGUAAUAUGCUUGUGCACAAAUUCUAGUUCUUUAUAGCCCAAUUGAAAAAUUAACGUUCACGUUACCGGUGAGUGGAUCAAGCCAACAAGUUUGACUUGAAUAGUGUGAGGUCCAAAAGAAGAUAAGGCGAGGUCUAAAAACAUCCAACUGCUCCUAGUCAAUCAAUUACCAAUUAAUUAAAGAUUUCAUGUUGGUUUUUUCUUGCAUGGUAAUAGAUUCACGUUCAUACUCGUUCGUAGAGAUUAGUUCAUCGAUCCUUUCAUGCAACAUAAAAGCAUCUUUUGUUCCAACUUUCACCCUUAGAUUGCCAUGCAUCUUGCGUUCCCUUUUUUACUUUUAAUUCAGCAAAUGGAUAAUUCAAAAGCCUUUUGGAAGUUACCUCUAAAUAUCGCUGCUUCCUUCUAAAAGUAAGCCCGGACACUUCAUUCCCUUCUUUUCUAUUUUUUUUCCUAAAUUAUCUUUUAUCUUUUAUUUUUUUGAAUAUUUCACAUACUUCUUUUUUUAUUAGUUUACUGACUUUUCAAGAGCUGAAUGAUAUGCCAACAAAAUUGUAAUAAAACAAUUGACCUAAACAAGAACUCAAGGAUUGUGUACAAGUAUUUGAUAUAUCAUUUGUAACUUAAUACUUAUGAGUUUUGCUCAUUUCAUGUGAUUUAACAAAUUAUAGCUCUAUUUUGCAGACAAUAUAUCAAUCAAUAAUUUAAAUUUGAAACUUUGAAGUGAAUAGCUCAAUAAAUCAUAUCAUAGAUUCAUCUUAUAUAAAGCUAUUGGCAUUUGGGGGCCAGCAUGAAAUAUAUAAGAGAGAAAGGACACUGACCAUUUGUGGUUCAUAUAAGCAAGAGGGAGAGUACCUUGUUCCGAGCUGUUGGAAGAGAGAAGAACGUAUCAGCCUAUCUGGGAAGCUUGAGUUUUUAUGGAGAACAAAGGUUGAGAGACUUGUUCACUUGUAGCAAUUUUUUGUUGUUUGGAAAAAAAAAAAUCAAGUAAAAGUUUCGCCGUGCGGUCCUUAAAACCUGCAAAAGCUCAGACUUUGGACAUUCUUUCCCCCACUGUUUUUGUGAGCGAUAAUAUUACUAAAGAUUCAUUUGAUGAUUCAUGUCGUAUCAUAUUAAUUGUGUCAUAUUUAGUUAGGAUAUAACAUGCAUAUGGCAAAACCUGAACAAGACAUGUUUAGCAAACGUGUUGAAUGGCCUCAAUAUGAACAUAACACUUUUAAGAAAGCAAGUCAAACGCCAUUACACGACAAAUGCGAUUAUUAAAAGUCACCAUAUAGAAAUGUCAACACGACACCAGGCAAUAUGCUAGCCUAUAUACAUGCAAGAAUAUGCAACACAUUGCAUUAAAUCUAAAGCAAAGAGCAAAAUUGCUUCCCAUGAUAUUCUAAUUACAAGCGAGACGCAGCCUUUUGUAUUAAUAUUAAUCCUAUUUAAAGCCAUAAAAUUUUAUCACAUAGAAAGCCCCAAAUUUCGAACAUACUAAAGCCAUGAAUUUCAAAAUCUAAAAAUUAAGAACAAAAAGAAAGCAGACCAUGAAAGAAGAGAGAAAAAGUUAAAAUUCGUCGUUAUAUAUUGGAUACGUGUUGGGUGGAAAUGUUGGGUGGAAAUGAUAUAAAUGGAACUUAAUUUCAUUGAUGGACUUAGUUAUCCUUCAUUCUAAUCAUCCUUAAAAAGGAAGAAAGGCCAAUUUUGGAAGAAAGUGCAAUUUUUGCAUUUCUUCUCAUUUCUAUGCACUUUUAGAAAGAAAUAAAUUGUGGGCCCAAAAGAAAGUAUUUCCCUUUCAUUUAUAAUCUUUUUCAUUGACUUCCUUCAUAAUUUAAACAGUUGAGAAAUUGAAAAUUUUUCCUCGAUUAAUAUUUAAGCUUUUUCGUUAAUUUUACAUAUAAUCAACGCCUAAAACUUGAAAUCUACCAUAUUAAAAAACGUGAUUGAUGGAAAUUUCCAAUUAGGAAAGUGCACGAAUCUAGAGGAAGAGGUUUAAUGGGCAACACCUACAUGACACCACAUUAGUUUGGCCAAUGAAAAUGGGAUUAGACAGAAAGGGUUGUGAAAAUGAGGUGGUGGAGAUAGUUAGGGUGGUUCAUAUAUUAGGCUAAAAAUAAUAAGAGUAAAAAUUAUGAUAACGAUUAGGCACCUUGUGAGCUUAUAUUUAGAGGAAGAUAUUUCCAUGGACUUUCCUAACAAUUUCAAUAUGUUAGGUGUGAAUUGAAAGAAUCCGUCUUUAAAUAUCAGACGUGUGAAGUUAUGUAGUUGUUAGUCGAUUAAUUACACUUCAAUAUGUUUAAAUAUGUGUUUUAAUAUCUACAAGUGUAUCAAAUAUGUGUUUCUGAACAAAUAAAUGAUGCGGGCUUUUCAGGGGCCUCUUUAGGACCACCUAAUCUUCCGCAAUGAAACGAGGUUAGCUUACUUAACUGAAGGCAGCGUCUUCAUAACCUAUCUCUUUCUCAAGAACAAGAACCUUCUUCAGCAUUGCCUGGGGAGAAAUUAACGUACACAUUAUUCGGAGUGGACCAAGCCAGCAAGCAUUUGCAGAAAAGCAUCCUAAAAGUGUCUUUCAUUGUUCAUCAAUCCUUUCGAGUAGCAGGAAAAGCAUCUUUCUUUUCAACUUUUCCCCUUAGAUCGUCAUGGACAGAGGGCAGAGUCAGGGAAAGAGCCAUAGAGCCAAGGAAGAGAGCACUGAGGAAGCAUCCACUUCUUCAUUCAUCUCUCUGAAAGCAACAGGUGUAGGUAGCGGUCAAUAUGACGUGUUUUUGAGCUUUAGAGGCUUGGAUACCCGCAAGGCAUUCACCGAUCACCUCUACCACAGUUUGAGCAAGGCCGGCACUAUACCGAUUUGCAUGUUCAAGGACGAUAACAGCAUACCGGUUGGUGAGGAAUUUGGUACAAAGAUUCUUGAUGCCAUCGCACGAUCUAAGAUUUCGAUCCCCAUCAUAUCCGAAAAUUAUGCUUCGAGUAAAUGGUGCCUCCGUGAGCUCAUUCAUAUCAUGGAUCGGAAGAAGAGCAUGUCACAUAUAGUUUUGCCCAUUUUUUACAAAGUUACCCCGUCGGAUGUGCGACAUCUAAAAGGAAAUUUUGGAAAUGCCUUCCAUUUGAAUCGGGCGCAUUUUGAGGAGAAGGAUAUCCAGGAAGGGCAACGAGCACUUAAGGAAGUUAGUAACUUAAAUGGAUGGGAAUCUGAGAAAUUUGUUGACAUGUACUUCACUAAACUUUUCUUUUUUCAAUUAGUAAGUUCUCUUCUUCAUGUAGAAUCGAUGAAAUGCAGAUAAAUUACUUUCAUUGCAAGCUCGGAAAAGAUCCCCAAAAUGUCCCAAUAAACAACCAUAAUGCCUCGAAGACAACAAACACCGGUACUCCCCAAGAUAUCACUGAAAACUAAACCAACGACAACUAAAAUCGAAACAUCCCAUAGUGCCCUAGAGUUUUACAUUUUCCUCCGGUACGAAGCGAAAACAAAGAAAUGAUAAUACCCCUAGCUAAUAGCGUCAAUCACUAAAGAAUAGACCGACAAAGUACUCCAAUGCUCAGUCUUCCAAACUUGAUCCCCACCAAGAUAAAAUGGACCUCCUAUAGCUCAGUUGAUAAGAAUCGAAUAUUUUGCAUAGACUAUGUCUUCAUUCAUAACCUCUCAUUGUUCUUGUUGUUUGACAGGCAUGAGGGAAAAUUAAUAGAAUGCGUGGUCGAAACUGUUAUAAACAAGUUACAGAAAGAUUUUCAGCUGGAUGUGCCUGAGCAACUAGUUGGACUUGAUGGUCGUAUGAAGAAAAUUAUGAAUUGGAUCGACAAUCCUUCCAUCAAUGCUCGAAUGAUUGGAAUUUAUGGCAUGGGCGGGAUAGGCAAGACAACUCUUGCCAAGUGCAUCUACAAUCAACUCUCGAAUAAAUUUGAGCAUGUCAGCUUCCUUUUAGAUAUUCGAGAAACUACCAGGCACCACGGUAUUACGUGUCUACAGAGUCAACUUAUAUCGGAUAUACUUAAUGAAAAAAGGGAAGUUUCUAGAAUUGAUGAAGGAAUUAAUAUAAUCAAAUCUAGAUUCGGACAAGAAAAGGUUCUCAUUCUUUUGGAUGAUAUAGAUGAUAAGAGUCAACUAGACGCGUUGGCUAGGAAAUGUAAUUGGUUUAUGGCAGGAAGUUUGAUCAUUGUUACCACUAGAAACAAAGCUAUUCUUGAUCAAUCUGAAUUUGAGGUAGAAUACAAGUAUGAAUUGAAUGAAUUGGACAAGGAGCAAGCUUUGCUUUUGUUUAAUAGACAUGCAUUUCAUAUGGAUCAUUCUCCGGGGGACUUUGACAGCAUAUCUCGUGAUAUCAUAUCCACCAUGGGUGGGCUUCCCUUGGCACUUCAAGUUGUAGGUUCAUACUUGUAUAGAAAAACAAAUCUAAAAGUAUGGGAAGAUGUGUGGAAGCAAUUAAAAGACCAACCGCAUAGAGAUGUCCAAAAGAUGUUGCAAAUAAGUUAUGAUGCAUUAGAAGAUAGACAUAAGCAAAUUUUUCUCGAUAUUGCUUGUUCCCUUAUUGGUCAAAGGAGCGAAUUUGCCAUGUAUAUGUGGGAGGACUGUGGGUUUUAUCCAAGUCUAGGAAUUGAAGAGUUGAAGUUGAGGUGCUUUAUUAAAAUUGGAGAUGGUGGUCGGUUUGAGAUGCAUGACCAAUUGAGAGAUCUUUGAAGGACAACUGCUUGAGCAACGUAGCGGACCAUGGGACCACGACUAUAAGGGAGUCCCAAGAGUACUAAGAAGCUUUGAAUUGGUAACAUAUGGCACUCCUUUCUUUUUCUCUCCCUCUUAUUUUAAUAUGUUUAAUCUAAUCUAUUCUAAUAUUUCAUCUAGGAUUGACGUAUGCUCUUACUUUCUAGGAGUAAACAUCCAUUUAUGUACAUCUUAGAUUUAAUGUGAUAGUUAAAUGGAUUAUAAGUAUCUAUAGGAUGAAAAAGUUAUACCAUUUGAUUCGAUUUCAUUGAUAUAAAUUACAUCUGUAAAGAUUUGAUUGACAAUCAAUUUAAGAUCCUUUAACUACAAAUUAUAAGUAUAAAUCUCAUUUACUAAAAGCAUGUAAUUGUCAUAUCUAGCUGAAAAUAUUGAUAAUAUAAAGGACUACAAUAAUGAAUGAAGAUGAAAAAUAAACAUCAUAGAUCAGAUAAAUGAGGUUUCUUGAAAAAAAAAAAUAGCAUGUGCCAAUUAUAAUAACUAGGGUUAAUACCUUGAAAAACCCCAAACUGGUACACUUGUGACAAAUUUACCCCAAACUAUUUUUUUGACCAUAAAAAACCCCAAACUGGUAAACUUGUGACAAAUUUACCCCGACUGAUUAUAAAAAACCCUAAACUGGUACAUUUAUGACAAAUUUACCCUAAACUAAUUUAUUUGACUGCAAAAAACCCUAAACUGGUAAAUUUGUGACAAAUAUACCCUACGCUAAAUUAGAUUAAUACUACAAAAAAAUCAUAAAAAUUGUAAACUGUGACAAACGGAACGUAAAAUCCUAAAUUAGUAUACUGGUUAACUGUCACGUGUCAUUUAACUUAAUAAUUUGAGAAUAAAAUUUAACAAAAACUAACAUAGGGUAAAUUUGUCACAAGUGUACCGGUUUGGGAUAAAUUUGUCAAAAGUAUACCAGUUUGGGGUUUUUGGUGGUCAAAAAAAUAGUUUGGGGUAAAUUUGUCACAAGUGUACCAGUUGGGGUUUUUUUAGGGUAUUAUCCCUAAUAACUAAUAAUUAAUUCAAAACGACAAGAUUGGAAACAAUUUCACAUUUAUCACAUGUUCUUGCUUAUUAGUAUGGCCAAAUGUAUUGGUGGUACUCCUGUGAUUUAGGAAUCCAAUGUUUGAUAUUUUCUUCUCCAUUUUGAUUUUGAAGAUACCCGUCCCUUUAAUCUACUAGUUAUGUCUAUCUCUUUUAAUUCUUAUUUUCUUUUAAUAGAUAAGAUAGCAAAAAUGCCCUUAAAAGUACUUUUAGGAAAAUCUUACUGUUUUUUAAGGUUUUAUCACGUUGACCUUGGUCAUUUCAUGAAUUAGGUUAGGUGUAUGAUAAAGAGUGGAUUUUCUUAUGACAAACGCUUGUAUCCGUCUAUGUAGCACAGACAUGGACACGCAACACGAGACACGACACAACACAACACGCCGACACGCCGACACGUCAUUUAUUAAAAAUAGAGAAUUUCGACACAUUCCGACAUAUUAUAUAUUAAAUAUAUUUUUAUAUAUAAAUACAUAAAUAAAUAAUAAUAAUAGCCUAGAAUUAAUUUACACAAAAAAAUAUUAAAUAAUAUCAUUCAUUAUUUUAAUUUGUUACAAUAAUACACAAAACUUAGAGGAAAAAAAUAUUGUUUAAAGAAAAAUACUGAAAUGAUAUUUUUAAAUUUAUUUAUUUAUCAUAUAUAGCAUUUUUUAUUACUUCUUUCAUAGUAAAAGACUUUAAAAAAAAUAAAAAAAUUCUAAAAAAACAAAACUGAAAAAAAAUAUUGACCCCGUGCGUGUAUAUUUAUAACAAUUUUAUUACUUCUUUUGUGUAUAUUUAUAUUUUGACCCUUCAAGUAUUAGAAAUUUUUAAAAUUGACCCCGUGCGUGUCGGAAUCGCGUGUCGGAAUUCUAGACUUGCGUGUCGAAAUUCUGGACUCGCAUGUCGGAGUAUGUCGGAAAGAGUUGACCAUGUGUCGGAUUUUUCGACAUUGGUUGACCGCAUGUCGGACCGUGUCGGGACGUGUUGGAGCAUGUCGGACACGUGUCGGAGUGUCGGACACGACACGAAGGCUUGUCACACCCCGAUCCUCGGACGCGCGCACAUCCUUCUACUUGGUCGAUUUUAGAAUGCGAUAUCCCAGGACUAUGUAUCGCCGACCCUUUCUAUUUGUUAAGCACAUGCGGAAGCAGUUAUAAAUCCCCAGACAAUAAAACAAUGGGAUAGGAAAGUAGGCCAUAUUUUUCAUAUUGAAAUUCAUAACCACACUUUCAUUAACAGCACAACUCAUAGUAUAUUUACAAUACUAUUUAUAGCAUAAAAGUCUCACACCUAUCUAUACCAAGACAGGGUUCACAAAAGGGAUGGGAUCUCAAUCCACAUCCGGGUUAUAUUCAAGAUCCCUCUCUGGAUCUUCUUCCUCUUCAAAAGUCUUUCUCCCCUUCAGGUUCCUCUUCCUUAGCUUCUCCUCAGGGUCCUGAAAUGGUUAUUCAAUAACCAAUGAGACCACGUCUCAGCGAGUCCUACCCCCUAAGACUCGAUUAAUAAACUAAUACGCCAUACGGUUGCCUAAGCACAACACGAGUCAGAGGACUUACCUUAGCCUCAGUUCCAACCUGCAAUUCAAGGUUAAACAUAGAUAUUCAAACAAUUCACGACAUACGAUCAAGCACUGAUCAAUCGACUAAGUCGAUCACAUGUCAACCAGACCCUUUCUAGGUCAUUCCCACUCAUACCACGAUUUCUCAGUGGUGGACUCAUUCACCAAAUCACAUGUGUUUCUCGGGCGUCGUUUUCGCCAAUGACAUACCGAUCACCGACACCGUGCGUUCUUUAAGGCGCCGUUUUCACCAGUGAUAACCUCGAUCACCGAACCACGUGUCCUUUCUAGGGCGCCGUUUUCGCCAAGGUGACAUCGGCUAUAGACAACAUCGUGAGUUCUUUAAGGCGUCGUUUUCACCAGUGAUAUUCCCAUAACCACCGAACCACGUUUGUCUAUAAGUCAUUUACGUGCGUUCUUUAAGGCGUCGUUUUCGCCAGUGAUACUCCCAAUCACCGAACCACGUAUGUCCAAUAAUAUCGUACCUGAUUGGUCUCAGCCAAUAACAUUCUCAGUUAGCUCUCACCGCUCUCCCUACUAUAUAGCCCAUCAACGUACUGGCGUUAUAUAUCCAUACUCAGCCAUCCAUCAAUCAAAUAUUCAAUAACAAACAAUUUAGGACAAUUCCUAAAAUUCCACAAUAAAUUCAAUUCCACACAACGUAGAGCUCAAAUAAAUAAACGGACUGCACCACGACAAUCAGCAUGAAAUUCCGGUCACCGGCCAUCCCGGUUGAAUUUCCGGAAAAAUAAUUAAUUAAAUAAUUAAUUUCGAAAAAUAAAUAAAUAAAUAUUAAAAAUCCAAUUUAGGCCCAUAUUGCCUUAUUGGAGCCCGAAACGGGUCGGGAAAAAUCCCGAGAUGCAUUCAAUAAAUAACCAAACAUUUCUACUUGCUAAUAACUAGGUCUAACCACCUAACAUGCAUCAUUAAGUCGCUAAAUUAAUUGUUCUAACCUAAUCUAACCACCUAAGUCCAUGUAAUUAAAUCUAACCAACCCUAAGACAUAAUUAGCAAACUAAUAAAGCAUUAGUGAGUAAAACUCACUUGACAAAAGCGGACAUUGAAUCACCGCGACGGCAACGCGACGGCGGCCGAAAUUGAACUUUCGACAACACCGGCGGACUUGGACGGGGCCUUAAGCUUAGGCCCAACAAAUCUCAGCCCAAUUGAGAUUUGUUCUUGCACUGGAAUGGGCUGGACCUGCUGAAUUUCUGGACUGAACUAACUUGGUCUUCAAAUUGGUGGGCUGGACUUCAAUUGGUUGCUGGAAACUGGGCCUCAAAAAGGCUGGGCUUCAAUUCUAAUUGAUGAUGGGCUGAGCUGGAUGGGCCUGCUGCAGUUGAAAACUCACGGCUGGGUUUCUGCACUUGCUAAAAUUGGGCCGUGAAAUUGCUGCAAAGAGAAUGGGCUGAGAACGCUGGAUUGGGGGUUGCUUCGGUGGAGCUAUUGGUGGUCAACAACCGAAGCUAGCUGGGAAAUUUUGACUCGGUGAAGGCGUGGCUUCUUCAAGCGGCGUUGCUGUCGUUGAACUCUUGGCAGCUGCAGCAAGGAAGUCGAGCUGCAGACGUGAACAACGAAGGGGAUGGAGCGGCAAAAGGUGGGCCGAGCUUGGAGAUGGGUUGAUCCGAAGCUGCUUCACUGGCGUUGAAGAUUUCGAUGGAGAAGCGUGGAGAAUUCGGUGGACUCGGCUUCGGUGGUCCGUUGUUGACCGAAGCAGAAGGAGAAGUUGGCAGGUGGCAGCGGCGGUGAGGAGAGACCACGAUUCUGGUCUUCACUUGGAGAAGGCUUUGACCGAACGGCUUGAAGAUUCGGCAGCUUGGAGGAAAAAAUCAUGGGGGCUUCACGGCGUUGGGUUGACCUAGCUUGGAGGAAUCAAUUCGGUGGGGAAGCUGGCGUGGCUGCAGGUCUUCGAAGGAGGAGCUUCGGUUGACUGGAUUUUACUCGAUGAAAGACUCAAGCUGGGACACGCGACUGAAGACACGGAUGGAUGCAGCUUCGCUGGGUCUUCAAUUCGGUUGAAGAAGGCACACGGGCGAAGGGAGAUAGCGGCCACAGAGACUGUACGCGGGGAGGCUUUGCUGGACUUCUUCCGAAAGAAUUAAAGCAGAAGUUGAAAUCUAAGGAACAAAUUGAAGAGGAGCCGUGCGUGAGGAAGAAGAUAAGAGAGAGGGUGGGCCAUCCUUGCCAAUUUUCCACAAGAAAUAUCUUCAACAAUCAAUCUAGGCCAAGCAUUAAACCUUGGCCUUCAUUAGGCCACACCAACAACUCUCACAACUUCUCAAUUGGUCAAUUUUGGGCUAGGGGGAGGGGAUGAUACGAAUUUCACCAUUUGAACUUCAAUUUCUCCAAUAAAUUCCCAAAUUGAGGUCCAAUUUCGACGUAGAAAAAUCCCAAGAAUUUUCUAUAAAUCUCCGACACACACGGGCUCAACCCGAAAGUCAAAUUUCCCAUUAAUUUAGCCAAUCUGAACUUCUGCCAAAUUUCCGCGACGUCCGAACCCAAUUUCCGUAAAAUUUCCCGAAUCUCCGAAAAUCUUCUGGGACUGAGUCGAUGCUCCAAAAAUUUAUUGUGACAUGGCCAAAACUUCAAUUUCUGAAAUCGGACUCGAAUUGGCGGUUAAUUUUCAUUCGGCGCGUUUUUAGCGUGACCUAGACUAUCGGGUAGUUUUCAGAACUUUUUAAGGCAAAUGACCCGUGGUCGAUUUUCUUCGAGCCACUAUGAACCCACUCGACUCAAUGGCGACUCUUGAUUGUCGUGAAAAUCUCGAGGAUUCAAUUACGGACACAGGGUACCAAAACAAUAAGAAAAUCAGUCUAGUGUCGGUCGACGAGAAUUUUCUAAUUCAGUGGUGUCACCCACGAUUAGUCACAUAUCUCUAUCGAUCCAGUCUAUCUCUGAUUUCAAAUCGAUUUUUUAACUAUGCCGUAGUGACCUCUAAAGAUGGACACGGUCAAGAAGCCGAUUCCUGAUCGAGUCCUCAAGUCUAUUGCCGUAAAAUUCCUUAAUAAUUUCCCCAGAUAGUCUAGUUAUCUCGAGAGUGAUCGGCUCUGAGAAUAACCCUAUAGAUGCGUCAAUGAAAUGCCCGAUUUAUUCAGUAGAAGACAGGGUUGAAAAUUUGGGAUGUCACAAGGCUUCUGGAGAGUGUCCGUGCUACAUAGGUAUCCGUUGUUACUUAUAGCACAUACAAUUGUUUGUCAUAAACAAAUCCAUCAAAACUUGACUAAUUAGAGGAGAUGCCAUACUUAUUAUUAUAUCCAUACCUUUGAGUAUAAUGAUGCUCAGCAUGUAGCCAAUCUUUUAGUUAAAUUAUCAUUGCUCAUGUCAUUUUAUUAUCAUAUAUUGCCCAUUUGGGCUGCCUCAUGAUAUGAUUUAUACACUAUUGUCUAAUGUCACCACAUAACUUUUUAAACAUACCUAACAAAAAAAAAAAUCGUUCCAAUUUUCAAAGAAAUGAUUAAACACUUCACAACAAUAGUUAAUGAUGUUAAAGAUAUGUAGAUAUCUCCUAGAGAUGUUUAGGAAAUUUUCUCUAAUUUUCUAUAUCUAUUUUGAUUAUGCAUAUUUGAUUUGAUUUUUUAUUUCCUGAAAUAGUCUUGUAAUGAAGUUUAUAAAUAGGCUCUCCAUGUAAUCUUUUCUAUAUAUAGAAAUAUAUUGAAAAUUUCCCUUUUUUCUCUUUGGCAUUAUUACCUCUAACUAAUGAAAUGAAAAUCAGGUGUUUCCAUAGCUACUUACAGGUGGUCCACCGGUGCUCUUUAACAAAUUCUUUUGAGAAAUUAUACGAAAGUCAUGAAAUUUUAUGAGUAAAUAUUUGUAUGUCGUAAAAUGGUUUCAUGUAUGUCGUAUUAAAUAGAAGUCAAAGUGCAUGUGCUACACAAUUUGAAAAAAGAAGGAAAAGAUAAAACAUUGAGUUGCAUUUGCCUUAGUUGUUUUAGAGCAAUAACCAUUUUUUCUUUAUUUUCAUCUUGUUUAAUUUUUGAAAGUUCGUCAAAAAAGAAAUUAAAUGUGAGUUCACAUGUCCGUGUUUUAUUUGUACACGGGAAGGAUAGAAAGGUUACAAAUCGUGAUUUAAGAAAAGCAAAAACUAAAAAGUUCAAAAACUCGCAGAGAGGCCCCUCCUGGUUCCCUUGCCGGUCCCCCUCUAGGCCCCCCUCUUGGUUCCGCAAAAUUUUGCAGAGAUGCCUAUCCUAUUUUCGCGACAUUUUGCGGGCAGAUUCAAGCGGAAACUCCAACUACGAACUCCUUUCUGAAAUGAGCGGAAACUCCAAUGGCGAACUCCUUUCUGAAGUGAGCGGAAACUCCUACGACGAACUCCUUUCUGAAGUAAGCGGAAACUCCUACGACGAACUCCUUUCUGAAGCAAGAUGGCUCCAAUGGAAGGUCAAGGGAAGCGAUUUGUCUUUUUCGACGACCAAUUUGCAUCUACCGAAAUUAUCAGUGCUGGAUUUCUCAUACAGCCACAUCACAAAGGAUUGGCGAGGAUGGAAGUCAUUAAUGGUAAGAUUAGGCAAAGAAGACAUCCUCUUUGCGAUUUUAGGGUUCUAUUCUUGUUUAGCCAAUCAAGUCAUUCUUUGACAACUUAUUCUCCUUUUGUAUUAGGCGUCAAAACGGCUAAAAGUUCUCAACCUUGGAUGGUGUCUUAAAUUAAGACGUACUCCUAAUCUCUCGGCUUUCACACAGUUGAAGAUUCUCAUCUUGCUCAAUUGUGGCGGACUGGAGCAUCUCCACCCUUCUAUUGGCGAACUCACGAGCCUUGUUUCCUUGGAUUUGAGUGGCUGUGAAAGUCUCAAGGAGCUACCAGAGGAGGUGGGCAACUUAAAAGAUUUGGAAGAACUUUUAUUAGAUAGAUCUGGUAUUAGAGAUAUUCCUCUGUCUAUUGGUUCUCUGAGGAAGCUGGAGAAACUAAGUACCUGCAUUUGUGUGUCAUUGAGAGAAAUCCCUAGCUCAAUUGGGGAUUUACAGAAUUUGCAACAUCUAAACUUGAGUUAUUCUGGGAUCAAAAAGCUUCCCAGUGCUAUUGGAAGGUUGAAAAAUCUGCGGACUCUAAGUCUUGAAUCAUGCUUCCUCAGUCUGAAUGGGGCAAUUCCAAGUGAAAUUGGUGACUUGCCUUCGCUCGAGUAUCUCAAUCUCACUUGGACACCAAUAUCUGACCUACCAGAAAGCAUUCGAAAUCUUUCUUCUCUCCAACACCUUGACCUAAGGGGCUGUUACAACCUCUGGUCACUGCCAGAGCUUCCUUCAGGCUUAAAAUAUUUGUCGAAGCCCUCGAUUGCAAGAACUCCAUCUUCAGGUAUGCCAUCUACUUGAACGCAUCUCAAGCUUUCCUCAAGACCCUUGAAACUCUCUUGUGUUAAGGAGUGUGAUGAGCUGAUAUUGCUUAGGCUUGACGGUUUCUCUUUGAAUGUGGUGUUAAAUGACGAAAUGAAUCGAUGUUUCAAGUGAAAAUUGUUGUUUAAGUUGUUUAGACAAGGAAGGAGGCUAUUGGUAAAAGCUAUAACAUAAUGUGUUUAUUGCAGAGAAGAGAAGAAGAAAGUGGAGAAGAUUAGAUCAAAGCUGGGACAGGAGAACGUGCAUCUCAGCGUUCGUCUGGAUCGCCAAGUUGAAAUUGGGGAGAGUGUGGCAAUCUUAGGAUUUGCAGGAGAUUUGGGAUCGUGGAAGAAGAAUGGGGCAAUGGACUGGACCAAGAGCAGAUGAGCAUGUGAUAAGAACUGAAAGGAGGAGGAUCUAUCAAAUUAGAAGAACUUAUAUUAGAUUUUUCUGAUAUUACUGAGAUUCCUACAUCUAUCGGUUCUUUGACGAGGCUGGAGAAACCGAGUGUCAGCUCUUGUGGGUCACUCAGAGACAUCCCCAGCUCAACUUGAGAUUUACAAAAUUUGCUACUUUUGGAUGUUAGUGGUUUUGGGAUUGAAAAGCUUCCUAGUGCCAUAGGAAGGUUGAAAAAUCCAUGCACUAUAAGUCUCCUAUCAUGCUGUAAUCUGAAAGAGCAAUUCCAAGUGAAAUCAGUGACUUGUCUUCACUUGAGAUUCUCUAUGUUACUUGAGGGAUUUUUGAUGUUUGUGAGGAUCCAAAAUAGUUUAUCUAGUCUCGACAGCACAUACCUGAAUGAUUUUGAUGUUGUAUUUGAGUUGAGUCUGCUUUUGUAUGCUCAUGCGGUUCAAACUCUCUGUCAAUCAAAUACGUAGCUGCUGAUUUUUUUUUUUUUUGUAUGUCACCCUGAUGCAGAGGUGUCUGAUGCCAUUGCAUUCUAAUGUUAUCACUCCUGAACUCAAUAAGCCUUUGCAGAGGGAGGUAUGCACUACCGGUCAUACCAUAACAAUGAAAAUAUAACCCAUGUGCUUAUACUAUAUGAGCUGUGGAAUCACACCUGAAAAUCAGUAUGCAAGUAUGCAUGAGGACAAUCUCCAUUUUUAUCAGUUUAUCAACGUGACACUAUCCUUUGAAUGUUGUCACAUAGGUUUCUAACUAUUUUAAUUUGAUAAGCUUAGUUCUCAUGUGAUGUUGACUUUGUAAAGUUGAAUUAACCCCUAGCAAACUAUCCUGUAUUUCUGAUUUUGCUAAUGGGAUAUUGCAAAAUAACCAAGUAAUAAAUUCAUCUUUCUAUUAUGUAUUUUAAGCACUUCACCUUUCAGCAUAUUUUUACUGACAUCAAUUAUGUUCCUAAACACAAACAAGGAAAGUGUUGCUAAUUGCUAUAUCUGCCAAACCUAUUGUUUUCUUUUUCAUCGGCUAGCUCAUGAAGUAUCUGUUCAUUGCAGUCCAACUGCAAUUGGUGCAUAUGAUGUUUGUGCAUUUGUACCUUAUAUUUCAUGAUGUAAAUUGUAAUGCUUCGAUUUAGUUAUCUCCAUUUAUUGAUAAUUAGUGAAUCCCGUCCUUCUUGUGUAGAUUCAAGCUGCAUUUCAUAAAAUUCAGAGAACAUUCCCAAACAUCACAGGACGGAGAUAUGGACUAGACUAAGAUAUGUCAUGAGAUGUUAUGGAAAGAAGUUCCAGAGUUCUUCGCUAAAGGUUUUUAUAAUGUGCUCCAUGCUGAUAAUCUUGAUAGGAUUCUUGAUAUAAAGGGACAUCUUCUAUGUGGUGCAGUAGUCCUUUGCAAACUUUGACAUCAUGCAUAAAGUUAAGCAUAAACUGUCUUAUAGGUGGUUCUAAAUGUGAAGUUAAGCAUAAAGUUAUGUUUGUCAACAAGAUUACUAUUUAGAUGUCCACUUCAAGCUACAAUUUUGUGAAUGUGAGACUUCUUUCAUGGAAAAAGCAAAUAUCAUGGAAUCAGCAAAUAAUUUGUCAACAGCAGGCAAGAUUUUCAGUAAAAAGGUUCCUAGAAGACAGUAAUUUCUCAUUCUGAAGAAUUUUGAGCACAAAAUAAAAAUGUUCAUUAGUGUACAAUCAGCUCUUGGAUCUCGAGAAAUUCAUGCAUUGGCAUUUUGCAAUCACUUUAAUAGUAUAAUCUCAAACUUGAUUCCUUUAAGCAUGAGUCUAUAAAGCAGAGUAGACAAAGCCAUACAUUUUCAUACUUGAAACCAAAUUUUCUUUAGCAUUGGCUACAGUUGAAGACUAAUAAAAAAAAUGCCAAGAAAAAUCUAUGGAAGGGCGAAAGUAGUAUAUGCAUGUGGUUUGGACCAAACCGUUGAACGGUCGUCUACUUGGUUAGUACUUGGACUCUACUAUGCCAAAUUACUGUCGUUGGUCAUGCAUUCAAGUUUCAAUCGAACCAAUUUCUUUGGGGCCAGUACUCUCAGUUGUUCCUCUUCAUCCUACCACAUUACAAUGGUGAAACUUUAGUAGUUAAAAGCUACUCGCAAGAUAAUCAUAUAUUCCGAUUUGGUCAUUGUCUACCAGAACUUUAAUUCAUUACUUUCCAAAGCUCAAGACAAGGCCAAGUAACUUGUUAAGCCAAGUUUGAAUCUUUAAACACUAAAUCAUACAUAAUGCCGGCCGCACUAAUGAAUAAAAACAUUAGUUAAAUAUAUUAAACACGAAAUAAUCUAAUUUUGAGCAUAUUGAUUAUAUAUAACACGAGAAAGGUUGCAAGUAAAGUCAAUGUAUUGAUUAUAUAAUUUAGAACAUAGCUACUCAAGAACACGAGAAUGAUAGUAUGCCAUUUCUUUUUAUAACAUACAAUCUGCACCUCUUUAGUAUGCCAUUUCUUUUGAAUAGCUACUCUUUGACGGGCUAUUAAUCGAGCAUACUAGCACAUUGUCUUUAUACAACACUUCUUAUUCAAGUGUUUUGCAAAAUCAAUGCAUUCAUUGAAAGUGUCAUGACCUAACCUUGCAUGCCAUGAAAAGGAAAGGUCAGGUUUAGAGAUACUUGACUAUGAGAGUUCCCUCAUGGUUCAUAUUCCAAAAGACGUUACCCUUGUGAGUCCCCUCAUUUAUGAUCAUGAGCUCUCCUAAGCUCGUACCUCGUGUGACAGUGCAAGGUAUCGUGAUUUGUACACACACGAGUGACACACCUUGAAAGAGGAUGUUUGGUGUGGAUAUCGAAUUUAGAUGCAUCUUUACCAUAGUAGCCCUCCCAAUAGUACUUGCUUCCCAUGAAUGACAUCGUUUCAUACAUUAGGAACUUUCGACGUGCGGACUCCUGGAGUGCCUUAACUUUGUCCUAAGGGACACUUAAGUGCCAUAACUUACGAAAGAUACAUUAAGUGCCAAAAUCGGAAUAAAAUGGAUCACUUGAGUGCCAAUUCGGCCAAAAUCCGUCCAAAACGUCAACGUGGCAUUUCUCCGGCGAACCGAGCCCAUAAUGACGCCGUUUUGGGCUGACAUCGUAAAAAUAAAAAAUAAUAAUUUUAAAAUUAAAUUUAGUUGAAAUAUUAAAGGCUUACGAACUCUGCCGGAAUGACUCGCCCNNNNNNNNNNNNNNNNNNNNNNNNNNNNNNNNNNNNNNNNNNNNNNNNNNNNNNNNNNNNNNNNNNNNNNNNNNNNNNNNNNNNNNNNNNNNNNNNNNNNUCCCCCUUUCCUUUUCUUUUUUUUUUGAAAUUUUUUUUAAAUUUAAAUUAUUAAAUUUUUAAUAUUUCAAUUAAAUUUAAUUUUAAAAUUAUUAUUUUAAAUAUUUUAACUAAAUUUAAUUUUAAAUUUAAUUUAAUUAUUUUUUUUUUUUACCACGUCAGCCCAAAACGACGCCGUUUUGGCCAGUCAGCGUGCAAAACGACGCCGUUUUGGGCGCGCUUCGCCGGAAAAAUGCCACGUCGGCAUUUUGGCCGGACUCUGGCGGGAGUGGCACUCAAGUGAUCUAUUUUUCUUCGAAUGUGGCACUUAAGUGUCCCUUUGGCCAAAGUUAUGUCACUUAAAGCGUUCUUUUGCCAUGAACUUUCCAUAGUGGAUAUGCUAAACUAUGGUGAGUCCCAUCGAGACUCAUACCUCUCAUGACAUGUUUAUUUUAGGGAUAAGUGCAUUGGAAGUCCUAAAAUUUGUCAUGAAAACGCAAUUAAAUUCUAAAACUUUCAAAAAAUGCAAUUAAAUCUUAAAAUUUGUCACAAAAUGCAAUUAAAUCCUAAAACUUUCAAAGAGUGCAAUCAAGUCCUAAAACUUAUCAAAAUGAUUUAAUCUAAGUCGUCCAUUGAUUAUACUUUUUGAAAGUUUUAGGACUCUGUUGCACUUUCGAGACAAGUUUUAGGACUUCAUUAAACCUUUUAAAAGUUUUAGGAUUUGAUUGAACUUUCGUGAUAAAUUUUAGGACUUAAUUGUACUUUUUGAAAGUUUUAGGACUCAAUUACAUUUUCAUGAUAAGUUUUAGGACUUCUAAUAUACUUAUCCCUUUAUUUUAUUAUCAAGUUGUUCAGAACAAUUUAAUAAGAUGUAAGUUGCCACUAGCUUCAUUUUUGGGGGUCGGCUAGAAAACCUAAUCGAGGAUUGUGAGUUAUCUCUUGAUUUCUACGCAACUAGAGAUUCUAGAUUUGGGGACUUGGGUUAUGCUAAUAUUUUUAUUAGUGUCAUUUUGGUACCGAAUAGUUUGUCGUGUCUCCAAAAGUGUCCAUGCUUUUCACCAUGCUUUUCAUUUGACUUUUUAAGGCUGAUUACACUAACUAAGUGAUCAUACGUGGAUGGUUGGUUUCAUGCAAUUCUAUUUCUAUAAAAGAGAAAAUGAGGCAUACAAUUGAAAUUUAAAGACAGAGCGGUAAGUAAACAAUCAAGUAAGUAGUUUAGGGAAAGCAGUGAAUCUAAUAUGCAAUCCUAAAAAACAAAGAAAACAAAAUGAAAGAAAAAAAUCUGCAACUUGUUGGGUGUUUAUAUAUCACAAGACAACCCAAAACAAAAUAUUAAGGACAAAUGGUACAAAAAUACGGUCGGAGUGUGUGAAAGCUAGUAUAAGCACCUAGAGGGGGGUGAAUAGGUGCGAAAACAAAUUUUGCAGAAUAAAGUAUAAAAUUUUACUUUUAAAUCAACUCUGUUUAGCAAUAGACUAUGAAAAGGAAAUUAGACUCUAAUAAUCCGAUAGAGUUACGAUCAAAGUAAAAGAGCUUAGGGAAGAGAAUAAGAACACAAGGUUUAUAGUGGUUCGGCUUAAUCCAAGCCUACGUCCACUCUUCCGCACUGACAGCCCACCGACUGGAUUUCACUAAGAGUCAAAAGAGUUGUUACAGUAUAGCUCUUCCUUGAUUCCACAGUGUAGAGACUACUACACUUUCUCAAUGUCUCACAGAAGUAUAAACUCUAUUUUGAGUACAAGUUCACACUCAACAAUUGAAUUGACAAAGAACAAGGAGUUUUAAACUUUGGAAUUUCUUUAUCGCGCACUCACUUGAAUAACUAGAACGUCUUCCUUAUAUACUCCUCCAUGCCAUCAUAACUGUUGGCACUUACCAAAGGAGCUCUUCCAAUCUAUCUGUUGCACAAAAUCAAUUAGGAAGAUUUCGAGUUAUUUAAGGAAUAUGACGAUAGCCCACCAAUCAUGCUCGCCCAUACAGUCAGGAUCUAGGUUUCCAUAAGUAGAACCUUCCAAGUAUGCUUCGCCAAUCAAUGGAUCCAAAAUUCCUGAAUCAAUCUCAAGAUGAAUAAAGGAUUCCAAGAUGUUAUAUUCAGCCGAGAGAUCUUCUUUAGUCGAUAGAAUCAAAUCCUUAAAUAAAUACUUAAUUCUGGAUAAGUCUUCUUCGACGGUCUAAAAACUGUCAAUGAGGAUAGACUUUGAAUCUUGAGUUUGGCGGUCCAGCGGUCUUCAGACUUAGACGAAAGAGUCUGCAAGUCUUCAGACUAGAUUGAUGGAAACGUUUUGUCAGCUUCAAAACACGUAGAGAAGUUUUCUCCAACAAUCUCCCUCUUUUUGAUGGUGACAAAACAUCACUAGUAAAUAAAGGUGAAGAAAUACCUUUUGGUCCAACAGCUCCCCUUGUUUUGUUGCCUUCAGGUUGAGUAGAUAAGUUUUCUUCUUGUUCAACUUUAGCUUCAGAGUGAUGAAUGUCAGCAGUUCCUGCCAUCUUAGAAUCACUUGAUAGGGAGACAGCCAAGGUUGGCUCGAAAGAGUCUCCUUGACCUUGAUUUUGUUCUCCUUCUUUCUCUUCUUCUUCUUCUUCUUCUUCUUCUUCUUCUUCUUCUUCUUCUUCCUCUUCUCUUCUUUCUUCCUCUGUCCUCCUCUGUUCAACCUCUCCCUUCUCUAUCUCUUCUCUCUCUUUUUCUCCUUCUGUUGGCUCUACUUCUUCAAAACUAACAAAACUCUUCAAAUUACGUAAGGCUGGAAGAGUCAUCUCAUCCUCAUCCUCUUCAUCCUACAAGAUGAGAAUUCUUUUUCUCUUCACAAGAGCAGCCAUGGGCUCCUUGCAUUUCCUUUUUACUGCAGCAAAGUCUUCUUUUGCUUUUAGAGGAGACUUCUCUUCCAUGCGUUCCAAUACCUUACUUAGCUCUUGCAAGUGCAUCUUUUUGACCAUUUCGAAUCCAAUCACCAUUAGAGAAAUUGUUGACAAACUUAAUGGAGCAGGGAUGUGAAUUUUAAAAUGUCUAAAAAGACGCGAGAUAAGAGCAGAAUAAGGGAGUUGUCCCUUAUCUUUCACAACUGUUCUAUACAUGUGGAAAAUAAUAGUGUGAGGCAGAGAAAAUUUGUAUCCAAAAUUGAUGGCAUGCAUCAGUUUCGCUUCAGACCGAGACACAUCAGUCUUGGAUGUCGACUUUGGCCUAAUGCAGUUGAUCACAAGUUUAUGUAACAAGAUGUUGGUGGCAUUCAUCCUAGAAUAGGAUAUCUUGCCUUUAGCAUCCUUGUCAUUCACCAAUGACUGAGUAGCAUGAGCAAAAGGUACACCAAAUGGUCGGAAACAUCCUCUUUCCACUCCAAUUAGAUCAGCCAAAGUAUCCAUAUCCACCAAAAACGCCUUGUCUCUCACAGUAAAAGAAAAGCUAUUUGCAUCCAUAAACGAUAAAUUCGAAUAAAAGUAUGCAGUGAGUUCAAUAUAAGUAGUAGUGGAUUCAAAACAAAAGUGCUCCAACUACAGGGCAGCAAACUUCUUUCGCAGAUUUAUUUUCACUAAAUCAAGGAAAUCAAAAUCAACAUUCCUUGGGUGCAUAACCCCUCUCUUCAACAAAUUCGAAUAAACCCUUUUGUGAUUCUUUGAUCUGAAUAGAUUAGAACCAUCAUUAAUAUUUUCAGCCACUCCCAUUCUAGGCUAAAAAUGGGAAAACAUUCUUUCAUCAUCAUCUAGUCCUAGAGGUUGAUUAGCAGUCCCCAUUUGUGGGUCACUAGGAAAAUUAGUAAAGGCUUUUUUAGCCAAACCUUUUCGGUAAUACCCAUCUUUUCCAUGUCACGUAAAGAUAGAGUCUCGUUCUUAUACCCCCUCUCUUUCAAGUAUUCAUCAAUCAAUGUCAUAGGAGUUCCUCCUCUUUUUAGAUUAGAAUAAAGCUUGAAAGCGACUUUAGGAGUUAAUGUUCUUACAGGUUCCGCUUCUUCCAAAACUUCUUCUUCUAUAUGAGUCGGUGGAGGAGUUUGACGCUGCUGAGAAGGUUGUUGUUGAUUUUGUUGCUGUAGAGGAGUAGAAACUUCUUCUUCGAUCAAGUCGAAGUGGCUAGGACCCUCGGGCAUAUGUUGUGGUCCCCUGCUUGCAAUCCUUGAUGACUUUUUUGAAGACAUUGUCUCUUCUAAGGGAGGAAUUCACAAACUUGCUUGAAAAAGGUGAAAACUUUUGAAUAGAUCGAGAGUGAAAGUGAGAGCAAAUAAGAAUUUUGUAUUCUAGGGUUGUAGUGUAAAAACAAAGAAGACGAGUAAAACAAAGAAGAUGAGUCUCGACAGUAUAUAAAGCAAGUGAAGCGAGGUAAACGAAACGUCAUAAAAGGAAAAUAAAAAUACCUUUUCAAAAACGACGAACUUCCAUUUUUGAAAAUAACUGCCUUUUUGAAAAAAGAGAAACUUAGAAAGAUAAUUUCAAUUAGCAAUUAAUAAAUAACCGUACAUUUUCAAGUUUAAAAUAUUGAAAAAUGAGCAACUUACAGUCGUAACUCUUGAUCUUCUGAGUAUGAAUAUCUUCAGACUUUACCUUUGAGUCUUGAGCACGUCCAGACUUUACUGGAUAAGAGAUGUAAUGUUCAGUCUAAUGCGAAUAGACUCAGAUAGGCUUUUCUCCAGAGGUUUUGUAAAAAUGUCCGCCAGUUGAUUCUUUGAGUCAAUGAAUUGAAUCAUAACUUCUCCAUUUUGAACAUGAUCUCCAAUAAAAUGAUGUCGAAUCUCUAUAUGCUUUGCUCUUGAAUGAAGAAUUGGAUUCCUAGUGAGGUUAAUUGUGCUGGUGUUGUUACAUUUGAUCUUGGUGCACGAAUCUUUAAUUCUAAAGUCUCUCAGUUGUUGUUUUACCCAUAAGAUUUAAGAGCAGCAACUUCCAAGAGCCAUAUAUUCUGCUUCCGCUAUUGAAAGAGCUACAGUGCUUUGCUUCCUUGAUGACCAAGAUACUAACCUGUUUCCUAGCACUUGGCAUGUACCAAAUCUUCCUUGAUAACCAAGAUACUAACCUGUUUCCUAGCACUUGGCAUGUACCAGAUGUGCUCUUUCUAUCAACUUGGCAACCUGCUAAGUCUACGUCUGAAUACCCAAGGAGGGUAAAGUCUCAUUCUUAAGGAAACCACAAACCCAAAUUUGAAGUAGUUGCAAUGUAUUUGAUGAUGCGUUUUGCGGUGCUUAGAUGAGACUCUUUUGGAUCAGAUUGAAAUCUAGCAAAAAUACAAACACUAAACAAAAUGUCAGGUCUAGAAGCAAUAAGAUAAAGAAGUGAACCAAUAAUACUCAUGUAAAGUUUCUAAUCAACUUUCUUUCCUCCUUCAUCUUCAUCCAAUUUCGAAGAACUAGACAUUGGUAUCUCAAUCUUUUUACAAUUCUUCAAUCCGAAUUUUUAAUAAGUUCUUUUGCAUAUUUCUCUUGGUGAAUGAAGAUUCAUUCUUUCAAUUGUUUUACUUGUAAUUCGAGAAAGAAGGAUAAUUCACCCAUCAAGCUUAUCUCAAAUUCAUCUUACAUAGACUUAGAAAACUUCUUGCACAGGUUUUCGUUAGAUGAUCCAAAUAUAAUAUCAUUAACAUAAAUUUGAAAAAGUAGAAAGUUUUUACCUUCCCUUUUAAUAAACAAAGUAGUAUCCACUUUUCCUUUGACAAAACCAUUUUGCAUUAAAAACUUACUUAACCUGUCGUACCAAGCUCGAGGUGCCUGUUUUAAACCAUAGAGAACCUUUUUCAGUCUAAAUACUGAGUCUGGUCUCUUUGGAUCUUCAAAUCCAGGAGAUUGUUCCACAUAAACUUCUUCUUGGAUGAAUCCAUUCGGGAAUGCACUCUUGACAUCCAUUUGGAUUAACCUAAAAUUUUUAUAACAUGCAAAAGCAAGUAAUAAUCAUUUGGCCACGAGUCUUGCUUUGUUCUUGAUCACUUUUCCUUUUUCGUCCAACUUGUUCCUGAAAACCCAUUUAGCUCCAAUAAUGGAUUUACCUUUUGGUUUAGGAGUUAAUUCCCAAACAUCAUUAAUGUUGAACUGUCUAAGUUCUUCUUGCAUUGCUUCAAUCCAGCUUUCGUCAGUUAAAGCUUCUUCUAUGCUUUUGGGUUCUAUUUUAGAAAUAAGUGCCACAGCGCUAAACUCUUCUUGCCUUUUUGAUCUUGUAUGAAUUCCUUCAUUGAUAUCACCAAUGAUGAGUUCUUUGGGAUAACUAGAUUUGUGCUUCUAGUUAUUUGAUGGUCUGGCAGGAAGCUGUUCUUCUACUUUAAUUGAUUCUUCAACUUCCUUUUGAUGAUUUUCAAAGGUCUGAGCUACUUCAGGGGAGGUAGACUUUGUGGAGUUUGGAGCAGAUUCAAAUUCUUCAGGAUGAGUUUGAAUCAGUUGAUUUUGCAAAAAGUCUUGGAAUUUGACAUUCGUAGAUUCUUCCACAGACCGAGUCUUUUUGUUCAAUACUCUGUAAGCUUUGCUGGUGGUUGAAUAUCAAGGAAGAUUCAUUCGUCUGAUUUCUCUUCAAACUUACUAGUUCGAUCAUUUGUAUUUUUCAAAACAAAAUAUUUGCAACAAAAUACAUGAAAGUAUGAAACAAUUGGCUUAUUUCCUUUGAAUAACUCAUAAGGAGUUUUCUCCAGAACAAGCCUUAAAAAGACUCUGUUAAUAACAUAACAUGCUGUAGAAACUGCUUUAGCUCAAAAAUGAGAGGAAAUACUACUUUCUAUUAGAAGAGUCAUUGCCAUCACCUGCAAAGAUCUAUUCUUUCUUUCCACAACUCCAUUUUGUUCUGGAGUGUAUGGAGAAGAAAAAACAUGUUGAAAACCUAACUCAUCAAAAAAUUUUGCAAAUUCUUGAUUUUUAAACUCACCUCCAUGGUCUGUUCGUAUACUUGAAAUAGCACAUCCUUUCUUGUUCUGAACUUUCUUAGCAAACUUUGAAAAGUAAGAAAAGCUUCAGACUUACUUGCUAGAAAGUAAACCCAGGUGAAUCCUGAGUAGUCAUCAACGAUCACUAGACAGUAUCUCUUUCCGCCUAUACUUCUAGUUCUUGUUGGUCUAAAGAUAUCCAUAUGCAGAAGCUGCAAAACGCAAUUAGUAUAAACCUGAUUCAAUGGUUUAAAAGAACUUCUAACAUGUUUUCCCAAUACACAUGGUGUGCAUAAAUUAGAUUUUUGAAACUUCAGGUUGGGAAUCCCUCGAACAAGAUUCUUAGAAGAGAUCUUGGCAAUCUACUUUACAUUGACAUUGCCAAGCUUUCGAUGCCAAAGAUUUGCUUCAUUUUGUAUUGAAAUUAGACAUUAAGACUUCUUUGGUUUUAUAUCCAGAAGAUAGAUGUUCCCAUGUCUUCGUCCAGUAAAAGAUUGUGAAAGAUCUUUAUUAGUUCCCGAACAUAUUCCUUCUUGAAAAUUGAUCUUGAAUCUAGUGUCGCACAAUUGGCUAAUACUCAACAAGUUGUAAUUGAGUCAUUCAACUAAGGAAACGUUGUUGAUUAUGAGACUUCUAAUUUUUACUAUUCCACAUCCAACAAUUUUUCCUUUGCUGUUUCCACCAAAAGAGACUUUUCCACCAUUAACUUGUGUAAGCUUUAUAAAACAACUUGAAUCUCUAGUCAUAUGCCUUGAACAGCCACUAUCCAAAUAUCAUUUGACAUUUUUCUUGAUAGUGACCUGCAAUUAAAAAAGAAACUCAAGCUUUUUUUGGUACCCACAUUUUCUUGGAUCCAGAUGAGUUAGUGCGAUAAGCAGUCUUUGCCCAUUCCUUCUUAACAGGUCUCCAAGCCAUAGGACAUUCUUUCUCAAAGUGUUCUGAGCUGUUGCACUUAGAACAUUUGAGAGCACUUCGGCCAACAGGUUUUACAAAGACUUUUUGAAAAUGAUUUAUGUAAAAAGUUUUUGUAAGCCUUUGUUUAAUUCUUUCUUUUACUUUUGGAAAAUCAAUUAGAGGAAUAGUUUCAGAAGUCAUUCCCAAACCUGAUUUGUUAAAGUAGGGUCUUUGUACUGAAAGAAUCUUUUCCAAUUUCUCAGAUCCUAUAGAAAAUCUCUUUGAAAUAUUUGAAAUGUCAUUAUUCAAAAAUGUAUUUUCUUUUGAAAGAGAGUCUACAGUUUCUUUUAAUGUAACAAAGCUUUUAUCUAAAUUUUCAAACUUUUCUUCCAUAAAAUUUCUUGUUGUUUCAGUGCAGAAUUCUCCCUUUUUAACUCGGAAAUUCUCUUGAGAGAGGUUUUGAGACUAAGACACAGUUCAUCAAUAUAUUUAGAGACUUUAGUAGGGAUUUUAAAAUGACUUACCUCGAUUUCACUAUCUGAGUCUGAGUCUGUAUCUAUAUCGGAGUCUAAAUCUGAUUUUGAUUUUGCCAUUAGACAUAAUUGGCAUAAUCUCCGUCACUUUCUUCACAUUCAGUAUCACUCCAUAUCUCUGCCUUGAGAGCCUUCCUGUAUUUCUCAGAUUUUCCUUUCUUUUUCUUCAACAUGGGACAGUUGGGUCUGAUGUGUCCAUUUUUCUUGCAUUCAAAAUAGAUCAUAUCUUUAUUGGAUUCAUCAUCUUCAGUUGAUUUGUUUUGAGACUUCUAAGUGCUUUGUUUCUUCCAAUUGAAUCUUUUUCCUUUUUUGUUCAGUUUCCUGAACCUUUUUAUCAUAAGGGCUAGCUCUUCAUCAUCCAUGUCAUCUUCAGAGGCUAUAACAUCAUAAUCAUCGUUGGAUCUCAAAGAAAUUGAUUUCUUACCUUUGGAAUCUUUUUCUUCAUUGAUUUGCUCCACUUCAUAGGACUGAAGUGUGCCAACCAACUCGUCUACAGAAAGUGGCAUGAUCCUUUGUGUUUCCCUUAUCGAGGUCUUUACGUGAUUCUAGUCUUUGGAGAGUCCACGCAGCAACUUGUUAACCUUCAUGGGUCUUGAGAUUGGUCGUCCCUAAUACUCUAGACCAUUUACGAUUUCUGUAAAACGACUAAACAUGUCAGUAAUAGAUUCUCUUGGCUUCAUCUUGAAGGCUUCAUACUGUCCGAGUAGAAUAUUGAUCCUUGUCUCUUUUACUAAUGUGCAACCUGUGAUAUAGCUAGUACGAGUACCUAGAGAGGGGUGAAUAGAUAUAUAAAAGAUUUUUCUUGAUGAUUGCACAAUACUUAGACAGUUGAAGGAUUUGCGACAAAUAAUAAUUAGCGUAAGACUAAGUAAAGAAAAGAGAGAAUUGAACACGCGGUUUAUAGUGGUUCGGCUUGAUUCAAGCCUACUUCCACUCUUCUGCACUGAUAGCCAAUUGGCUGGAUUUCACUAUGAACAAAGAGAUGUUACAACGUUGAUCUUCCUUGAUUUCUAGGUGUAGAUACUCUACCACACUCGCUCAAGAUAUCACCAAGUAUAAACACUCUCUGUGUAUACAAUUUCGCUCAAACUGUAUCGACUAAUAAUCAAGGUGCUUCAGAUUCUGGAAUUUCUCUAUCGAUCACACUCUAUAAACAACGAGAACGUCUUCCUUUUUAUACUCCUUUAUGCCACCAUACCGUUAGCACUUACCAAAGGAUUUCCUUCAAUCUACCCGUUGGACGAAAUCAAUUAAGAAGAUUAUUCGAGCUAUUAAAGGAACCUGACGAUAGCCCAUGAAUCAUGUUCGCCCAUACAAUUAGGAUCUUGGUUUCCAAGAAUAGAACAUUCCAAGAAUAUUUCGUCGACCACCGGAUCUUCAAUUGAUCUAGAUACAAAUAAAAGAAUCCGAUAUAUAUUUAUCCAACCAAGAGAUCUUCUCCAGAGGAUAGGAUUAAAUCCUUAACCAUAAACUUCGGCUCUGGAUUUCCUUCGUCACUGGAUCAGAAAGGCUGUCAAUGAGAAUAGUCUUGAGUCUUGAGUGCUGAGUCUGGAGAUCAGAAAGUCUUCAGACUUUAAACCGACGGUCUGCAAAUAUCCAGACUAGACUGAUAGAAACGUUUUGUCAGCUUCAAAAUAUUCUGGAAAGAUUUCUCCAACAAUCUCCCCCUUUUUGAUGGUGACAAAACUUUCCUGUAGAUUUGAACAACUUUGACCUGCAAAAACAUUUCUCAAGCAAUAUGGCUUUCUCAAAAAGAUUAAUAAAACAACCAGACUCUGCAUCCACAGAAAAUUGGUUAGUCUUUCAUGAGUAAUACCAUAUAACAACACUUGAUAUAAAUGCAAACAGUCAAGCAUCAAAAUCCACAGCCAAUUCAAUCAAAUUUAAGUUCACACCCAAGUUCACUCAAGUCAUACUCAAAAACAAACAUAACCACAAAAACAAAUUUAAAGUCGAAGUUUAAAGUUGGUUGGUUCAAAUUGCUUCUCCCCCUUUUUGUCAUCAUUAAAAAGGUGAGAAAGGAGUCAGGUCUGCUUGGGAAUGCGCACGAUCUGGAAAUCUCCCAUGGACUGGACUAUGCCUUCUAGCCUCUUCAAGUCUUCCCUUAGCUGAGCUACCUCCUCUCCUUUGGCAUUGGCUUGAAGUUGUAGAGCGAGGUCUUUCAUUUUGUCCUCCAGGGUAACUGAAGAUGCUUGUCCAGCAUUCUUUAUGGUUUGAAUCUCACAGUCCAGAGCAUAGAUUUGGGCCCGCAUUUCCAAAAGAACGUCUAGAAUACGACGAAAAUCUGCAGAAUUGUCCGUCUGUGUACUUGCAUUUGCUUUCUCAGAUGGAGUGAAUGCAGACGAUGGAGCUUCUGUAUAAUCUUGCAGAUUUGGUGUUGACGUAUCGUGUCCUUCUUCAGGCAAUUGAGAAGCCUGAAACUCUUCUGGGUCUGCUGGAGAGUGUCUUAGACCUUCACUAUUGGCAGCAUGAGGUGAGGACCUUUCUUGCUCGUCAACUCCCCCUGUCUCUAGGACAUCAUAAGGGGAAGAGUGAUGACCAUGCUCUUCUGUAUCUUGAUUCCCCUUCUCUCCAAAUUCAGCUGCAGACUUUUCUUUCUCUUCUUCUCUUUCUUCUUCAGCUUCUUUCUCCUUCUCUCGCUGCUCUUCUUCUUCUCUGUUCUUGGCUUGCUCCUCUUCUUCUCUCUGUUUCUUCUGAUGUUCUGUCGAUUGAGGUACAGAACGUCUGGUCCUUAUCAAGGCAGUGAUUGUGAGAUCUUCCUCCUCAUCUUCAUCCUCCAAGAUGAGAGUUUUCUUCUUUUUGGAUGGGGCACCAAUGGCCUCCUUCCCUUUUCUCUUUGAAUCAAACGGAACUGGAGUCUUAACUUGGAAUUUUUCCAUUGCCUUGGAAAGUUCUUUCAGACGCAUCUUCGUCAACAUCUUCAAACCUACCACCAUCUUAUCGCACGGUUGAACACAAAGUGAAUGUGGCGGUUCAAUAUUCAUGUGUCUGAAGAUCUUGGUCACCAAACCUGGAUAAGGCAAUUGUCCCUUGUCCUUCGACAUUGCUCUGUACAUGUGAAAGAGAAUAGUGUGAGGGAGAGAGAACUUCUUUCCUGAGUUGAUUGCGUACAUCAGUUUUGCUUCGGAAUUAGACACAUCAGUCUUUGAUGUAGACUUGGGUCUAAUACAAUUGAUCACAAUUUUGUGCAGCACAAUAUUGAUGGCACGCAUCCUUGAAUAGAUGAUUCUUCCCUCAAUAUCUCUAUCUUUGACAAGUUCCAUUGAGGCACCAGCAACUAAGACUUUGACUGGUUGAUAACGUCCUCGUUCAACUCCGAUUAUGUCCGCCAACAUGUCUACGUCUACCACAUAGUCCUGGUCUCGAACACUGAAUGAUAUUCUAUUCGCAUCUAAAAAGCUGAGAUUCGAAUAGAAGUAUGCUGUCAAUUGCGCAUAACCAUCUGUGGUAUCGGUACAAAAUUGCUCAAGUUGAAGCAGAUUGAACUUCUCCCUUAAGUUCACAUUAACGGCAUCCAAGAAAUCGAAAUCAACACUCCUAGGGUUUAUCACCCCUCGUUUCAGUAGUCUGAAGAACAGAUUCUCGUGUUCCUUCGAUUUAAACAACUCCAUCCUUUUUCCCUUCACCUUCGCAGCAACACCCAUUCUAGGUUGAAAAUCACUGAACAUUUUAUCAUCAUCGUUCCCGUCAGUCGAAUUUGGUCCCGACAUACAAGGGUCACUUGGAAUGUUCGCAAGUGCUUCUUCAGCCUUUCCCUUGGGAGCAAUUCCCAAAUCCUCCAUUUUUCUCAGAAAGAUAUACUCAUUCCCAUAAUGCUUAUCUUUGAGAAAAUCAUCCACGUAUUUCAACGGAGUCCCAGUACUUUUCAACGCACAGUAGAGUUUAUAACUAUAAGAGGGUUUUUGGACUCUUACAGGGUCUGCGUCCUCGAUUAUCUCUUCUUCCGGUUGUUGACCCGCACCUUGUGGGGUAGAUGGCGUUGAGUGACGUGGUGGAGAGUGAAUCGGGCUCUAUUGCUGACUCGAUAAUUCUUCCUCUUCGGUGAGAUCGAAAUGGGUAGGUCCCUCCUUCAUUCUCUGUGGUCCCCUGUUCGCGAUUCUUGAAGACUUCCUCGAAGAAGACAUUCUUCCUUGUCGCUGAAAGAUUCCUUUACUUGCUUUCCCAAGAAAAGAUGACAACUAUCUCAAAGAUGAACACGAAGUAGAAACCGGAUUGGGAGGAGAAUGCUUUUUUUAGGGUUUUGAAGAUUGAAAAAUGAAAACUGUAUGGCUGCGCAUGGUAAAAUUUCUGUUUUUCAAUUUCUCUAUUUCUCUGUUCCCUGGAACAGGUUUGGAACAGAAAUCCGUUUGGUAACGCAAAUUGAUUUCUCUAUUUCUAUUUCAAAUUUCUAUUUCAGAAAUUGUUUUGGAGGAGAAAUCAGAAGCUAAAAAUUUUAGCUUCUCUAUUUCUGAAGUAGAAAUAGAAAUUAUUUCUUCUGGGCAUCCUUUCGUUCACGGGUUUUUCUUCUAUCUGGGCAUUCUUUCUCUUUCUCCUCUCAACGCUUCCCACCAAAAACCCUAGUUGUCCAUCCUCGUCGUCGACUCCGUCGCCGUCCUCUUGCCGUCCUCAAAGCUCAACCAAAAACCCUAGCGCCGGCGACUCCGAAUUCAUCCUCGUCGUCGAUGCCGUCGCAGGUUUUUGCUCCAGUCGUGCCGUCGACUCCGAAGCUGUCCAUCCUCGCCAUCGACUCCGUCGCCGUCGUCUUGCCGUCCUCAAAGCUUCAACCAAAAACCCUAGCGCCAUCGACUUCGAAUCCAUCCUCGCCGUCGACGGCGACGGAGUUUCUAUUUUGUCUAUGUCCAAAGCUUCGAAUUACAAUGCCAGUGAUAAAUUUUUAAUUGGUGUCCAUUGAAACAGUAAGUUGAAAAGCUAUAUGUUCCGUGCAUAUAUGGCUAGGCGAUUGAUGUGUCAUCGAAUUGAGAUUUGAUCCUGGGUUUCUCUGGUUUUCAUGGUUUCAGAGAUCGGAGCUACUGCUGGAGGGGAUUGUGUGUGCGACCAGUGUUUUGCCAUUCAGAAGCUCGCUUCUUCAACAAAAAGACUUUUCUUGGAUUCUUUCACUGCUUGACCUUCUCUGGAACUUCCCCCCGCGAUUCCUCACGAGGUUCGAUCAAUCCUUCCCUUCUCGCCUCUCUUUUCAUGUUUCGGCUUUCGUCUGCAUCCUCUAUUUUCCCCUGAUUAAGUUUAUGCUUACACUAGAACUUUGUUUGAUGGCAUUUGAUGCAUGAUGUGGAACGGUCGUGUGUGAGUCGAGGGUUGACUGGAUAUGCAGAUUGUGGAUCUGUUUUGGAGUCAAGGACUGUCGUGCUUGGUCUUGGAAAUGGUGUUUUGGAAGCAAUGGUUGGUGUUUAGCUUUGUGAUUGCUUUAGCAAUCUGUGAGAGAACCUAUCUUCUUGCUUGCUUGUUGUGAUUGUGGAUGAAUUGGCAUCUGUUGUUGAGAGAUAUCUGUGCUGCAGAGAGUGUGGCUCAAGGGUUCGGGUUCUUUUUAGGCGUUGUACCUUCAUAACUCCGUCGGGUGACUUUGAUGGGGUUACGGAAUGAGAGCUGUUUACUGCUUUUCAUCGGAUAUCUGUCAUGCUUUGUCUACAAAUCUUGUCAUGUGAUCUGCUCAUCGAGAUCUUAUAUUGCUUUCCAUGCAUAAGGAUGUUUGUGCAUUCUUUCAUGUCACUGGAAAAACUUUCAGCUCUUAUUUUUUGCACUUUUUCAACUAAAAGACUGAACUAUACUCAACCUUUUCCUUGCGUUUCCUGAUUCUUUUCUCAGUCUUACAGUGGUAUUCAAGCUCUCCUCUAGUAUGUUAUGUAAGACUAACAUUCUGCUGGAAGUAACCCCUGUGCUUUAGAUAUGCUUUAGUAAUGCUAGAACGAUCAAUCUGUCAUUAAGGCAAUUUCCUUACAAAAAGAGGUUGCGCUUAUCUGCGAGUUCAUUUGAGUUUAACCUUUCCUUUGUAGAAGCUGUCAUGCCUUUCUACUGCUGGUUUAGAUGUAUGUGCAGUCUAGAUAAUUGGGACUGGCCAAGGAAGGGCACAGCAUUUUUUGAAAUUCCAUGCCUGAUUCUUUGGUUUCUUGGCCAAGAUGCCUUCUAUUUCAUGGUCAAAAUUUAGCUAAGAUGGUGACUUGAUUAUCAGCAGUCAGGAGACUGAAUGGAACCAAAGAGCCUGGUUUUGGUGUUGCCUUCGCAUAAUUGUUGGUGAAGCCAUUCUAUAUCAAGGGGGCAUAUUGCUAGAUGAUGUCUUCAGUAGCUGUAGGUCCUUGGUGGAAAUUAUCACAUGUUUUGACAUGUAUGGUAACUUGCGGCUUUGAGGCAAGAACUGGAGCAUUAUGUUUUCAUACGCCAGUUUUUUCAAGGGGACAAUCACCUCGUGGCACACUUCAACACACUGUAUCGACAGCUUUAGAUGGGGACUUUGGCAGUAGCUGAAAAUCAAGCUGCGCAUGACUCUGAACUCCUGGGCUAGUCAAUUGUAUCAAUGCAUGUUUUUGACUUAGUCCACUUAUUUAUAGCAAACAAUUGUAUGCGGGAUUCACCUCCAGCUUUCAUAAUUUACAAUAUUCAAAGCCCGGUUUGUUAUCUUCUUCUUUUGCACUUCCAUUUGAUGCAGCCAUUUGCAGAGCGCCCCCUUCGAAUUAAAAGGCUUGGGAGAGUUCUUUGCUCGGAUUGUGGAAUGUUUGGGUAAGAUUGAUGGUUGUGUAAGGUGCUGAUUUGAAUGCCUUUACUUCUAAGUUGUACAAUAUGGAAAAGACUAUGGAGAACAGGGCAUGUCCCCUGCCCAGCCAAAACAACAUUGCUUAUCAUUUAAAGUCCCCACCAGAAACUCACAGAGGACGACAAACGGUUGAAAAGGACCAGCCUUGUCCUGCAUAUAGUUAAUCUCACAUUCCACGAGAUGAGAAUGAACCUCGUGUCAUCAAAGAAUCAGUUUUCAUGCCAGACUGAGGGUCCUCCACUCCCCAUAAGGUUCAUAUGAAAUAUGGUAAAGGUGCCUGGACUUUGUUUGUAGGUGAUUCAACAAACUAUCCCUUUUAGUUAGAACAUCCAAUUGUGAUCUUACAACCUAUACAACGGCUUCUGUUAGCAAUCCCGAUUGAACGUCGGAUUGAUGUCAUGUCAAUGCACAUUCACCGUCGUAAGCAUGUACCGAUCUUACGGAUCUUAUCAAUCAUAAAGGAAAAUGAAGAUAACCAGUCUCUUUUCCAACUAGUCAUUGACCAUUGCACUGUCAAAUACAAACAUGGCCAGAAAAUGUAAACGGGAAUACCAACAAGAAAAAAAUAAAAUAAAAUAAAGAAAGAAAAAGGAAUGGGGGGAAGGCGUAAAGCAAAACUUGGAUCUUCGAGAGCCUGGACUAGUGAGAAAUGGCGCUCUUAUCUUUUAUAGUUUGCAUAUUAGCAUUUGAAAAUACCAAAUCUUUUAUAGUUUGCAUAUUAGCAUUUUUUAUACUAAUUACUAGCUUUUAUUUACAUAAAUUGCUAAUGUUUUGAAGUUCCUAACUACUCUAUCGAAUUACCAAUCUAAAUUAAAGUGAUUUACCAACUUUUAUCAAAUUAAAUUACCAUCACAAGCACCAAGAAGAGUGAGGUAAAAGAUGGGGACAACAUGAUUCAUAGAAAUAGAAAUUUUUUUCUGUUAUCAAACGGAUUUCUAUUUCAGAAAUAGAAAUUUUGAGUCGUUAUCAAACGGGUUUCUUUGCUCAGAAACUUGUCCAGGGAAUAGAAAUUGAGAAAUUGAUUUCUAGCCAGAAAUCAAUUUCUGUUUCAGAAAUUUUACCAUGCGCACCCUAUAUAUAUAACUCAGUUUUGAAAAGGGGAAGUUCAAUCGGUACAAGGAAAGUGUACGAACACUUCUUUUUAAAAUCAAUAACUGCCAAAAUUAAUCUUUUUGAAAAGACAGGAUUUCGUUUUUCACGGAGACUACAAAAUAACUGAAAAAAAAAAAUCAUACCUUUUCGAUAGCAACUUACAGUCUAUAGCCAUCAAUGUCUGAGUCUGAGGAUUUAGAGUCUGAUGGAUUAGAGUCUGAUGGAUUAGAGUCUGAUGAUCAUCAAUUUUCUAAGUCUGAGGGUUGGAGAGUCUCUAGACUUUAACUUCUUCGAGCUUCAAAAUGUUGAGUCUGGAACGGAUAAAAUCGAAUUGAUUUUUCUCCAAAGGCUUUGUGAAUAUAUCCGCUAGUUGACUUUUUGAAUCAACAAAUUGAAUCGAGAUUUCUUCAUUUUGAAUAUGAUCUCUAAUGAAGUGAUGUCGAAUCUCUAUAUGAUUUGCUCUUGAAUGAAGAAUUGGAUUUUUGGUGAGAUUGAUUGCGCUGGUGUUGUCACAUUUGAUUUCUGUGCAUGAGUCUUCAAUCCCAAAGUCUUGUAAUUGUUGUUUUAUCCAUAGAAUUUGCGAACAACAGCUUCCAAGAGCUACAUACUCUGCUUCUGUUGUUGAGAGAGCCACAGUGCUUUGUUUCCUUGAAAACCAAGACACUGUCCUGCUUCCAAGCAACUGGCAAGUUCCUGAAGUACUCUUUCUAUCGACUCUGCAGCCGGCCAGAUCUGCGUCUGAAUAUCCCAGAAGAUUAAAGUCUCCCUUCUUAGGAUACCAAAGACCGAUGCUUGAAGAUGAAGCAACGUAUUUAAUGAUACGUUUUGCAGCACUGAGAUGGGAUUCUCUAGGAUCUGAUUGAAACCUAGCACAGAUGCAAACACUCAACAAAAUGUCAGGUCUAGAAGCAGUAAGAUAAAGAAGUGAACCAAUGAUGCUCUUGUACAGCUUUUGAUCAACUUUCUUCCAUUCUUCAUCUUUGUCUAUCUUCAAAGAACUUGACAUUGGUAUAUCAGUCUUUUUGCAAUUUUCCAAUCCAAACCUUUUGACGAGAUCAUUAGCAUAUUUUUCUUGGUAAAUGAAAGUUCCUUCCUUCAAUUGCUUUACUUGAAGACCAAGAAAGAAUGUUAAUUCUCCCAUCAUACUCAUUUCAAACUCAUCCUGCAUAGACUUAGAAAAUUUCUUGCAUAGACUUUCAUUAGAGGAUCCAAAAAUAAUAUCAUCCACAUAUAUUUGAACGAGUAAAAAGCUUUUGUUUUCCUUUUUGAUAAAUAAAGUAGUAUCUACUUUACCUUUGACAAAGCCAUUCUGUAAUAAGAACUUACAUAGUCUGUCGUACCAAGCUUGAGGUGCUUGCUUUAAACCAUACAAGGCCUUUUUCAGUCUGAAGACUGAGUCUGGCUUCUUUGGGUCUUCAAACCCAUGUGGUUGUUCCACAUAUACUUCCUCUUGGAUAAAUCCAUUUAGGAAAGCACUUUUGACGUCCAUUUGGAAUAACCUGAAAUUUUUAUAACAAGCAAACGCAAGUAAUAGUCGGAUAGCUUCUAACCUUGCUACAGGAGCGUAAGUCUCAUCAUAGUCUAUUCCUUCUUCUUGCGUGUAUCCUUUGGCCACGAGUCUUGCUUUGUUUCGUACGACUUUUCCUUUUUCAUUCAUCUUAUUUCUAAACACCCAUUUGGCUCCAAUAACAGUUUUACCUUUCGGUUUAGAUGUCAAUUCCCAGACAUCAUUAAUGUUGAACUGUCUUAGCUCCUCUUGCAUAGCUUCGAUCCAGCUUUCAUCAGAUAAAGCUUCUUCUAUGCUUUUUGGUUCAAUUUCAGAAAUGAGAGCCACAGCACUAGACUCUUCACGUCUUUUAGAUCUGGUGCGAAUUCCUUCAUUAAUUUCGCCGAUGAUGAGAUCUUUAGGAUGACUGGACUUGUGCUUCCAGUUACUGGUUGAUUUGUCUGGAUGAUGAUCUCUUUAUUUAUUUGAAUCUUCAUGAACAUCUUGAUGCUGGUCUUCCAGAGUCUGAGAUACUUCUUGAGUUGUAAGCUUUGGAAGGUCUGGAGCAGGUUCAGACUCUUCAUACUGAGUCUGACUGGACUCAUCUAGCAGAGAGUCUUUAAAUUUGACAUUCAUUGACUCCUCCACAGACUGGCUCUUCUUGUUAUAGACUCUGUAGGCUUUGCUUGAUGUAGAAUAUCCAAGGAAGAUGCCUUCAUCUGAUCUUUCUUCAAACUUACCAACUCGAUCUUUUGCAUUUUUCAAUAUAAAGCAUUUGCAACCGAACACAUGAAAGUAUGAAACAAUGGGCUUCUUACCUUUGAAUAAUUCAUAAGGGGUUUUCUCUAGAAUAGGUCUUAGAAAGACUCUAUUGAUGAUAUAGCAUGCUGUUGAAACAGCUUCAGCCCAAAAACAUGAAGAAAUUUUACUUUCAAUUAAAAGAGUUCUAGCCAUUUCUUGAAGAGAUCUAUUCUUUCUUUCCACAACUCCAUUUUGCUGAGGAGUGUAUGGAGAGGAGAACACAUGCUUAAAUCCAUAUUCAUCACACAAUUUUGUAAAAUCUUGAUUUUCAAAUUCACCUCCAUGAUCUGUUCUUAUACUUGAGAUAACACAUCCUUUUUUCAUUUUGAACCUUUUUAGCAAAUUUUUCAAAAUACGAGAAGAUUUCUGACUUGCUUGCAAGGAAAAAUACCCAAGUAAAACGAGAGUAAUCAUCCACAAUUACUAGGCAGUAUUUCUUACCUCCAAUACUCUGGGUUCUGGUUGGUCCGAAGAGAUCCAUAUGCAGCAACUGUAGUACAUGAUUAGUAGAGACAUGAUUUAUUGGCUUAAAUGAAUUUCUUACCUGCUUUCCCAGAAUACAUGGUGUGCAUGGAUCGGACUUUUGGUAUGGUAAUUUGGGUAGACCUCGAACAAGCUGCUUUGAAGAGAUUUUAGCUAAUUGCUUCAUGUUGACAUGACCAAGCUUUCUGUGCCAUAAGCUUGCUUCAUCUUGAAUUGAGAUUAGGCAUUGUGAUUCAUUUAGAUUCAUGUCUAAGAGGUAGAUGUUUCCAUGUCUUCGACCCAUGAAAGACUAAGUAGAGUCUUUACUGAUUCCAGAGCAUAUUCCUUAUUGAAAGGAGAUCUUGAAACCAGUAUCACACAAUUGGCUAAUGCUGAGAAGGUUAUAGUUGAGUCCUUCCACUAGAGAAACAUUGCUUAUUGUGAGAUUUCCAAUUUUCACUGUUCCAAAUCCCACAAUGUUUCCUUUGCCGUUUCCUCCAAAAGAAACUUUUCCACCAUUCACUUGAAUAAGCUUUAUGAAGCAAUUUGAGUCUCCUGUCAUGUGUCUUGAACAUCCACUGUCAAGAUACCAUUUUACCUUUUUCUUGAUGGAGACCUGCAUUUAAAAGAGAGUCUCAAGCUUUCUUUGGUACCCAAAUUUUCUUGGGUCCUUUGGUGUUAGCAGAAUAAACAUUAUGAGGCCAUACUUUCUUAACAGGCUUCCAAACCAUAGGACAUUCUUUUUCAAAGUGAUCUUGACUGUUACACUUUGAACACCUUAGAGCAUUUCGACCUACAGACUUUGCAAAAACUUUCUUGAAAUGAUUUUUGUAAGCCUCUCUUGACGGUCUUUUCUUAAUCCUUUCUUUUACUUUAGGAAAAUCAAUCAAGGGAAUUGUUUCUGCUGUCAUACCUAGACCAGACUUAUUGAAGUAAGGUCUUUGAACUGAAAGAACUUUUUCAAGUUUUUCAGACCCUAUCGAAAAUUUCUUUGAAAUAUUUGAUAAGUCAGUUUUUAAAAAAGCAUUUUCUUUCAAAAGAUUAUCUUCUUUUUCUUUAAGAGUAGAAACAUUCAAGUCUAAACUUUUAACUUUUUCUUCUAAAAUGAUUUUCUUUUGUUUUAGAUCUGAGUUUUCCUUUUUAAGUUCGGAAAUUCUUUUGAGAGAAGUCUUAAGACUAAAACAUAGUUCAUCAAUGUAUUUAGAGACUUUGAUAGGAAUUUUAAAAUCACUUACCUCAAAUUCGCUGUCUGAGUCUGAUUCAGAAUCUGAGUCUGAGUCUGAAUGUGCCAUCAAACAUAUGUUGGCAUAUUCAUUAUCACUUUCUUCACACUCUGUAUCACUCCAGGUUUCGGCUUUGAGAGCUUUUCGAAACUUUUCAGCUUUUCCUCUUUUCUUCUUCAGAAGAGGACAGUUAGGUCUGAUGUGUCCCUUUUUCUUACAUUCGAAGCAGACUACAUCUUUGUUUGGUUCCUCAUCAUCAACAGACUUGGUCUGCUGUCUCUGGAAACUUUGUUUCUUUGAGUUGAACCUUCUACCUUUUCUAUUCAGUUUUCUGAAUCUUCUUAUCAUGAGAGCAAGCUCCUCGUCGUCCAUAUUAUCUUCAGAAUAUGUAUCAUCAGAAUCAUCAUUUGAUUUUAAUGCAAUAGAUUUCUUACCUCUUGGAUCUUCGUCUUCAUUAAUUCGUUCCACUUCAUAAGACUGAAGAGUUCCAAUCAGCUCGUCGACAGACAGUGGCAUAAUUCUUUGCGUCUCUCUUAUUGAAGUCUUUAUAUGAUUCCAAUCCUUGGAGAGUCCACGUAGUAGCUUGUUCACCUUCAUGGCAUCAGAAAUUUUUUAUCCUUGAUUCUCAAGACCAUUGACAAUAUCUGUAAAACGACUAAACAUGUCAGUUAUAGAUUCUCCUGGUUUCAUUUUGAAGGCUUCAUAUUGACUGAGGAGAAUGUUAAUUCUGGUCUCCUUCACUCGAUCUGUUCCUUCAUAGGUGAUAUGUAAUAUGUCCCAUACUUCUUUUGCUGUAACACAAGAAGAUAUUCUGUUAUAUUCAGUUGGUGACAAAGCACAAUAUAAAGAGUAAUUGCUUUUGCAUCGAGUGCUUGUCUCUUGUUUAUCUCUUCCUGAGUCAUUCCGCUGGUCUCAACAAUUUCUUUUCCUCUUUCAGAGACUGAUGCAGCAGUAGGAGUGAUUCCUCUUUCCACAACGUCCCAUUCCAGAGGAUCCUUUGAUCGUAGGAAAGCUUUCAUCUUGUUCUUCCAGAUGUUGUAAUCCUUUCCAUCAAAGUAGGGUGGUCUGGUAUUGCUUUGCCCUUCCACAAGCCCUGGUGCCAGCAUACUAGCCAUGGAUCUUUUACUCUGAAGUAAGACACUUCAAAUAAAGUAAGAACACGAGCUCUGAUACCAUUUGUAAUAUCCCGGGCCCCACUGUGUGAUAUUGUCCGCUUUGGACACUGAGUCCUCACGGCUUUAAAACGCGUCACACAGGUUAAGAGGGACCCAAGCCAUUAUAAAUUGGCCCAAGACUCUCUCCCUAGGCGAUGUGGGAUAGGGAACCCUUCCUUGCGCACGUCCGGGGACCGAGGCGCGGACGCACCGCCAUCCCUCCUCCCCGCGCACCGCCGCUCGGGCCGUCACACUCUCCCCCCUUGGGAGCACAGCGCCCUCGCUGUGGCCCCACACGCUGUCGGGAGUCAGCUCUGAUACCAAUUGAUAUAGCUAAUACGAGUACCUAAAGGGGGGUGAAUAGGUAUAUAAAAGAUUUUUCUUGAUGAUUGCACAAUACUUAGACAGUUGAAGGAUUUGCGACAAAUAAUAAUUAACGUAAGACUAAGUAAAGAAAAGAGAGAAUUGAACACGCGGUUUAUAGUGGUUCGGCUUGAUUCAAGCCUACGUCCACUCUUCUGCACUGACAGCCAAUUGGCUGGAUUUCACUAUGAACAAAGAGAUGUUACAACGUUGAUCUUCCUUGAUUUCUAGGUGUAGAUGCUCUACCACACUCGCUCAAGGUAUCACCAAGUAUAAACACUCUCUGUGUAUACAAUUUCGCUCAAACUGUAUCGACUAAUAAUCAAGGUGCUUCAGAUUCUGGAAUUUCUCUAUCAAUCACACUCUAUAAACAAUGAGAACGUCUUCCUUUUUAUACUCCUUUAUGCCAUCAUACCGUUGGCACUUACCAAAGGAUUUCCUCCAAUCUACCCGUUGGAUACAAUCAAGAUCUUGGUUUCCAAGAAUAGAACAUUCCAAGAAUAUUUCGUCGACCACCGGAUCUUCAAUUGAUCUAGAUACAAAUAAAAGAAUCCGAUAUAUAUUUAUCCAACCAAGAGAUCUUCUCCAGAGGAUAGGAUUAAAUCCUUAACCAUAAACUUUGGCUCUGGAUUUCUUUCGUCACUGGAUCAGAAAGGCUGUCAAUGAGAAUAGUCUUGAGUCUUGAGUGCUGAGUCUGGAGAUUAGAAAGUCUUCAGACUUUAAACCGACAGUCGGCAAAUAUCCAGACUAGACUGAUAGAAACGUUUUGUCAGCUUCAAAAUAUUCUGGAAAGAUUUCUCCAACAACCUGUCCCAAACUUCUUUGGUUGUUUUACAAGAAGAUAUUCUAUUAUACUCUAUAGGAGACAAUACACAAUAUAAAGAGUAAAUUACUUUUGCAUCAAUGGCUUGUCUCUUAGUUAUUUCUUCUUGAGUCAUCUCGCUAGCCACUACAACUUCUUUUCCCCUCUCUAAGACUGAUGUAGCUUUAGGAAUGAUUCAUUUUUCUACCACAUCCCAUUUCAGAGGGUCUUUUGAUCUUAGGAAUGUCUUCAUCUUGUUUUUACAUAUGUUGUAUUCAUUUUCAUCAAAAUAAGGUGGUCUAGUGUUGCUUUGGCCUUCAACCAAACCUGGAGCCAACAUACUAGCCAUGGAUCUUUAACUCAGAAGUAAAAACACUUCAAACAAAUGAGCACACGGGCUCUGAUACCAAUUGAUAGGGCUAGUACGAGCACUUAGAAAGGGGUGAAUAGGUGAUAAAAGAAAUUUUUGUGAAUUUUUAACAAAAUUAAUUUUUAAGCGUAACAAGUUGAAGGUGUAAAGAACUAAAAGCAGAAGUAUGAAGUUGCAAUUUUAAAGUAAGGAGAUAAGGGAAAGAGAAUUGAGAUACAAAGUUUAUAGUGGUUCAGACCAAGCCUAUGUCCACUCUCUCGCAUUGACAGCCCACCGGCUGGAUUCCACUAUGAAUCAAAAGAGAUUUUAUAGUCUCACGUCCUUGAUUUCACAGUGUAAAGACUCUACUACACUUCCUCAAGGUCUCACAAGUAUUUAAUCUCUCUUUUGAAUACAAGAAAAGCUCAAUAGUUGAGAUAGUGAAGAACUAGGAGCUUCAGACUUUGGAAUUUUUCUUUCACGCAUACACUCAAAUAACUUGAGCAUCCUCCUUAUAUACUCUUUCAUGCCUUCAUAACCGUUGGCACCUUCCAAAGGAGUUUUUCCAAUCAACCUGUUGGACAGAAUCAAUUAGGAAGAUCUCGAGUUAUUUAAGGAAUGUGAUGAUAGCCCACCAAUCCUGCUCGCCCAUAUAAUCAAGAUCUAGGUUUCCAUAAGUAGAACCUUCCAAGUAUACUUCGCCAAUCAACGCAUCUAACAUACUCGAAUUAAUUUUGAUACGAAUAAUAGAUCUUAAGGUGCAAUCUCUAGCCAUGAGAUCUUCUUCAACCGCAAGAACCAAAUCCCUAAAGAUAUACCCGCAUCUGGAUAAGUCUUCUUCAACGAAUAAUACUUUCCCUCGUCGGUCUAGAAUCUGUUAAUGAGGGCGGACUUUAAAUCUUGAGUCUGGAGGUCUUCAAAUUUUGACGAUAGAGGCUGCAAGUCUUUAGAUUAAACUGAUGGAAACGUUUUGUCAACUUCAAAACAGAUAAGGAAGUUUUCUCCAACAAUGAUGAGGUGGGUUUAGCAAAAGCAAAAUAGGGGUUCAUCAAAGGAAGUUGAAUUUUAGAGAUCUUAAUUUCAUCCUAAGAGAGAUUUCAUAGAGAUAGUCUAUCUUAGAAGCAUUGGAAACACGAAAAUCUAAAGGGGUUGAAAAAGAUGGAGAUGCAGCGAGAGAAAUAGGUGUGGAAAGACCGCUGUUGACACCUGAAAUUUUUUGUCGACAUUUUAAACAAAUAUUUUGCAAAAAUAUAAAAAAAAUGAAAAAAAAUGAUGAAAUGAGAAGAUAAAAAAAAUUAGAAAUAAGGAAAACGAAAAAAAGAAAAAAAGAGAGAAAAACAUAAAUAAAUAAAAAGAGAGAAAAGAAACAAAAAAGAAACAAAGAAAACAAAAAAAUAUAAAAGGGCUCACUUAUUUUUUUUUGGUGGGGGGAUUGGACGGAUCCAUUUUUCACUCUCUGGACAACCGUUUCUCUCUCUCUCCCACGCUCGCUCGAAAAUUCUUUGGGCUCUCGCUGCUAAACGGCUGAAUAGACUCUCUCGAUCGGGAUCUCUCCAGAAAUCUGUUCGGUUCAAAGGAUUUCGAUUGAUUAGAACCGACUGACGAGGAUCGACAGAGACGGUGGUGGCGACGGUGACGACAACGGCGACGGUGAUGACAACGACAGCGAUGGAUCACUCUUGGAAAUCAGACAUCGCUCAUUCAAUCGUCUCAAACAAUCGCCGGCCAAGGAGCGCAAGGUCUGAUGCUUGAUCCAAAGCUGACCAUCAAGGAUUGGUGACAUGAGUGACGACGCCCAUGGUUCCGUUCGCCGGAUCUAACUUGAUCCGAAACCGCCCGUUGAGGAUCGGUGGGUGAGGAUCGGCGACAAUCGCAACUACAACGACGCUUGACCGGUUUUUUUACUCUGGAUCGAGCUCACUCGAUCGGUGAGCUUUCUUUCUAUCCCUCUCGAUCAGUUAGGUUUCAAUUUCUGUUCUCUCUCUCAAUCCGUUUGAGUCUUGGAUUCUGACCUUCCCCUCUCUUGUUCGUUUUCUCUAGUAAUCACUCUCUCGGUUGGAUCUUACUCCCUCGUUACGAAUCACGCCCUUUCGGAGCUCGAGAUACAGUGGCUCAAGUCUGCGCCGAGUUGGAAGCCUUGGCUCAGCUCUCUGUCUCUGGCUCGAUCAGGUGAGGAAGAACAAGUUUAUCAAGAUUUUCCUGAUAAAUGUCGUUUGUUCAAGUGCUGUCAUUGUUGUCUUCGUUGUUGAUUGAUGGAUUUAGAGUAUCCGUUUAAGCUCUGUUUCGGAUUUGGUAUUGAGUUGAGUAGAUAUUUGAUUGAGCCGUGUUCUGUGCUGUGUAAUCAAGACAAAUGAUUGAUGUAUCGUACAGGGAUGGAAAUUGGUGUUGGAAUCGUUGCUUGUAUGCUUAGAUUUCUCUAUUAUAUCUCAUUUUCCCCUGUCCGUAUCACUCUGAUGUGUCAUCACUGUGUAUGUGGUGUGGCCAACGAUCAAGUGAGAGCUUGCCUCUUCAAAUGGAAGUUUACUGACAGUGGUUGACAAGGCUACAAUCAUUGACUAUGGACUCUCUGCAUUUAGUUGUUUUCAUUACUUGUGUUUCUUCUUUUCUGUCCGCCAUUUCACAUCUUUGUUAUUGAGCUGUUUCAAGGCCCUAUGUACAUGAAGGUGAGACUGUACAGCAUCCUAGGUUUAGAAUUCUUACAAACAAUUUUUUCAUGUUGAGUUGGAGAAGUAAGAAAAUGAGUUUUACUCUUAGUUUGUCUAUGAGUAGUAUUAAAGAGGGCAUGAGCCAUCAGUGAAGUUGUUUACUACUUAAGAGUGAUGGUAGUAUUCUUAACUGUUAUGCUACUAUGAUUUGUUGUUAUCAUGUUCGCUUUUAGUUGGUCAAAGGCAGGUCACGUGCAUUUGAUGUUUUCUGUUCAUUGCAAAUGCAAAUUUGAUUUUCCAUGACACACGCCAUAUAUGAAUAUCAGUAUGCUAUAAUUGCUCCUUAUGAUUGAAGCAUGUGGAAAAAAUAUUAUGUCAAGGAUAAGUCAAAUUUUACUGAAAAUCGAUCCAUGUAUGCUGACCAUGUUUUGAUAUCCCAUGAUUGGGUGUGCAUUUGAUUCCAACUUGAGGCUAGUUUGGUUAUGGAUUGAUGCCAUUUUGAUCAAGUAGACUCAUUCAUGCUUGUGAGAAAAUAUGGCUUCAAUUUCAUGGCAAUUUGUCAUCAAACAAUCACAAUUUGUAGUCUCGUAUGCUCUGUUACCAUUCCGAUUGCAUGCUGGAAGUUAUGGAUUAAAUAUAGAUUAGAUAAAUUCUGUCUUAGCUUGGUUCUGUUUUGCUGUGUUGCUGCUCUGUUCUUGUGUAGAUUGUUUUAGCCGAUUGAUAUAUCUUUGCUCUUGGAGUUUUUAGAAAAAAAAUAUGCAUGCUGAAUUUGAGAAUGUUGUCUUCUUAAAGCUGCUUGUGAUAUGCUGUUUUUUUUUUCUGUGGCUGACUGCUUUUAGUAUUGAAAUGGAAUAGUCGAUGUGUCGCGAUUUCGUAUGCCUGAUGUCACUUUCUGUUUUGGCUGAAAUGAGGUGCUAGAUGAGUAUAUAUUUUUUUUUACCUCGAGCCCUUCUAGACAUAAAAAGUACACUUCUAGAGCUUCGAUUUGAUAUGCCGUAUGCCCUGAAUGGAUGUUAUUUGGUUGCUCAAAAACACCUACAAAGUCUGUUGAUUCUGCAGUAGUUUUAGAUUGAUUUGCUGUUCUGACUUACUGCAAUUUUCUGUUUUAAUUGGAAUGAGCUGGUAGAUGAUGUUAUUAGAACUUAAUAUCUUCUGGAGAUUUAUAAUAGACUUCUCAAGCGUUCCAUAGACAUAUAAUAUGCUUGAUUUGGCAAUCGUUUGCCCUGUCAUAUGUUUGUUGCAAAAUAGAAGUCAAUGUCUUCAUGAAUUUUGCUCCUCAUAUCUGAAAGUCUACUGUUCCAGAAUGAUUUUUGUGUGUUCAUCGAUUUUUAUAAAAUUGUGUGUUCUCAAUCUGACAAUAAGGUCAUAUGGCUUGAAUGCUUGUCAUGUUAUACAUUUCACAUGUGAUUGUUAGAUGAAUGAUUUAGGUAUGACAUACAAUAAUGUUGAACCUUGGGGUAUUACCUAGAAUUCAACCUAUAGACUUUGUGACUUUGGUUACUCUUGAACACAAAAGAUGUCUUGUUUUUUUUAUUGUUUUUGAUAUGUGAUGAUUGUUUCUUUCAUUUGUAUGCAUCUAGUCAUCCAGAUGUCUUAGAUUAGGUUUAGAAUAGGAUCCUGAACAUGGAUAAAGCGUGAAGAUGGUGGAAGUCGAUGUCCAUUCUGACCAUUGUCAUGUACUAUUUGUUUUCCCGACAUAUGUCUCAGGUUCCAUACAUUGUAUAAAACCCGACAAGUUGCAGGUUUCCUUUCUUUCCCAAUUGUUUUCUUUUUUUUAUAUUUUUAGAAUUACAUGAUUAGGUUUAACUGAUUUUCUUGAUUGUUUACUUCAUGUCUUGCAAUUUCAUUUUCAUUGUUUGUUUUCCUUUCAUUUCUUAGGAAUAGAAUAGAAUGAAAGUAAUCCACCACUCAUGAUCAUUUAGUAUAGAAUUGACGAUCCUGAAAAUAUAAAAAGAAAUGCAUAGACAUGUUAGGAAAAACACAACAUACUGUUUAGGUACCGAAAGGGCGUUAAUAGCAAUAUUAGCGUAACCCAAGUCCCCGAACCUAGAUAUCUGGUUACAUAGGAAUCGAGGGAACACUCCCGACCCUUGAUUGGGUUUCUAGCCAACCCCUAAAAUGAGGCUAGUGGCGACUCCUGUCUAUUUUUUAGGUUGUUAUAAACAACUAGACUGCAUAAAUAAACCCGUUGUCACGCGGGGUACGAGCUUGGGAGAGCUCGCGAUCUCGUGAGGGAACUCUCAUGAUCAAGUACCCCUAAACCCGACCUUUCCCACCUUGGACAUUUCGAGGGCGGCGAGAUCGGGUCGCGACAACUGCUAACUGUUGAGUCAGCCGUGACCGUUGAGUCAUAAUCAAUUGGGACACAUGGAUGAUUGAAAUUGACACUCUGGAUUAUGGGACAAAAUUGUGUGGCAUGGUAUGGGACGUGUCAUAACGAUUUGGCCCUAUAAUCGGGACUCCUAUGAUUGAUUGAAAUAUGAGUGAGAUGUUUCAAUUGAUGUGUGCAUCUGUUAUAUGCAUUAGUUAUAUGAAUUGUACUGACGUGCAGGAAGGAACUAAGGCGAGGUGAGUCUUGUAUAAUGUGUGAUUAGACUGCCUCUAGGAGUAUGUCCUUCCUAACUGGGGUUUAGAGCGUGAACUCACUGAGACAUUGUUUCACCCCGUCUUGGGUUUAACUUUUCAGGUCCAUAGAUGGAGGUGAGGCCAGUUCGUUUUGGACAGCCACAGGGGUAUACAGAGUAGAGUACUAAUGUCCUUGUCCUCAAGAGUCCCUAGCUCCAUGAGCUCAUCGUGACCAAUAUCUUGGUUGAAAGGGCCUACCACAGUUAGUACCUCAUCGAUUCAGGACAUGGUUUCGCUAUGGGCCUAAUGGGGUCCAAGAAGGUCCCCUGCAGGGUUUCAACGUCCUCACCAUUACGGUCAACGCCGCUGCAGGCGAGGGAGUAGCUAACCCCCCUAAUGGUGUUGUAGUAGACCCGAAUCCCAAGUAGAUAGGGUCCGGGGUAGGGUUAGCUUGGCAGCUCUUUUGUUUUUGUGGGCCUCUGUGUAUAAACUUAGUUUGUUUAUAUAAGUGUGUUUGGUUUGAAAUCGUUGUCUUGCUUUUCUAUCACAUAUUUGUGUUGUCUGGGGAUUGUUUAUUAUACACUUCCGCAUGUGCAUAAAUAGUUGGGUCAGCGACGCGUCCUGGGACGUUGCAAUUUUAUCAACCACUGAGGGAUGUGCGCGCACUCAAGGGUCGGGGUGUGACAUCCCCUCCCAGAGUGGUGUCAGAGCUAGUCAGUAUUUGAAGUGAUAAGGUAUGAUGAGUUAUGGGAUAGUUAGUAGAAAAUGCCUUUUUAUUGUGCUAAUGUAUGUAUUUGAUAACUGAUAGGUAGCUUGUUUGUGUGGUCACUCAUUUUCUAAUUUUGUGUGGAAUUGGAAAGUAGGUUUUUGUAAAGAAUCUGCAUCAUGAGUGACCAAGAGCAGAGAACUCCUAGGAAUAGGGUAGUAGCCCCUGUGACUCGGGGUAUGACGCAGACAAGAGUCGGUACGUAAGGUGGCCAAGGUAGAGCGCAGGCUCAAGCUAGCGCAAGUGGGAUAGUGCCGCCGUCGGUUGGUGCUAGUGUAACAGCACCUGGCAAUCUUAGAAUUGAGGGGAUCGUUUAGGUGCUAGAGACGCUAGGCAACAUAGUAGGGCAGCAGGCUUAGAAUCAAGCUGCCGCCGCCACCGCUACAGCCACCACUACUACAGCUGCCACUACUGCUGCUAACAUUGCUGCUGCCAUAGCUAUUGUUGCACUUGCUGAGGCUCCACCUUGGAACGUAGUUGCUGAGAGAGCGAUGCACAAGCUUGUGGAACAGUUCCUGAAGUUGAACCCGCCGAGGUUCACCGGCGCAGGAGAUCCUGAGGCUGCAACUCUCUGGAUCCAAGACUUGGAGAAAACAUUUGUACUGCUGAUGUGCAUAGAGGAUGAGAAGGUUGUCCUUGCAGUGUAUCAAUUGCAGGGCAAUGCAAGUACUUGGUGGAGAGCCACCAGAGGGAGGGUGACCCUAGAAGGCGAGGUUCCGAUAUGGAACGCCUUUCUCGAAGCCUUUAAUGGCAAGUACUUCUCUGAUAGUGCAAGGGAGCAGAAGAUGGAGGAAUUCCAGCGUUUUCAUCAAGGUCUGAUGAUAGAGGACUAGUAUGAGGCCAAAUUUGUAGAGCUAUCACAAUACGCCCCUAGGCUGAUAAAGGAUCUAGCUAACAGAGUUAAGAGGUUCAGGAAUGGCCUCCGAUCGGAGUUGAAGAAUCCAUUGGUACCAUUCAACCUGAAGGAUUAUGAUGAUUUGUAUGAGCGAGCCCAGUUGAUAGAGAGGAAUCUGAGUGAGCAAGCUACUGCAUCUAGGUCGAGGUUCAGUUCGAAUAGAGAUGGUGAUAGUUUGGGAAGAAACCUAUGACCGGACGAAGGUACCCUAUCCCGCCUAACAGGAAGGAUGGGGUAAGCAAGUUAGCACCAAACUUUAGUGGAGUCUGUCGUUUUUGUGGGAGACGACAUAGAUCAGCCCUGUGUCGUUCUGCGAUGGAUGCUUGCUAUGGGUGUGGCCAGUAGGGCCACCAGGUCAGAGAUUGUCCUUGUAGACCGAUGGGACCGCAACAGUUGCCGCCGCCGCCACCAAUAAGACAGAACAGGGGAUACGAGUUGCAAAAUAUGCCUCAGGGUGGAUUGAACCGACCUCCAGCACAAGGAAGAAUGUACGCCAUCACUAGACGACAGGCAGAGGACUCGCCUGACGUGGUCACAGGUACGGUCUCGUUAAAUGGCCAUGUUACUUAUGCUUUAUUUGACCUUGGCGCUACUCAUUCAUUUAUAGUUGAGCAGUUCGUUAAGUUGGUAGGGUUGAGUCCUGAAUUGUCGAAGUCAGUGGUUAGUAUAUCUACAUCGUUAAAGGAUAAGGUGUUGUCUACGGUAGGCUGUCUUGAUUGUAAGUUAGUUAUUGGUGAGCGAGAUGGAAAGAUAGAUUUGAUAGUCCUAACUAUCUAUGAUUUUGAUGUGAUAAUUGGCAUGGAUUGGCUCACCAAGUAAAGAACUAAGAUGGACUGCUAACAUAAAGCGAUUUAGUUUAACCCGUUAGUGGGUGAAAGUUUCGAGUUUAUUGGAAGUCGAGGAGGACCCUCGAUUACCUUAAUCUCGUUGCUUGAGGCAACCCGUUUGUUAGACGGGGGUUAUCAAGGUUACUUGGCGAUUGUCGUGGAUACAACAGUUGAGGAGCUGAAGAUCGAGGACAUCGCUAUGAUACAGGAGUUUCCAGGCGUGUUUCCAAAGGAGUUACCUGGUAUGCCACCAGAGAGAGAGAGAUCGAGUUCGUGAUUGAGUUGGCCCCUGGAAUAGAGCCAAUCCCUAAGGCUCCUUACUGUAUGGCGUUGUCAAAGUUGAAAGAAUUGAAGGUGCAAAUGCAGGAGUUGUUAGAUAAGAGAUUCACACAUCCCAGUGCAUCACCCUGGGGAGCACCAAUUCUGUUCGUGAAGAAAAAAGAUGGUCCGUUGCAUCUUUGCAUCAAUUAUCGACAACUUAAUCAGAUGACGAUCAAGAACAAGUACUCACUGCUAAGGAUCGACAACUUGUUUGACCAAUUGUAGGGAGUGUCGAUAUUUUCUAAGAUCUACCUAAGGACGAGGUAUCAUGAAUUGAGGACUAGAAAGGAGGACAUACUGAAGACAGCGUUUCGUAUGCAAUACAGCCAUUAUGAGUUCACUGUAAUGCCGUUUGGUUUGACAAAUGCCUUAGCUGCUUUUAUGGAUCUGAUGAAUCGAGUCUUUAAGGAGUAUCUAGAUCAGUUUGUGAUCGUUUUCAUCGAUGAUAUCCUGUUGUACUCAAGAAGUCUAGAGAAGCACGAAAGGCGGUUGAGGACAGUGCUUCAGACUCUACAAGAUAAUGGAUUGUACGCUAAGUUCAGUAAGUGCGAGUUUUGGUUGACUCGUGUGGCUUUCCUAGGUCACGUGAUUUCAGGUGAAGAAAUCUCCAUGGACUCGACUAAGAUCUAAGCAAUUAUCAACUGGCCAAGACCGAUGACUGUGAUAGAGAUCAGAAGUUUCUUAGGUUUGGCAGGUUAUUACAGAAGGUUCGUGGAAGGAUUCUUAGCAUUAGCCUCACCUUUGACUCGACUGCUGAAGAAAUAAGAGAAGUUUGUGUGGACAGAUAAAUGCAAGCGUAGUUUCCAAGAGCUAAAGCAGAAGCUGACUACUGCAUCGGUGUUGACAAUUCCAUCUGGUCUUGGAGGAUACGAGAUCUAUAGUGAUGCGUCGUUUAGGGGACUAGGUUGCGUGUUAAUGCAGCAUGGUAGAGUUGUUGCAUACGUGUCCCGUCAGUUGAGACCUUAUGAGCUGAAUUACCUUAUGCAUGACUUAGAACUCAAAGCAAUUAUCUUAGCUCUGAAGAUUUAGAUACACUAUUUGUGCGAAGAAAGGUUCCAGAUCUUUAUAGAUCAUCAUAAGUAUUUAUUCUCUCAAAAUGAGUUGAAUAUGAGAUAGCGUCGUUGGAUGGAACUUCUUAAAGAUUAUGAUUGCAACAUCCUGUAUCAUCCUGGAAAAGCUAACAAGGUUGCAAAUGCGUUAAGUCGAAAGUCUUAUUGCGCGGAUGGUGAUCAAGGAGCGAAUCUUACUCGAAAGAGCUUGAGAUUUGGUUUUCAAAUUUGAGGUAGGCCACCUUUCAAAUCUUAUGGCCACCCUCAGAAUUGAGUAUGAAGUGUAGAUAUGGAUCAAGAUGCUUCAGUUGAUAGACCCAGAGAUCCAAAAGAUUUUGCAAGAGGAUGCAGACAAGAGAAAGGCUGAUUUCCAGAUUUUUGAAGACAGAACACUGAGGUUUCGUGGACAAUUGUGUGUACUUGAGGAUGCAAAACUUGAGGAGGAGAUUUUGUUAAAAGCUCAUUGUAGCAGUUAUAGCAUUCAACCAGAUAGUAUGAAUAUGUAUUAGAAUCUGUGUCAACACUUUUGGUGGACUGGUAUGAAGGCGGAUAUUGCCAAGCAUGUCGCAAAGUGUCUGACGUGUCAGCAAGUGAAGGAACAACACUGUAAGCCAGGAGGGCUUUUGCAACCUCUCAAGAUUCCCGAGUGGAAGUGGGAACACAUCAUAAUGCACUUUGUGAUGAGCUUACCAAGGAGUUAGAGAGGUAAUGAUUCUAUAUGGGUUGUGGUCGAUAGAUUUACGAAGUCUACUCACUUCAUAGCCAUAUGAAAAGGACUAUGCAUUGGACAUAUAUGCAGAACUGUACAAGCGUCAGAUAGUUCUCUGCAUGGAGUGCUAGUGACAAUUACAUUUGAUCAAGACCCGAAGUUCACGAAAACCUUCUGGAAAAGUUUACAGACUGCCUUGGGAACAAAGCUGCAAUAUAGUACGGCUUAUUAUCUACAAACGGAUGGCCAGUUUGAGGGGACAAUUCAAAUUCUCAAGGACAUAUUGAGAGCUUGUGUACUAGACUUCAAAGGAAGCUGGGAGGAAUAGCUCCAUCUUGUCGAGUUCACCUACAACAACUAUCAGCAGAGUAUUCAGAUGGAACCGUUUGAAACGCGGUAUGGCAAAGCUUGCAAAACUCUAGUUUGUUGGGAUGAAGUCGGAGAACGGAAGAUUACAGGCCCAAAGUUGGUUCAACAAUCAAUGGAUGUAGUUGCAGUUAUUAGGGAUAGAUUAAAGACCGCUCAGAGUUGUCAGAAAAGCUAUGCUGAUAAGCGUCGGAGACCAUUGGAAUUCUAAGUUGGUAAACAUGUCUUUCUGAAGGUGUCAUCGAUGAGGGAUACUUCGUGCUUUGGCAAGAAAAGGAAGCUAAGUCCGAGGUACGUUGGUCCCUUCAAGAUUUUGUAAAAAAUAGGGACUUUAGCGUAUCGUCUUGCGUUGCCGUCGAGACUAGCGCAAGUGCAUGACGUCUUCCAUGUGUUGAUGUUGUGAAAGUAUGAACCUAACCUGACCCAUGUGCUAAAUUAUGAAGAAUUAGACGUGAACGACAGAGUGUUGUACGUGGAGAGACCAGUCCAGAUUAUGGACCGGAAGGAGCAGGUUUGGUGCACCAAGAUGAUCCCGUUAAUCAAAGUGGUCUGGCAACACCACGGGAUAGAAAGAGCAACUUGGGAAAGUGAAGUGAAGACUUGAUGAGACGACAAUACCCCCAUCUUUUUGUUUAAGAUUUAUAAUGGUUAAAUUUCGAGGACGAAAUUUUUAUAAGAGGGGAAGAGUUGUGACAUCAUGAUUUUCAACCCUGUUUUAGAUGAAAUGAAAUGGGCUUUUCAUCGACACACCUAUGGUCUUUUUCUCUGAGUUGGCCACUCACAAGACAACAAGUAUAUCAGGUGAAACCAUUAAGGAAUCUAAACACAAUAAACUUUAGAAUUCGAUCAGAAAUUGACUGCUCAACUGUGCUAGUCUGCAAGGGUCAAUACGGCAUCGUCAAAAUCGAUCGGAGACCGGAGAUAGGUUGUUUUGAUAUAGGCAUAUGAUUAAAGUGUGGGUGAUUCCAUCUAAUUGCAAAAUUCUCGUCGAAUGCAUUAAACCGAUUUUUUUGUCAUUUCUAUAUCCUAUGCCCGUAUUUGAAACCUCUAGAUUUUCCCGACAACCGAGGGUUGCCAAUGAGUCAAAAAUGCACAACGUGGCUCGAAAAUAAUCGACCAUGGGUCAAAUGCACUAAAAAUUCCUAAAAGCUACCCGGUAAAUUAGGUUAUGCUAAAAUCACGUCCGGUUGAAAUUAACCAUGAAAUUAAACUCAAUUUCAGAAAUUGAAAAUUCUAUCUGUCACGAUUUAUUUUAGGAACGUUAACUCAUCUUUCAAAGAAUUUUCGGCAAGUCCAGAUUUUUGGCGAAAAAUCAAAAUUAGCAAAAUUUGGACCGGGAAAUUAAGAUGGCUUUUUUUGUGUGGAUUUUUUGCGUUAAAGUUGGACCAUUUGGUGAAGGAAAUUGUGGAAUGGAUGUGGAUGCCUUAGCUAGAACUUUUGGGUACCUAUUAGAUGGAAUUGUAGUGAAAUUGGAUUGAAUCUAAAGGGGAGAUGUCACAAAUUUGUAGCCAAGGGUGGGGUGCAACAUUUCAGCACCCUUCGAGACUUCUUGGAGAAGAUUUCGAGGGAUAAGGGCUGUUGGGUUGUGGCUAAGGCUCGUGGGGGCCAAGGGAUGAUGGUUUUGUGAUAUUUUUGAAGACUUUUGGGGCAUUUGCUUCCCCCUCCAACAGCAGAUCAUCUCCUUCUUCUUCCCUGCCUCACCAUUCCUCCAUUGUUGUUGAAUCAAGUGCAGAAAGCCAGCUAAGAACCAGCAACAGCCGUCAACCACCCCUCCUUAUCUUCCGAGGACCGUCGAGCAUCGCUCCAGCCUGCCGAAGCCGCGCACCUGUUCCCUUGCGCUCGCGCCAGCCAAUCGUGCGUCCACCAUCCCGAGCCGUCAACUAGGCCACCUGGAAGCCACGUCGCCAUCAUUCCAGCCACCAACCGUCAUCGUCAAGUCCCCUUCCGCCACUUGUUCAAGCUGCCGUGUCAUUUCCUCGCCGUUCCAGCCAAGUUGAGCUGCUCGUCCGGCUCUUCCAACCCAAGUUUAGAAUUGAAAUCCCAGCUAGGUGCUAAGACUUCGUGGGUUGUUUUGGGCCCCUUUCGAACCUCUCUUGGCGUCGCUCUAGGCUUGAGUCUUGCCUGCCUUGGCGUUGCCGUCAUUGUGAACUCACCGGCUCGCUAAUCCGAUGAGUUUACUCGCUAAACUGCUAGAGGUCAUGAUGCUUAAGUGGUGAUUAGAUUANNNNNNNNNNNNNNNNNNNNNNNNNNNNNNNNNNNNNNNNNNNNNNNNNNNNNNNNNNNNNNNNNNNNNNNNNNNNNNNNNNNNNNNNNNNNNNNNNNNNUAGAUUAGCAUUUUUAGGCUUAAUUAGGCAUUUAUUGAUUUAAUUUGCAUUUAUUUUAAUUACUUUUGCAAUUAAUUUAAUUAUUUAAUAUUUUCCGAAAAUUAUAUUGGGAUAGUCAGUAGCUGGAAUUUCGUGUUGAUUGUCGUGGUACAAUUAGUUUACGCAAUUAAAUGAUAAUUUGUGCAAUUGAGUGGUGAUUGUGAUUUUUGAUUAAUUAUUUCAAAAUUGUGAAAUUUUGGUAUUUAAUUAGAAAAUACCGGGUGUUGGGUUUUGACACCAAAAAUCUUUUUAAGUACUAUAUCAAACAAUGUGAUUUUUAAAAGUAAUGAUAUCAAUUUUUAAAGUUCGAUCUGAUUGUGUACCCACAACAAUUAUUUUACUGAAUGUUUUUAAUAUGAAGAAAAUAGACCAAGUUCAUUAUUUUAAUUGAGACAUUUGAGUGCAAUGCACGGUGUCCUUGGUCGGGAUUAAAUAAUCGUGUGAUGGCUAUGAGAAUCCUUCAUGAGCUUUUGAGUUAGACGAUGCUCCUUUGGGAAUAACCCAAGUCAAUGGAUGCCGAUUGCAGUGGAGGCUGGACCGAUGCUCCCUUGUGGAAUGCCAUCUAGAUGUAGACAUUACCGUGCUCGAUGGUGUGAGAUAACACCCGGCUAUGCCAGAAGACCGCUGAUUAUUGAGUUGGUCGUGGCCGUUGGGUUGUAAUUAAUUGGGAUGCAUGAAUGAUUGAAAUUGACGCACCGGAUUAUGGGACAAAAUUGUGUGGCACAGUAUGAGACAUGUUAUAACGAUUUAGCCCGACAAUCGGGACUCCUAUGAUUUAAUGAAAUAUAAGCGAGACAUUCCAAUUGAUGUGUGCAUCUGUUAUAUGCAUUAGUUAUAUGAACUGUAGUGACGUGUAGGAAGGAAUUGAGGCAAGGUGAGUCUUGUAUGAUGUGUGAUUAGACUACUUCUAGGCGUAUUUCCUUUCUAAUCAAGGUUUAGAGCGUGAACUUGCUGAAAUAUUGUCUCACCCCAUUGUGGGUUUAACUUUUCAAGUCCGUAGAUGGAGGUGAGGCCGGUUUGUUUUGGACAAUUGCGAGGGUAUACAGAGCAGAGUACUGAUGUCCCUGUCCCCGGGAGUCCCUAGCUCCAUGAGCUCAUCGUGACCACUAUCUUGGUCGAUGAGGGCCUACCACAAUUAGUACCUCAUCGAUUUAGGGUGUGGUUUUACCAUGGGCCUAAUCGGGUUUGGGAAGGUCCCUUGCAGGGUUUUGACGUCCCCGCCAUUGCGGUCAAUGUCGUUGCAGGCGAGGGAGUAGCUGACCCCCCUGACGGUGUCGUAGUAGACCCGGAUCCCAAAUAGAUAGGGUCCGGGGCAAAGUUAGCUUGGCUGCUCUUUUGUCUUUUUGGGCCUCUAUGUAUAAACUUAGUUUGUUUAUAUUAGCGUGUUUGGUUUGAAAUUGUUAUCCUACUUUUCUAUUACAUAUUUGUGUUGUCUAGGGAUUGUUUAUUAUAUGCUUCCAAAUGUGCAUAAUCGAUUGGGUUGGUGACGCGUCCUAGAACGUCGCAAUUUUAUCGACCACCGAGGGACGUACGUGCACUCGAGGUUCGAGGUGUAACAUGUGCUCAAUAAAUUUCAAUCACAAUUGGCCAAAUUGAUGCGUGAUUUUCACAUAUCAAAUGAGAUUCAAAUAUGACAUGCCAUACAUGAAUGUGAAGCUUGUCACACGUACUUCAAAUGUCGAGGAGACACCAAGGCAUGAUUUUCUUUUAAGGAGCCCAAAAAAAUGGGUUUAUAUAGGCUCGUGAUAAACCCCUAAUUCAACAUAACCAUCAUAGAACAUGAUCAAAAAAAAUUUUUAUAUGAUAUAAUGAUGUGCAAAAAUCUUAAGAAAAAUUCUAUAUGUAAAAUUCAACAUGAAAACAUGUUUCAUGAGACAUCUAAGCUUAAUUUGGCUCACACAAGCCUAUACAAAAAUGACAAAAAAAGAGAGUCAUGCAAUGAAGCAUGCAAAUCACAGAAGCACCAACAGGCUUUUGCGCAUGUGAUUAACAUGGUAAACGAUACUCAAUUCGUGCGAAUCAUACCUUGUUAGAAUAUUCAAAAUGUGUAUUACAAGUCUCAUGAAUGAUGCAACAUCAAAUGGACUCAUCUAAAGCCUUAAUUCCAAACAAACCUAAAUCGGACUUGGUGCAAGACAAACUAAUCCUAUGACAAAUUUCGGCGAUUUUACCUAACCAAAUCAAUUUCAAAAAAGCUAGAAAAAUAUAUGAUGUAUCAAGUCCAAUUUAGGUUAAUUUGUGAAAUCUAUCGAUUCUAUAGUAAUUUUCAGGUUAAUUUGUGAUUUUGAUUUGCUGCGAUUUUCUGUUUUAUUAUUUUUACAGUGAUUUUUUCGCAUGAAUUUUGGAAACAAAUUGACGUCCUCUUGAGGCAUGCAAUCUAUCAAAUCGAAGUUUGAGAAGUCUAGUUUCUGUCUAUAAGGACUUGAGGCCAUAAGAUAUCAUCUACUACCUCAAUUUAGCCAGAACAAAAAGUCACACCACAAAGAUACAAAAUUGCAGAUUAAGGCAAAUCAAGCUCAAUCAAUUUCAAAUUCAUUAUCAAUGAUCAUCAAAUCAUUGUAAAUCAUCCAAUGAAAUUCUAAAUCUCAUAUCUAAGCAUAAAUCGUAAACCUAGGGUUGAAUCAUAAACCCGAUUGGCUAAUCCAAUCUCACUUCAUUGGAUUUGAGAUUAGGAGCAUUACCUUUGUGAUUUUUGUUGAACUUUAAGUGUGAUCGAACCUCGAACUUCAAAGACAUGACCGGGCCUUUGUGGACUCGCUAAGGGCUUAGAUUUGCGGUUAGACCGCCGGUUUAGCAAUCUAGACAGAACCAGUCCAAGUCAGACUACCUUGAACCACCGGUGAAGAUUGGGCGAUUUGGAAGCCUUCAGUUGCUGCUUGGUUGGACUCUAGCUACCGAUGGCUCUUGGACAACCUAAAGAAACCCAUCACAAGUGGAUCACGUCCAAGCAAGCCCAGUUGAUCACCGAAACAAGCCACUCUUGCAGCGUUAAAGACCACCAGCCUUCGCGCCAGUGAUUGCUUCGAUCAAGAGAUCGAUUUGGAUGAGGCAGACGAACGGCUACCAAGGAUCCGAGCAAUCAGGAUAGGAGAGGAGGAAGAUCAAAGGAAGAUGUCAUGGCUGGGAUGUCGCCCACAGGGGCUCCAGCGAGCGGCAGUGAUUGCGGCAACCGACAAGUGUGUGUGAGAGAGACAGACAGACAGACAGAGAGGGAGAGAGAGAGAGAGAUAGAGAUAGAGACAGAGAAAUAGAGAGAUCGAGAGAGAGAGAGACAGAGACAGAGACAGAGACAGAGCUGGAGAGAGAAUUUUCUGCAAAUUUAACUUUGAAAAAUCAUAAAUGAUUCCCCUUUGAUUUUGGAGGGAAAAUCCUUUUAUACGUUUGACUAAUCGCCAAAUCUUGAUCGUCAGUUUGAUCUAAUUAUCAAAAUUUUGAUUUAAUGACCAAACUAAGCUCAUCAAGGGCUAAUCCGACUUAGAAUGUGUCUUAUGACUGAUCGAAUGGCUUUGAUUUGCAAAAAUCAGGGGUUAAAAUGGAAAUCGCAACUAGGGUCUAGUUAGGGGCGAAAUCAUAAAUUUACAAAAUUCAUGGAUCAUUUUGCAAAAUUUUCAAAAUGUAAGAACAUAAAGGCGAAAUACACAUGACAAGGAUCCAAGAGGCGGUCGCCGGCGAUCCAGAAUUGGCUGGCAAGGGGCCGAUAGGCCUGCCUCACUGGCUACCAAUUAGACUAGUCCAACCAGUUUACCCAGUUCGACCGGUUUUGGUUGGGUUGUCCUCGAGGAUUUAAAAAAAAAAAUACAAAGAGGAAACUUACCAAAUUUGAGAAGAAAUGAUCCAAUUCUAAUCAAAUUAGGCCAAUUAAACCAAAUGAAUGUAAUCUAUUGGUUUUUUAUUGACUUAAUUGAUUGAUUAUUGUGGAAAAUAGUGAACCUAGACCAUGGGUACACUUAAUUGAACAUUUAUAGGCCAAAACGGGAAAUUUUGCAAUUCCUUGAUCGAAAUUGCAAAUUAAUUGAAAUUGAAUUCAAUUAAUAUUGUGAAAUACCUAGUUCACUAAUUUCCCAUGCUGAGAAUAGUUUAUUGCAUCCAAAUUGACCUUAAAUUGACAUCAUGAGACUCAAGCCAAAAAUGAAUCGAGGUCUAAUAUCAAAAUUGGACUUCAAUUCAUGAAAUUAAACCUUAAUCUCGAAUAGAUCAACUUUAUUUCCUCGAUUGAAGGUCAAUAACUUGAUUUUCUCAUAUUCAAGAGAAUGAAAUUCUUCAAAUUGGGAAGUUCUCGAGUGAAUUUCUCAAAACGGACCUCAGAUUUGGACUUAUCUUAAAAAAAUAAGUGAAAUACAAGUGCUUGUUUGCAAAUCAUAAAGGAUUGAUUCAGACCAUUCGCCUUUUGACAUGAUGAUUCUCACAAUUGAGUGAACAAGUGAAUGAGAAAUAGUCCUUCGAUCAAAUGUCAUAAAAAGAACUAGACCUAAUUAUGACUAAAACAAAAGUAAAUUUAUUUUUGGUUGAUUUUGAACUUAAAAGUCGAAAAAAUCGGAAAACAAGGUUCUCAAUCAAUUUUCAAAAAAAAAAAAAUUGACACUAAAGUUAAAUUGACAAGUGUCUUGUGAUAAAUUUAUUUAUAUAUUUUAUUUUUCCUAAAAUGUUGAUUUUUUUAGUGAAAUCUUUGAAAAUUUUGAAAAUUAACUUGGCUAAAGUGAAAUUUAAAUCAUUUGACAUCUUUUUUUUAGAAAAAGUCAACUUUUGACUUGGGGUUGACCUUUGAUCAAAUGGUUGACUAAAAAGUCAAUCGUUUGACUUUUCAAUUUUUUUUGGAAAUGAAUAGAAAAUUACUUAAAAACGACAAAACAAAAGAAUGAAAUGAAAAGUCCCUUUUUUUUGUCAAGAAAUGGGAUCCAUCAUGAUCAAAAAUCCUAAUCUCGAUUUUUCUAUUUUUUUGACAUGUCGACUGAAAGUCAGGUAUCAAAGUUGCCCCUCUUUGAGUGGGAGUUUAGAGAGGUUCCAUUUGAAGACUAAUUGAUAUAUGCAAUUUUUAGUCGACUUCUCUUGGGGAAAAGAAAAUGAUAGGAAAUGAAAUUUGAUCAGGGAUAUACCUGGGCAUUUACCGUUGUUCAUUGUAAACAUGUGCGCUCAUGCUUGAGAUCUUUCUCUUCAUAUCUCUCAUUGGAUGGAACGAAGGAAAUGUAAUAAAUAUGGAAAAGGAAAGGUUUAAAGACAAGCCUGAGGAUAAGGUUCAAGAAUAAACUAGAACCUAAAAAUGAGGUUUAAAAAUGACCUAGAACCAAAAGAGACAAUGUUUAAGGUUUACCAGGAACCUAAGGGGACAAGGUUUAAGAUUUAUCAAGAACCUACAAUAUGAGAUUUAAGGUUGAUCAAGGACCUAAAUGACAAGGUUUAAGGUUUACCAAGAACCUAAGGGAUGGGGUUUAAGGUUUACCAAGAAUCUAAGGGACAAGGUUUAAGAUUGACCAAGAACCUUAUGAACAAAGGGGUAUGGUUUAGGAUGACCAAAACACAAAGACAAAGGAUAUGGUUUAGGAUGACCAAAAACAUAUCCAUUGGGGAAAUAUAUAUUUUGAAAAAGGAAUUCCAAGAUUUCUCAAAAGCUAAUAUGUGCAAUCAUUCAAACACGCCUUGGUAAAUGAUACAAAAUUGUCAAAUUCCUUAGGAAAGAAUUUUAACAAAAUGACGUUUGAUCAACCAUCUAAGGGUUAGAUCAAAUGUGCCAAAGUGGAAAUAACUUAAUCAAAAAGGUCUUUUGCAUUUGCUCUCAAUAAAGAUUUUUAUGUGGAAAAGCUAUUUAUUCUCAUUAAAAAGGUCUCACAUAACCUAUGGUGAAGGUUUUCAUAUACGUUUACAGUGAAUAUGAAUUCAUUGAUCAAAAGGUUUUUUGAAAGGACCGUAAUGUAGGCUUAGUCAUGGGUUUACACAAAGGAUAGUCACUUUGAGACCAAGAAAAGAACAAUCAUUCUAUAUAUUCAUCAGGUUUAUAAGUCAAGAACUUUGUAGAUAAAAUAAGAUAGAAUUGCUUUUACUCCUUCUAGCAAUAGCUCUUAUGUGAAAUUCCUACUUCAACUCAAACCAUCCCAAUCGAAAGAGACUUUAGAUAAAAGUUGUAAUGUUGGUUACGAUGAGGCUUAGAAGGCUUGAAAUUUUUAAGAUAUCAAGGGUAUUAAAGUGAAUGAAUAUGUUGGCAUCAUUACCAUCACACAACUUUCAUAAAGACAUGAUUUUUGAAAUUUGACCUAUAUCGAGAGUCCCUUUUGACUAUUUUGUUUUAAGACAUGAGAGCUUUGCUCUCUUUUCUAAUGGCAUAGCUUGCAAUACAUGCUUUGCAAAGCAUUUCUUUUGUUUCUUGUGUUAAUGGUCUUUUGCAUGACCAUUGAUCUUGUUUUUCUCGAUGAAUUUUUCAUAGGCAUUGGCCUUACUUUUACCAAGCACUAUUUCACCUGUCUCAUGGGCCUUUCUUACAAACUCACAGACCCAAUAGGAGGUCCUAUACUCAGACUCAUCAUUGUCGGAGUAAGCUCUUUCAUCCUCCAACGGGGAUGUAACAAGACCAACCUCAUCUUCUUCGUUGCCCCAUCUACUCGGGACAAUGUCUUUCAUAUUUACGAAAAAGCUCGGUGGAGGUGUGAACUUUAUCAUGAAGUUAUACUUGCUACUUGGUUGGCCAAGAGUAUCAACAAUUUUUUCUUUUUCGCAAGCUUUCUUAAUGAACUCACGAUCCAUGUGGGAAUUUUUAUACACAUCCUCACUCUCAGUAUCCGAGUCCUCUUCUUGGUAUAUUGGGGCUUUCCCUUUUAGGGCUCGACGAUCAUCAUCUCGAGAAUUAUUCUCGUUCAAGUCUUCAACUUUUCUUAUGACCCUUGAAAUCAUAUUCUUAUCGGACAAAUCAAACUCGACUAAAGUUAUUGGCUCUGAGUUGCUCCAUCAUCUUCGUAUUGGAUUACAUCGGACUCGGCCAACUUGGCAAGCUAUCUUCUCAUCGUGGGAGAUAUCAUCGCCUUUUAUUUGAUGAUUAGCAAAGGCCAUGAUUUGACUCAGCUUGGGAGUAUCAACAAGGAAAGGAUCCUUGUAUUCAUCCCCAAAGAUCACAUAAUGGCCUCAGCAUGCUUCGGGAGUGAAUAUUACGAGUCCUUGAAGGUUAGCAAAUUUUUAUCCAGUAGAUUCUGAAUCUUUGAUUGAAGAACGUAAUAGUUGUCAACAUUGUGACCAUUUUCUUACAUGUGAUAUUCACAAGUCUUAUUGAGGUCAAAGCCAAGGAACUUCGAUGGAUUGUCCCUCAGGACUUCUCUUGCUACCAGUCAGUUUUCAAUCAACAUGGGGAGUAACUGAGACAUCGAUCUUGGUAGAGGUGUGAAUUGUCUUUGCGGGGUCUUCCCCUGGUGAUCAAAACUUCGGGAAGAGCUCCUAGCUUCCAUGGCGGGCUUAUGAGAGGGAAGAGCUUAUGGCUUUUGAACAGAUGUAUUUUGAAUAUAAGCGAUCUCUACAAUGGGCUCCUUAUCCUUCUUUGGAGCAAACCUACAAACUAUCAUUUCAAACAGUCUUCCAUCUCGCAUGAUUUCCUCUAUACGUUCCCCCAAUUCAACCAUUGCAGGGAAGUUAAUUCAAAUAUUAUUGUACAUAUUCUCAAAGAAAUCUCGAGGCAACUCUCGAAGGAACAACUACAUAGUUUCCUUUUCAGAUAAAGGAGGCUUAACUUGAGACACGGCGACUCUCCAUCUCUAGGUGUACGCUCUAAAUAUUUGUCCUCCUUUUUAUCAACUCGGACCAAAUCCUCAGGAGUUGGAGCGAUUUCAGUAUUAUACUUGUAUUGUUGUAGAAAUUCAUCUACCAAAUCCUCCUAGCUAUAUAUCUUCUCUAAAUCCAGCUCAAUAAACCAGGUUAAGGUGGGACCUAUCAAGCUAUCUUGAAAAGAAUUAAUCAAUAGUGGAGAGUUGUCAGACUAAUGGGUUAUCUUGCCCAAAUAGUACUUGAGAUGGGUCUUUGGACACCCAGUUCCAUCAUACUUCCUUAUGACCGUAGGUCUUUAUAGAAUUCUGGGACUUUCACCUUAGCAAAGGGUGACAACUUGUUGAACCCUUGUAGUUGAUAGCCUUGCAGCUUGCACAGGCGUUCCUUGAUCUUCGCAAGGCGUCUUGCACUUUCUUCGUCAAGGUGAGAAUAGGAGUUUCCUUGGGUGGAGCCUCCAAGUCUAUAACGGUUGGGGUAAUAGUAGGAACUUCUUCAACAUAUCAUUUCUCUAUGGGAUCAACCACUAGCGUGUCAACAAGCGUGAUGGAAACAGUCGUCACAGCAGCGGGAGCUACAGGGUAAGAUUUUUGACUUGGUUGGAAAGAUCGAUCAGUAGCACCAUCAUUUGUGCCAUUUGGUUCUCCAUAGUGAUGAUACGAAUUCGUUCACCAUCCUCGCUUGAUGAUGGGUGCGUAUAAUAAAAUACUUCUUAGCCGUGUUUUAUUACCUAUGCGAAAGAAGGAACUCAAAUCAGCAUGUGAUUAAAGAAAUUAGGAAAGUAUGAACCUUGUUAAUUUUAUAUUUUCUUGAGAUGAAAUAGUGAUAAGAAGCAUAUAUGACCCCAGUAUUAUAUAACGUCAUCUUAUCAAAAUUUCUUCAAAAGAAAUUAUAUAAUUGAAAAGGAUGACAAUGAAUAUUUAAUCCAAAUACCCAUUUUCUAAAAGUCACAUCAAAAGGCAAUUCUAUGAACUUUCAUUGAUUACAUCAAACAAUUACAAGGUAAACAAAACCUUAGAUAUCAAAACUUACAAAGCAAUUAAACUUGCAAGUAAUACAAAUGUGAAUAUAGAAAAAUUUCGAUUACAACGAAACGAGGAAAAUACAAAGAAUCUUCCUCUACAAGGACAGGGAAAUACAUGAAAGGAUUUCUAGUAAAAAUCCUAAGAACUCAAUAAGACCGUAUGGAGAUGCCUGUUAUCAUGGGUCAAGCGUUCCACAUUGGUCAAGGCUUCGUCUUCAUGCUCCAUUACAUGAACUUGCUGAAAUUAUUGAGGUUUGGGAAUAUCAGGCAAUUCGACCUUGAACUCAAGUUCUACUUAACAAUAGAUAAGUUGAUCGUCGCAUGGUGUGUCCUCAUUUCCCCCUCUAAGUCAAAUUUGUCAACAGCAACUACAUGAUGUGACAUGUGGGGAUACCAUGUCUCGACAGUAGCUCGAAUUAUGGCUUCAAUGUGGCUAUUUGGUCCUCCACAAUGACCUCAUUGUGAUAAUCAAUAUGGUACAACCUCAACUUAAGAAUUGGUGGGAUUAUUUGAAGCGCGCAAUAUUGACGGAGCACCCUCAAAGGAUAAUACGACAUUAGACCAGUCAAUCCCAUAAGAGGGAGUGAGUCAUGUACUUCGCUAAUAAGGCGCACCUCGAGAUUCCCUAGCCAUCGGACUUGCCAUUGGAUUAGGCUCAUAUUGAGUCUUUUAAGGAAAUGCAACCAUAUAGAGAAGGACCACAACAGCCACACUGGAAAGAAAUUAUUCUUUCCAUGGAACAUGAGAAUGGGAUGGUAGUUUUUCGUGAUAUAGAUUAUCAUCAUGCGAGGAGCAAACUCUUUAAUGUAAGCAAUAAGCCAAAUUUGGACAUGACCUAUUGGGGCUAUAAGAGUUCCUCGUCUAUUUACUUUGAAUCAAUUGAGGGAUACAAAAGUCUUAGUGAGGCUCAUGCAUGCAAAGUGACUAAAGGCACACGCUUGACUAACAACAUGGGUAACUAAGGGCGCGUAUGGCAAAAUUUUGGAACAAAAAUCAAUUUCUAGCCAGAAAUUGAUUUUUCAAUUUCUAUUCCAAGGAUGAGUUUAUGAGUAAAGAAACGUGUUUGAUAACGAUUCAAAAGUUCUAUUUCUGAAACAAAAAUUCGUUUGAUAACAGAACAAAGUUUCUAUUUCUAGGAGUGGCAACGGCCGGCAUCUAGUGGCCGAAGUCCAAUGUUCGGCGACCGAAGUUCAGCGUCUGGUGACUAGCGGUGGGCGACCGAAGUCCGAAGUCUGGUGCCAAGUCCGGUGAUCGACGAGGGGUGGCUAAAGUCCGGGGUCCGGUAAUCGGCAACCAACAUCCAACGUACGGAGUUCGACAUCUGACGUUCGACAUUCGGAGUCCAGCGAUAGGAGGCCAGCGGUGGGUGGCAGGCGACCGACAUCUGGCAGCUGGUGGCGAGCGGCAAAUGGUCGCCGACGAACAUCCGGUUGUUGGUGAUGAGCCUCCGACAUCCAAUGAUUGGCGAUGAGCAGCUAACGACCAGUGGGCAUCCGGAAUCUGGUGACCGGUGGUUGGUGAUGGGCGGCCGGAGUGUGGUGGCUGGCAGCCGACAUCCAAUGUGUGGCAUCCUAGAAUUUCAUGUCAAUCCUUAGAUGUGCUUCGAUCCAUGAUUUGUAAUAAGAUUAAGGCCAAGCUUUUAGUGGAUAAUUAUUUGAUAGAAAAUAAAAUUCUAUUCUUGGCUAUGUGUUUUAUAGGUUGGAAUUUAUAAUUUAUGUUGCAAGUUUUAUGGUUAUAUAAAUUUGAAUUAGGUAUAUAUUUGAGUGGGGGUUUAGAGUGGAGUAUUAAAAGAGGAAGUGGGCCAAAAUUUUUAGGCCAAGACCAGCCCUCAAGACCCCACCAUUCGGCCAUUUAGGCCUGGCCUGCAAAGCCCAAAGGAAAGGAGCUGCCAUUCGAUUAGCCCAAGGAGCCCAAUGGGCUGUCAACCAAGGGGAGAGGCUAGCCCAAUUAGCCCAUCAACCUGCAUGGCAAAAUAAACAAGUGGCAAGAGAAGCUUGCCAAGUGUCUUUCCCCUAGAGCCAAGUGGCAUUAGCCAUGCAAACCAAAUGAUUGCAAAUGAUGAAGGGGAGAGAAAGAGAGGGAGAGUGGGCGGAUUGAGAGAGAGGGUUACCGAGAGAGAGACAGUGAAAUCAAGAGAGGGAGAGUGAGUGUGCGAGGAAGAAGGAGGAGGUUCGUCGCCGUUGUUGAGCCGCCGAGUCCCGCCGUCGAGCCGCCAUUUGCUUGCUGUGUUUUGCUUGGAUUAGAGGCAAGUAGAGUCCAUUGAUCUAUCCCUUGCUUGCUGUGUUUUGUGUGUUAUGAACGGUGAAUUUCGGAUGUGGAUGAAGUGUGAAAUUUCGAAGUUAUAGGAGUUGUGUUCUAGCCUAGUAUUCUGUUUCUGGAAAAACAAUUUGACCUUCGAUGAUUUCGUGAGUUGCAUGCAAUGUUCUAGUUGGAAUCUUGAUGUGGACAUCGAGCCAUAUCGAGGAGGAGGUGCUAGGGACCCAUUAUCUAUUCCUAUUGGUUCGAUUACUCGAGCACGGGCCAAACAAUUCAGGCAAGCUGUUGGCGUCAUGGUUCAUGAUCUUUGGCGUGAAGAUGACCUUGAAUCAAAUCUUGAAGAAUCUUGGAAAUCUUGGUGCAAUUUAAUUUUCUUGUCACCAAAUAAUUGACCAAGUCAAUUUUUAUAUAUUCUUGUUUAAGAAUAUUCUAAAAUAGGAAUAUUUUAGAAUAUAACGCAUUAGAUUUUUAGGGUUGGUUUUUAGGGUUUGUGUGACAGUCUAUAUAAAGGAUUUGCCAAAUUUCUUUGGGGACAGAUAUAUUUUAUUUUUGAGGAAAAGAAUUGAGAGAUUCUUUUUUUAUUGUUCUUUUGAGGACUUGACCUAAUCAAGAUUCUCUUGUGGCGGUCAAUUUGACUUAUCGAGCUAGAUAGCGAAUUCUUUCACUCGUGGCGUUUAUAACGUUGGUUGGUUGACACGUGUUCGUCAACAGGUCACGUUCAUACCGAGGUUGCCAAUCACAGGUUUGAUUGGAGGUCGAGGUUUGCAAUUCGCACCAUCUGGGCCUUCGUAGAACGAUCCUUCCACAACGAUUCACAUCAAAUCUGACUUCGACUUCUUGAUGAAAGUUAUAGAGGACUUCUUGAAGAUUAACAUACUAAAAAUUGAGAUGAAACGGACAAUUAUUGUUGGUGAAAUGAUUUUCCUUUUAAGAAACUAGAUCUGGAAACUGUUAUGUCAACCUUUGGUGAUUUCGUGAGUUGCAUGCAAUUUUCUAGUUGGAAUAUGACUUCGACUUCUUGAUGAAAGUUGUAAAGGACCUCUUGGAGAAUAACGUAUAAAAAUUUGAAAGGAAACGGACAAGUAUAGGUCAAUGAAACUAUUUUUCUUUGAUGAAGCAAGAUUUGGAAACUGUUAUGUUGAUCUGUUGUGAUUCCAUGAAUUUUGUGAAAUUAUCCAGUCCGAAUUUGAUCUUGUGUUCAUGAUUAGAGUUGUAGAAGACAUCGUGAAGAGCAACAUACUAAAAUUUGAGGAUAAACGGACAAGUAAUGAUCGAGGAAAACAAUUUUCUUUGAAAAAGAUGAAUCUGGACAGUAAACCGAGAGAUAGGAAGAGUUAUAAAAAUUAUAGCUUUUAAUCCAGAAGGAAUUAAAUUUCUAUUUCUGUAUGAGAAUUUUACCUUUAGAUCUCAGCUAUAACAUAUCAAAAUCUCAGAAUUUUCAGAGUUCAUUUAGGGGCUUAAUCGAAAUUAUUUCCGAAUUUGUGUAAAAGUGGUGCUGGAAUUUCUUUUGUUGUGAUGUAUGGAUCUAUGUAUUGAUGUGGAACUUUUUUGACAUGGUGUUCUUCAUGAAAUAUCUUCAUCUGGAUCUUUUUUACAUCAUGUUAAAUUCUCAAAAUUUAUUGAGAUUUUUUACUAAUUUUCCAAUAGUUUUCACUAAAGAAGUGCAUUCUGUUUUAUUCGAAAAUUGGUUCUAGUUUCAAAAACCAAUGAACUUCUUUAUGAAAUGUGAUAUCGUGGAUCUUAUGCGUACUGCAUAUAUGGUGAUGUUUGGCAUAUCAUGUGACAUCAAAAGAUGGUUUAGAUCUUUGAUAUUGUUGCAUCUAAUGCCAUGAUGAAAAUGAGACAUAAAUGAGAUUAUAUAUUGUGAUAAUAAAGAGACCGUCGGAGGUGUGAGCUGACGAUGCCCCGGGAGUGUUGAGAUGCCCGGAGUGUGUGUGCCGAAAUCCCUGGAGGUGUGUGCCUAGGGGAUUCCUCAUGAUGCUAGUUGGGAUACGAGAUGCCCAAAUGUUCGAAUGAGUCAAUGCCCUUUGGAUGCCUGGUUGUAUUAUGAUACAUGCCCGAAAGGUAAGGGGUUGUAUUAUGAUAUAUGCCCAGAGGUUCCUCGUGACGUCAAGUUGGGUGCGAGCGAUAAAUUGUGAGAUGCAAACAUUGGUCCCUGGAUGAAAAAUGAUGAGAUCCUUAUGAAAGAUAAGAAUUGAAAUUGAAUCAUGUGCAUGGGUGUAUGCAUAUGGCAUGAUGCAUGAUUUGCUUAUGAAAAUAAAAUUGAUGCUAUUUGAUAUUGAAAAUGCGAUCAUGAAGGCGUGAAUGGAUCUCAUGGUAAUGUAUGCUUGAUAGCAUGGAUGAUACGAAUCAUGGUGAUAUAUGCACGAUGGCAUGGUGAGAUAUGCAUGACUGCAUGGUGGUAUAUGCACGAUGGCAUGGCAAGAUAUGCAUGACUACAUGGUAAUAUAUGCACGACUGCAUGGUGAUGUAUGCUUGAUAGCAUGAAUGAUAUGUGCUUUACUCGUGAUAUCUUGAUUGUCUUGCUUGUUACAUUGUGUAGUUUGGUGGAUCUUUACUGCUGAGUGGUUGUACUCACCCAUUUUGGGGACUAACAUUUCAGACUAGAUAAGAUACCUCUGCUGCCACUGCCACCGGUAGAUGGAUCAAGUGGUUGGAUAUGACCGCGAGGAGGAGAAUAGCAAAGGAAGGAACUUUUGAACGUCGACACUAAUCAAUGGACUUUAAGUAUACGACUAUUGGAGGAGAUGUCGAUCAUCUUUUGAAGUAUAGCCGAGUAUAGAAGACUAUGGAAUUUUGAUGUACCGAUGAAUGAUGUCCAUCUGGUUUAAGUAAAUAAAAGUGUUUGGCUUUUACCUAUAAAUGUUUAGUGGGUGUGCAUCGUUUUCUGAAUAUAGGGAAGGGAGUUGAUGGAUGUGCUUCCGCCAUAUUUUUGCGCAGGGAUCUAUGGAAAUAUAUAUAAACCCCUAGGACUUAUAGACUUAUUAUAUCUCUUUGGUAUUAGAGUGAUAUAUUAUCAGGUCAAGUAAAAGGUAAGUGAACAGUGGCGACCCUAAUGGUUCGGGGGCCGUCGAGGGGUGCCACACGGUGGCUGACGAUCGGCGACUAGUGGCUGGGGUCGGUGGCAGGUGGCUGGCAACUGGCAGCAGGCGUACGGCAUCCCACGAGCGGCAAGUGGACGACAGGCAAUGACAAGAGUGAACGAUGAGAAAAAUUUUGAUUUCUUAGUUCCAAAAAUAGAAAAGCUAAAAAUUUUAACUUUUGAUUUCUACUCCAAAUCUAUUUCUGGAAUAGAAAUCUAUUCCAAAAAUAGAAAAUUGAAAUUGCAUUACCAAACGGAUUUCUGUUCCAAACCUGUUCCGGGAAACAAAAAAAUAGAGAAAUAGAGAAACAUAAAUUUUGUUAUACGCACCCUAAGGGAUCCAUUGUUUUUUGAGCAUGUGGAAAUAUCACAAAACCAAAUGAUAUAAUAAGAAAGGUACGAGGAAUUUGAUUUCUAGACUUAGGCUCAAGAAUAAGAAGAUGUUGCUCAAGGAAAGUAGCUCAAGGAAAGUAUAAGUCAUGGAAUUUGAAUUUUCCUUAUCAUAGGGAAUGUUUAGGAAUUGACUCAAAAGAGAGAUUGGAUUUUGGCCAAUAGGAGGAAUGGCAAAACCUUGGGAAACCUUACCUAACCUAAUGACUAUCUCAAACUUUUCAAUUGUAGGGGUCAAAAUGUAUUGAUUGAACACGAAGAUAGAAGUCACAGGGUUCCAAAAGUGGACCAGCGCUUUCACCACGACAAUUUGGGGUUCGACCUUCAGUAGCACUUCUCCACAUAGUCUUGAUGCUUCGGGUCGAGGUUAUCCUAUAUAACCUUGAGACUUUUCGGCACGGGAAUAACGUUGAUCUUGGGCUUGCCCAUCUAAAUCCUAAAUCCAAAAGGGCAUUCAAGAUUAAAAACUCAUCGUCGUUGGAAAUACAAAGUAUGGAAUUGAAAUCCAGAAAUUAGAAAUAAUAACAAUAAUAAAAUGGGAAUGAUGUCUUACCAACCAAAACCAUGGCAAGCACAACCACACAUCGCAUGAGGACUUGUGAGGUUUUGACGCCUAAGGGUGAGGACGCUAAAGGCUCCAGGUCCCCAUCCCGAAAGAUAAAAGUAGUUUUCUCACCACUACUAUCGUCAACUAGUGCAAAUUUUAUCAAUUGAGAUGAGUAGAUAUAUGGAAGUAUAGAUUACCACGAGUGUUUACUAGCAGUUUCCACCCCCACAAACCCUCCUAAAGGUUCUAAAUUGGGCAAUCGGGGUUUUAGACCGCGAUUAUGUGUGUGAUGUAGUGCUAAAACUUUCAAAUAUGCAUUUAAGUUUAAACAACCAGCACUUCAAUAUAACCAAUCAUUCAUUCAUAUGUCCUUUCGCCACUUGCAAGACAAGGGGUUUACACUCACUUCACUCCUUAUGCCUUCCACCAACAAGACCAUUUAACACAUGGUUAGUGACUUACCUCUUUUUUCACGCGACUUUUAUAUGUAGACAGCCCUACCAUAAGACAUGCUAUUUAACACGACAACUAUUUUAAACAACUUCCAGUCCUCUUAACUAGUAACUAGUCUCUAGUGGAGUCGUCAAGCUUGUCACGACCCGACCUUGCACGCUAUGAAGAAGAGAGGUCGGGUUUAGGAGUACCUAGCCAUGAGAGUUCUCUCACAGUUCAUAUUCCAAAAGACAUCAUCACCUUGUCUUAUGGGACGAACCCUUGUGAGUUCCCUCAUUCACAGUCGCGAGCUCUCCCAAACUUGUAAGUCCUGUGACAGCGGAAUGUGUCAUGAUUCGUACCUACACGAACGACACACCUAAAAAAAAAGAGAGAGAUUGAAAUUUAGGGCCAUCUUUACCAUAGUAUCCCACCUCAUAGUACUCGCUCUCCAUGGAUGGCAUCAUUUCAUCCAUUAGGAACUUUUCACAGUGGGUAUGCCCUCACGAUGGGUUUAUUUUAUUAUCUAAUUGUUUAGAAAGUACUAAGAUGGGAGUUAUCACUAAUUUCAUUUUUGGAAGUCGGCUAGAAAACCUAAACGAGGGUCGGGAGUUAUCCCUCGAUUUCUACGCAACUAGAGAUUCUUGAUUUGGAAACUUGAGUUACGCUAAUAUUUCUAUUAGCGCCCUUUUAAUACUUAACAGUUUGUCGUGUCUCCUAAAGUGAUCAUGCAUUUCUUUUUACUUUUUAGGGCUGAUUACACUAAUUAAGUGAUCAUGCGCGGAUGGUUGGUUUCACGCAAUUCUAUUUCUAUGAAAGAUAAAAGAAGGCGCGCAAUUGAAAUUCAAAGAUAGAGCGAUAAGUAAACAAUCAAGUUGGCAGUUUAAGGAAAUUGGUAAAUCUAACAUGUAACCCUAAACAACAAAGGAAAUAAAAUGAAAAAAAAAAAAACCCGCAACUCUUCUGGUGUUUAUACAUCACAAGACAACCCAAAACAUAUAUCGAGGACAAAUGGUACAAAAAUACGGUUGAAGCGGACAUCGACUUUCCAUCCUAUUCGAGUCUCGAGGGACCUCCACCUUCAAAGACCUAAUCUAAUCCUAAACUAAAAGUAGGGCUAGGUGCAUACAAUAGGAAAGAAACAAUCAUUCAUGACAAAAACAAUCACAAGCCAAUCAAGAAUAAUCAAGCAAUUGAAAUCAUAUGCAAAAGUAGACAUAUUGAGUCUCGAGGUCAACCUUUGCAAUUUAUGCAUCUAUAACAUCCUCAAUUUCAACCCUUAUUUUAGCCUUAACUAGUAGGCCAAUGACCAGAACACCAAUGGCAAAACUAGGCCAUGACCCAGCAUAAAGGCCGGUCAUGAGUCAAAUUGGCCUAAUCGAGACUUAGCAACCAAAGGUCUGGAUAUGGAGUGUUCAACCAUGGGAGGGUUAUUUGACCAAAAAGAUUAGCCAUGGGAUGAUCACGUACCAUCAUGAAUCGGUGGAUAGUCAUGACUCGAUUUCGAUUGGUCAAUGUACUGAUUGCAAGUGAUUCCACCUAGUCAUUUUAACAGCCAUGAUGACCAUGAAUCAAUGUAAGACGACCGUGAAUCAAAACGAAUCGAUCAAUCCCACAUGAUUAUAUGACAACCAAUAAUCGACCAUGGAUCGAAUAAACUCAACAUGGUUCAAUUUUGGACUAACUAAGACUUGUGGUGCAUGACUUUAUACUGGUCACUGGAUCGGCUAUGAGACUAGUUGACUGGCUUAGUGAUUGACCACGGGACUGGCCAAACAAAAUUGACCCACAGACUAGCCCACAAAUUGGUUAGAGGACUGAUCGGUUGGGCUAGGACCUAGCCAAUAAACCUACAUGCAACCCCUUUUCUCGAUAAAAGGGAGCUCAAGUUCGGUUUGGUCAAUCGAGCCUGGUUGCAUUUGACUCCGUUUGGGCAUGGCUUAAGCACGAACCACGAGCCAAAUAAAGUGGCCAAUCAUGGUCAAACUCAACUAAUUUCCACCUAAUGACAAGCCAUCACAAAUUUAGAUAUUUUUCCAAGUUGCAUUUAAUAUAUCCGUCACUUAGUAAUGGACACUUGGCACGUUGGGGCUUUACCUUGGAAAAUAAUAUUAGCCUUGAACUUAGAACCAUUAAUGAAAAGGACAUUUAGGCAUGGGACUAGUAAAAUCUUCUUGAAAAACAAGUGUAAACAAAUGUGAACAAAUAUGAACAUAUUAAAUGGAGUGUGGAAUAGGUGUCCCUAUAGCCUAAGCCUAAUCAUACCCUAAUGACUAAGUGUGAAACAUGGAUUUUGCAGCCCACAAGGAAGGGCCACAUGCCAAAGAGAGAGAGAGAGAGAAGCAAAGUGAAGUCCAAACUUUGAACUAAAGAUAAGCAUAAGCCCACAUUAAUAUCUCUUGGACUUUAGCCAUUCGAUGACCAAGAAGAAGUGUCCAAGCUAACUUAGAACUUAAUUGGAAACUUGGAAGAUAAGAUUUUCCAACCAUCAGUGAUCCUUGACUCAAGACCAAGUGGGGCACCUCCUCUUUCCAAUUGGAUUUGCCGCCUUUGAUUUUUCAAAAUUGUUGGACCUUCACUGUUUGUCAAUUUUACAGAACUUUUUAUGAUUUGAAUUUGAAGAAACUUCCUUCAUAAAAUUUGGUCAAAACAUCUUGGUCUACAAUAUACUUAAAUUUCAGAUUUUUUUGAGGUGAAAUGGUUAGGGUGAAGGCCUAAUCAUUUACCAUCUAGAACCUGCCUAGUGUAGUAAAAAUAGUGACCAGGUUGCAUUCUUGAAUUUUUACAAAUUCCUUUCGAAUUUAGAAUUCUUCCUGCACAAAAAAUUUAAAGGAUAUCCUUAUCUACAACAUAUAAAAAUUUCAAAGAGUUUUGAAAAACUCUAGAAUUUGAAAUGGGUCUUUCUUUGCGGUCAUUAGAUCUGCUCAAUAGGCAGAAUGUUAUUUAAAGUCUUCUCUACAACAUAUUAACAUUUCAUAAUUUUUCUAUUUUGUUUGAUAGGGUAAUGACACUAAUUUUGAAAAUUGCUCAAAACUAUUUCUUCACCCUAGGACAAGCUUGAAGUCUAGUUCUUAAUUGUCAUCCUGAGGUAUCCCAAGCUACUUAGCUAUAGUCAUACCCUACUUUGAGGCUUGAUGACCAAGUAAGGCCCUCUUAAAUGACUAUUGACUAGGUUUAUUUGAGGCGGAUAAUGAAGGUAUACUAGAUGACCUAGGGCACCUAUUAAGGGGGGAAUCAAGUGUGAUCAUUCAUUAAUUAAGGGCCAUUAUUAUAGACCAAGUGGGCCAAUUGGAAAUUGGUCACCUUGCCCCCACACUUUUUACCUAAGCCACGGUAAUUAAUGGCCCAUUAGGACCGUUUUUGGGGGAAAGCCCUGUAAAUAGGAGCGAAAACCAUUCACCCCAACACAACUUCACGUUCAAAUCCCCACCUUCUCAGGGGGGGAUGGGGUGGGGACGCGUAAGCUUCAGAAGUGGAUUUCGACUCCCACGCCCUGCAAGAGGCAGGGCAAAAGUCUGAGAGUGAGUGUAGAGUAGGAAUAGAGUAGGACUGACCAAAAAAAAAAAAAAAACACAACUUCACCAAAGCCAUCCUCCUCUCUUUACCUUCCACCACCAACGACCCUCCUCUCUCCCUCUCAAAAUUCAGCCUCCUCUCCCCUAGGAAUCCCUGUCACCACCCUUGCCAUUGUCGCCACUGUUUUAAAAACAUUAGCUUAGAAAGCCGUAAGUAGACGUCCUAACAUUUGGUUAAAACGUUGUGUUAUGCUAGUCCAAGCUUGUAAGAAGUUCAUAUUUGAUUGUUGUUCUUGAUUUAGGUUUUAUUUAUGCUUAUUUGAGUUGGUUUUGGAUUGGCUCUUUUGACUAGAUCAGGUAUUUAUUGGCCUUGGCUUGGUCGUUUGCUUUUGAAUUUGAAGUAGCGUAGUUCUGAUGCUUGAUUGUUGUACCUUUACUUGGCUUGUUAAAGUGACCAUUUUUUGUGCUUGUUUUACUAUGCCUUCGUUUUAUUUUGAUCCCAACAAUUCUAAAAAGCGUUUUAAUGAAAGUUCAUUGUUGUUUUAUAAAGUAUUCUAAACCACUUUUGUAAAUGUAUGUUCAUGACCUGAGUUCCAAAUAAAGGUUUCGCCGGCCUGGGAUGAACGUGAGAUCAUGACAAAUUGGUCCUUUCUUAGUCUUGGGGCAUUAUUGAGGCGUAUCGGUUCCCCAAGCCAAGUUCGGUACUAAAUCCGUGUAUCGUACGAGUCGAACCAAGCCACGAACCUUCAUUCAAGCUCGGUGUGCUCAACUACUUGGAAUUAGUAAGGCAUUUCACAUACUUAUGCAUGGGAUGCCUUUGGGGUUUGAAUUAAAAGCGAAGAUAAGAAUCAACUUAUGAUGCUUGAUGCAUGGACAAAUAAGAGACUAAAUUAUGCCGUCGACCGAUGGAUUUCAGCGAUGAUGCCCGAUGGAUUUUGGAAGAACCAAUGGAUUUUGGAAGAACCAAUGGAUUUUGAUUAUGCCGUCGACCGAUGGAUUUCAGUGAUGAUGCCUGAUGGAUUUCGAAUGCCUGGUGAAUUUCGGAUGGCUCAAUGGAUUUCGAUUAUUAAUAAACGAACCCCGUGCGGGUGAGUUUCACAUAUGUGUAAUGGAUCCUUAGUAUAUGCUUGCAAUUAAUUAAUAACCGUCGACCGGUUAUUUGCUUGUUGAAAAAGGCGAGGCAUCAUCCUAUCCGGAUUUUAGUAAGUUAACUUACUAAGUUGUACUCACUUGUUUUUAUCCUCUAGAUUUGUAGGAUGGCUGCGCCGCCCGUAAAAUUCGGCAUUCCAAUAGAUAUGACUGUGUCUUAGUAAAUUUUGUAGUAUUAAUAAAAAUUCACAUUAAUAAAAAUUCACUACAACCAUCUGGGUGGAAGGACUUGACUAGCUCGUCCCACACAAGUACCACAUUCUAUGAGUGGAUUGACGAAGGCUUCGUCGGUCCCCUUCAUGGUUUCGAGGGUCCCCCAGGGCCUGACGGUGAUGUCUCACCCAAUGGCAUUGUAGAAGACUAAGUAGAAAUCAAUCCUUAGGGGUGCUAAUUUUGGUAGGAUCUCAUUAGAGGAGAUUAGAAUACCCCAAAGUCUGAUGUGUUUCAGAAAAAGGACUGUAUGUAUUAGAUAGUGUGGAACCUAGCUCGAAUAAAUGGACUUGUAAGAUAAAUAAGGUAUAUAUGUAAAAUUACAAAUGGUUGUCAUGUAUAUAUAAACAUAUGGUUGUAUGUGUAUUUUUCCUACUAAAUUGUUGUGAUUUUUUGUGAUCGGGUGUUGAUCGCUUUCGCAUGUGUAUAACUCAAAGAUCAAUAAAAGAAAGAAAUACUGGUCACCGACACGCUUGGGAGGUUGCAAAAAAUAAUCAUCACUGCUCGUGACCUUGGAGAUGGAGUUGGGGUCAUUACAGUGUCGAUCCCUCUAGAUGCUUAUCUCAAUUCAUUUUUUUGGCUUAUAGCCAUUUGCUUCCAUUUGUGUUCUCGCAUGGCAACCAACACUAGUAAGCUCCUAUGAUGUGUUCUAAUUUAAUCCCAAGGUCAUCCCACAAAAUCAUGCAUCACACUUAUGUAUAUACCUAAAAUCCACAUGCAUAGUGAGAAAUGAACAUGCAGGCAGGCCUAUGAGCCUCAAACAAUCAGACAAUUUUAGUGAGCCAAUGUUGGACACUUAUUCAGUCGACAAGCGCCAAAAAUAAUCAUAGGCAUUUCUAACGAAAGGAAUGAUAUUACGUAUGUCUAGUUCAUGUGAUACUUCAAAAAGUUUGGAUAUGUUUAAAACAUUGAGAAGGGAAAAUGAAGUACUUUGACAAAGGUACAACUCGACUAUGGAAUGCAUUUAAUUGUCAAGGCUAAUCUGGGGCGCAUAUCAUGCACUACUAAUAGAUAUCACAGACAUUUUAAAUACAGUCCAAAUCUAGACAAGUCCAAUGUCAAAUCAAAAUUUUAAAGAUACUAAACGACUAACGUUGGAAGUAUCACAUGUACCAAAGCCAUUUUUAUAUGCAAAACCAAUGUUUCACCUUGAAUUUGGAAAAAAGCGUUACUCAAAGACCACUUUAUUUAUUUUAAAAAAAAUCAACAAAGAAGAUUAGGGAAUUUAUAAUAGAUUUCAUGAAGAUGAUGAAUCAUAAUUCCAUAUGUAAGCCAUCCUAAAAAAUACUAAAAUAAUAUCACAGCAAAGAUUUGAAACAAAACAUCACAAAGCAGGACAAAUAAUAUCAACGCAAUUGAAAAUGAACCCAAUGAUAAUGUGUUCCAAGAAAAUUACACAAUAUUCACAAUAUUAUGGGGAACAAACUUCAUGAAGAAAGUUCUNNNNNNNNNNNNNNNNNNNNNNNNNNNNNNNNNNNNNNNNNNNNNNNNNNNNNNNNNNNNNNNNNNNNNNNNNNNNNNNNNNNNNNNNNNNNNNNNNNNNUAUCAGAAUUCCACAAAACAACAUGGUAUCAUGACAUAUCAACAGAGAUUUAACCUAGUAAGCAUGGUCUAAAAAAUAUGAAAUUUUACCGCAACAUAGACAAAAUAAUGAUGGACAAAGUUCAUUAAGGGUAUGACCUAAGAAUCCUUAAGGAGAAAAUCACACAAAAAUGACAAAAGUUUAGACUUAACAAGGGUAAAACAAGGGUUCUAAAUUUUGCCUAAGUUAGAUUUCUAACCAAAAUGAACAAAAAUAGAAAAUGGGUCAAAAAUUAUGAAAAUCGCACAAAAUCAGUGCAUUGGAAAAAUCUAGACGAGUCCUAAGACUUUCUAAGAAUAGACUUAGGAGCUAAGAGAGAUUGAUAAGGUUUAAAUAAGAGUGUGCCUAGUGUCUUUCACUGUCUGUUAUUAUUAAAGGAAGUGAUCGAUGGAGGAUAGAAGGCUAGGAUGCAGAAGAGUUCGAGUCCAAUCGAGGUCAAAUUGAUGCUCGAAAAAUGAUAUUCGUGAAAUUGCGCAUGUCAGCCACAUACAAAAUAGAAUAUGAUGCAUGCUUAAUAGUCUAUAAAACCACCUAGACAAUACAUGAAAAGAAUGAAAAUCACAUAUGACAUAAGGUUGAAUGUGAAAAAAUAUCAUCAAAAAAUUUUGGAAAAAUAGUGUUUCCAACACUAUUUUACCAUUACUCUAUCGUGCAGAAAAUAUCAUGAUUGUCAUGGAAAUUUCAUAAGUCAAAGCUCUCUUUUAUAAAAUCGGUCUUACAUUCAAGGUGGAUAGCCAGAUAAAGAGGGCAAAAACAUAAUUCGUCAAAUUUUUUUCACGUGAGAAAAGUUAUUACAAGUAAAGGAAAUUACUAACACAUUGGCCACAAAAAUUUACAAAAUAUAAAAAAUGUUACGAUCAAUUUAAUUUUUUACUAAAGAUACACAAUCUGUGUUUAUUUUGCGGAAAAGUACUUUUUUCAUAAUUUCUAAUAUUUAGAGCUUCUCCUCGCGCUUCUCUUCUAGAUACUAGAAAAAAAAAAAGGUCAAUUCAUAUCUCUCUCUCCCUCCCCAACAUAAAACUGAAACCCCGUCAAAUCUAAUGAAUUAUCAUUCGAUUUUGUUGAGAAAAUAUGUUUUGAUUGCCCUUGUUAUUCCCAAUAGGAUGGCGCGGUAACAAAUCGAUUCUUCCAAAGCGCGCCCCAUUCAUGCCACCUGCAAAACCUUUACACACCUUCAUUACCUUUUGGAUCAUCGAAAGGAUCUCGGAGACCCACCAAAGCACAAAAGCUACGAUCUUUCAGAAAUUGAUGCUAUCCGUGAACCUGUUUCUGGAUCUCUACUUUCUAGAAACAAUAUUAUCUCAGGUGCCAUUAUUCCUACUUCUACAACUAUACGUUUGCAUUUUUACCCAAUAUGGGAAGCGGCAUCUAUUGAUGAAUGGUUAUACAACGGCGGUCCUUAUGAGUUAAUUGUUCUAAACUUCUUACUUGGUGUAGCUUGUUACAUGGGUUGUGAGUGGAAACUUAGUUUCCGUUUGGGUUUUCUUCAUUUUCUCCCUCCUGUUGUUCCAAUCAUAAUUAUUGAUAUGGGCCCUUUCCACAUAAAAGGGGAAUCUUUUGAUAAUAGUAUCAAAUCUUCCUUAGCUUUGUCGGGAUUACUUCACUCGAGAAAUUGAGCUAUUUUCUCGUGAGAUUGUCAAUCCAUAGCCAAAGACGCUCCUUUUCAACUGACAAGUGUUGACAAAUGCGUAAGUCAUUUACAGAAUGCUUGGUCUACUGAAUUCGUUGGUGAUGUUGGAAGCAAGUCAGAAAUGGAUUGACCGCAGAUGAAUAGAUGGACCGUCUAUGCAAUCAUAGUUGUCUUGCUUUAGCUAGUAAAGUUUGAAGGGAAGUCACCAUAAACUGUUGGACUAGUUUAGUUAGAAGAACAAUUCAGUGAUCUGGCCCUUUGUAAUAGAAUCUAAUAAUUCAUGCGUAUGUCUCGAUUUGGACAUUUAUGUGAGAAGGAAAAGCAUGGACUGGAUCAUCGCACUAUCACUUUUUGCCUGAUUCUAGGGUCUUCUCUGCACGACUUCCUUUUGCCAGAUAAAUCAGACUGUUCUUGCACAUCAUGAUACUAUGAAAUACUAGCGUGGACCAAUGAUAAUUCUUUUUUCAACUAAUUUAGUGCUUAAAUUGUGUGAUAGAGAUUCCUUGUUCUAUUGAAUGGGAUGGGAUAGGGAUGAUAAUUAUGCGUCUUAUUUUGAUGUAGUGUUUAUUAGUUUGGUAGCCAUCUUGCCCUGCAGAUUCAGUUCAUUUUCCCUUCUCAUCUGGUUGUCAUUGAUUGUUCGACUGAUUCUUGGCUUUGAGUUGUGAAGAUCAUGCAGGAAUUUGUUCUACUCAAAAUGGUAUGUCUCAGCUUUCAGUCUUUGCCUUUUUUUUUCUCUUUGUAUAGCCGUGGUGUAUGCUUUAAAAUUUUUUAUUCUUCGCAUGAAGUAACUACUGAAUUUAUAUGAUUUUACUACUACAUUUGCUUAUAUCAACUUUUGCGAUCAAGCCAAACUCAACUAGAAUAAAUGAUACUUGAUUAGGUUUCGAUUUUUAACAUUUUAUAUUAUUAUAAUUUUUAAUAUCAUUUUUAAUAGUCUUUUUUCUUUAAUUUUAAGUUCUUUAAAUAUUUUUUAAACUUUUUAAUAUUUAAUAUUAUUAUAUUAAUAGGAAAACGGGUCCGGACGGGUAUCCUGAUUCGGACUGUUGACCUGAUCCAACAACCUGGAUCCGACCCACGUCCGAAAAGAACCCAAUUUUAUAUAUUUCGUUUAUUAUUUUUUCUGUUCUCUUUUUGUCUUUUCCCCUGUUUUGUCCUUUUCUUCUGGUCAUUUUCUUCCUCCGAAGCUUUCAUUCUCUGCAACUUCUUUUCUUCAUAUUUCGAACCAAUGCACCCAGGCAUCACACCAUCCUCCAUGGGCGCUGGAGCUUACACCACCGCACCCUGCCGGUCAUCCGUUCCGACCAGCAUGUACCAACACCGAAAUAAAAUGAGCUCACUUUCCGGCGUCUUCCAUCACACCGUCCACUCAUCCAGUUCAAUGAAGUAGACACAACAUAUAUCAAACAAAAUGCAACGUAGCGAUCUCAUUAUUCAUGAAAACCAAGUUAACGACCAGCACCUUCAAAUUCGAACAGAAACAGCAGCUAUUUCUUACAUAUUUCUUUGAAACAUUUCGUCGAAUGGGUUUCCGGUGUCUAACUAAAAGUAAUAUAGCGUGUCAAUGAACAUACACGUUGGUGUCUCAUUCAUCCCGCAUUAAACAAAAGACAUUUCAAGUCGAUGAAAAAAUAUUUCAACAGAUCCUCAACAUGCUUUCACAGAAGCAAAUAAAACCCCGGUCUCAUCUUUAGAACAACACUAAGGCAUCAUAUCGAGCGUGUGAUGAGCACGGAAGAAAGAGAGGUCAUAGACCCGUUGUAAACUCUAGCUCAUGCCCAGACUCAAAAGAGAAUAGCGAGUGACGCUCAAACACGACAGAAGGGACAGCUAAUUUAAACCGAGCGUGAUCGUGGACUAGCGGAAACAAGACCCUGCUAUCGUUUCGGCUCCGUUUUAAAUAAAGCCAAGCAACGGAGUUCCCAUAGACAAGCGUUUGACCGCGGAUGUCCGUACCCCAUGGCCGAACGCUACCUUUUUUUCAUCAGUCCCCGUCGAGCACCCCACUUCUCUCUGCCAAAUCAGCCGCGCUCCUCUCGGCCGAAUCUUUUUCUGUUAGGCCUCUCUCUCCCUUACACGACAGCUCACCUAUUCUAGAAGGCUUGGGCACGCUCACUUCACUUGCUCGCCGCUUCUCUCAGCCGAAUCAUUUUGAAUUAUUUUCUUCUAUUUUCUUUUCGUGGCCCUUGUAGGCCGGCGGCCACGCAUACUAUGUUAACUUUUUCAAAGUUGGAGAGCAGUCGUGUAACGGUGCGAAAGUUAGGGGGCUUUUGAGAAAUUAUCCACAAAAUUAAGAGCAAAAAAGGGGAAUUAAAAGGGAAAUCCGAAAAGAACCCAAGAAAAAACCCCUUCCCCGCGCUUUCUCAUACCCUAAUCAAUCCCAAUUUGGGGAAGAAUUCGGAAAAAGCUCACUCCCGUCAAUUUUCCCCAAGUCGCUUCUCCUUCAUCCUCUUCCAAGAAGGAAGAAAGGAAAUGAUGAACGUGUUCAUGCCGAGGAACUUGGUGCCUCCCGCGCUGUUGGACGCGCUCCACGACGCGCUCAAGCUGAAGGGAGCUGUUUCUUCCAGGGGUGGGCCCCGCGAUUUUCACGCCGUUUCUUCCCCCGAUCACGUGAGUACGUUGGGAUUGGGCGGCGCUACGGCUUUUGGGUUCAUUUUUUAGAAUUGGGUUUGAGGUUGUUUUACGUCUUGAGAAGUUCGAGGAUCUUCAGGCGAAAGGGUGGAAGCUAGUCGGCAAAGAUCUUGUUCUCAUCCUAGUUUUAUCUUUUGGUUUCUUACUCGAGGCUGCUAAAUGCUAAACCAGAACUUGUAGUUGAGAAACGAAAGCGGAAGCAUUGGGGUCAACGUGCUGGUCAAGCAAGUCGAGAGAAGUUCUUUCGGCUGGGAAAAAAAAUGUUGAUUUCGAUGGGGGAUAUUUCGGUUUCUUGUAGUUCUGCAGUGUGUGGUUUCGUGUGCGAAAGAAGGGAGACCUCUGCCUCAAAAAGGGUAUAAUUGUUUGUCUUGCAAUGGAUGGUGUCGAAGUCCUCGCAUCUGGAUUUGAGAUGGAUGAGAAGGUAUGUCUGUUCCUAGAUAAGUCUGGCCUUGUAUGAUUUUUUAGCGUGUAAUCUUUAUUGUUACUUGUCUCUCUAAUUCAGUGCGGCGCGUCACUUAUCCUUAUCCAUGUAUCCUUCUAUGUGAUCCAUUGAUUCUUAUGCCUUCAGACAUGCUUUUGUUUGAACAAAUAUGGCAAUAGCCUGUUGUCUCUCUUAUUGUUUCACCAUUUCCGCGAAUGUGCAAGCUGAGAUUGGGAAACUGGUAACUUCAAUGGGGGAGUUCUACAGACCAAAACUUUAGCAAAUGUUAGCUUCGUAAUUGCGAAGAUGUUUUGGCUGAACUGAGGAAGGGUUUCGUCCAUACUUUUUUGAGUAUUCUCUGUGCAAGUUCUUUUGUAAUCCCAUCUUGAGAGAUAAAUUGUAUUUAUCAAUUAGUAUUGUCCUCAUGCAGUGGGCUUUAAUUGUUCUGAAGAUACCUGUUGUCACCAUUACCAAUGCCGUAAUGAGCACCGUGUUGUUCCUCUGGAGUCUUACAAAGUUCUUCCAUUUUUUGGAUCAACAAUAUGUGUCAUAGGAAUUCCUACAGGUACUGAUGAUUUGAUAUAGUUGCUGCUAUUGAUUGUCCUCUAGUUCUUCAAUUUCUAUGUUGUUCAUUAUCUUAGAUGCACGUAAGGAGAUUCAAAAGCACAUCACACAAAAAAAAAAAAAAAAGGCAUAUCACAAAAAAUGGUGGGAAAUAUUCCGCAGAAUUGACCAGGAAAUGCACUCGUUUAAUUGCAGAAAUAUCCUUUUCUUCUUCAAGAUUAAGGUCCAGUGAUUUGCUUGCAUAUUUUCCCUUUGAUAUCUGAUCGCCGUAUGAAAAUGCAUAUAUGUUUAUCUUGUCUUCGCUCAUGAAAAGACUUUUAAGAGUUUGAAAAGAAAAUUUGUAUAAUUUCAAGGUUUAGUGACAAUUAUAGUUUGAAAUGGGAAAUAUCUAUACUUGAUUUAAUCCUUGUUUCUGGUAAUAUACUUAGUUGGGAAUUUGAUUACUCAAAUGAGAAACAGUGAAACUUCCUGGCACAAGAAUAUCAUUGACUUUGACUUCUAAAUGAGGCUCUUGACUUCGCCAAGAUCUCUGCAUCCUCUGUUCCUUGCUUAACUCCAUCUACAACAAGAAACAGAGCACGUUAAUAGCAACAUAUGAGCCAUUUACCAGAAAACUUUCAUAAAACCCCGGUCUUAUCUUUAGAACAAAACUAAGGCAUUAUAUCGAGCGUCUGAUGAGCAUGGACUAAAGAGAGGUCAUUGACCUAUUCUAAACUCUAGCUCAUGUUUUGACUCAAAAGAGAAUAGCAAGUGAUGCUCAAACUUGACAAAAGGGAUGGCUAGUUCAAACCGUGCAUGCUCGUGGACGAGGGAAAACAAGAUUUUAUUCCUUUUCAAAAUCUGAAGAAAUUUCUAGAGAACUUAUUAGAUCUUCAGUUAACUCCUCAAUCAAUUACUUAUUCAUAAUGCUAAAAGAAAAUUAAUCGAUUUUUCUUUUUCAAUAUACUAUAUUCCACACCCCCAUCGUCCAUCGAUUUGAUUCUUUCAAUAGAUAUAGGUAUUCGUAUUGAAAAUAAUUAGAAAUCUAGGAAUUCGAAGCGUACUAUUAAGAAUUGCCUUUCGAUUGCUUUAGAUUGAUUGGAAUCAAGACAAAUUAAAUAGAAUUUAGAUGCUAUGUACAUUACAUAUAUCAAUACAUAUAUAAAAAAGAUACAUAUCGUAGAUUAAUCUAUAUUAAGAUUAUUUAUAUAUGUUUUUAUUUUAUACCCAGCUAUCAUUUCGGCUCCGUUUUAAACAAAGCCAAGCGACAGAGUUCCAAGUGUUUGACCGCGGAUGUCCUUACCCACCCGCCCCCCCCCACAGGGUUCAAGUUGGUGAAUGUGACCACGAAAUUUGAAUGAACCCUGGAGACUUUAAUUGAUUUAAAUGGGACUUUCCUUGUCAAGUUCAUAGAAUAUGUUCUUCUUCUAUUUAAAUUGGCGGCCAUCUCAAAACGCAUUUAUCUUUUUCUCUGUUAUCAGGAAAGACGGAGAGUUCAUCAAGUAGACGAACUCUGGUGGUUGGUAAGUCUCGAUAAAACCCACACUUUGGUGCAAGGAUGUCGAAUUGAGGUUGGAAGAGGGGGAUUGUUUGGAAGAGUUGAAACCCAUUUAUAGAGGGGAAGGGAGAGUCUAAUACUAUAACCGCNNNNNNNNNNNNNNNNNNNNNNNNNNNNNNNNNNNNNNNNNNNNNNNNNNNNNNNNNNNNNNNNNNNNNNNNNNNNNNNNNNNNNNNNNNNNNNNNNNNNUAGAAGGGCUUGGGGCACGCUCACGUCACUUGCUCGUCGCUCCUCACCCUCGCUCACGGACGUUCCCUUUUUUGGUCACAGCACGUCCUUCUACCAUCUCUCUCUCUCUCUGUGGAGAGCGCCCAUUUAGAGAAGAGAAGGGGCCAUGGGCUGGGCUCCUCUCUUUUCAUAACUCUAAUGGGCCAUGAAGGAAACAAAAGGGAUGAAAGAAAUGGGCUGGAAAAAAUAAUUCAACGGAUGGGCCAACGGAAAGAAGGAGCUGGCCGACCAUUUGUUAAAGGAGUGGGACCGGCCCGUUCGACUUAAUCAUUUUACUUUAUUUUUUUUUAUUUCCUCUUCAUUCCACCUAUUUUCUUUCAUUUCUUUUUUUUUUAUAUAUAAUUUUUUGGAUCUUUAUACUUCCAUUAUUACUAUUUUCUUUAUUUUAAAUAUAUUUUAUUUUUGGCUUUUUUUAUCAUUUUAUAGAUUUUUGUAUUUUUGGAAAAUGAGUGGACAUUUAAAACGUCGAUAAAACUUCGGGCGUCAACGAGAUCUAUUGGUGAUUUCCAUGACCCUUUCGUUGAAGUACAUAUCUCAUCUACUUUUUUUGUACUGCCUUUUUCAAGUUGAAACGUGCUUUAGAAAGCUACUUUUAAACGUGAUUUUUUAUUAGAUCUCAUGCUUUCAAGGUCUUGAUGAGGACAUCGGUCCACAAGUCAGAAAAUUAUAUGCUGAGGUAUCACUAGCCCCAAAACUAAAAAUUACUAUUUGCAUUGCUCUCUAGCUGCUAUAGACAUGUUGCAAUCUUGUUUUGACAGUUCCUCUUCGUGAAGUGUUCACAAAACCAUCAUGAUUUUGUAUAUUGCCAUAGUUUGCAGGAAAUAAUAGUUGGAUGUGGGAUCAACUGCAUUUACGGUGUUGAUAUUUAAUAUAUUUUAUGGUCACGAUUGCAGGCACAUGUUCAUAUAGUGGUCAAACAUGGUGAUGGUUUUCCUGAUGUGGGUUCCACAUGUGUUAGUUUAUGAUUUAUUUAUGCAAUCAUAUGAAAUUAUGCAAGCACCAAACCUGCCUUUCCCCUUGUUCUGAAUUAACAACUAAUGUAAAUAGUGGACAGUGCAACCUGCUUUUUGAAAUGGCUGCAGUUGUCAACUUUGGGUCUCUGUGAAGUCGUUCAAGGAAACAUUUUGAUGAUGAUCAUGAUAGCAUGCAUAAUGAAACGUGGAGAACCCACUAAAUUGGUUGGCUUGACUUGUUAUUUUAUAUGAUCUCUAUUUAUUCAUCAUCUUUUGAUCAUUGUCCUUGUCCAGACCUUGGGAUCACUGAGAUGUAAAACAAUUAGAGGGUAUUCUUUCCUACUUGAAAAGAAGAAAAUACAGGGGGAAUUGAAGUUGUGAGGUACGUGGGCAUCAGCAUAUUAAAAUAAAUAAUGUUUCCAUGGAGCCCGCCAUCUCUACAUUGUAAAUGGUUUUAUAUAAUCUCUAUUUAUUUAUCAUCUCAAUUGGUUUUUACUUGCAUCCACUAGUUUUUUGUUCGAAAUUUCUUCGUUCAUACUGAACCGCUUGCAGAAUCAAAUCCUAUCCCACAAGAUUGUAUAUCACGAGGCUUUUGUCAGUGUAAUGUCUUGACUUUUGGAGACUUGGUACAGCUCGCAGAGUUGUGGCCAAAUGGUUUUAUGGCAAUUUGUAGGGCCAAAGAGAAGCGAAGGGCACUUUAUAGCAGACACAAGGUAUGAUUAUUUCUACGUUCUUCCAGGAACUUCCUUUUCCAUGAAAAAGAAUAUGUAGUGCUUGGUGAAAAGGGAGAACGCCAUGUUUUUGACGAUAAUCCAAUUUCAGAAAAAUCCCCGAAAAUAACCUUCUAACAUUGUAAACCGAAUAAAACAUAAGUCAAAAUCCUAAUAAGUAGCCAAAGCAUUUGUAGUACUUCUUUUUAUACAACGCAUCUAAUCCAUAUCAAGAGAUUAGAUUCAUUCUCAUUUUUUGCAAAAUUGAGGUUUCUCUACUAUUCGAAAAUAAUUUUAUUGCCGAUAACUGAAAAUGGAAACAAACAAGGGUAUCCGGGUAUACACUGCUUCAAUUUGAUGGACUUUCCCUUUUCAAGAUCUCUUUCAUUAAACUAGCGAAAAAAAAAAAAAGAACUGGAAAUUUCGUCCUGCAUAAAAAUCCCAAGCGGAGGAGAAAAAAGAAUGUAUGGAAAUCCAGAAAAGGGGAGGAGAGGGGAAAAUGGGGAUUUGGCCUUUAACCAUAUUCGAGAAAAAGAAAAAAAAAAGGAAAUAAAGAAAAGAUUAAAAAUUAAAAAACAGGGGAUGGAAGAGCGAAACGACGUUCCCCUCUGCCAAGAACUGCCAAGGUCGAACGGUUCGUGCUGCGUCGUCGUUUUUUCCUUUAAACUCCAAGCGCUGAAGCUGGCGGAUGUGGGCGUUCGAGGUGGGGUCACAUGAAAACCGGAAGCUUUCGAAUCUCUCUCUGUCUCUGCACCUGCGAGUCACGUGCCACGGACGAGAAAUGUGGGGGAUGGAUCGUGGGUCGGGCGAGGAAAGGGUGCCAUUUGCCCGUUGCAAUCGGUGCUGCGAAAACAGUGCUGAGUCCGGAUCCGAUCCGGGCGUGGUUUUGUCUUUUUAUCCCUCUUGAAUAUCUAAACCCAUCAAAAUAGAUUGAAAACGUACAUAAUAAAUUAUGAAGUAUUAAAUGGGUUUAUGACCCGACCCACCUCAAUUUUGGAUGUAAAUUUUCCUAGAUUUAGGUCAAAUAAAGAGAUGUUUUAGCAAUGCGGAACAUGUCAAAUAUGAGUCACUAUAUACAUAUUGUAUGUAAAUAGAUUAAAACAGAUUAAAAUGAGUUUAUUUGGGCCGGACCAUUUCCGACCCAUUCCAAAACAAACUUGAAACACCCUUUUGAUGGGUGUAUGAAGAUCUAUCUCCAAAUGACAAAAUAAGUUCAUUGCCAUUCAAUCUUUAUCACUCGUGAUCCUGGAUUUGAAUAUCGCAGCAUUUGCACCUCUUUGUUUUCACCAAAACAUCAUUUUGUCGCUCUCUAUUUUCCAAAAUUGCCCUCCUGUCGAAAGUUAAAAUCACACACCAUCUCCUUACCAACUAAUCACCAAAUUACACCCGUGUGUAAUUAGCAUGCACUCCACAUCCGCUCAAUAAAAAGAAUUCUUUUCUCUUCAUACGUUAUCCAUUUGUGAUCACGUAUGCACGCAGUGCGGGCCUCAAGACUAAAGCUGAUGCAAGAAAAUAACUCUUCGUUCCGUGGAGGCUUGGCGAUCUUUUUUUUUUUUUUUUUGGGCGUCUCUUCAAAGUUAUUGCACCUAUAAUUGCAACAACGUUGCCCUAAUUUAGUAAAGAUGUGAUGGAUCUAUAAGAAAGGUGGGGAGUGAGGGCUGACUCAUUGCCUAGAAUUUCUUUAUGCAAAAAGGCUUUCGAUCCUUACCAUGUUGACCUGAUUCUGGGACCAGAAUCCCAGCCGCUCCAUCUCUCCAAUCUGAGCAUAUUUAACUGUAUGCCAUGAUUACAUGUGGAGCUCCGCAUCGAAAACGGCAAACAAAGGAAUGGAUGGAAAAGAAAAGCUCCAUUGCCUUGUAUAAAAGUAGCUGUAAUCAAUCAUUAUCAUCACCAUCAUCUGGUGCUAAAAGAAUCCUAAUAAACUAUUACAGAUCAGAUAGAAUUAAGCAAGAGGAAACCAAGAUAACUUCGAGCACCUUCUCGGAAGAUGCAAGACAAGGAAAGGCGAUAUUGCCGUAGAAGAAGAUUAAGAGAAAAUCGGAGGUGGAUUUGAAUGAAAUGCCUUUCCACUCAAAGAAGUCCAGAGAGGAAAGACUCGUAUCUACCAAAUCCAAUCCCUCUCUUCCCCCUAAAAUAAACCUUCAACCAAUUGCACAUCCAAGUUUUGAACAAUCUAGUUAAUGCUACAUAGCGAGAAUUAAAAAGCAUUUGCCUUUAAGAUGUCCCUUAUGACAUAAGUUCACUUCCUUUUGUUGAACUUUUCAAUAGCUAAUUGAAUUCAUUUGAUUGACUGGUUGUCAUUGCCUUUGUAGUUAAUUGGCAUUGUGGAUGCCUCAUAUCUCCAGCAAUGAUUUUUUUGGGGCAAGAGCUGUAAAUUCCUAUUUGCCUUAAAAUUAGUUGCCUUUUUUGAGUUUAUUUUGGAGAUCGUCUUCUAUGUCAUCAAUAUAGAGCGGCAAUUGCCGGUAAGUUUUGUCACUUGGUGGACAAGGUUUUCUGUAAUGAAGUACCUUACUAGGUGCAUAAGUUGGGAGUGGCAAGGGAAACGGAUCGAGAUUUCUUGAAACUUUUUGGUGUUUAACUAUUUGAUCAUGUGGAGCCUAGUUGAUUCCAUUGGUCAGCUCCUAUAUUAAGGCUAACCAUGGACACACUGAUGAAUUAGUCUAGCAAUCCCGCAGAAGCCUUAAUACAAACUUGUUUAGAAACUGAGGUCAAACACAUUUCUGAUGAAUAGUAGACUUAUCAUAGGGCACUUCAAGAAGAAUAGCGUCACAAACUCAACAUGGAUAUAGCUGUAGGAUUAAUUAAAUGAAUGCAUAUCAUAUAAACCAAUAUAUCUAUAUGGAAAUUGUUUAUAUGUAGCUUGAUGGCUUAUUCAAAAUCUUCUUUGUACGAGGUGUGUUGGAAUUUAGGGGUCCCACCUCCUCUAUAGUUUCCGAAGUCCCAAAGUAUUGAUUGGAUCUAAUUGUACAUCUACUCCUACUGCCAGGCUUCCUUUUUCAUCUUGUAAGACUACAUGUUUCAAGGGGCUCUGAAUGCUCUGUCCAAUAUCGCGAUAGUCAUGUCCAACCUAAGAUGUCAUGGAUUGAUUCAUUGGAUUUUUGUAGUUAUUAUAUUUGUCCCAAGAUUAUAUGUGCAAACAUAGCAAGCAUAUUUCCAAAGUCAAGUAUAAGGAAUGAUCAUAAGUUUUGUUAGCAUGAUGAAUUUGUAAGUCAAUUUAAAAGAUGUCGUGACGAUACAUUUGGGUCUUAAAACUUUCAUUUUGUGCACCCGAGCCUCAACUUGUUGUAUUCAUCCACUUUAGUCUUCCCAUUAGUCCUAUUAGGUUUUGGCAGACAGAAAAUGCCCCGUGAGUAGAAAAAAAGCCACUUGUUAUUAUCCAUCCCUUGACAGAAUUAACAAAAGGACCCACAUAUGUUGGAGUUACAAAUUUUGGGAUUUAAAUGUACGAAAUGAAAGUUUUGACUCACGUUUAUUAUUAUAAUUAAUAUCAGGAUUUGCUUUGAAAGUGUCUCUAAAAUUCUUUUCGUUGGUCAUAUAAUGUAGUGUUGAACUCUAUAAAAAGAUAUCACCCAAAAAAAAAAAAAACCUAUAAAAAGAUUUAUCGCCAAGAAGCCCCAAUCUUUGGUUGCUCUUGAGACAUGAUAAAAAGUGUUAUCCAUGAUCCAAUGUAAUUUUUCGGCACUUACGGGUCCACAAUAAAAACUUCAUGUGAAGUUUUGAUCUAAACAUGUGACUAAAUUCUUAGGGAAAAUUAACAAAAUAAUCCUCAACGGAUGCUAAUUCGAUUAUAAAUAUUUUAAUUUGGUCAAUUUAAUUUUAAAACUUUUGACAAAUCGUUAUUGUAAUUCUUUUGACUAAUUUUGAUUGAAAAUUGCUAAUGUGAAUAUUGAUCAUUUAUCAUGACACAAUCAAUGUUGACAUGGAUAAGUUUUUGCAAUUUAAAAUUUUUUCUUUUUGAAUUCUUUGCUUUUAUUCUUUGCUUUUAUUUUCUUUCAUGGCUCGUGUCGCCGGCGCGGGCAUAGUGCGUAACCUUUUCACAGUUGGAGAGCAGUCAUGCAACGGUGUGAAAGUUGGGGGGUUUCUGAGAAAUUAUCCACAAAAUUAAUAGCACAAAAAAGGGGAAUUAAAACGAAAAUCCGAAAAGAGCCCAAGAGCAACCCCUUUCCCGCGCUUUCUCAUACCCUAAUCCAUCCCAAUUUGGGGGAAGAAUUCAGAAAAAGCUCACUCCACUCAAUUUUUCCCCAAGUCGCUCCUCCUUCAUCUUCUUCCAAGUUCCGAUUCCCUUCGCGCUUCACCGUUGCUCUCUCUCUCUCUCACUCACGCAAAUGCAUUUGGAUUUCGCAGAAAUCCUUAGCAACGAGACCGAUCAUCUGUUGAGGAAGUCGCUGCUGGAGAAGGAAGAUAGGAAAUGGCGAAGACGAAGCCAUUUCAUGGGGGGCGACCGUGUUCGUGCCGAGUAACUUGAGUGCCUCCCGAGCCGUUCGACGCGCUCAAGCUGAACGGAGCUGAGGCCUUCCUCCGCUGCGACCCUUGCAGAAGUGGGCCCCGCGAUUUUCACGCUGUUUCUUCUCCCCGAUCACGUGAGUACGUUGGGAUUGGGCGGCGCUAACGGCUUUUGGGUUCAUUUUGAGAAUUGGGUUUGAGGUUGUUUUACGUCUUGAGAAGUUCGAGGAUCUUCGAGCGAAAGGGUUGUAAGCUAGUCGGUGAAGAUCUUGUUCUCGUCCUAGUCAUAUCUUCUGGUAUUUCCUCGAGGCUGCUAAAUGCUAAACCAGGACUUGUAGUUGAGAAAUGAAAGCGGAGGCAUUGGGGUCAAUGUGCUGGUCAAGCAAGUCGAGAGGAGUUCUUCUGCCUGGGAAAAAAAUGUUGACUUUGAUGGACGAUAAUUCUUGCAGGUCCGCAGUGUGUGGUGGUUUCGCGUGCGAAAGAAUGGAGACCUCUACCUCGAAAAGGCUAUAUUUAUUUGUCUUGCGAUGGAUGGUGUCGAAGUCCUUGCAUCUGGAUUUGAGAUGGAUGAGGAGGUAUGCCUGUUCCUAGAUAAGCCUGGCCUUGUAUGAUUUUUUAGCGUGUAAUCUUUGUUGUAACUCGUCACUCAAAUUCAGUGUAGCGCGUCACUUAUCCUUAUCCAUGUAUCCUUCUAUGUGACCUCCUGAUUCUUUGCUUUCAGACAUGCUUUUGUUUGAACAAAUAUGGUGGCAGCCUGUCGUCUCUCUCAUCGUUUCACCAUUUCCGUGAAUUUGCAGACUGAGGACGAGUUUCCCCCAUAUUUUUUUUCUUGAAUGUUCUCUGUGCAAAUUCUUUUAAGAAUCCCAUCUUGAGAGAUAAAUUGUAUUUAUCAAUUAAAGUUGUCAUUGUGCAGUGGGCUUUAAAUGUUCUGAAGAAACCUGUUGUCACCAUUAAUUGGUUACACGAAUGUUGUAUUGUGCAGCGUGUUGUACCUCAGGAGUCUUCCAGAGUUCUUCCAUUUUCUGGAUCGACAAUGUAUGUGUCACAGGAAUUCCUGCACACACUGAUUAUUUGAUAUAACUGCUGCUGUUGGUUGUCCUCCAGUUCUUCAAUUUUUAUGUCCUUCAUUAUCUUAGAUGCACGGAAGGAGAUUCACAAGCAUAUCACACAAAAUGGUGGGAAAUAUUCUGCAGAAUAGACCAGGAAGUGAACUCAUUUAAUUGCAGAAAUAACCUUUUCUUCUUCAAGAUUAAAGUCCAGUGAUUUGCUUGCAUAUUUUCCCUUUGACAUCUGAUCGCCGUGUGAAAAUGCACAUAUCUUUAUCUUGUCUUCUCAUAUGAAAACACUUUUACGAGUUUGAAAAGAAAAUCUGUAUCAUUUCAAGGUUUAGUGACGAUUAUAGUUUGAAAUAGGAAAUAGCUAUACUUCAUUGAAUCAUGGUUUUUGGUAAAAUCCUUUUACUUGGGAAUUUGAUUACUCAGAUGAGAAACAGUGAAACUUCCCGGCAUGAGAAUAUCAUUGACUUUGACUUCUAAAUGAGUCCUAAAGAAUUGUGUUCUGUGGUUCAGGAAACAAGGUGUUAAACAACUUACAAUUUGAACCACCAAUUGUUAAAUGAUCCUCAGCCUGUUCUCGCUUUUCCAGUGUGAGUUAGGACUGCCUGUUGGUUGCUCAAAGCACAUUGCUCAGCAAUGUUAUUAUUUUUUGAAUCUUUCUAUUGGCCUCAUAAAUGAUGCUCUGAAGCACUGUGAGUCCCACUACGAUGCCCUUGACUGGCUGUAAGCUCCAGGAGAUAAAUACAAGGUCACUAAAAGAUGGGGUCACAUUCAUAUGUUGAAUCGCAAAUGGUUUGAUCGAUCAACUUCCAGGAAAGGUGAUAUUUCAGUUACUAAAAUACCUUGUUGCUGUCAAUUGUAGUAGCAUUUAAGUUCUUUUUGGGCCAUCUUGUUGUCUGCCUCUAAUUUUGAGUGCUUUUGCCGACUAGCAUGUCUUAAUGAGGAGUCCUAUCCUGUUCAGGGUAGUUCCAUGUCUUUAGUGAAAACUGCAAGUAGUCAGCAAAAUCAGUACAGAGUUAUUAGAAGUUCACAGUCUCUCCCCUCUUCAAUGGUUGGAGAUCAGGACUUCCAUUCCAUUUCCGCUACUGACAAUGCUGAUCCAGAUUUAGAAAUUACUCUCUCACAGAAUGUGUCUUCAAUGUUUGUGGAUCCCAUUUCCUUGCAAAAGAGGAUAAUAGUGAAGUGGCAGCUGUGCAAUCCAAUGGUGAAGUGAAUCAUGAUGGUUGGGUUGCUGAAGACUCUGAAAAUGAAGACAAUGACCUGUAUUUGUUAGAAUAUGGGUUAACAUCAUCAAAUGCUCGAUUUCCCCAAGAGUGUUCCUAAAAGAAGUGAUCUGCAACAACCAUUCAAAGUUGGCUUGAAGAUACAAAACUUGGUGAUCUGAUUUUGAAGGCAGUGGAGCCUUAAAUGGUUCUGCUUGACACAGAUGAUGACUGACUAAAGAGUAUAUCAUUGUACACUGCUUUCUCUCUUUUCAUUAUGAUUCUCCGUGCUCUUCAUGUGAACAAUGGGAAGGCUGAAAUGUUAGUAUUGCCUAAUAGGACAGUAGUUGCUGAUUCACAUGACAUUUGGCUGUCUUUCACAUAUGAUUAGUGGCUGAAGGCUGCGAUCCUUUAAAUGGCUUUGUCAGCUUGCAACUCUCCAAUUUGAGGAUACCAUGCACUUCAUGACAUGGGUGGCCAAUUUUGCUGAAUGAAAUCCUUGUGUUUACAUGUUAAAAGAUGACGUAUGACUCUAAUUAAUUUGUGUUAAAGACAAUCUUUUAGCUCUUCCCGCUAAUGACAUGCAUAUAGUUUCCAGUAUGGUAUAUCCUUGUAAGUAAUAAACGGUUUCAUGUGGUUUUCUUCUGGAUCUCUUUCCUGCAGUUGCUGCUGACCUUGCAAUCUUUUGGCUGGUGAAGGUAAAGAUCUUUUUUCUCUUCAUGUGUUGAUCCUUUGCUUUUGUUUAUUGUGCAGCAGAACCCAGGAUUUUUAACCUUGUUUUGAAGUCUUAUAUUUGGUGGUACGGGUGUCACUGAAUUUAUUCCUUUUUGUCCUUUUGUGUUUUGGGCCACUGAUGUCUUAUCUCAGUCAACGGAUGAAAGUGGGAAGGGUCAAAGAGCCAAUAGUACUCCAUUUAUCCUAGUAUUGCUCCGGAAGACACUUGAUAGAGCACCGACAUACCUUUGAUUUAUGUAGUUUCUAUCCAAUAAAAGCCGAUGAAAUCAGAUUUUUCUAGAUCAGUCUAACGGUCCGUUAUAUGUUAAGCCGGAAAAUGACAAGUUUGAUCCUCAGCAGAAGGCAAAAAUCUUGUUAGUUUUUCAUGUUACUCCUUUUAAUAACACUCUCCUACUAUUGUUCCCCUGGAUCAAUGAAAAUAAUUGGACUAACGUGGACUCAAUAAACUCAUCAUGAGCAGAGCAAUCAUGAGAGAAGAAAACACAUUAUGAAUUAGGACAAAGAUGAAAAUUUGACAAAUUUCAUUAGGAUAUUGAUGUAUAUUCCAAGCAACCAAUAGCUUGACAAAUCAAUGUCGACCCUCGUCAAACCUUUCGUGAGGCUAGCAAUUGAAUGCAUCGCAUAUUCUCGUGUUCACAUUCAUGUAUCAUGACUUAUAUUAGGUCACUCCUUUUCAUUUCAAGGUGUCACGCUCCGAAUCCCGAGCAUGUGCCCAUCCUUCUUUGGUCGAUAAAAUUUUGCGACUUCCCAGGACUAGUCGUCGAUCCUUUUUGUUUUAUUGCACAUGUGGAAGCGGAUUAUAAAUCCCCUGACAAUAAUUAUCUCGGGAUAGAAAAGCAGGACAAAACAAACAUGCUUUUAUAUAUACACUAAGUCAUGUACAAAAAUCUAUGGCCAAAAGACUACAGAAGACUGGCCUUCCAAAAAGAAGCGGUCCUAACUGACUUACACUUCCGAUCACCUCCUCUCAGCUCUAGGUCCUCCAUUCGACUACCCUGAAAAUGUUGUCCCACAAUUACUUGGAGACAGUUCUCAGUGAGUCUAGCUUUAAACCCCAAUUAGGAGGGAAAUACGCCAAGAAGCGUCCUAAUCACACAAUCAAGAAGACUUACCUCAUCUUAGAUCCACCUGCAGGUCAGUACAAUUUAUAACUCAGACAGCAUGAAAACGUGAGCAACAAAUAAGCUCCAACAACUGGAACGUCACACUCAAUUAAUCAUGUGUUCAUAGUUUUAAUUUCGGCAUAUAGCACGGCCUAUUCUCUCUUCGGUGGUCUUCAGGCAUCAUCUCACCCCAUUGAGCACGGCACAUCUCUUUAUCAGACAGCUUUCCCAAAAAAGCAUAGGGUCUAGAAUUUACGGUGACCGGCUUCCCGUUGUCCAGGGGUAUCCCGAAUAAGGAUAACGUCUAGCUUAAUAGCUCAGGAUGAUUGCUCUUAACCAACACACGAUCACUCAAAUAUGGCCUAGAGCACCGUGCAUUGUACUCAAAUGCUUCAAUUAAAAAUAGUGAGCCUGGCUUUUUUCCUCGUAAUAAAAAUUCACAUGAAAUUACUCGUGUGUAGAUACACGGUCAACUUGACCUAGAAAAUUUGAUAUUCUUCCUUUUUGAAAUCCCACUAUUUCAAAUAGUACUAAAAACUAUUUUCGGUGCCAAAAUCUGACACCCGAGAUUUUUUGAAUAAAUAUUGAAAAUUCAUAAUUUUUGGAAUUAAAUACCAAAAAUCCAAUCAACAUUCAAUUUGCAAAAUUUAACACUCAAUUGCAAAAAUUAACCACACCAUUGCAAUCAGCACGAAAUUUCGAUCACCGAAUAUCCCAGCCUAAUUUCUAGAAAAUAUUUAAUAAUUAAAUAAUUACUGAAAUUAAUUAAAUAAAUCAAUCUAAAUUCUAAAAAUACUAACCUAGGCCAAAAUCAUUAAAUUAAUAAUCAAUAUGGACCCGGAAAAUUUCCGAACCCCUUCUAGAUAAAUAGUACAAUUUAUUUAGGCCUUAGCUAAACCAUGCUAACCACCUAACAUGCUCAAUUAAAUAAUUACAUUUCUAAUUUAAUCUAACUAAUAACCUAAUUCCUAAUAAAAUAAAUCAAAAUAUCCUUUAAACGUCAUUAGCCUACUAAGCAGAGUUUAGAGUAUAAACUCUCCGAUUAAUUGCGGAAACCGGUUCACCGCGACGACGAUGCGACAGCGGCCGAAACUUGAAUUUUCGGCGGCGUCAACGGAGCUCAGACUAGGCCUAGAACGGGCCCAACAAAUCUCAGCCCAAAUUGAGUUUGUUAUUGGAACGGGCUUGGCUUGAAGCAGGUUGACCUCGCGGGCUUGGACUGCCGAAAAAGACAACUUGCUGGGCUUCAAAGUUGGACUGGACUGCUGAUGGGCAGAACAAAAUGGGCUCAAAGGAGCUGCUUCUUGGGCUGCAGCGUGGGCUCGAAACUGGACAAAGGUGGAGAUGGGCUUCGGCUUCAAAUGGCGUGGGUUUCUAUUGCUCGCGUGGGCUGCUUGUUUCGGUGAUGCUGGGCCCAUGAGAUGGGCUGCCGAAUUGAGCUGAGGGAGAGAAGCAGCUUCGGGGAUGUUUGCUAGCGUUGGAUCGAAUGGCAGCUUGCAGAUGUCAAAGAAGAUGGCGUCAACGCGUGGCUUUGGUUCAUGGGAAGCUGCUCGCUCGUCGAUGCUGGGCUAGAGAACUUCACGGUCAACCAAGAGGGGCUUUGGUGGGGGAGAGUUGACCAGCGUGGGGACGUGGACUGGCGAUGCAGGCGUGAGGCUUCGGUGGAUGAUGGCAGCUGGGAGAAAUGAAGAUGGCAAGCGCGUGGACAUGUAGGCAAGAGGCAGCAGGUUCAGUCGCGAAAGAGCAGCUCGAUGAAGAAAUAAUUGUUUCGAUGGACUUCGUUCGUGGAUGAAAAUACAGAGGAAGAUGGGAAUAGAAGCAAGUGACAGAGGCUGCUUCGGUCUUUGCUUGGGACGCCGCGGAUGGAGGAAAAUUAAAGAGCAGGCAGGACUGAAUGAAGAUGGCUGAAGAAAUGAAGAGAUAAGGCCAAUUGGUCAAAUGAAUGAUUAAAAUGCCCCAAUAGUCCAAGCUGCAUCCUCUCAAUUAAAUGCAUUGUCCCCCUAAUUCUUUCCACAAUUUAAAUCUCACAAUAAUAUCCAAAUUGAAAUCCACCCCAUUCUUAAAUUCGAAUUUCACCAAUUAAAUUUUAAUUUCUUUACUCAAUUUCCCAAAUUGAGGUCCAAUUUCGAUGUAGAAAAAUCCCGAACAAUUUUCUAUGAUUCCCCGACACUCAAAGGCUCGGCUUGGAAGUCCAAAUUUCCAUUGACUUAGCCCAUCUGAAUUUCUGCCAAUUUUUUGCGACAUCCAAAUCAAUUUUCCAUAAAAAUCCUGGAAUUUCUGAAAAAUCUUCGGAGGAUGAGUCGACGUUUCUAAAAUAGCUCGUGACACCACAGAACUUUCAAUUUAUGAAAUCGAGUUCAAAUUCGCGGUUAUUUUCAAUCCGGUGCACUUUUAACGUGACCUAGUCUACCGGGUAACUUUUAGGAAUUUUUUGUGCAAUUUACCCGUGAUCGAUUUAUCUUGAGUCAAAAUGUACAUCUCCGACACAUUGGCGACUCUCAAUUGUCGUGAAAAUCUCGAGAUUUCAAUUACGGGUACCGGUACCAAAACAACAGAAAAUCAAUUUAGUUCCGAUUGAUGAGAAUUUUGUAAAAUCACCCACAAUUUGAUCACAUAUCUCAGUCAAAUCGACCUAUCUUUGAUCUCUAAUCGAUCUCUGACAGUGCCGUAACGACCCUUGCAGACUAACAAGGUCGAGUAGUCGGCUCCUGGUCGAAUUCUCAAGUCCAAUUGCAUUUAGAUUCCUUAAUUGUUUCCCCAGAUAGUCCAAUUAUCUCGUGAGUGAUCAGCUCAGAGAAUAACAUUAUUGGUGCAUCGACGAAAGGCCCGAUUUAUUUAAUCGAAAACGAAAUCUGAAAAUUGAGGCUGUCACACAAGGGGGAAAAGAAAAAAGUAUAGUUAUAGAGCAGCAAAUGUAUAGAUAAAUGAGAGUUACUUGGAGAUAAUAAACAAAACGAAAAGUUCAGUGCAUAUCAAAUUUACAACAAGCAUCAAAAUUUCGCAAAAUAUCUAUGAAAAACUAUGAGAACCCUAUAUCAAGUCUUACUAGAAAACACAAGUAGCCACACUUUCAUCCAAAAGCUCCAAAUUAUGAUUAGCACUGUCCAUUGCAUCACUUAUAAAUUAAUCCUAUGCAACAUUUCCAUAAUAAAGACCGGUCUCUUGUCUCGCCGUGAACAUAACCUAAGUGUUUGUAAUUAUGAUGUCCCCUCACAUUCACACACCUUCGAGGCAAUUCAGGGGAAGAACAAGAAUCACUCCAAAGUUGAACGUUGACUAAAGUCUUUUAUUUAUUUAUUAAUUUUUUGGAGUAGGUUUUGUCCGCAUUGCCUUGUCCCUUUCUUUGGUUAAAAGAGGACUUGGGAAAUGCAAUGAAGCGAGCAAGAUGAAGGAUGACUUUGACUUGCUUUCCCUCGCCUGACGCUAUGAAAUAUGAUUAGCUAACAACCAUGAUUUGGAAGUUGUAUGCUUUCCAUAUAAAUAACCAAUCAAGAUUGAUUUAAAUAUGAGUAUACAUCACCUCCUUCAUUACCUUCUUUUAAAUAUAAUUUAAGCAAGCUGCAAAUUAAAAAUAUGGAAUGAAAUAUAUCAAGCUGCUCUGAUUACAUCAUAAUUAUAUAAAAAGAAUUAUUACGAAUUUUUUAAUUCAAUCCAUUAUUAAGUCGUAGUAUGGGUGAAAAUUGAAAACUAUCAGCUAGAACCGUAUUCAAUUUUUAACGCAAAUCUUCUUUGGUUCCCACAUCCAAUGACCCAGCAACACUGCAGAAGACAGAGACCGUGUUUUCUCAUUUUCACACGUGCAAAAACCAAAGAUAUUUGCAUCCAUUUUACUUGCCAUAAACCAAAGUAAAACAUCUGUUUCAAAUUUCCCUCUCCUAGUUUUAAACAUUGAAGCUGUUUGACAUUAAGGGUGUGUUUGUCUUGUGAAAAAUGAAUUUGACAAACAUUUCCACUAAAAUCGCUAACAAUAACGAAUGAACAAAAGAUACUUUUAUGACUCAUGAAAAUGUUUGGACCUAAAUUUUGUCAAUAAUGAAAAUAAUUUUCAUUGGCUAAUUACGUUAAGUGAUAUAAGCAAUAAUUUUUAUGAUAUAAAUACCUUGCCAUGUGCAUGAAAAGUACGUUUGAGAGUGAUGUGCUUUUUGAAUAUCAUGCUCUUCAUGACAAGGGGGGUAAAUUUUACCGAAUGAAAUGGUUGUUUUUACAUGUUAAAAAAGAUGAGGUAUGACUAUAGUUAUUUUGUGUUGAAGACAAUCUUUCAGCUCUUCCCCUUGAUGGCAUGCAUAUUGUCUCUAGGAUGGUUUGUGUUUGUAAAUAAUAAAAGGUUUUCUUCUGUUUCUUUCCUACAUUUUCUGUUGACCUUGCAAUCUUUUGGCUGGUGAAGGUAAACAAUAUUCUUUGUUCACAUCAUGUGUUUAUCCUUUGCGUUUGUCUAUUAAGCAAUAGAAGCCAAGAUUUUUAACCUCGUUUCAAAGUCUUAAUAUUUGGUGGUACUAAGAUUAUGGGUGUGAAUGAAUUUAUUCCAAUUUGUUCUUUUCCAUUUUGGGCCACUGAUGUCUCAUCUCAGUCGACUGAUGAAAGAAAGAAGAGUCAAAGAUACAAUCUUAUUCCAUUUAUCCAACUAUUGCUCUGGAAGACACUUAAGAGAGUACCAAGAUACCUUCGAUUCCUGUGGUUAAUGACCAAUAAAAGCCAGCAAAAUGGGAUUUUUCAGAUCAGUUUAAUAGUCCAUUAUCUGUUAACUUGUUAAGCCCUAAAAUGACAAGAAUGUUCCUCAUCAGAAGGCAAAAAUUUUACUAAUUUUACAUGUUACUCCUUUUAAUAGAAUUCUCAUAAUAUGGAGCAAUUUUUUUUUUUAUCUUAUAUAUGUGCUGAAUUGUAUCCGGACCAAAAAAAAAUGUUGGAUCUAAUGUAAAUCUCAAAAAACAAAACAACUCACGAGCAGCAAAAGCGAAGCAAGCAGGGCGGAGGAAAAAGGAUUUUAUGAAUUUAAAUAAAGAUAAAAAUUUGACAAACUCUAUCAGGUAGCUAUUUUUGGAUAUGUUGAUGUAAUUUCAAGUAACAGAUAGCUUUCACAUGUCAAUUUCAACUCUUGCCAAACACUUGAUGAUAGACUAGCAUUAGGAUUACAUGUAUCAAAUAUUCGUGAGGUACAUUCAUGGACCAUGAUCUAUAUUGGCUCACUCUUGUCAAUUUAAAGGAAAAAGAGCAUAAUUAUAGAACAAUAAUAUUACCACAUUUGCUAUUAGAUAAAUAUAAGUUGUUUAGAGUCAAUAGGACAGUUUGAUGUAUAACAUAUUUAUGUAGUAUUGUGAAACAUUUAGAUUUUAAUAAAACACCUAAGAGAAACCAUGCAAACCCCAUACAAAGCCCCUGCUGCAAAAUACAAAUUUUAGUACAAUUAUUAUAUCAUAAUUCAUUUGCCCCGUCACAUCGUUUAUAAAUUAAAUUUAGACAAUAUUUUCACCAUAAAUAAUGGUUUAUGUUCUCCUCAUGUAACUAAGCAAGCAAAAUGGUGGAAGAAUUUGAUUUGCUUUCAAUUGCUAGAAUCUUUUUCCCCCAUUUCUUUUGAGUAGGUCUUGUUGGUUUGGCAAGCAAGAUGGCGGAAGACUUUGAUUUCUUUUCCUCGUCAAUCCUUUGCCUGCCUCCUCCUUCUUGUUAGCUUUUUCCUUACCACUUUCUUUGUAAUUGAGUGAGCAGGAUGGUGGAAGACUUUGAUUUGCUUUUCUUUGCCAGUUCUUCCUCUACCUCUUCUUUUAGGUCAUGUUAGCUUUUGCAUCGCUUUCUCUACAACUAAGCAAGUAAGAUGGUGGAAGACUUUGACUUGCUUUUCCUCGCCAAUCCUUCCCCUUCUCUUAGGUCUUGUUAGCUUUUGGCUUAUCACUUUCUUUGUAACUAAGGAAGCAAGAUGAUGGAAGACUUUGACUUGCUUUUCCUCACUAGUCCGUCCCCUCCCCCCCCCUUCCUUUAGGGGUGAGCACGGUUCCGGGGUAACCGGGAAACCGGGAACCGAACCGGAAGAGGGUCCCGGUUCGGUUCCCGANNNNNNNNNNNNNNNNNNNNNNNNNNNNNNNNNNNNNNNNNNNNNNNNNNNNNNNNNNNNNNNNNNNNNNNNNNNNNNNNNNNNNNNNNNNNNNNNNNNNAUUUAAAAAAAAACCCUAACGUCCCCUCCGCAAGAUUUCCCCCCCCCCUCUGCGGAUUCUUCCCCCCCUUUCCCUUUCUUUUCUCUCUCUCUCUCUUUCUUUUCUCCCCUUUUCCCUCGUCACGUCACUUCCUGCCCCCUCAACUUUUUUCUUUUCUUCUCUUUCUCUCUUCUCUUUCCUCCUCUCUCGGCCAAAACCCUACCCCUUCUUCUUCUUCUUUUUCUUCUUCCUCCUCCUCUUGCUGGCUGCUGCUUCACCCACCACCACACCGCUGCCCCACGCCCUACUCACCACCACCUCUUGGCCACCGAACCACCACCACCCACCGCUCGUCCGACAAGCCGUCUCGCCGUUGAGUCUGACGAGCUGUCGCGCCGUUCGCGCCGCCCCUCGCCGCUGUGAGCCACCGCCGCCGUCCCCAAGCCACCGUCACCACCUCUUGCCGCCGCCGCCUGAGAUUAGCUUCCGGUCCGUACUGAAAUGUCGCUCUCCGCGGCGUUCGGCAAGUGGCUGGAACAACUGGACCGGACCAGGAACCAGCGCCUCUCUCUCUCCUCCAGGUCUACUCCACCGCGACGCGAUCUCUCGAACUUUUCUUCGUGAGGCGAUCGGUUUGGAUCGGUAGCGGAUGAGAGGUGCUGGAAGUUUUUGCAGGCGAAGAGAGAGAGCUGCAAGCCGCCAAAUCGCUGGUCCUGGAGUCGAAGCGCGCGGCCAUCAGGUCGAUGGAAGAGAGGUGCUUGAGGCUCGAGUGGAGCCUGGCUUCGCAGAGCUUGAAGAUCUCGGCUCUCGAAUCUAAGAUUGCCGCUCUCGAUGCCGAGUACGACAACAAUGUCCAGCGACUGAGGUGAAGCAUAGACUUGUCAUCAUAAGAUUUUGGUCGCAUGUUAUGGCUUAUUUGUGCUUGAUUUUAGGGAGUUGAAGUGCGAGGUGGAGGAGCUUGAGGAGGCGGAGAAGGAGAAGGACGGAUUCUACCGAGCGCAGACCAGCGAAAUGAAGGAUUUUAAAGAAGCUACUAACGGAUUCGUCGUGGAUUGCCAGAUUUGCAUAGAGGAAUUAAGAGACGAGCUAAAUGAGGUAAAAGAGAAGCUCUCUAUUUUCGGAUCCUUGAGCUAACGUGAUACUGUGCUGGAUCAUUCUGUUAGCUGGAUCAAAGGCUGCAAGGUGAUAGCAAUAACGGUGAACUUUUAUCGCUUGUUUGGCUACUAUACCAGAGAAUGAAGAAAGAUUAUUUUCCCCUGUUAUCUUCGCUCAUGUUCGAUUUUGAUUUGAUGAAAUAGAGCUAUGGUUCAUCUUGAGUAGCAUACGAGAUAACUUGAAGAUAUAAAGUAUCAUGUUUUGAUAUUCUAUGACUGCAAUUAUUUGUGAUGUGCUAACUGCAAAAUGAAGUGGAUUUACAAGAGUCCAUGCAAUUGCUUCUCCCACAAUAUACCGUAUAGGCAGAACUAGCUGGAGAUGCUUCCAUAUGGUAUGUUGCUUGAGACCAAUAUGCGACUCUGCACGAAUGAUUGAUGGUGCUAUGAACUGGUCUCAAUCUCGUGAACUAAUUCUUUGCUUAGUUUUUCAGCAUGGUCGUCGUGGCCACCGGCAAAUGAGUACACUCGAAUGCGAAUUGAAAAGCCCUUCAAAGCAUUUUUGUGUAAUUAGUUCUUUGUGUUUGUGAUUUUGUUAACGUCAGUUUGUUCUCAAUUUCCUUUGCUUCUCUGCUUUCCUGUGUCAGAUCCAAAAAAGAAAGGAGCAGUUGAGGGCUCACGUUCUCUUCCCCGAGUAAUAUGUAAAUUGUGAAGACGGCUCACUGGUCAAGAGCGAAAUGCCAAGAGCCUAUGCUCAUACAACAUGCCUGUAGUUAUUAUUAUGAAACACAUUAACGAUAAGGAAUCACCAAAUUAUACAUUAGACAAUGUUUUCUCUAGAAAACUAUGAAAUUAGUUGUCUAUUUGGAUGUAAAAGAUUCACAUUGCUGUGUAUUGGUAGGUACUGAAAAUGGAGGGCCAACUAUUAAAUUAUUUCGGCUUCCGGAUAUUCGUGCCCACUACGAAAAUGAAAAAAAAAAAAAAAGAACCUGUUGGAACUUGGAACCGACCCCGGAGCGUGUGACAGGGUAGGUUCCAGGUUCUCGGUUCUGACGGGUAGGUUCUAGGUUCCAAAAAUUGAGGAACAUGUACCCGAGGGUAGGUUCCAGGUUCCAGGUUCCCGACGGAACUGAACCGGAACCGGGAACCGCUCACCCCUACCUUCCUUUUAGGUCUUGUCAGCUUUUGUCUUAUCUCUUUCUUUGUAACUAAGCAAGCAAGUUGGUGGAACACUUUGACUUGCUUUUCCUCACCGGUCCUUCCCCCCUCCCCCCUCUUCUUUUAGGUCUUGUCAGCUUUUGCCUUAUCGCUUUCUUUGCAAAGCAAGCAAGACGGUGGGAAUAUUUUUGACUUGCUUUUCCUNNNNNNNNNNNNNNNNNNNNNNNNNNNNNNNNNNNNNNNNNNNNNNNNNNNNNNNNNNNNNNNNNNNNNNNNNNNNNNNNNNNNNNNNNNNNNNNNNNNNNNNNNNNNNNNNNNNNNNNNNNNNNNNNNNNNNNNNNNNNNNNNNNNNNNNNNNNNNNNNNNNNNNNNNNNNNNNNNNNNNNNNNNNNNNNNNNNNNNNNNNNNNNNNNNNNNNNNNNNNNNNNNNNNNNNNNNNNNNNNNNNNNNNNNNNNNNNNNNNNNNNNNNNNNNNNNNNNNNNNNNNNNNNNNNNNNNNNNNNNNNNNNNNNNNNNNNNNNNNNNNNNNNNNNNNNNNNNNNNNNNNNNNNNNNNNNNNNNNNNNNNNNNNNNNNNNNNNNNNNNNNNNNNNNNNNNNNNNNNNNNNNNNNNNNNNNNNNNNNNNNNNNNNNNNNNNNNNNNNNNNNNNNNNNNNNNNNNNNNNNNNNNNNNNNNNNNNNNNNNNNNNNNNNNNNNNNNNNNNNNNNNNNNNNNNNNNNNNNNNNNNNNNNNNNNNNNNNNNNNNNNNNNNNNNNNNNNNNNNNNNNNNNNNNNNNNNNNNNNNNNNNNNNNNNNNNNNNNNNNNNNNNNNNNNNNNNNNNNNNNNNNNNNNNNNNNNNNNNNNNNNNNNNNNNNNNNNNNNNNNNNNNNNNNNNNNNNNNNNNNNNNNNNNNNNNNNNNNNNNNNNNNNNNNNNNNNNNNNNNNNNNNNNNNNNNNNNNNNNNNNNNNNNNNNNNNNNNNNNNNNNNNNNNNNNNNNNNNNNNNNNNNNNNNNNNNNNNNNNNNNNNNNNNNNNNNNNNNNNNNNNNNNNNNNNNNNNNNNNNNNNNNNNNNNNNNNNNNNNNNNNNNNGAAGCCUUUAUUUUCGACUUUAGAUGUGGCUAAUCCUAUGAUGGCCUUAUUACACGAUUGUUGGUUGCAUCGUAAUUCAGUACUGAUCUCUUUUUGAACUAGAAAGAGUAGGUCUGCAAGCACGCUAGACUCUAUUAAUUGCCACAUUUCGCUUGAAUCCGGAGACCUUCUUUUAUCUUCUUUUUCUUCCAUUGAAUAAGUACCUAAUUUCUAAUUGUUCAGACUAACAUGAAGAAAGAAAAGAGUGCAUAAAAAGAGAGCACUGAGGGAGCAUCCGCUCCUCCGUUUGGUGCCGUCUAACAAAUUAUAUUUCUAGUUUACAAGGAGAAGGAAGGCUUUGUGCUGUGCAGGAGGAGAAAUCUAUGGCCAAAUUAAAUUUAAAAUCACAUUCAUAAUUACUAGCUAGGUCCUUUCUUCACGCCUUCCCCACAUUUCCAAUUUUGUCUCAGCUCAGUUAUCAGCUUUUCAAUGAUUUAUCAAAUUCUUUGACAAAAAAUGAUUUAUUAAAAAUUUUAUUUUCAAUAAUCAAGUAAAAACUGAACCACUACGUAUAAUUUUGAACGAAUGCAAUCUGCUUGUACAUAGAUUCCAUUAUUCUAUAGCCCAAUUAAGAAAUUAAUGUACGCGUUAUAUGUUAGGGGACCAAAGCCGGCAAGAUUGACUUGACUAGAGGAUGAUAUCCAAAAGAAGAUAAAGCAAGGAUUAAAAGCAUCAGCGACUGCUCCUAGUCAAUCAAAUAAUAAUUAAUUAAUAAUUUCAUGUUUCUUUUUUCUUGCUUGGUAAAAGAUUUCAUGUCCAUACUUGUUCAUACUUCAUAGAGACUAAUUAUCAAUCCUUUUAUGCAGCAGAGAGCAUCAUUCUCUCACUUUUCCCACUCAGAUGCAUUGACAAAGGGCGGAGUCACACUGAAACAAACGANNNNNNNNNNNNNNNNNNNNNNNNNNNNNNNNNNNNNNNNNNNNNNNNNNNNNNNNNNNNNNNNNNNNNNNNNNNNNNNNNNNNNNNNNNNNNNNNNNNNNNNNNNNNNNNNNNNNNNNNNNNNNNNNNNNNNNNNNNNNNNNNNNNNNNNNNNNNNNNNNNNNNNNNNNNNNNNNNNNNNNNNNNNNNNNNNNNNNNNNNNNNNNNNNNNNNNNNNNNNNNNNNNNNNNNNNNNNNNNNNNNNNNNNNNNNNNNNNNNNNNNNNNNNNNNNNNNNNNNNNNNNNNNNNNNNNNNNNNNNNNNNNNNNNNNNNNNNNNNNNNNNNNNNNNNNNNNNNNNNNNNNNNNNNNNNNNNNNNNNNNNNNNNNNNNNNNNNNNNNNNNNNNNNNNNNNNNNNNNNNNNNNNNNNNNNNNNNNNNNNNNNNNNNNNNNNNNNNNNNNNNNNNNNNNNNNNNNNNNNNNNNNNNNNNNNNNNNNNNNNNNNNNNNNNNNNNNNNNNNNNNNNNNNNNNNNNNNNNNNNNNNNNNNNNNNNNNNNNNNNNNNNNNNNNNNNNNNNNNNNNNNNNNNNNNNNNNNNNNNNNNNNNNNNNNNNNNNNNNNNNNNNNNNNNNNNNNNNNNNNNNNNNNNNNNNNNNNNNNNNNNNNNNNNNNNNNNNNNNNNNNNNNNNNNNNNNNNNNNNNNNNNNNNNNNNNNNNNNNNNNNNNNNNNNNNNNNNNNNNNNNNNNNNNNNNNNNNNNNNNNNNNNNNNNNNNNNNNNNNNNNNNNNNNNNNNNNNNNNNNNNNNNNNNNNNNNNNNNNNNNNNNNNNNNNNNNNNNNNNNNNNNNNNNNNNNNNNNNNNNNNNNNNNNNNNNNNNNNNNNNNNNNNNNNNNNNNNNNNNNNNNNNNNNNNNNNNNNNNNNNNNNNNNNNNNNNNNNNNNNNNNNNNNNNNNNNNNNNNNNNNNNNNNNNNNNNNNNNNNNNNNNNNNNNNNNNNNNNNNNNNNNNNNNNNNNNNNNNNNNNNNNNNNNNNNNNNNNNNNNNNNNNNNNNNNNNNNNNNNNNNNNNNNNNNNNNNNNNNNNNNNNNNNNNNNNNNNNNNNNNNNNNNNNNNNNNNNNNNNNNNNNNNNNNNNNNNNNNNNNNNNNNNNNNNNNNNNNNNNNNNNNNNNNNNNNNNNNNNNNNNNNNNNNNNNNNNNNNNNNNNNNNNNNNNNNNNNNNNNNNNNNNNNNNNNNNNNNNNNNNNNNNNNNNNNNNNNNNNNNNNNNNNNNNNNNNNNNNNNNNNNNNNNNNNNNNNNNNNNNNNNNNNNNNNNNNNNNNNNNNNNNNNNNNNNNNNNNNNNNNNNNNNNNNNNNNNNNNNNNNNNNNNNNNNNNNNNNNNNNNNNNNNNNNNNNNNNNNNNNNNNNNNNNNNNNNNNNNNNNNNNNNNNNNNNNNNNNNNNNNNNNNNNNNNNNNNNNNNNNNNNNNNNNNNNNNNNNNNNNNNNNNNNNNNNNNNNNNNNNNNNNNNNNNNNNNNNNNNNNNNNNNNNNNNNNNNNNNNNNNNNNNNNNNNNNNNNNNNNNNNNNNNNNNNNNNNNNNNNNNNNNNNNNNNNNNNNNNNNNNNNNNNNNNNNNNNNNNNNNNNNNNNNNNNNNNNNNNNNNNNNNNNNNNNNNNNNNNNNNNNNNNNNNNNNNNNNNNNNNNNNNNNNNNNNNNNNNNNNNNNNNNNNNNNNNNNNNNNNNNNNNNNNNNNNNNNNNNNNNNNNNNNNNNNNNNNNNNNNNNNNNNNNNNNNNNNNNNNNNNNNNNNNNNNNNNNNNNNNNNNNNNNNNNNNNNNNNNNNNNNNNNNNNNNNNNNNNNNNNNNNNNNNNNNNNNNNNNNNNNNNNNNNNNNNNNNNNNNNNNNNNNNNNNNNNNNNNNNNNNNNNNNNNNNNNNNNNNNNNNNNNNNNNNNNNNNNNNNNNNNNNNNNNNNNNNNAAAAUCAUUUAAAGCCUAAAACAUCCAAAAUACUCAGUUUUGCAAAAAUAACUCUUUUUUUUUUCUUGAAAAUUGUUAAAAAUAUUUUCCAAAUAUCGAUCAUGCUAGUUUUUUCUCUUCAAUAAUGCACAAAACCUUUCAUAGGCUACAAAUCAAAAUUGUCAACAAUAAAAAUUUAUCUAAACAUAUCCGAUCAACUAGAGAAUUUUUGGUUGUCCACAAAACCAUUUCUCAUUAUAUUGGCAAUUUUCAUAUUUUUGGAAAAAUGAUAGAAAAUUCAAAUUUUUUCCAAUUAUAAAAAAUUCACCAUUGUACCUUUUUUUUUCUCAUUUUUUUUUUGGUGCUAGUUACAAUGGAAAACUUGAAAGUAAGCAAAGCUACUGGUUUCAAUGCACUUGCACGUAUUAAUUAUGUGGACAAUUUUUCGCCCCCACUUUAUCUUUGUGGAUUGAAUUAGAGAAACUUAUCAUAAAAUGUGCUUUUCAUGCGAAUUUAUUGCUUACAGCAAAGACAUGACUUUUACGUAUAUAUAGUGCCGGAAAUUAUUGACCUACAAUGGAUUUGACAAUAUGAUUUAUGCAUCUUUGUGGUGGGAGGAAAGUGCUGCACCUACGGUAGUAAGAACGUCUUUGGUAAUAAUAUAAUGGAAGAUUUACAAGCUGGUUAGAGCCACAUUUAUCUAUUUAACAAAGUGAUUUUUAAGUGGAUAUGAAUGGAAGUGGUCAUUCUGUACUCUCGUCCGAAUUGUGUGGCUUGACUUUGCUUGCCAUCUGAAAAGAAUUUUUAUUGCUACCAGUCAAUUAGCCUAUCGUCCUAUGAAGCACGGACACGUUACACGUGCUUCCGUGUCGUGUCCAACACGUGUCAACACGCUCGGACACACGUUGACUGCAUGUCCCAAAAACAAUGGAGGGUGGAGGCGAGGGCGAGGGAGCAUAGAUGAGGCCACGAGCGAUGGCGAGAGAUGGCCAAAGAAAGAGCAGAGACUGAGGCGAGGACCGCCACUUUGUGAUGCUGUGAUGGAUCGGUGACGAGGCUACAGCUGCGAGGGAGGAAGAGCUGGAGGCGAGGCAGUGAGCGAUUGUGAUGAGGACUGAGAGCAAGCAAAGAUCGAGAGGAAGGGGUCAUGCGGCGAGGAGGAGGAGAAGAAGGUCACUGCUAGGGUUUUGAGAAGGAAACUAAAAGAAUAAAAAUGGGAUUUGGCGUGUUGGAGGGAGGGAGAAGUGACAGGAAGGAGGGGUAAGUGUCAGGCAAUGUUGCACGGACACAUUGCCCAUGCUUUCGUGUCGUGUCCGACACGUGUUGGACCGUGUCAGACACGUUGACACGGUUGGACACGCAGUCAAUGCAUGUCCGAUUUUCCGACACGUUAUCAACUUUUGCUCAACACGUUUCGACACACAUGUCUGGAAGACGAUGGAGGGUGGAGGCAAGGAUGAGGGAGCAAAGACGAGGCCGCGAGGGACGGCAAGAGAUGGCUAGAGAAAGAGCAUAGAUUGAGGCGAGGGCCGCCACUAUGAUGCUGCGAUAGAUUAGUGACAAGGUUGCAGCUGCGAGGGAGAAAGGGCCAAAGGCGAGGCGGUAAACGAUUGUGAUGAGAAUCGAGAGCAAGCAGAGAUCGAGAGGAAGAGGAGAGGAAGGCGGUUGUGCGGCAAGCGGCGAGGAAGGGGGUCGUGCGGCGAGGAGGAGGAGGAGAAGGAUCGAGAGGAAGGGUCGUGCGGCAAGUGGCGAAGAGGAGGAAGUAAAGGAGCUAAGGUUUUUGAUAAGAAACUCUAAAUGAUAAAAAAAAAGAAAUGGGGACUCUGAUGGGCCAUCAGUGAUGGCGUGACUUUUGGGAGAGGGGGAGUGACAGGGACAGCCUAGGUGGUGGGGAGGGAAAGAAAAUUAAAAUUAGGGUGGGGGGAAAUGGACGAUGGUGGGGAAGGAAAGAAAUUUAAAUUUGGGGAUGGGGGGAAAUGGACGAGGGAGAGAAGAGAGUGGGGGUGGACCCCAGUAGGGAUUUUUUUAAUGGGAAAAAUAAAUAAAUGGGAUUAAAAAAUAAUUUCGGAAAAUAAAAUUACUGAAUUUGNNNNNNNNNNNNNNNNNNNNNNNNNNNNNNNNNNNNNNNNNNNNNNNNNNNNNNNNNNNNNNNNNNNNNNNNNNNNNNNNNNNNNNNNNNNNNNNNNNNNNNNNNNNNNNNNNNNNNNNNNNNNNNNNNNNNNNNNNNNNNNNNNNNNNNNNNNNNNNNNNNNNNNNNNNNNNNNNNNNNNNNNNNNNNNNNNNNNNNNNNNNNNNNNNNNNNNNNNNNNNNNNNNNNNNNNNNNNNNNNNNNNNNNNNNNNNNNNNNNNNNNNNNNNNNNNNNNNNNNNNNNNNNNNNNNNNNNNNNNNNNNNNNNNNNNNNNNNNNNNNNNNNNNNNNNNNNNNNNNNNNNNNNNNNNNNNNNNNNNNNNNNNNNNNNNNNNNNNNNNNNNNNNNNNNNNNNNNNNNNNNNNNNNNNNNNNNNNNNNNNNNNNNNNNNNNNNNNNNNNNNNNNNNNNNNNNNNNNNNNNNNNNNNNNNNNNNNNNNNNNNNNNNNNNNNNNNNNNNNNNNNNNNNNNNNNNNNNNNNNNNNNNNNNNNNNNNNNNNNNNNNNNNNNNNNNNNNNNNNNNNNNNNNNNNNNNNNNNNNNNNNNNNNNNNNNNNNNNNNNNNNNNNNNNNNNNNNNNNNNNNNCGGCUGAACUAGUGUCUUCUGGGCCCUUUUUGUCUACUGGGGAUGUGGGGUGGCUGCUGAAUAGCCGAGGAGGGUGUCUUUUAUUCUCUCUUUUGGAAUCGUUGUUGCCUGUUAACGAGGUACCUUAGCUCAGAUUUGACUUCGGUGAAAAAAGAAAGCCUUUAUUUUCGACUUUAGAUGUGGCUAAUCCUAUGAUGGCCUUAUUACACGAUUGUUGGUUGCAUCGUAAUUCAGUACUGAUCUCUUUUUGAACUAGAAAGAGUAGGUCUGCAAGCACGCUAGACUCUAUUAAUUGCCACAUUUCGCUUGAAUCCGGAGACCUUCUUUUAUCUUCUUUUUCUUCCAUUGAAUAAGUACCUAAUUUCUAAUUGUUCAGACUAACAUGAAGAAAGAAAAGAGUGCAUAAAAAGAGAGCACUGAGGGAGCAUCCGCUCCUCCGUUUGGUGCCGUCUAACAAAUUAUAUUUCUAGUUUACAAGGAGAAGGAAGGCUUUGUGCUGUGCAGGAGGAGAAAUCUAUGGCCAAAUUAAAUUUAAAAUCACAUUCAUAAUUACUAGCUAGGUCCUUUCUUCACGCCUUCCCCACAUUUCCAAUUUUGUCUCAGCUCAGUUAUCAGCUUUUCAAUGAUUUAUCAAAUUCUUUGACAAAAAAUGAUUUAUUAAAAAUUUUAUUUUCAAUAAUCAAGUAAAAACUGAACCACUACGUAUAAUUUUGAACGAAUGCAAUCUGCUUGUACAUAGAUUCCAUUAUUCUAUAGCCCAAUUAAGAAAUUAAUGUACGCGUUAUAUGUUAGGGGACCAAAGCCGGCAAGAUUGACUUGACUAGAGGAUGAUAUCCAAAAGAAGAUAAAGCAAGGAUUAAAAGCAUCAGCGACUGCUCCUAGUCAAUCAAAUAAUAAUUAAUUAAUAAUUUCAUGUUUCUUUUUUCUUGCUUGGUAAAAGAUUUCAUGUCCAUACUUGUUCAUACUUCAUAGAGACUAAUUAUCAAUCCUUUUAUGCAGCAGGAGAGCAUCAUUCUCUCCAACUUUCCCACUCAGAUUGCCAUUGACAAAGGGCGGAGUCACACUGAAACAAACGAAGGGUUGCACCCUUUAAUAAUGCCCGCGGUGCUUGCGGCGACCAUUCUUUUUGGUAUUCUUGCAUUCAAUCUUGUCAAGAAGAAGAGAGCAUCCACACCUUCGUUCAUCUCUCCAACACUCAUAGAAAUUGGUAAUAAUCAUUAUGAUGUGUUCUUGAGCUUUAGAGGGUCAGAUACCCGCAAGGGAUUCACCGAUCACCUCUAUCACAGUUUAGUCAAGGCAGGGAUUGCACCAGGUUUUGUGUUCAGGGAUGCUAAGAGCGUCCAAAUUGGUGAGGAAUUUGGUCCACGAAUUCUCAAUGCCAUCGCUUGGUCUAAGAUUUCGAUUCUCAUCAUCUCAGAAAAUUAUGCUUCAAGCAAAUGGUGCCUCCGCGAGCUUAUUCAUAUCAUGGAUCGCGCGAAGAGCACAUCACACACAGUUUUGCCCAUCUUUUAUAAAGUGGACCCAUCGGAUGUGGGGCAUCUAAAAGGAAACUUUGGGAAGGCCUUUCAUUCAUGUAAGAAGUAUUUUGAUGAGGAGGAUAUCCAUAAAGGGCAGCAAGCACUCAGAGAAGUGAGUCAAUUACAUGGAUGGGAGUCCGAGAAAGUUGCUAACGGGUACUUUGCUUCCACCUAAACUUCUCUUUUUUGAUAAGUACGUUUUGGGGAAAUUACCCAAAAAAAUAAUCUAUUAUAACAUUGAUAGUUUAGUUCUAGACCUUUUCAUUUAGUUAUUUUAGUCCUAAACCUUUUGAAAAUCUACCAAUAUAGUCCAUCCGACUGAUUUUAGCUAGAAAUCCCUUCUUUCUCUCCGGUUGCUAGCCUCCUUGAUGGCUGGCAACAGGCUAUGGACUAGGGUUGGUGAGGCUCGUCCUCCCUGUCAAGGGCCAACCUCGCCCGAAUCUUGUCCUUCUAAAGAGGUCAGGCCAACACAAAAUGAAAUGACCGUUGGUGAUCAUCCCCCAUUGUUAUUUGUAAAACCAAAACAUUUUGCUUGUUAAUUGGUCCCAUCCAUUCUUCACAUGUCUGUCGGUGACUUUUGAUGAGAUUAAGUAUAAUCAUGAAAUUAUCAAUGCAUUUUUUUUUUUUACAGGCAUGAAGGAGAAUUAGUGAAAAAAGUUAUCGAAGAUGUUUGGAGCAAGUUGCAACAAGAUUUUCAGCUUGAUGUUACGAAGCACUUAGUUGGAAUUGAUGAUCAUGUGAACAAAAUAAUGAAUUGGGUAGACACUCCUACCACUGAUCCUCGAAUGAUUGGAAUCUAUGGCAUGGGUGGGAUCGGAAAAACGACUCUUGCCAAGGUAAUCUAUAACCAGCUAUUGAAACGCUUUGUGCAUCAUAGCUUCCUUGCAGAUAUUCGAGAAACAACUUGCUGCAAAAAAAUUGUUUAUUUACAAAAGCAACUAAUUAAGGACAUUCUAAAAGUUGAACAUGAAUUUUGGAAUGUCGAUGAUGGAAUUAGAUGGAUUGAAUCUGGAUUUAGAGGAAAAAAGGUUCUCAUUCUUCUGGAUGAUAUAGAUCACAAUGAUCAAUUAAAUGCUUUGGCUAGAGAAUGUAAUUGGUUUAUGGAGGGAAGUAUUAUUAUUGUUACAACCAGAUAUGAAGCCGUUCUUGAUCAUUCUGAAUUCCAGGUGGACAAGUAUGACUUGAAUGAAUUGGAUCGGGAGCAUGCUUUGCUUUUGUUUAAUAGACAUGCAUUUCGUACAAACCAUUCUUCGAUAGAAUUUGAGGGUCUAUCUCAUGACAUUGUAUCCACCAUGGGUGGGCUUCCCUUGGCACUUAAGGUCGUAGGUUCAUACUUGUAUAAAAAAACGAAUCGAAAAGUAUGGGAAGAUGUGUGGAGGCAGUUAAAAAACCAACCAUGUGGAGACGUCCAAAAAACAUUGCGAAUAAGUUAUGAUGCAUUAAAGGAUGGACAUAAGCAGAUUUUUCUCGAUAUUGUUUGUUUCUUUAUUGGCGAAAAGAGUAAAUAUGCCAUGUACAUGUGGGAGGAUUGUGGGUUUUAUCCAAGUGAAGGUAUUGAAGAGUUGAAGUUGAGGUGCUUAAUUAAAAUUGGAGAUGAUGGUAAAUUUGAGGUGCAUGAUCAAUUGAGAGAUCUUGGAAGGAGCAUUUUUUGCCAAGGACAACCUAGCGGACCAUGGGACGACGACUACGAGGGAAUCACAAAAGUACUAAGACCCCGUGAAUGGGUAAAUAUGGCACUCCAUUCUUUUUCUUUCCCUCUUAUUUUAAUAUAUUUAAUUUGAUCUAUACUAAUAUUUUUUCUGGCAUGAACAGAUGCUCUUACUUUUUAGGAAAAAAGAUCUAUGUAAACAUCCAAUUAUGUCCAUCUUAGAUUAUUUGUGACAACUAAAAGGAUUAUAUGUAUUUAAAGGAUGAACAAGUUAUACCAUUUGAUUCGAUUUCAUUGACAUAAAUUACAUUUAUAAAGAUUUGCUUGACAAUCAAUUUAAGAUCCUUUAACUACAAUUUUGCUCUAUAAAACUCAUUUACUAAAAGCAUGCCAUUGUCAUAUCUAGUUGAAAAUAUUGAUAAUCUGAAGGACUACAAGAACGAAUGUAGAUGAAGUGCAAACAUCAUAGAUCAGAUAAAUGAAGAUGUCUGGGUUUAAAAAAAAAAAAAGAUAGUAUGUGCCAAUUACAAUAAUUGAUAAUUAAUUCAAAACAAUAAGAUUCGAAAAAAUUUCACACUUAUGAUACGUGCUUAUUUUCUAGUAUGGCCGAAUGUAUUGGGGGCUCUUGUGAUUCGGGAAUCCAAUGUUUGAUAUUAUUUUCUCCAUUUUGAUUUUGAAGAUAUCGGUCUCUCUAUUAGUUAUAUCUCUCUCUUUUCAUUCGUAUUUCCUCUUAAUAGAUAAGAUAGCAAAAAUCUCCUUAAAAAUACUUUUAGGAAGAUCUUACGAUUUUUAGAAGUUUUAUCCCGUUGACCUUGCUCAUUUCAUGGAUUAGGUUAGGUGUAUGAUAAAGAGUGGAUUUUAUUGUAACAAACAUUUCUAUCCGCUAUAAGUUUUCUUAUAUUAUUUAUAUUGUUAGGGACAAUGCCUCUUUCAUGCUAGAAAUGUCUAGACUGAAUUGACUAUUUAUAAUUUUUUUUUUUAAAAAAAGACCAGUUAAAGGAAAUGCCAUGCUAAUUAUUAUAUCCAUACCCUUGUCUUAUGAUAUAUGAUUUUCAGCAUGAAGUCAAUUUUUUGAACUAUGUUUUAUCUUUUACUUAAAUUAUCAAUGUUCAUGUCAUUUUAUUAUUAUAUAUUGUCCAUUUGGGAUGCCUCAUAGGCUCAUGGCUGAUCAAAGGCGAGGAAUUAACCCUAGCAAUUAACCAAGAGAUGGGCAAACAAAACGGCUUUAUAUUCUUGAUAUAAUUUGAAAUAGUUUGUUCCUAUGAUUCCAUAUCACACUCUUUUGUUUUUUUGUCGGUCACUCUUUUGUUGAUCCAAUAACUUUUUAACAUUAGCAAAAAGAGCACACCAUACGGGUGUUUGAAAAAUCAAAAAAAAAAAAAAAGAAGUCAAAUAUGUUUUGAAUGGAAAAAAUAGCUGAAAGAUGAUAAUUAGUGUGGUAAAAAAAAUUAAUGAUUGUACGAUUCGAGAGAUUUUGAUUUAAUUUUGCAAAUUGAAAUACAUAUGGGAAUAAUUUCCAAUUGUCUUGACUAUUUCAAAUAUGAUUAUAUCUAUUUUGUUAUAUCAUAUUUUUUCAGUUCAUUUUGGUGAAAUAUAUGUGUAUUGUGUGGAAACUUUUGACGAAAGUUUGAGGUUUGAAAUCCCAUUUCCAUAUAGUAGAUUUUUUAAUGUAAUACAUAGUAUAGAUCGAUGUACAAGCGAAAAUCAUUGAAGAUAGUGUGGGAUGGUGAUUAUAACAAUUUAGCGACAUUUUAGGCAAAUAGACUUAAGAGAAUUUAUUCCCAUUGCAUUUCACUGGUUAAUAUUUAAAGCAUAGAUAACGACAAAGGUGUCAACCUGUAAAAGCGAAUUUCUAACCAAUUAAACAUUUGGGGGAAAACAUAGGUAUUAUUACAAAAUUCAAAUAAAGCCAUAAGGGAAUUUCUUUUGCCGUCUUCAACUAAUUAGAGGAUCUGUGUUUAUAAGAUGGAAAAAGAAACGAUGCAAUUCUUAUGGAAACGGACAUGUGAUGAUUAAACAAUGUCACCACAUUACUUUUUAGUUAAUCGGUUUGUUUUCUAGUUGUUCUGAAAGCGACUUAUUUUUUUCAAUCCCGGUCAAAACUGCAAACCAAUGUCAUCACGUCACUUUUUAAACAUACUUCACCGAAAAACAAAAAAACGUUUCAAUUUUCAAAGAAAUGAGUAAACACUUCGCACAAAUAGUUAAUGAUGUUAAAGACAUUUAGAUAUCUUCUAGAGAUAUUUAGAAUAUUUCUUUUGAUUUUCUAUAUCUAUUUUGAUUAUAUAGAUAUAUAUAUAUAUAUAUAUAUAUAUCAGAUUUGAUUUCUUUUUAUUUCCCUCCAUGUAAUCCUUUCUAUAUAUCUAAAUAUAUUAAAAACUUCACUUUUCUUCUCUCUUGUAUUAUUAUAUUUAACUAAUGAAAUGAAAAUAGGGUGCUUUCUUAGUUGCUUACAGGUGGCCCAUCGGCACUCUUUAACAAAUUCUUUUGAAAAAUUAUACAUAAGUCAUUUGAAACUUUACAAGUAAACAUUUGUACGUUGUAAAAUGGUUUCAUGUAUUUUGUCUUAAAUGAAAGUCAAAAUUCACACGCUACAAAUUAAAAAAAAAAAAAAACAAGAGAUGAAACAUCGAGGUGCAUUUGCCUUAGUUGUUUUAAAGCAGUAAUUAUUUUUUCCUUUAUUUUCGUGUCAUUUGAAAAAAAAAAAAAAGAAUUAAAUGUAAGUUCACAUAUCCAUAUAUGUAUAGGGGAAGGAUGGAAAGGUGUCAGAUCGUGCAAAUCCAAGAUUUGAAAAAAGCAAAAACUAAAAAUUUAAAAAAACUUGCAGGGACACCCCUGGUUCCACGACUUUUUAGGGGCAGCUUCAAGUGAACACUCCAAGCAACUCCUUUCUGAAGUGAGAUGGCUUCGGUGGAACUUUAUUAAAAGCGAUGCAUCUCUUUUGACGGACAAUUUGCAUCUACCAAAAUUAUCGGUGCUGGAGUUAUUGAAAAGCGAUAUCACCGAGGAUUGGGAAGGAUGGAGUUCAUUCAUGGUAAGAUUGAAAAAAGAAGACAUAAUUUCUGCAAUUUUAGAGUUCUGUUCAUGUUUAGCCGAUCAACUCAUUUUUUCACAGCUUAUUCUCUUUUUGUAUUAGGCAUCAAAGCAGCUUAAAGUUCUCAAUCUGAGGCUUAAAUUAAGGCGUACUCCUGAUCUCUCGGCUUUCACGCAGUUGAAGAUUCUCAAGUUGAGCUGCUGUAAGAAAUUGAAGCAUCUCCACCCUUCUAUUGGCAAACUCACGAGCCUCAUUUCCUUGAAUUUGAAUUGCUGUAAGCAUCUCAAGGAGUUACCAAAGGAGGUGGGUGAACUCACGAGCCUCGUUUCCUUGGACUUGCGUUCCUGUGAAAGUCUCAAGAAGUUACCAAAGGAGGUGGGUAAACUGACGAGCCUCAUUUCCUUGAACUUGUGUUACUGUGAAAGUCUCGAGGAGUUAUCAAAGGAGGUGGGCAAACUCACGAGCCUCGUUUCCUUGGACUUGCGUUACUGUGAAAGUCUCGAGGAGUUACCAAAGGAGGUGGGUGAAUUAAAAGAUUUAAAAGAACUUUUAUUAAUUGUUACUGGUAUUACAAAGAUUCCUCCGUCUAUUGGUUCUCUGAGGAAGCUGGAGACAUUAAGUGCCGAUUCUUGUUACUCAUUGAGAGAAAUCCCUGGCUCAAUUUGGGAUUUACAGAAUUUGCAACAUCUUUACUUGAGUGACUCUGGGAUCGAAAAGCUUCCUAGUGCUAUUGGAAGGUUCAAAAAUCUAUGGACUCUAGAUCUCUCAUCCUGCGAUAGUCUGAAAAGGGUAAUUCCAAGUGAAAUUGGCGACUUGCCUUUCCUUAAGGAUCUCAAUCUCUCUGGCACACCAAUAUCUGACCUUCCAGAAAGCGUCCAGAAUCUUUCUUCUCUCCAAGGCCUUUACCUAAUGGGCUCUAAGUAGGGGUGUCAAUAGUUUGGUUCGGUUCAGUUUUUCAAAAAAACCGAACCGAAUCGAACCGUUAGAAAAAACUUUUAAACUGAACCGAACGAGACCCGAAUCGAAUACGAACCGAAUCGAAAAUUUCGGUUCGAUUCGAUUCAGUUUUCUGGUUUUUGAUUUUCAGCUUUUGGUCUUUGGUUUUUUUUUUUUCAUUUUUUUUUCUGUUCAACCCAAAAUAAUUUAAAUUCAAUAUGUCCCGCGCAUGUAGUCACAUGCUAUACAGUUUCUCUUAUCUUCCCGUCCAUGCAAGCAUGCAAUUUGCAGGGUCCGUAGGUCGCUUCGUCUUCAUGCAUGGCCCUGCAUCGAACCCAGAGAAAACCAGGCUAGACGAUCAUGGAGAUCAUCAGUCAUCAUUUCGUCUUCGGGAAACACUGAAGAGAAAGAAGGAACAGCCAUCGCUUCUUCUUUCUCUUCUUUUCGAAUCUGUCGUCGCUCUUUCGUCUUCCUCGCAUCGAAAGACCAAACGCCUCCAUCGAAGAAAGUUGAUACUUUAUCAGCAAUUUUCCCUAUAAAUCACACCGCUUCCCGUCUCCCUCAUGCACGUCUUGCAUUCGAUUCUCACAUCACUCAUCACCCACAGAGAGAGAGAGAGAGAGAGAGAGAGAGAGAGAAUGGUUGAAGGCGGCAAGAACACUUCUUCUAAGUCGACGAUCAUCGUCAACCCCUCCGCCCAAGAUGGCGCAGACCUGGCCCUCACCGUGUCAGUCGCCCACGCGCAGCCACUUGCUGCCUCCUACAAUGACAGAAUCCACCCUCUUCUCGACGCUGUCGACACUGUCGACAGUUUAUUCUCAUAAUGAAACCGAAUUUUUAAUGGUUUGGUGUUAUCGGUUUGUGGUUCGGUUCGGCUCGGUUAACCGAUAAUAAUCAAACCAAUAAAAAAAAUAUUAGUUUUUAAUGAGAACCAGAUCGAACAAAAAAAUCGAAUUUUUCAGUUCCUGACACCCCUAGCUGUAAGGAGCUCCAGUCACUGCCAAAGCUUCCUUCGAGCGUAACAGAUCUGUAGGUCAUUUGUCAGAGUCUUGGACUGCCACAGCUUUUUAGCCUCACCCACCUAGAAGAACUCGAUCUUGAGGUAAGCCAUCUACUUGAAGACAUCCGCGAGCUUUCCUCAAUACCAUUGAAACUCCGUUUUGAGGAGUGGGAUAAGCUUACAUUACUUUCGCUCCACGGAUUUGGGCACUUGGAAGAGCUUUCAAUAAAAAAAGUGUAGUUCCAUCAAAACAUUGACGCUUUCACAAUUGAUUCAUCUUAAACGAUUACGCAUUGAGCGUUGCGAUAGCCUAGUUGAAAUUCAAAGCUUUGGUAAUUUGGAGUCCGGUCAUAUUUUUAUAUGAAUGCAAGUGUUUGGAGACAUUAAAGGCUUCUGGGUGCCACCAUCUAGUUGAAAUUCAAGGUCUUGAGGGUGCGAAGUUCUUAGAAGUGUUGGAUUUUACAGGAUGCAAAUCGAUAAAGACUUUGCCAGAUUUGAUAGGAUUCAAGAAGUUAUGAUCUCUAAUAGUUCAAGACUGCAAGAAACUUACUCAACUUCAAGGACUUGAAAAGUUGAAUUUAAGUGAUUUGGAUAUUUCUGGUCGUGACUCAUUGGAAGCAAUACUGAAAUUAUCUAGAAUGCACAUCUUUAGAAAAUACGAACGAUUUUGAGUUCUCUAUGGAAAUAUUAUCUUGCAGUGAUAAUGAUGUGAGGAAUCCUAUACCCAUAUACAACAGUGAGACUAGUUAUGUUUCUUCAACAAAGGUAAUUAAGUAGUGAACAAUUAUUUUUCCUCUGAGAUUCAGGACCUCCUUUUCAUCACUAUCUUCUUUUGACAAGAAGGUUUUCCAUGACAGGAUUUUGUACUUUCCUAAAUUGCUGGUCUUGCACAAUUGAAGGAGUGGAGGAGUUGGUCAUAGAAGCUCACAUGAUGGUUCGGCCAAGAUCAAAAUGUAGACCCAAAUGUCAAUAGAAGGCAUAGUAAGAUUCUCCAUCCUUGAACGGUCAGCGUGAGCGAAUAGAGUGAUACUUUUCUCGAAGCUCUAUUUUUUUAGAAUGAUAUGCUUCACACUGGAUAUCUAUUUGAUUGAUUUUGGAAACUCUGGAUUUGCCUCUGUAUAAUUGUUAUUGAUUACGUUAUAGCAAUGUUUUUUAUUCAUCCUUCCAUUGGCAGCUUCUGUAGACUGCAAACAGAUAGCAGCUUGCAAGGCAAGAAAGAAAAUAUCAACAAAGGUAAACAAGAAUUACCUAGUGAUUUCAGUUCCCCUAUCAGCAAAUUCGGGAUUUGAAAUUUUCAUCUAGAGGCCAAUGAACUUCUGCUACUCAUUAUUGUANNNNNNNNNNNNNNNNNNNNNNNNNNNNNNNNNNNNNNNNNNNNNNNNNNNNNNNNNNNNNNNNNNNNNNNNNNNNNNNNNNNNNNNNNNNNNNNNNNNNNNNNNNNNNNNNNNNNNNNNNNNNNNNNNNNNNNNNNNNNNNNNNNNNNNNNNNNNNNNNNNNNNNNNNNNNNNNNNNNNNNNNNNNUCCCUUGAUGGCCCUCCAUUAGCCCUCUAAGAAGAGCAUCCACUUCCCAGUUAUAUGGUGAACUGAACUAAAAUAAAAUUCAAGGUUUAAGUGUUUCUGAUUGGUGACAAAAAAAAUGUUAAAGUAGUUUGGGCUAGUUUGUCAUGUAUGAAUGUUGACCAAUUUAACAUUACCAGUAGGCAAACUAUUGUUUUGAAAUAUCAUUAAGCAAGGCAAAUUGGUGCUGCUUCUAUGACAGAUUUGGUUGGUCUAUAUAACGAUCUAGGCUUACUUUGGGACUUCAAUUCAAUCAACUGUAUCGAUGGCCUUUCGCAUUAAAGGACAAUUUUUUGCCUGUCUGUGAAACAAGCUGGGACGAGGAGCUCAAGAAUUUGCUAAUUAGUCUGUAUCCCGUUUGAUCCUAUUGUUGUCAUGGAAUUGCUUUAUGACGUGACUGAUUUGGGUGUGGCUAAGUGGGCUGACGAACUUCAAAUUGCAUACUUGAGAUCGAUCAAAAUAAAGAAAAGGGAUUUUGCAAAGGAAUCAUCAGCAACAAUUGAGGACCAUCUUGCAUGCCAAACUUAAAGACACUUUGGGGCUAACUGGAGUGUCCCAAGGAAGUUUUGAUGCUUCUGAAUAUUCAAAUACUUGAUCUGAUCUCAUCACAUCCCUAAAUGAUUGUAAAUGUAUUUUUUUAGAUUAAACAUGCUUUCUUUAUGCUCAUUAGGUUCUAGCUCUCCUUUAAUCAAAUACUAAGCUACUGAUUUUUUGUAUGUUACCCUGAUGCACAGUUGUUCGACGCGGUUGCAUUCUAAUGAUAUCACUUCGGAAUUGAUGAGGCUUUGCAAAGGGAGGUAUGCACUGCUAGGCUCCUCCAUUUCUAUUAGUUUAUGGGCGUGAUGACAUCCUUUGAAUGUUGUCAUAUAGUUUUCUGAUUUGAUAAGCUCAGUUCUGAUGUACGCGGCAUUGGAUUUGUAAAGUUGAAAUUGACCUCCUCGCAAACUAUCCCGCAUUGCUGAGUUUGCUAAUUGGAACUUGCAAAAUAACCCAGUAGCAAAUGCAUCUUUCUGUUCUGUAGUUUAGGCACUUCACCUUUUUAGCGUAAUUUUUUAGCUUCAAUUCUGUUCCUAAACACAAACAGGGAAAGUGUUGCUAAAUGUUUAAGUCUAUUGGUUUCUAUUUCAUCGGCUAGCUAAAGGAGUCUCUGUUCAUUGUGGUCUAAGUCCGAUUGGUAUCAAUGUUUACGCAUUUUUACCUUAUCUGUCAUGGGGUAAAUUCCGAUGCUAUGAUCUUGGAUAUCUUCAUUUAAUUAUAAUUAGUUAGUGCUAUCUUGCUUAUGCAGAUUAAAGCUGCAUUUGAUGAAACUUGGUGAAACUCCCCAAACACCACGGGUUGGAGAUAUGGGCAAGAAUGAGCUAUGUCAGUAUGGAAAGGCAGUUCCAAAGUUAUUUGCAAUUGGCGUUUAUCUUUUGCUCCAUGUUGUUAAUACUCUUCGAAGGAUUCUUGAUAAAGGUGACCUCUUCUCAUGUGGUGCAUUAGUGUUGGAGAAAUCUUUCCAGAAUAUUUUGAAGCUGACAAAACAUUUCUAUCAGUCUAAGUCUGGAUGUCGAUAGUCUCAAGACUUUAUAGUCUCAAGUCUCAAGACUUUGUUAUCUCAAGACUCAAGACUCAAGACUCAAAAUUAUUCUCACUGACAGUCUUUCUAAUCCAGUGUUGAAGGAAAUUCAAAGCCGAGGUUUAUGGUUGAGGAUUUGAUCCUAUCCUCUGGAAUAGAUUCUUUGGUUGGAUAAUCAUUUCGGAUUCUUUAAUUCUUAUCUAAGAUCGAUUGAAGAUCCGAUGGUCGACGAAAUAAUCUUGGAUUAUUCUAUUCUUGGAAACCGAGAUCCUGAUUGUAUGGGCGAACAGGAUUGAUGGGCUAUCAUCAGAUUCCUUAAAUAGCUCGGAUGAUCUUCUUGAUUGAUUCCGUCCAACGGGUAGAUUGGAGGAAUUCCUUUGGUAAGUACCAAUGGCUAUGAUGGCAUGAAGGAGUAUAAAAGGAAGACGUUCUAGUUGUUUCAAGUGUGUGAUCGAUAGAAAAAUUCCAAAGUCUGAAGAUCCUUGAUUGUUAGUUGAGACUGAGCGAAAUUGUAUACAGAGAGUGUUUAUACUUGGUGACGCCUUGAGUGAGUGUGGUAGAUCAUCUACACCUAGAAAUCAAGGAAGAUCAACACUGUAACAACUCUUUGAUCAUAGUGGAAUCCAGCCAAUCGGCUGUCAGUGCAGAAGAGUGGACGUAGGCUUGAAUCAAGCCGAACCACUAUAAACCGAGUGUUCAAUUCUCUCUUUCCCUUACUCAGUCUUGCGAUUGAAUUUUUAACUGUUGCAAAUUCUCUAAUUGUUUAAAUAUUGUGCAAGCUUCGAGAAAUUUUUUGUAUACCUAUUCACCCCCCCUCUAGGUACUCGUACUAGCUACUUCAAUUAGUCCUUUGCAAGCUUUGAAAUUGUGCUAUUCUUUAACCAAGGCCCCAUCACUAAUCGCUUGGAGGAAGACCGCAUGUGAGUGGUUCUGUAUGUGAAGUCAAGCAAAAAAUGAGAUUUGUUAUCAAGAUUACCAUUUAGAUGUCCACUUCAAGCUACAGUUUUGUGACUGGGAGAGACUUUUUUCUUGAAAAAGCAAAUGCUGAGGAAUCAGCAAACAAUCUGUCCAUUGCAGCCAAGAGAUUCAAUGAAAAGGUUUUCAAGAAGACAGCAGUUUCUUAUUUGGAAGAAUUUAGAGCACAAAAUACAGGCGUUCAUUAGUGUAAAAUCAUCUCUCUAGGCUGGUUAUGUCGGAAAAUUCAUAUGUAGGCAUUUUGCAAUCACUUUGGUCGUAUUAUCUCAAACUUGAUUUAUUUAAGCAUGAAUCUAAAAGCAGAAGAGACACAGCCAUGUACACUUUCAUACCUAAAAUCAAGUAGAGAGACCAGUUCGUUCUUGAAGAGCAGCAUUACUUUUUCCCUUCCAGAUUCUCUCAGGUGGAUGCAUGGAGCUCGUGUCGCUUGGCAAAUUCUCAAUCAAGUACUGGGGUCUGGAGUGGAGUGUUGAGUUGUUUUAUGCAAAUUCUCGAUCAAAGGUUUGUCUGAGUCUCUAGUGUGGAUGGAGUUUAUAUAGGGUCUUUUUCUUGAACGAGAAACUUUGGUUGGUGAUUACGAAAUGUUAAAGUAGUUUUGGCUAGUCUGUCAUAUAUGAAUGUAUGCCUUUCUUAAAAUUACCAGUAGUCAAAAUGUUGUCUUUAAAUAUUAUCAAGCAAGGUAAACUGGUGCUGCUUUUAUGACAGGUUUGGUUGGUCUGUGUAAUGAUCAAGGCUUACUUUGGGACUUAAAUUCCAUCAGCUGUAUUGAUGACCUUUUGCAUAACUGGACAAUUUUUUGCCAUCUGUGAAACAAGCUGGGGCGAGGAGCUCAAUAAUUUGCUAAUUAGUUUACAUCCCAUUUGAUCAUAUUGUUGUCAUGGAAUUAUAUUAUCACAUGGCUGAAUUAGGUGUGGCUCACUUGGCUGAGGAACUUCAAAUUCCACAAAGCAUCAGCAACAGCUGAGGUGCCAAACUUGAAGAGGCUCGUGGGCCAAGCGGAACGUUCUGAGGAAGUUUUGAUGCUUGUGAAGAUCCAAAACACUUGAUCUGGUCUCAACAGCAUGUACCUGAAUGAUAGUAAAUGUAGAAUUUUAAAUUGAAUAUGUUGUUUGUAUGCUCGUUAGGUUCUAUCUCUUUGUUAAUCAAAUGAGUAGCUAGUGAUUUUUGUGUAUGUUAGCCUGAUGCAGAGUUGUUUGAUGUGGUUGCAUUCUAAGGAUAUCACUCCUGAACUCGAUGAGGCUAUGCAGAGGUAGGUAUCCACUGCUAAGCUCCUCCAUUUCUAUCAGUUUAUCCUUUGAAUGUUGUCAUAUAGGUUUCUGAUUUGAUAAGCUCAGUUCUCAUGUUUGCAGUAUUGAAUUAGUGAAGUUGAAACUGACCUCCUCACAAUCUAUCCCGAAUUGCCGAUUUUGUUGACUGGAUAUUGCCAAUGAUCAAGUAACAAGUACGUCUUUUUGUUCUGUAGUUUAGGCUUUUACCUUUUCAGCAUAAUUUUAUUAACAUCUAUUUUGUUCCUGAACACAAACGGGGAAAGUGUUGUUGCUAUUUGUUUACUUCUUUUAAGCCUAUUUUUUUCUUUUUCAUCUGCUAGCUAAUGAAGUCUCUGUUCACUGUGGUUGAACAGUGAUUGGUGUAAAUGAUGUUUAUGCAUUUGUGAUGCUGCAAUCUUGCAUUUCUUUAUUUAUUGAUAAUGAGUCAGUCCUAUCCUCAUCAUGUAGAUUCAAGCUGCAAUUCAUGGAGCUUGAAGAAAGUCCCCAAACACCACACGGGGGAGGUGCGGGCAGGAAUGAGCUAUGUCAUUAUGAAAAUGUAUUCUGAACCUAGCGAUGUUUAUCAUGUGCUCCGUGUUGAUAAUACUCUUCAAAGGAUUCUGGAUAUAAAGCAGCCUCUUCUCAUGUGGGGUAUUUGUCAUUUGCAAGCACAAAUUGCUUGCAGGAAGACCGCACGUGCAGGUGGUUUUAUUUGUGCAGGUUAUGCAUAAAGUGAGAUUUGUCAACGAGAUUACCAGUUAGGUGUCCACUUCAGGCAACAAUUUUGCGACUAGAAAAAGUGAAUGCCAUGGAAUCAGCAAAAAAUCUGUCAAUUGCAGCCAAGAGUUUCGGUGAAAAGGUUUACAAGAAGACAGUAGUUUCUCAUUCGGUUGAAUUUUGAACACAAAAGAAAGGUGUUCAGUAGUGUAAAAUCAUCCAUCUGUUCUGGUGCUACAUCAGAAAAUUCAUAUGUCCGCAUUUUGCAAUCACUUUUAUUGUAUAAUCUCAAACUUGAUUUAUCUAAGCAUGAAUCUAAAAGCUGAAGAGACCCAACCGUAUAUAUUUUCACACCUGAAACCUGUUUAUCUCUUGCAUUGGCUGCAGUUGAAGACUAAUAACAAAACGUGGACUACAUUUUUGGAAGGGUGAAAAGAGCCCUUCCCAAAAUUUACUCAUUUUCAUUGAACAAAAAACUUCUAAAGGUCAUCUAAUUGGUUUAUAAUGAGAUGAUACUCCACCAAAUUGUGGUCACUGUUUCACACAUUCAAGUGUCAAUCAAAGCAAUUUCUUUGAGGCCACUCUCAGAUAUUCCUGUACCCUGUACUAAAUUAUAAUGGUGGAAUUUUAGUAGUUGAAAGCUACUCCCAAGGUAUUCAUGGUUUGAUGUGCUUGUUGUCCCCUUGAACUUUGACUCAAUUUUUCCAGAGCUCAAGACAAGGCCAAGUAGCUUGUUAAGCCACAUUUGAAUCUAUAAGUACAUAUGUAAUGCAGUUUGUGUUGAAAUACUUGUUAAAUGUACUUAACAUGAAAUAAUUUAAUUUCAGAAUAUUGGUUGAACAUUGCACGAGAAAAGUCGCAAGUAAAGUCAAUGUAUCAGCUCUACACUUUAUUUACUUAGCUGCUUAGCCAGUGUCUAGGUAAUUAAUCCAAAGGGCAAUAGCUUUGUGUUUGACUACUUAUGGAACAUCAUUCACAGCCCCAUCAGCCGAAUUGAUUUGAAGUCGGAACGCAUGAAUAGACCGGAUAAUUGGAUGAACAUUCUGAACCAAUUGAGCUGAUGUGAUUUUGUUCAUGGGCUUUCCUCCCUUUUUCUCUUCCACUUUCGUUUCAUGCCAACAAUUUGCUUCGAGCUUGUUUUUUUAAAGUUCUAUCACAUUUUACAUCAAGAUCAUAUGAAUAACAGCCGUUCAAACAAUAACUAUGUAAGUUCCCAAAGGACAAGAGAAGAUUUGGUUCGGGCUCUUUGAUUUCCUCAUAUUUGUAACUCCAAGCUCGACAGGAUGGAAGUUGAAAUAUGAAAACUGUCCUCAAAUCAGAAUGGAACUAUAGAAGGCCUUACAGCUUAUUUAACACCUGCUAGCUGCAUGUUAGAAUGUAUAGGUUUGGUAGCUUGCCAUAGGAUAAAUAAUAUAAUGCACAUGAAUCGAAAUAGACAAAUUGAGGAAUUACAGGGUUAAUGAACCCCAAAACGGAGAAUUAAAACAACAUUUGGCCAAAAAUAAAAGUUCUAAACAAUGAAAUCGACCACGAAAGUAAAUGUAAACGUCAAAUCCUCCAAAUGAAAGCAGUCGUCUUAUUUUGCAAUCAGCAUCGUGUUGUUGAGAAGAGAAAUUAGUAGGUCAGACAAUUUUUACUUUGCACGAGAAUGCAUGCAUAAUCAUAUUGCAGAUAAAUCAGAAGGCAAGGAAAUUCGAGGAAAAAAAUCUUUUGGCAAAUAUAAAUAUAUGUGAAUAUCACAUACGAGUGGUCUCAUCUUCCUAUGUUUCAGAUGCUGAAGAUCAAUAAAUGAAACAAGGAUUCGAACAAACAUUAUACUGGAAAGAUCGAACAUUGUGGCACUCUUCUGAAUACUUAAUUACCAUUAGAUACAUAUUAAGAUGAUUAGCCAAUAAACAAAGCAAACCUCUUUGUUUCCUCCUGACCGAUUUCAUCCUUUUCUCUCUUGAUGACAAUGAGCAUGAUAUUCCGUAAUUUCUACAUAUUAAAAAUCGAUACAUAAAGCCCUAGCAUUGCGCUUCAACCACCGGAACCCUUGUUUGAAAGAAGCCUUGAACUUGCCCUCGACCAAAUAAAGCUUGUAUCUUGCCACCUCCUCUUCUCUGCUUCUCCGGGUCAUUCCACCACGUUUAUCAAAUUCUAAAACGUAAGAAAUAGGCAAAGGCCAGAGUCCAUUUCGACUUACAACAUCAGGUUUGUCUAUUCCCAUCCCAAAGGCAAUGGUAACACACAAUCUGGACCUCUUCAGUAUGCCAAUUCUUUUGAACAGUGACGAGCUACUAAUCCAGCAUGAUAGUACACCACUUUUAUAUGACCUUGUAUUUUAGAUCUAGUCUGUCAAACCUUGGGUCCCUGAGCUUUGACAGACUAGAUCUAAUAUAUGAGAACAUGGGGAACCCCAAGAGCUUUUAGGAUAUCCUGCGAUGGAUGUAUAAUUCAAUCAAAUUAAACAGAUUAUUUCAACAUAAUCAAGGGGUUAAUAUGUGAGCUUAGUACUCAUGAACUGACUGAGUGGCGGUUGCAGUUAAGGCCAUCACUGGGACAUACGGAAAGUUCUGCUUGAGACAUCCUAGUCCCCUAUAAUCUAGUUGAAAAUCGUGUCCCCCUUGACUAAUAAUGACAACCACAAAAGUGACAAUCAAUGAGCUUUACUCCUUAAUCAGUCUAAAUGUACAAGAAAAGCUCAAACCAGCAGCAUUUUCCUUUCAUGAGAUCAAACUGGCAGAGCAAAUCCAGUUAAGACCUUGUAAGAAACACAAUCAAUGAUCACAUGGUUGAACCUUUGCCUUUCUCAAGUUGUUACCAUAAAGUAUAAGUGUUAAUAGAAUAAACGGGGACACAAGAACCAGCUUAAGAGACUGAGUAUCAUGCCAAACAUAGAUAGGAGGUAUAAUCCUUAUCCAAGCUUAUGCCGAUUCCAAUUGCUCUGGGAAGUAAUUUCCAUUGGAGCUUAUUUAAGUUGUGCGCUCUUUACUCAAUAUAGUGAAAGAUGGGCCACUAAGUAUUCCCAAACGAUGGAACCUAAAUCUUUUCAUCGAACAAGGAGCACCGCAUUAUGUUAUAUAGAAAUUUCAUAGGGCUUUGGGCUUCAGAAGGCCUAGUGUAACACUGACAAUUUAAUUAGGCUAGACACAUAAAAAAUGCAGAGAAGUUUGGAAAAAGAGCUUAAGUUAGCAUAUAUAAAAGCUCAAACCAGCAGUACAUUCCUUUCAUGACAACCAUGAAAGUGACAACCAAUGAGCUCUUGUCGUCAAUCAAGCAAAUGUACAAUAAAAGCUCAAACCAGCAGCACGUUCCUUUCAUGAGAUUAAAUUGGCAGAGCAAAUCUAGUCAAUACCUUUUAUGAAACACGAUCAAUGAUCACGUGGGUGGACCCUUGCCUUUCUCAAAUUGUCAGUAUAUAGUAUAACCAUUAAUAGAAUAAAUAGAUACACAAGAACGAGCUUAAGAUAUUGAGUAUUAUGCCAAACAUAGAUAGCAGAUAGCAUCUUCCUUGUAAGAAACACAAUCAAUGAUCACGUGGGUGGACCUUUGCCUUUCUCAAGUUGUCAGUACAUAGUUUAACCAUUAAUAGAAUAAAUAGAUACUCAAGAACCAGCUUAAGAGAUGGAGUAUCAUGCCAAACAUAGACAACAGAUGGCAUCCUUAUCCAAGCUUAUGCCACUUCCAAUUACUUUAGGAAGUCAUUUCCAUUGCAGCUUAUUUAAGUUGAGUGCUCUUACUCCAUAUAAUGAAUGAUAUGCCACUAAGUUUUCCCAAACGACAGAACCUAGAUCUUUUCCAAAGCUCAAACAAGGAACAUUGCAUUCUGUUAUAUUAGAACUUCAGAGGGCUUCAGAAGGUCUAGGGUAACACUGACAAUUUAAUAAGGCUAGAAACACAGAAAAUGCAAAAAAGUUUGGAAAAAGAGUUUAAGUUAGCUUAUAUAAAAGGAAACUUGCUUAUAUUUAUCUGGAAUAAGGACAAAAGUUUUGCAAUGGCAACAUCACAAAUGAUUAUUCUUUUUGAAGUAACUCUAGCAUGAUCUUUCUUCAUGUGCGAGGCAUGCCAAAGCUUAUGCAUAUGUCACGCAAUGUCCCUCAUCAACAACAAAACCAGAGAGUUGUGCCUACAAUAAAAUAUCAUCAAAUAUAAAAAAUUAUAAAGAACCAUUUUGGAAAAAAGUUACAGUGCAUCAGAAACAACACCUUUCUGUGCAUGCAUUUCAAUAUCUCGAGAAAUGAUAUUUUUCCCCCAAUCCUUUUAGGAGUUACAUGCAAUAGCUUGCACGAUGUUUAUCUUUUCUGAAAGGGCAGGCAAAGCAGAAGUGGAGGUUAAUAAUUUGGCAGUCACAACACUCAGCAUAAAAGUUUUUUGAUCAAAAACCGCGAGGACAACUGCCAAUUGGGCAACAGUCUGUUGAGAGUUCAAGAAAGUAGAUUGUAUGCUGUACUUGAGGGUUACAUUAGUUAUUUGAUCCUAGAUGAGAAAUAGCAAGGGAGAUAUAACAACUGUGACACCUGGUUUUAAAGUUGCUAGCAGCUGAAACGAAGGUAAAAACAUCAGAAGAGCAAAUGAAGAAAGGAAGGGACGAUGGAAUUAUUAUUUCUUUCACCUUCAGUUGAUCAGGAAGGACAAGUUGUCACUACUUGUUUUAUAAUUACUUUCAGUACAUAUAUCAACUACUUCAAGACUAAAUAGAAAACACUUCUAAAAAAAUCAACUUAAUAAAUCCAAACUUAUAUCUUCCUUCUUAAUUCAGUUAUCAUUAAUUUUGCUUGCAACCAAGAUCCAUUGUAUAUUAAAGGACAUUAAUUUCAAACCAAUUAUGGGAAAAAGAAGUCCUAGAUCAUCACCCUUUGUUGAGAUAAUGGCAUAGCAAAUAACUGCAAAGGACCUUACCAAAAAAAAAAAACUGCAAAGGACAUAUAAAAAUCUAGAACCCAUUUCUCUCUGACUUAAUAACCCUCUUGAAUUGGACAUGAAUUAUGACUGACAACAACACAUAACAUGCAUAAACAAGAUGAAUUUUCAUGUAAGUGAUUAGAAGGUCCUAGAAGUGUAGCGCAAACUUCAAAUCCUAAAGAUUACAGACUAGAUAGAGAGGUGCGAAGGCAGAACAAGAAUGUACAAUAUUUCCUUCUUUUCUACUUUUGUCCGAUGCCAUACAUUGGAACCCAUGCUUAUGUGCCUGAAUCACUUCCUAUAGCUUAAUUUCAUUUGAAAAACAUUUCCUUCCUUAAGUUCACAACCUUCUUAAAAUGCUAAACAAAGCAGAUCAGAAGAUCAUGUUAUAGCUUAAAUGUUGACAUACAAGUCUACUUAAACAUUUAAUUGGUGGAACCACUGAGCAAAGUGCACAGGGCUUGUGCUCUAACAUUGUCUCCACACACUUCUACAUACAAUCAUCACCCAGUUGAGACAAUGUUAACAUUAACUAACCUGGUAACAUAAACUUUUACCACCUUUAUUGGGCAUGAGAAUAAAGCAAACUUGCUUGGCUACAGAAGCUUUACAAGCCUGACGUUGCAUUGGUCGAAAUGCCUUGGUUCCGAAUAUGACAAUGUGACAUCCCGAUUUUUCUCAAUUUUAUUUUUAGUCAAUUGAGUCGGGCAAUUCAUCUGUGCGUGUAGUUCGUCUCUCAGAGUUGGCCACUCACGAGGGAACUAGUCUAUUGAGUGAAGCAAUUAAGGAAUUUUAAUGCGUCAGACUUGGGGACUGAUCACCCUCGGGUCGGAUGCAAGAAAAUUUCCCCAAAAGCUACUCAGUGGAUUAGGCGCGCUGAAAUCGCACCAGAGUGAAUUCAACCGUAAAAAUUGGGAUUGAAUUUAGAAGUUGGAAGCCCGGUUAUGUCACACAUCUUAUUAGGAUGAUGGGAUAAUUUUGUGGAUUUUAAUUGAAUUCAAUUAGAAGAGAAUUGAAAGAAAAAUUGAAGAAAUUGGAUGUGCAAGGAUUUGGACCCCUGUGGAAAUGAUAUUGCACCCAUUGAAGAAUGUUGCGGGAGAGGAGAUACUGGAAGAUGACAUCAUGGGGGUGAUGUCAUGCUGAUUGAAGCCAAGGAUUGAGGGCUUGACAAGUGGAGGGUGGAGAUUUAAUCUCCAAAAAGGGGGCCAUCACCAUCAUCUUCAACCUUGGGAAGGAGAGAGAGAGAACUGGCGAAGGGGAGCUCGCCCGUCGACCAGCCUGCCCGCGCAUGCCGCUCCUCUGCCGUUCGUCGUCGUCGUGCAGCGCCGUCGUCACCGUCCCGUGCGACCGCGCAUCGCCCCGCACCCGCGUGCUCAUGCUUCGUCAACGCCGCCUCAGCAGUGCUCGUCCCGUCGGCCCAGCCACCCCAGCCGCUGUUCGACCUUGCCAGAGCCUCCUUCACCGUCGCCGUUGAGCCAGCCGAGCCGCCGCCUCUUCCUCCGCUCGUUUCGCACGCCUGCACCUCCCCGUCGCGCCUCUUUCCGGCCCGGUUCAACUGCUCCAUUUAUGGGUAUCUUAGCCCCUUCUAGGCCCACUUUGGCUAUCUUCCCGGCUCCGGAAGCUAGGCCCGCCUUUGGAAAAGUCAAUCCCGGCGUUGCCCUCGUCGUUUUGGUCCAAGCGGUGAGUUAAUCAAGUGAGUUUAUCUCACUAAACCCUAAUUAGAGUGUUAAUAAUGCCCUAAGUUUGUUUAGUUUGAAUUAGGUGAAUUUAGGUGGGUAGAUUAGUAUAUUUAAUUAUAAAUUGGGUUAAGAGGUUGGUUUAUAUUAAAGUAUGUUUAAUUAAGGUGAAAAUAGGUUAUUUAAUGUUAAGCCUUGAUGGGACAUAAUAGGAUUUUAGUUUUGAAUUAUUUAAUUGCUUCAAAAUUCUGGAUAAUAUAAUAUUAUAUUAUAAUCCGAAAUUAUUUAAAUAUUAUUAAAAAAACGGAAAAAUUAUUUUUGACCCCGGUUGCUCAGAAUUUCGUGACGAUCGCUGCUAUGCAUUUAGAAUUUGAAAUUGAUGAUUGAUUGUGACAAAUUGAGUGUGAUUGCGAUAAAUAGAGAUUUUUUUUAUAAAAUCUUAAGUGUGGAAAUUGAUGGGAGAUUGGCCGUGAUUGACCACCUAUUAGAGGUCGUGCCCAAUAGGGUCGUGAUUAACCACCUAUUAGAGGUCAUGCCCAGUGAGGUCGUGAUGUACCACCUAUGAGAGGUCGUGCCCAAUAGGGACGUGAUUAACCACCUAUUAGAGGUUGUGCCCAGUGAGGCCGUGAUGGACCACCUAUGAGAGGUCGUGCCCAAUAGGGCCGUGAUUAACCACCUAUUAGAGGUCGUGCCUAAUGAGGCCGUGAUGGAUCACCUAUGAGAGGUCGUGCCCAAUAGGGCCGUGAUUAAUCACCUAUUAGAGGUCGUGCCCAGUGAGGCCGUGAUGGACCACCUAUGAGAGGUCGUGCCCAAUAGGGUCGUGAUUAACCACCUAUUAGAGGUCGUGCCUAGUGAGGCCGUGAUGGACCACCAAUGAGAGGUCGUGCCCAAUAGGGCCGUGAUUAAUCACCUAUUAAAGGUCGUGCUCAGUGAGGCCGUGAUGGACCACCUAUGAGAGGUUGUGCCUAAUAGGGCCGUGAUUGACCACCUAUGAGAGGUCGUGCCCAAUAGGGCCGUGAUUGACCACCUAUUAGAGGUCGUGCCCAUCGGGCUGAGAUCUACCACCUAAUUAAAGGUCGUGCCAAGUGGGGCCGUGAUUGCCACUGGUUAUUAAACCUUCCUAUAGGGUCCUGAUUGGAAGCAGUAAUUGAUUUGCUAGAAUGACAUGUAAUUGGCCGAGUCAAUUGAUCGCUAAGACGAUCCAAGUGAUUGAAUUGUUCUGAUAAUGUGAUUGUGCCUCAGUUGUUUGGUUAUCAGAAUUGCACAUUGUUGAAUUAUAUAAAUUGUGCUAACCUGUAGAUAAAGGCUAAUGUGAGGACCGUAGAUGGCGGUACCCCCGGAGAAGAGUGGCAUGCCGACAGAGAUUGACCAGACGACGCAGAGUGCUCCUGACCCUGGAAGUCCUUGGGUCUAUCAGUUGGUUAGGUCCAUUGUCUAGGUCUAGGUGACUGUGGAUGUCAGGGUACCUUAUAUGUUUAGGGCUUGGUUUCGUUUUGGAGUCGAUGGCGUUAGGGUUGGCCCACUGGAUAGUAUGGACAUUCCGUUGGCUGUGAUGAACGCCAUUUUGGGUGAAGGCGUGGCGGAUCUUCCUGACGGUAGAGUGAUCAAUGCAUCGCCCCCAGCCUCUUGGGUGACAGAUCCUAAGGAUGUGGGAUCGUCGAACGAGGCCAACCAAUAGUCUUAGGACUGUUUUUCUUUUUGGCGGACCGAUCCAUGUUGUGUAGACUAACCCUUUUUUAUGCACAUAAGCUUUGACCCAUUUUUGGUGCAUAUAGUCUCUGGAUCCUGUUGGUGUAUAUAAACCCUGGAAUGAUGAUGAUUUAUGAAAGUAUGUUUGUUUGAUUUUGAAUUGAUUUUCCUGUUGUCAUAUCCCGUAUGUUUUUAUCAGGGUUUCUUAGCACAUUCCACAUUCACAUAAUAAUUUAAAAUGGGGCCGGCGACACUACCUGGGAAUGUCGCAUUUACAUGACCAUGGCAGGUUGUUCAAGUGUCUCGGGGUUUGAGGCGUGACAUCCCCGUUUAAGUGGUAUCAGAGCAUGUUUUGUGUAUGGAGUGAUAAGGGCGAUGAGUCAUGGGAUAAUUAGUAGGAAGAACUUUCCAUAUCCUAAUGCACGUGAUUGUUAGUUGUUUGUUAACUUGGUUGGAAUGUUACUCAAAUUCUAAUAUGGUAUUGGAAUUCGCCAAUAGGCGUCUGUAUUGAGCCUGUAGCAUGAGUGACCGAGUGCCGAGAGCUGUUAGGAAGAGAGCAGCAGGUCCCGUGUUUCGAGGUGGGUCUUCGUUGAGGGCCGGUGCCCGUGGUACCCUGGGAGGAGCGCAGGCCAAGACCAGUGCAAAUGGUGCAGCUUUGCCUCCAGACGGUGCAACAGCGUUAGAGGAUUCGAGGUUUAUUGGAAUCAUGCAGAUGCUCGAGGCGAUGGGAGACAGGAUGGAUCAGCAAGCCACUGCUAUAGCCACCGCAUUGAACACCGCCAAUACCACUGCUACUGCCGCCGCACCGGUUGCCGAACCAGAAGAGGAACCCGAUGAAAUUCUACUUGAGGAUGUGGCCGCUGGGAGGCCUAGACAGAAGUUGGUAUAGCAUCAACGUUCACGGGAGCAAGAGACCCCAAAGCUACAGCAUUAUGGAUCCUGGAGUUAGAGAAUGCCUUUGAGUUGCUGUUGUGCACUGAAGCAGAAAAAGUCGUCCUGGCAGCCUAUCAGUUGAGGGGGAUCGCGGCUACAUGGUGAAAGACUAACAAAAGGAUAAUGUUCCCUAAAGGUGUGGUUCUAGAGUGGAAUGCUUUUCUUGAAGUCUUCAAUGAGAAGUACUUUUUUGAUUGUGCCAGAGAGGUGAAAAUGGCGGAGUUUCAGUGCCUUCGUCAAGGUACCAUGUCAGUUGAUCAUUAUGAAGCGAAGUUCACCGAACUGUCGCAGUAUGCCCCUGAGUUGGUCCAGCGACCGUCAGACCGAGCUCGAAGGUUUAGAGAUGGGUUCCGAUCGGAGGUGAGGAGCUUGUUGGUACCACUGGAUUUGAAGGAGUACAAUGACCUCUACAAGCAGGCCCAGCUAAUCGAGAAAGACCAGAAUGAGAGAGCUGUCGCAUUUGGGUCACGGUUUAAUUCAAACAGAGAUGAUAAUCGGUUUGGGAAGAGGCCGAUGCCUGGGGGAAGGUAUCAUGUUCCACCCAACAGGAAGGGUGGAGUGGGGAAGUCGUCAUCGAGCUUCAAUGGAGCAUGUCGUUCGUGUGGAAGGCGACAUGGCUCAGCCCCGUGCCCUCUUAGGACGGGUGCUUGAUAUGAGUGUGGCCAGCAGGGUCACAUUACUAGGGUUUGUCCCAGGAGACAGAUGAGACAACCUCAAUUGCCGCCACCACUGGGUCAGAACAGAGGAUUCGCACCGCAGAUCGUGUCGCCCGGUGGAUUGAACCGACCUCUAGCUCAAGGAAGGACUUAUGCACUCACUAGAGGACAGGCGGAGGAUGCACCUAAUGUGGCCAUAGGUAUGGUCUUGCUGAACGACAAACCUGCUUAUGCUUUAUUUGAUCCCGGAGCUUCGCAUUCGUUUAUAGCUGAAAUAUUUAUUAAGUUGGUAGAAUUAAUUCCUGAAUUGUUGGAGUUUGUGAUUAGCGUAUCUACUCCGUUGAAAGAUAAGGUGUUAGUUACAGUAGGUUGCCUAGGUUGCAAGCUAGUGAUUGGUGAGCGAGAGGGGAGGAUAGAUUUGAUAGUCCUAGCCAUGUAUAAUUUUGAUGUGAUAAUUGGCAUGGACUGGCUCACCAAGCAACGAGCUAAGAUGGACUGUUAUCGCAAGGCGAUUUAGUUUAACCCAUUAGAGGGUGAGAGUUUCGAAUUCAAUUGGAGUCGAGGAGGACCCUCGGUUUCCUUAAUCUCAUUGCUCGAGGCAACUCGCUUGCUAGGCAAGGGUUGCCAAGGUUACCUGGCGACUAUCGUGGACAUGAUAGUAGAGGAGUCGAAGAUAGAAGACAUUCCAGUGGUGCGAGAGUUCCUAGAUGUGUUCCCGAAAGAAUUACUAGGUUUGUUGCCAAAAAGAGAGAUAGAGUUUGUAAUUGAGUUAGCUCUCGGGACCGAGCCUAUCUCCAAAGCUCCUUACCGGAUGGCCUUGUCAAAGCUUAAGGAACUAAAGGUGCAAAUGCAAGAGUUGUUGGAUAAAUGAUUUAUACGUCCAAGUGCAUCACCUUGGGGAGCAUCGGUGUUGUUUGUGAAGAAGAAUGAUGGUUCAUUACGCUUGUGCAUCGACUACCGACAGCUCAACCAGGUGACAAUUAACAACAAGUAUCCGUUGCCAAGGAUUGAUGAUUUGUUUGAUCAACUUCAAGGAGUGUCGAUAUUUUCUAAGAUCGACUUGAGGACGGGAUAUCAUCAGCUAAGAAUCAAGAAGGAAGAUAUACCGAAGUCGGUGUUUCGCACUCGAUACGGCCAUUACAAGUUUACCGUGAUGCCGUUUGGGCUGACGAACGCCCCGACUGCUUUCAUGGACCUAAUGAACCGGGUGUUCAGAGAGUAUUUAGAUCAGUUCGUAAUUGUCUUCAUCGACGACAUCCUGGUGUAUUCAAGGAGUACUAAGGAUCAUGAAAGGCACUUAAGAAUAGUGCUUUAGACUUUGAGAGAUCACGAGUUGUACGCUAAGUUCAGUAAGUGCGAGUUUUGGCUAACUCGUGUGGCUUUCCUAGGUCAUGUUAUCUCUGGAGAAGGAAUCUCAGUGGACCCAGCCAAGAUUGAAGCAGUGAUCAACUGGCCGAGACCUACUACAGUGACAUAAAUAAGAAGUUUUCUGGGUUUAGCAGGGUAUUACAGACAGUUUGUAGAAGGGUUUCCAAUGUUAGCAUCGCCGAUGACGAGACUGCUGAAGAAGGAAGAAAAGUUUGUAUGGUUAAAUAAGUGCGAGUGUAGUUUCCAAGAGCUCAAGCAAAAGCUAACUAGUGCACCUAUACUUACUAUUCCAUCUAGUCCAGGAGGAUUUGAAAUCUACAGCGAUGCGUCGUUUAAAGGAUUAGGUUGCAUAUUGAUGUAGCAUGGUAGGGUUGUUGCGUAUGCGUCCCGUUAGUUGAGACCUCAUGAGUUGAAUUAUCCGACGCAUGACUUAGAACUUGCAGCGAUCAUCUUUGCCCUUAAGAUUUGGAGGCACUACCUGUGCGGAGAAAGAUUCCAAAUCUUCACUGACCACCAGAGUCUUAAGUACUUAUUCUCUCAGAAGGAGUUGAAUAUGAGACAGCGCCGAUGGAUGGAACUCCUAAAGGACUAUGACUAUGAGAUUUUGUAUCAUCCCGGAAGGGCGAACAAGGUCGCCGAUGCAUUGAGCAGGAAGUCUUCAGUUGCACAUAUGGUACUCAAGGAAUGGAGUCUACUUGAGGGAGCACGAGAUUCGAGUUUCAAGUUUGAAGUAUGCCACCUUUCGAACCUUAUGGCCACCCUCAGAAUUGAGCCAGAAGUUCAGGUCAGGAUCAGGACACUUCAGCAGACAGAUCCGAAUAUUUAGAAAAUCGUACAAGAGGAUACAAAGAAGAGGAAAGCUGACUUCCAGAUUUCUGAUAAUGGAACGUUGAGGUUCCAAGGACGGUUGGUUGUACCCCGCGAUGUGGAGCUUAGGGAGGAGAUUUUAUCAGAAGCGCAUCGUAACAGUUACAACAUUCAUCCUGGUAGUACCAAGAUAUAUCAGAAUCUGCGUCAACACUAUUGGUGGUGUGGCAUGAAGGCGGAUAUCGCCAAACAUGUCGCCAAGUGUUUGACGUGUCAGCAAGUGAAAGCCCAGCAUUGCAAACCGAGAGGACUUCUGCAACCCCUUGAGAUCCCAGAAUGGAAAUGGGAGCAUAUCACGAUGGGCUUCGUGACGGGACUACCGAGGAGCUAGAGAGGAAAUGAUUCGAUUUGGGUAAUAGUUGACAGAUUGACAAAAUCGGCUCACUUCAUUGCAAUUUGAAGGGACUUGAGUUUGGAUAGACUCGCAGAUCUGUAUGUACGUUAGGUAAUUCGUAUGCAUAGAGUGCCGGUCACAAUUACUUCAGAUAGAGACCUGAGGUUCACUGCCGCUUUUUGGAAGAGUUUGCAAUCCGCUUUAGGAACGAAGCUGCAGUACAGUACGGCCUAUCACCCGCAGACUGAUGGCCAGUCUGAGAGGACAAUUCAGACUCUUGAGGACAUGCUGCGAGCUUGUGUCUUAGACUUCAAAGGAAGUUGGGAGGAACAGCUUCAUCUGGUUGAGUUUGCCUACAACAACAGUUAUUGGCAGAGUAUUCAGAUGGCUCCUUUUGAAGCGUUGUAUGGUAGAGCAUGCAGAACGCCAGUGUAUUGGGAUGAGAUCGGAGAAAGAAAGAUCACCGGUCCAGAGUUAGUACAGCAGUCAGUGGAAGCAGUUGCAGUUAUCAGAGACAAACUAAAGACUGUUCAGAGUCGACAGAAAAGUUAUGCCGAUAAUCGUCGGAGGCCAUUGGAAUUCCAAGUUGGUAAGCACGUCUUCUUGAAGGUGUCAUCGGUGAGAGGUACUUCCCGCUUUGGCAAAAAGGGGAAACUAAGUUCGAGGUACGUAGGUCUCUUCGAGAUUUUGGAAAGAAUAGGGACUCUAGCGUAUCAUCUUGCACUGCCGCCGAAGUUGUCACAGGUGCACAACGUCUUUCACGUGUCGAUGUUGAGGAAAUAUGAACCUGACCCGACUCACGUUCUAAAUUUCGAGGAAUUAAACGUGGACAACAAAGUGUCGUACGUUGAAAACUCGAUUCAGAUUGUGGAUCACAAAGAGCAAGUUCUGCGCACUAGGACCAUCCCAAUGGUCAAAGUGAUCUGGCAACACCAUGGCACUAAAGGAGCAACCUAAGAGACCGAAGAAUCAAUAAAAAAAUUGUACCCCUACCUUCUUGUUUAAAGAUCUGUAAUGGUUUAAAUUUCGAGGACAAAAUUUUUAUAAGAGAGGAAGAGUUGUGACAUUCCAAUUUUUCUCAAUUUUAUUUUCAGUUAAUUGAGUCGGGCAAUUCAUCUGUGCGUGUAGUUUGUCUCUCAGAGUUGGCCACUCACGAGGGAACUAGUCUAUUGAGUGAAGCAAUUAAGGAAUUUUAAUGCGUCAGACUUGGGGACUGAUCACCCUCGGGUCGGAUGCAAGAAAAUUUCCCCAAAAGCUACUCAGUGGAUUAGGCGCGCUGAAAUCGCACCAGAGUGAAUUCAACCGUAAAAAUUGGGAUUGAAUUUAGAAGUUGGAAGCCCGGUUAUGUCACACAUCUUAUUAGGAUGAUGGGAUAAUUUUGUGGAUUUUAAUUGAAUUCAAUUAGAAGAGAAUUGAAAGAAAAAUUGAAGAAAUUGGAUGUGCAAAGAUUUGGACCCCUGCGGAAAUGAUAUUGCACCCAUUGAAGAAUGUUGCGGGAGAGGAGAUAGUGGAAGAUGACAUCAUGGGGGUGAUGUCAUGCUAAUUGAAGCCAAGGAUUGAGGGCUUGACAAGUGGAGGGUGGAGAUUUAAUCUCCAAAAAGGGGGCCAUCACCAUCAUCUUCAACCUUGGGAAGGAGAGAGAGAGAACUGGCGAAGGGGAGCUCACCCGUCGACCAGCCUGCCCGCGCACGCCACUCCUCCGCCGUUCGUGGCCGUCGUGCAGUGCCGUCGUUGCCGUCCCGCGCGACCGCGCGUCGCCCUGCGCCCACGUGCCCGUGCUCCAUCGACACCGCCUCAGCCAUGCUCCAUCCCAUCGGCCCAGCCACCCCAACCGCCAUUCGACCUCGCUGUAGCCUCCUUCACCAUUGCCGUUGAGCCAGCUGAGCCGCCGCCUCUUCCUCCGCCCGUUUCGCACACCCACACCUCCCCGUCGCGCCUCCUUCCGGCCCAGUUCAGCUGCUCCAUUUGUGGGUAUCUUAGCCCCUUUUAGGCUCGCUUUAGCUAUCUUCCCAGCCCCAGAAGCUUGGCCCGCCUUUGGAAAAGUCAAUCUCGGCAUCGCUCUCGUCGUUUUGGUCCAAGUGGCAAGUUAAUCAAGUGAGUUUACCUCACUAAACCCUAAUUAGAGUGUUAAUAAUACCCUAAGUAUGUUUAGUUUGAAUUAAGUGAAUUUAGGUGGGUAGAUUAAUAUAUUUAAUUAUAAGUUGGGUUAAGAGAUUGGUUUAUAUUAAAGUAUGUUUUAAUUAAGGUGAAAAGAGGUUAUUUAAUGUUAAGGCUUGAUGGGAUAUAAUAGGAUUUUAGUUUUGAAUUAUUUAAUUGCUUCAAAAUUCUGGAUAAUAUAAUAUUAUAUUAUAAUCCGAAAUUAUUUAAAUAUUAUUAAAAAAAUGGAAAAAUUAUUUUUGACCUUGGUUGCUCAAAAUUUCGUGCCAAUCGCUACCGUGCAUUUAGAAUUUGAAAUUGAUGAUUGAUUGUGGCAAAUUGAGUGUGAUUGCGAUAAAUAGGAAUUUUUUUUUAUAAAAUCCUAAGUGUGGAAAUUGAUGGGAGAUUGGCCGUGAUUGACCACCUAUUAGAGAUCGUGCCCAAUAGGGUCGUGAUUAACCACCUAUUAGAGGUCGUGCCCAGUGAGGCUGUGAUGGACCAUCUAUGAGAGGUCGUGCCUAAUAGAGCCAUGAUUAACCACCUAUUAGAGGUCGUGCCCAGUGAAGCCGUGAUGGACCACCUAUGAGAGGUCGUGCCCAAUAGGGCCGUGAUUAACCACCUAUUAGAGGUCGUGCCCAGUGAGGCCGUGAUGGACCACUUAUGAGAGGUUGUGCCCAAUAGGGCCGUAAUUAAUCACCUAUUAGAGGUCGUGUCUAGUGAGGCAGUGAUGGACCACCUAUGAGAGAUCGUGCCCAAUAGGACCGUGAUUAAUCACCUAUUAGAGGUCGUGUUCAGUGAGGCCGUGAUGGACCACCUAUGAGAGGUCGUGCCCAAUAGGGCCGUGAUUAACCACCUAUUAGAGGUUGUGCCUAGUGAGGCCAUGAUGGACCAUCUAUGAGAGGUCGUGCUUAAUAAGGCCGUGAUUGACCACCUAUGAGAGGUCGUGCCCAAUAGGGCCGUGACUGACCACUUAUUAGAGGUCGUGCCCAUCGGGCCGAGAUCUACCACCUAAUUAAAGGUCGUGUCGAAUGGGGUCGUGAUUUGAAGCAAUAAUUGAUUUGCUAGAAUGACAUGUAAUCGGCCGAGUCGAUUGAUCGCUGAGACGAUCCAAGUGAUUGAAUUGUUCUGAUAAUGUGAUUGUGCCUCAGUUAUUUGGUUAUCAGAAUUGCACGUGGUUGAAUUAUAUAAACUGUGCUAACCUGCAGAUGAAGGCUAGCUCGUGUCCAGACUCAUAAAAGAUUAGCAAGUGACAUUCAAACAUGACAAAAGGGACGGCUAAUUUAAACCGAGUGUGAUCGUGGACCAGGGGAAACGAGACCCUACUAUCGUGUUGGCUCCGUCUUAAAUAAAGCCAAGCAACAGAGUUCCCAGAGACAUGUGUUUGACCGCGGAUGUCCGUACCCCAUGGCCGAACGCUACCUUUUUUUCAUCAGUCCCCGUCCAGCACCCCCUUCUCUCUGCCAAAUCAGCCGCGCUCUUCUCAGCCGAAUCUUUUUUUGUUAGGUCUCUCUCUUUGCUCACUUCACUUGCUCGUCUCUCCUCUCAGCCGAAUCAUUUUGAAUUAUUUUCUUUUAUAUCGUGGCCCUUCCAGGCCGGCGGCCACGCAUGGUAUGUAAACUUUUUCAAAGUUGCAGAGCAGUCAUGUAACGGUGCGAAAGUUAGAGGGCUUUUGAGAAAUUAUCCACAAAAUUAAGAGCAAAAAAAGGGGAAUUAAAAGGAAAAUCCAAAAAAGAACGCAAGAAAAAACCCCUUCCCCGCGCUUUCUCAUACCCUAAUCGAUCUUGGUCCUCGGCAAGACCUUAAACUGCAGCGCUCCGGGGGGGACAACCCCGAUAACAAGGCCCCGCGCGGGCGGGUAAUCCCGUGCCUCCCCACCAUGGGGGCCCUGAAGGCCAUACGAGGGGUAGUCCCUUUCCUGGGGACGAAAAAGAUUCAGGUUGGGGGUAAAAGUCCAGACCCCUGGAAAAAACAGGAGAACCUGGCGUCGGACCUGAGCAGGUCCUUAAAAGGCUCAAGGGGGGCCACCCCGACAGGAGGAAUAACCUCCCAGGGGUGAGAGACCCCGCGUCGGGGCCCCCUAUUCCCGUGGGAGGGAAGAAAAAAUAAAACUACCCCCACUGCCUCGCCCGCCACAGCUCUGGAACCCAGAAGGGUAAAGGAGAGGGAUGGCACACGGUAAGGGUAGAACGGCAGCCCUCUCGGUAGCCGAACCCAGGCCCGAGACAGGACCUAGUAGCCCAAUGACCCGUGCCAGAAAGGAAACUUUCUGGGUGGCGGCGGGCGGCUUCGGAAAAAGUUCACUCCCGUCAAUUUUCCCCAAGUCGCUCCUCCUUCAUCCUCGUCCAAGAAGGAAGAAAGGAAAUGAUGAACGUGUUCAUGCCGAGGAACUUGGUGCCUCCCGAGCUGUUGGACGCGCUCCACGACGCGCUCAAGCUGAACGGAGCUGUUUCUUCCAGGGGUGGGCCCCGCGAAUUUCACGCGUUUCUUCUCCCGAUCCCGUGAGUACGUUGGGAUUGGGCGGCGCUAAGGCUUUUAGGUUCAUUUUUGAGAAUCGGGUUUGAGGUUGUUUUACGUCUUGAGAAGUUCGAGGAUCUUCAGGCGAAAGGGUGGAAGCUAGUCGGCAAAGAUCUUGUUCUCGUCCUAGUUUUAUCUUUUGGUUUUUAACUCGAGGCUGCUAAAUGCUAAACCAGAACUUGUAGUUGAGAAACGAAAGCGGAAGCAUUGGGGUCAACGUGCUGGUCAAGCAAGUCGAGAGGAGUUCUUCUGCCUGGGAAAAAAAAGGUCGAUUUCGAUGGGGGAUAUUUCGGUUUCUUGCAGGUCCGCAGUGUGUGGUUUCGUGUGCGAAAGAAGGGAGACCUCUACCUCGAAAAGGGUAUACUUGUUUGUCUUGCGAUGGAUGGUGUCGAAGUCCUUGCAUCUAGAUUUGAGAUGGAUGAGAAAGCAUGCCUGUUCCUAGAUAAGCCUGGCCUUGUAUAAUUUUUUAGGGUGUAAUCUUUGUCAUUACUCGUCUCUCGAAUUCAGUGUGGCACGACACUUAUCCUUAUCCAUGUAUCCUUCUAUGUGACCCCUUGAUUCUUUUGCCUUCAGACAUGCUUUUGUCUGAACAAAUAUGGUGGCAGCCUGUCAUCUCUCUUAUUGUUUCACCAUAUACGUGAAUCCGCUGGCUGAGAUUGAGAAAUUGGUUACUUCAACGGGGGGAGUUCUACAGACCAAAACUUCAGCAAUGUUAGCUUCGUAAUUGCAAAGAAUAUUUUGGCUGCAAAAUGCAAGGUUUAAGUCUUGGAGUUAAUAAUUUGAAUUUAGUUUAAGAGUUGCGAAUUUGUUGUAUCUUGUUAAGGUUAAAUCACCUUAGAUGAGAUUCAUUAUGCUUUUUCACUAAGUAUGGGAAGUAUCGUGGGUAGUACUCUCAUUGAGUUGGCUGAACUAAAGAAGAGUUUCCUCCAUAUUUUUUUGAAUAUUCCCUGUGCAAAGUCUUUUAUGAAUUUCAUCUUGAAAGAUAAAUUGUAUUUAUCAAUUAAUGUUGUCAUCGUGCAAUGGGCUUUAAAUGUUCUGAAGAAACCUGUUGUCGCCAUUAAUUGUUAUACCAAUGUUGUGUUGUGCACCGUGUUUUACCUCAGGAGUCUUACGAAGUUCUUCCAUUUUCUGGAUCGACAAUGUGUGUCACAGGAAUUUCUGCACAUACUGAUUAUUUGAUAUAGCUGCUGCUGUUGGUUGUCCUCCAGUUCUUCAAUUUUGAUGUCCUUCAUUAUCUUAGAUGCACAGAAGGAGAUUCAGAAGCAUAAAACAAAAUGGUGGGAAAUAUUCUGCAGAAUUGACCAGGAAGUGCACUCAUUUAAUUGCAGAAAUAACUUUUUCUUCUUCAAGAUUAAAGUCCAGUUAUUUGCUUGCAUAUUUUACCUUUGAUAUCUGAUCGCCGUGUGAAAAUGCACAUAUCUUUAUCUUGUCUUCGCAUAUGAAAAGACUUUUAAGAGUUUGAAAAGAAAAUCUGUAUCAUUUCAAGGUUUAGUGACGAUUUUAAUUUGAAAUAGGAAAUAGCUAUACUUGAUUUAAUCCUGGUUUUUGGUAUUAUCCUUUUACUUGGGAAUUUGAUUACUCAGAUGAGAAACAGUGAAACUUCCCGGCAUGAGAAUAUCAUUGACUUUGACUUCUAAAUCAGUCCUAAAGAAUUGUGUUCUGUGGUUCAAGGAAACAAGGUGUUAAACAACCUACAAUUUGAACUGCCACUUGUUAAAAGAUCCUCAGCCAGUUUUCGCUUUUCCAGUGUGAGUUAGGACUGCCUGUUGGUUGCUCAAAACACAUUGCUCAGCAAUGUUAUUACCAUUGAAUCUUUCUAUUGGCCUCAUAUAUGAUGCUCUGCAACACUGUGAGUCCCACUACGAUGCCCUUGACUGGCUGUAAGCUCCAGAAGAUAAAUACAAGGUUGCUAAAAGAUGGGGUCACAUUCAUAUUUUGAAUCGCAAAUGGUUUGAUCAAUUAACUUCCGGGAAAGGUGAUAUUUCAGUACUAAAAUACCUUGUUGCUGUCAACUGUAGGAACAUUUAAGUUCUUUUGAGCCAUCUUGUUGUCUGCUCUAAUUUUGAGUUCUUUGCCGACUAGCAUCUCUUAAUGAGGAGNNNNNNNNNNNNNNNNNNNNNNNNNNNNNNNNNNNNNNNNNNNNNNNNNNNNNNNNNNNNNNNNNNNNNNNNNNNNNNNNNNNNNNNNNNNNNNNNNNNNGUAGUCAGCAAAAUCAGUAGAGUUAUUAGAAGUUCACAGUCUCUCCCUCUCAAUGGUUGGAGAUCAGGACUUCCAUUCCAUUUCAGCUACUGACCAUGCCAAACCAGAUUUAGAAACUACUCUCUCACAGAAUGUGUCUUCAAUGUUUGUGGAUCCCCAUUUCCUUGCAAAAGAGGAUAAUAGUGAAGUGGCAGCUGUGCAAUCCAAUGGUGAAGUGAAUCAUGAUUGUUGGGUUGCUGAAGACUGAAAAUGAAGACAAUGACCUGUAUUUGUCAGAAUGUAGGUUAACAUCAUCAAAUGCUCGAUUUCCCCAAGAGUGUUCCUAAAAGAAGUGAUCUGAAACUACCAUUCAAAGUUGGCUUGAAGAUACAAAACUUGGUGAUCUGAUUUUGAAGGCAGUGGUGCCUUAAAUAGUUCUGCUUGACACAUAUGAUGACUGACUAAAGAUUAUAUCAUCGUACACUGCUUUCUCUCGUUUCAUUAUGAUUCUCCGUGCUCUUCAUGUGAACAAUGGGAAUGCUGAAAUGUUAGUAUUGCCUAAUAGGACAGUAGCUGCUGAUUCACAUGACAUUUGGCUGUCUUUCACAUAUGAUUAGUGGCUGAAGGCUGCGAUCCUUUAAAUGGCUUUGUCAGCUUGCAACUCUCCAAUUUGAGGAUACCACACACUUCAUGACAUGGGUGGCCAAUUUUGCCGAAUGAAAUCAUUGUGUUUACAUGUUAGAAGAUGACGUAUGACUAUAGUUAAUCUGUGCUAAAGACAAUCUUUCAGCUCUUCCCGCUAAUAGCAUGCAUAUAGUUUCCAGGAUGGCAUAUGCUUGUAAGUAAUAAACGGUUUCAUAUGGUUUUCUUCUGGAUCUCAUUCCUGCAUUUGCUGCUGACCUUGCAAUCUUUUGGCUGGUGAAGGUAAAGGAUCUUUUUUCUCUUCAUGUGUUGAUCCUUUGCUUUUGUUUAUUGUGCAGCAGAACCCAGGAUUUUUAAACUCGUUUUGAAAUCUUAUAUUUGUUGGUACGGGUGUCACUGAAUUUAUUCUUUUUUGUUCUUUUGUGUUUUGGGCCACUGAUGUCUUAUCCCGGUCAAUGGAUGAAAGAGGGAAGGGUCAAAGAGCCAAUAGUAUUCAUUUAUCCUAGUAUUGCUCCGGAAGACACUUGGUAGAGCACCGACGUACCUUUGAUUUAUGUAGUUUCUAUGCAAUAAAAGCCGAUAAAAUCAGAUUUUUCCAGAUCAGUCUAACGGUCCGUUAUAUGUUCAAGUUUGAUCCUCAGCAGAAGGCAAAAAUCUUGUUAGUUUUUCAUGUUACUCCUUUUAAUAGCACUCUUGUACUAUUGUUCCCUUGGAUCAAUGAAAAUAAUUGGACUAACGUGGAUUCAAUAAACUCACCAUGAGCGGAGCAAGCAUGAGAGAAGAAAACACAUAUUGAUGUAUAUUCCAAGCAACCCAUAGCUUGACAAAUCAAUGUCAGCCCUCUUCAAACCUUUCGUGAGGCUAGCAAUUGAAUGCAUCGCAUAUUCUUGUGUUCACAUUCAUGUAUCAUGAGGCUAGCAAUUGAAUGCAUCGCAUAUUCUUGUGUUCACAUUCAUGUAUCAUGAGGCUAGCAAUUGAAUGCAUCGCAUAUUCUCGUGUUCACAUUGAUGUAUCAUGACUUAUAUUAGGUCACUCCUUUUCAUUUCAAGGGAAAAAAGAAAAAAAAAUGUAUAGUUAUAGAGCAGCAAAUGCAUAGAUAAAUAAGAGUUACUUGGAGUUAAUAAUCAAAAUGAAAAGUUCAAUGCAUAUCAAAUUUACAACAAGCAUCAAAAUUUCUUAAAAUAUCUAUGAAAAACUAUGAGAACCCUAUAUCAAGUCUUACUAGAAAACACAAGUAGCCACACUUUCGUCCAAAAGCUCCAAAUUAUGAUUAGCAUUGUCCGUUGCGUCACUUAUAAAUUAAUCUUAUGCAACAUUUCCACAAUAAAGACCGGUCUCUUGUCUCGCUGUGAGCAUAACCUAAGUGUUUGUAAUUAUGAUGUCCCCUAGNNNNNNNNNNNNNNNNNNNNNNNNNNNNNNNNNNNNNNNNNNNNNNNNNNNNNNNNNNNNNNNNNNNNNNNNNNNNNNNNNNNNNNNNNNNNNNNNNNNNAGAAGAAGAAUCACAGAAUCACUCCAAAGUUGACGUUGACUACAGUCUUUUAUUAUUUAUAAUUUUUGAGUAGGUUUGUCCGCAUUUGCCUUGUCCCUUUCUUUGGUCAAAAGAGGACUUGGGAAAUGCAAUGAAGCGAGCAAGAUGAAGGAUGACUUUGACUUGCUUUCCCUCGCCUGAUGCUAUAAAAUAUGAUUAGCUAACAAUCAUGAUUUGGAAGUUGUAUGCUUUCCACAUAAAUAACCAACCGAGAUUGAUUUAAAUAUGAGUAUACAUCACCUCCUUCAUUACCUUCUUUUAAAUAUAAUUUUAGCAAGCUGCAAAUUUAAAAUAUGAAAUGAAAUAUAUCAAGCUGCUCUGAUUACAUCAUAAUUAUAUAAAAAAAAUUAUUACAAUUUUGUGAUUCAAUCCAUUAUUAAGUCGUAGUAUGGGUGAAAAUUGAAAACUAUCCGCUAGAACCGCAUUCAAUUUUUUACGCAAAUCUUCUUUGGUUCCGACAUCCAAUGACCCAGCAACACUAUGGAAGACAGAGACCGUGUUUUCUCAUUUUCACACGUGCAAAAACCAAAGAUAUUUGCAAUCCAUUUUACUUGCCAUAAACCAAAGUAAAACGUCUGUUUCAAAUUUCCCUCUCCUAGUUUUAAACAUUCAAGCUCUUUGACAUUAAGGGUGUGUUUGUCUUGUGAAAAAUGAAUUUGACAAACAUUUCCACUAAAACCGCUAACAAUAACGAAUGAGCAAAAGAUACCUUUAUGACUCACGAAAAUGUUUAGACCUAAUUUUUUGUCGAUAAUGACUAUUUCAAUGCCUCCAACGGUGAGAGGCUUUUAUUUCAAUAGGAAGGGAAAGCAAAAUGUUGUCCAUCUUCACUUUGAUUUGUGCGGCCAUGUGAUUCCACUACAAAGAGAACUAACACAAGGUGGGGGUUCGUUUGUAAAAAUAGUAAAUUUUCUCAUUGAGGACACGCAAAUCCAUGGUAAGAUUGUGUGUGUCCCUAGCACAUUGCACUCACUUUUCGAGACAAGAGAAGAAGUAAUUUUCAAUAUGAACACCUUGCAAAAGUUCCCAAGUAAAGGAGAUAAUUUCUUUUGACAAAAAAAGAAAAAAAAAAAAGAAAGAAAAGGAGAUGAUUCCGGGGCUGUUGAGGACUAGCAUCGUGUAAAAAAGUUAAUUUCCACUAUGAUUUACUUGGCCACAGAAUAUAAUAACAAAAAGAAUUAAUAAGUGAAGUCUAUAGGGGGUCGUCUUGCCAAUUUCGAGGAAAGGAUUGUUCUGGUAGUCUUGGUCAAAAAGGCAGGAAUCAAAAGAAGUAAAUAAUUGCCUCGUCCAAGAAACGCAAUCCACCACAAGUUGUCUCUACUUCUAGAUCUGAAGCACAUCGAAUCCUCUACCAGAGCGAGAGCUUCAGCUUGAAUCGGCGGAGGAAGCAAGGGAUCUUCUUUCUCGUGAAUCCAUCGAGCGGUACGCCUGAGGCCGUCGCGAAGAGCACCUGCAAUCGCUCCUUCCGAACCACCGGCUCAAAGAACCCCAUCGAUAGUUGUCUUGAGGGACGGGGUUUUCGGCGGGCAUCCAUUAACAGGUAAAAUCGACUCGAAUCGCGUCGAGUUUCCAACUUUUUAGUGUUCCGCUCGCUAUAAUUUCCGAUCGUGGACUCCGCUGAGGCGAUUAGGGUUCCUGGGUUUGGUGGCGCGGUCUUUGCUGGGAACACGAGGGUUGUUUCUGGGAUCUCCAGAUAUACCAGAGAAGAGCUGCAAUUUAAUCGAGAGAUAGUAAGUUCCUUGCAUGUUGUUGGUGAUUUUGUAGCCACUACUCGUCCUUUCUCGUGAUGUUCUGACCUGAGAUGAUCUGCAAAUUUACCUCGGCGUAUCUCCAAACGAAGCCGGUCCAGGUCGAGGCGUGAAGGUGAUCCUCGGGAUUGUGCUGCCUUUCGGAACUCAGACACAACUCGAUCUGCUUCGAGGCGACUUCUUCUCAAAAACUGACGCCUAUCACAGUGAUUUCAUCUCUGAAUACCCCCUUCUGGAGGUAAGUCCGACCUUCGUCCUCCGGUCUAUUGCAAUUGAUAGGACAAAAAUACAUUUGAUUAUUACUCACUGCUUUAUCGCCUAACAUCCUCAAAGGCCUACGGAAUAAUACAUGUGAAAUUCCCUUGGGACAAAAAGCCCGUUCGAUUAAAAUUACGAGAAUACCCUUCUAAACCCGAUUUUGUGUCCGUUGGUCCUAUGUUCACCCUAAUUGUCCAAAAUUACUUGUUUUUUUUGGUCGGAGCCAACAGUACUUAAAGCCUGAAACAUCCAAAAUACUCAAUUUUUGCAGAAAUAAUUCUUCUUUUUUCCUUGAAUACAUUUAAAAACUAGAUUUUUUCCAAAUAUCGAUCGUGCUGGUCUAUUCUCUUCAAGAGUCGCACAAAACCUUUCAAAGGGUGUGGAUCAGAAUUGUCAACAACAAAAAUUUAUCUGAACCGAUCAGGUCAACUAGAGAAUUUUUAAAUGUCCAUAAAACCAUUUUCCCUUAUAUUGGCAAUUUUUGUAAUUUCUAGAAAAUGACAAAAAAUUCAAAUGUUUUCCGGAAAUUAUGAAAAAUUCACAAUUGCACUAUUUUUUUGUGCUGGUUACAAUGGAAAUUUGAAAGUGAGCGAAGCUGCUGGUUUCAAUGAGCUUACACAUAUUUGUGGACAAUUUUUAGGUGGACUUUAUCUUAGCGGAUUGAAUUAGAGAAACUUGUCAUAAAGUGUGGUUUUCAUGCGAUUUUACUGCUUUCAACAAAGACUUUUACGUAUAUAUAGUGUAGAAAAUUACUGACCUAUGAUAGAUUUGACGAUAUGAUUUAUGCAUAUUUAGGGUGGAAGGGAAAUGUAGCAUUUACAGAGUAAGAACGACUUUGACAUAAAAUUCACAAGCCGAUUAGAGCCACAUUUAUCUGUUUAACAAAAUGUUUUAUAAGUAGAUAUGAACAGAAGUGGGCAUUCCGUACUCGGGUCCAAAUUGCGUGACUUGACUUGGCUUGCCAUUUGAAAACAAUUUAAUUGCUACCAGUCAAUCAGCCUAUCGUCUACUACUCAUUAGUCCUCUCUCUCUCUCUCUCCCUCUCUCCCUCUCUCAUUUCUUACUUUUAUGUUUCACAUUUGGCCUCUCUCUUGCACUCUCUUGCAGAACAAUUCGAGAUUAUCAUCUACUGAUUAGUCCUCACUCUCUGUCUGUUCUUUCCCUCUUAGAAGUUCUUGCCCAGACUUGUUUAGGGUCUUCUCUCGCCGAUCUCACGCCUCCCUCUGCAUCUCAACUCACGAAAGGUAAUCACUUUUUCAUCCCUUAUUAGCAUGUCGUUUCUAUUGAUUCGUCGCUUUAUUAUUGAAAUGAUAGGCCGAACUAGUAUGUUCUGGGCCCUUUUGGUCUAUUGGGGAUGUGGUGGUGGCUGCUGAAUUGCAGAGGAUGGCCUUUUAUUCUUUCUUUUGGAGUCGCUGUUACCUCCUAACGAGGAAUGUCCCCAGCUCCGAUUUGACUUCGAUGAAAAUAGAAAGCCUUUGUUCUCAACUUUAGAUGUGGCUAAUCCUAUGAUGGCCUUAUUGCCUCAUUGUUAGUUGCAUUGUGAUUCAGUAUUGAGCAUUUGUUGAACUAGAACGAGUAGGUUUGGAAAUGCGCUAGACUCUAUUGCGUGCAAAAUUGCCAUGUUUCGCUCGAAUCCAGAGACCAAUUUUUUUUUUUAUUCAUUGUGAGGCUUCUCUGUGUUUAAGGGUCCUCGAUCAAUUUAUAGAAAAAAAAAUAGUUGGGUGGUUCUGGGGUCAACUAGUUUGG
rnacentral:lncRNA from 1 species